GGUGCCGUUGACUCGUCAGAAGAACUACUAUUGCUGCUUCUUUGCAUGGAUAUGGGUAAAUCUGGAGGGUAAAACGACGGUUUAGGAGGCAACUUUAGGUCACUAGCAUCACCUUCAAGCAUUUUUAAGACUUCUCUCAUUGAAGGACGAUCCGCAGGUGUCAUCUGUAUGCACCACAAUGCAAUCAAAAUCAAUUUUCUUGUAAUUGUCUUUUCUUCUUCAGUUGCAUGAUCUCCGAUUUCCAUUUCCUCCACUUGAUCGAAUUUGUCAUAAAUCCAUGAAGGGAAGUAUAUUUGACUUGAAUGCUCAGCAUGCUUAUCCGCAUUUCUCCUCCUUCCCGCCAUCUCCAUUAGUAACUUUCCAUAGUUGUAAACGUCUGUCUUGUUUGAGACUCUUCCAAUCUUUUUAUAGACCAGUUCCGGGGCCAUGUAAUCAAAUGUUCCUCUCAUGGCAGAAAGAGUUGCAAUACUCUUUUGCAUCGGGUAAAGUUUUGCGAGUCCAAAGUCUGCAACUUUUGGAACAAAGUUCUCAUCAAGUAAGAUGUUAUACGGCUUAAUAUCAAAAUGCAGAAUUUGCAUACUACACCCCUGAUGCAAGUAUUCAAUCCCAUGUGCAACUCCCUUUGCAAUCUCACAAGUUUGCUUCCAACUCAAGGGAUGACCAUUUUUACUAUCUGAGAAAAUUAACUUAUCUAGAGAGCCAUUUGGCAUGUAAUCAUAUAUACUAGGGCAUGUUUCGAGGGAGCAACACAAAAUCCUACCAACCGAACCACGUUCACAUGGUGAAUUUGUCCAAUAGUUGCAACUUCAUUGAUGAACUCUUGUCCAUCAGCUUUUGAUUUGUUCAACAUUUUGACAGCAACAGCAUCUCCACUGCGCAAUUUGCCUUUGUAAACCAUACCGUAGCCUCCUUCGCCUAGUUUCUCUUCAAAAUUUUUGGUCAUUGUCCUAAUUUCUCUAUAUGAGUACCUAAUGGGCAUGAGUCUGCUGUUUGAUUGUAGAAAAUCUUCUAUUAUAUCAUACCUCGAUAAAUGCCUCCGAUGCCACCUAUAAAGCAGGAACGCAGACAAGAUGGCAAUGCCAAGGACACUUUUUGCCGUAAUGAGUAGAACUGAAAUCUCGGAAGAGAACAAGAAGACUUAGCUAUGAUUGACUUCUAGUGUAUAUAUAUAUAUAUAUACACGGCCAAUGGAUAGAGUUAUCGACUAUAAAUCAGAUGCCUUACCGAAAAAUUUGACAGCAAAACCCACGCCAGCUGCUUAUGAAAGAAAAAAGGUUAUAAUGGAAAUACGGAAUUAGAAAGAAUCCGACUGAUUAAGAAUGGUUUUUUUGCACACGAAAGAAACAAGUUUACUCACUUCCGAAUGUGUCAACGCGGUCGAGGAUUGCUUCUACUAGGGGACCUACAUCGCCCAAGGAGAAAAGUCAAAGUCAAUGUCCAAUUGGAUACUUGAAAAUGAACUUUUAUUAAUUACUAUUAAUUCACCCUCAUGUGUGUACCAGUUUCAAAUCACUACGAGAAUAAAUUCAAAUGAGAAUUCAAUAAUUCAUGUGUUUGUUAGGAUCAUGAAACAAAUAACAUUUCUAAAAUCCAAGUAUUCUAAUUUGACUUGAUUUCAUACUUAAAAAAUCAAAUGAAAAACUAUGUGAGAAUAUACACAGCGAUAAAGACAACUAGUAAGGACAAAAUAGCAGUAGCAAGAUUUCUGGUACUCUCAUUCCCAAAAAAGAAAAAUAAAAAAAUUCACGUAAUUAGUUUCCAAAUUAAACAAAUGAUUUAGGGGAAUCGGAGCGGGUACGGUUAUGUACCGUUAUUGUUUUUCUUGCAUAUUUUGGUGUACAUUUACAUGAAUUUUUCAUUUUAUUAGUUGCUAUUGAUUGUAAACACCAAAUGUCAUAAGAUUUAUAACAGCUUGUCUAAAUCCACAUUUGAAAGUCUAGACCCACACCUCCAAUGCAUUAAUCAAUUCUACUUUAAACAUUUACACUUAUAUGAUGUAUGAAUUUGAAACAUUUACAAUAUUUAGCCUCCAAAGAUACCACUGCAUACCAAAGAUUGGAGUAAGAAUUGCACUAUUCAAAGGAGAAUUUGCCAUUAAUUUCCCAAAAACAUGUUUCAAGCAGUAGUACUGAAUACUUUUAAAGGAUCAUCAUAAUCAAUCAUCAAUCACGAUGUUAAUAAAUCUUCAAAUCAGUGUACUUACAAAAAAACGAUUUCUCCAAGAAUGCCUCCAAACGGAUCUCAAAGCCAUUAGACAGAAGAUUGUGGAUGUCUUGAAACGAAAUAUCUCCUGCUGUUACAUUAGGGAGGCACCACAGGUCUACAGGAGCUGUCUUAUAGACAGUGCACGACUCUUCAAUGUCAGAUGCCACCACACUUUCACCAACCACAACAUAGCUGUAAUAAUUGGACGGAGCUUUCAUUUUUGAAAAAUGAUUUGCAGUGAUAUUACAGGAAGCAGUGUCUACAUAAAGAGGAUUUUUCGAUUUCACAGGAUUUUUACAGCUCACAAAGACCAACGAACCAGUAUCAGGAGCAAUGUAGAUGUCAUAACCCGUACCAGCUGGACGGUAGUAGUCGCCGUUUGGCUUGAAUGAGUAAACUGGCAGAGUAGAACAGUUGUUCUUUUGCACCCCAGGAUCAAAUAUACGAAGUGUCUGUUGCUCAUAAUCAAUACUGUUUAGCUCCACAGAAAAGUUAUACUGUUGUAUCUCCGGAUAGGAACCAACACUCAAGGGUGUCUCACUACUCAAGGAUAGAACAGGGCGAUUUCUUUCACAAGAGAAUUCAAUAACCCCUAAAUUGAAUUCAGGGCACAAAUCUGGAUCAUCAUCCCUAAAUUGAUAUGGGCACUUUAAAUUGAUGUCGUGCCCCCGCAGGUGGAUGGACUAUGGUCACAGCUGGUGUCUGUCGAAUAAUGAACUGGUACAUCACAAUGGUCAUCUAUAAAAGAAUUAAAUGAGAACCCGGACACCAAGAAGUAAAUCAAGAAUAGGGACAACAAAACUACCAAAAUCUGAAGUGGGAGCAUAACGUUGGCUGACUGAAUUUAACAAGAAGAAGAAGAAGAAGACGAGGAGCCGGAUAUAUGUAGCAAACGGAGAAGGGGCUCUUUAGGUUGGUAAAGACUAAAGAGAGUAGGAUCUAGGGUUUCAAACUAGAUUUUUUUUCCAUUUUUUUCUCUAAGGGAGUCUAGUCUAGACUUUUGAUGAUUUCUUUUAAGCAGUCCAACAUAGAUUUAUAAAUGAAAAUUUUAGCCUCCAAGAGCGAAAAAGAAAAAAAAAAUUAGUCAGUUAGUAAGUCUACUUAUGCAUAAGUUAUAUUGUAAAUUCAGAGCCACAUCAUUAUGGCGAUGUAUGACGAACUAAAUAUAGUUAUAAGAAAUUAUCUUUAUUUUAAUGAAAAACACGCAUAGAAUUCCCAUUUUUCUUUCUUUUCUUUUUUCCACUUAAGUUUUAGACCCUCGAAUUUGGAGUGAUCUGUGGAGUAUCAACACUAUUCCACCAACCAUGCGUUUUCUUUUAUUGGCAGCUGAAUCUUGAAUUCUGAGGAAGGCAAAACUCGACUUGAAUAGUUGAAUGCCGAGUCCUUGUUCCUUAAAUUAUUUUCUAAUCUACUCUUUCCGUUGUCAACGUUUUGCAGAAUAGUGUAUUUUUCUUGUAAGCCCGAGUUGAUGGUAACGCGAAAAUAAAGUUGAGUAAAUAAAAAAGUUUUUAAAAGAGCAAAAAUUCUAAUUCCAAAAAUUCUAAUAAAGUUGAGUAAUUCGACCGAGGUGCAGCUUUUCACAAUUCCCACACUAAUUGUCUAAUUGGAAAAUGGGCUUUAGUAGUCAAAAAGGUUUUAGUGAGGAAGACUUCGCUACUUUACUUUUCUCUUUAGUAAAGUUUCUCUUUCCUAAUUAACGAACUCUGAACGCAAACUUUUGCAUGUCCAAUCUAGACUACUUUCCUUCCUUCAGGGAAACUCUUUUUUUUUUUUCCUUUUUCUUUUGAGGUAGACCUAUGUAGACUUUUAAGAGUCGUUGGUCUUUAAUUUGUACCAAAGUCAUCGUUGUUUUGCUUGAUGAUACUUUAAGAGCAGUUUCCAUAUCACAAAACAUAUCAAAGUUGGACUGCUUUGUCGGAUAAGUAUUGAUAGAAGUGUGGAUGUUGAGCUUUCAUUGUCAUCAAAGUGGAAAGCUUCCUCAACAUCACACCACCUAAGUGGAAAACUUUCUAAAAGUCUAUUGUACUAGUUCCGUUGUAAAUUCUCAUGUCGUAUUUUUAACAUAACAAAUGAUGCAAAAAAAUAUGUUCUUUAGAGUCACCCUAAAUUGCAUUCCCAUUUAACAAAGAAUAUGUCUGAUAAAUCAAGAUAAAAAAAGAAAGUUAUCAAUUUUGGUCAGAAAACAUUAAAAGCAGAAAGCUUACACACCGCGUCAUGAAAACCACUCCUUAGUGGUCAGUCCGCGCUAAAAGCCAGUUCAAACUUAUGAUUGCCCAAUUUUCUCUGGUGGGGCAGAAACACGGAGCUAGGACCUACUUUGCAAUUUUUUUUUAUCACAAUCAUAACAUUUGUAUAAUCUAAUUUAGGGGGAGGGAACCUAAUUUUUUUUCCUCAAAACGAUAUUUGAUUAUAUUGCUUUCAAAAGAUAUACAAUUGCGAGUAAAGACUCGAGUUAACUUUACAUUCAAUGUACUUGACACUGAGGAAACAAGAGUUCAUCAUCCAUUGUGAUGUCUAAGGCACAAGUGUUAAUCUUAGAGCUUAAAUGAUUUGAACCCUUGAACUCCUAUUCCAUAUAUAGCUUGGUAAAAGGCAAGAUUUGAACCCUUGAACUCCUACUCCAUAUAUAGUAUUUGGCUAUUUGCAUUUCCAAGCAAUUUCAUACUGGGCUCCAUAUCCAUUGAUAUUUAGGACGAAAGAAAUGAACAACGAAAAAUAUUAAAAUCAAUAUUUGGGUUGCCUCCCAAAAAGCGCCUUUCUUUAAUGUCUUUGGCUAGACAUGCUAUGAUUGUUCAUGGAGGAUAAAAUCUUGUGGCUCGCUUCAAUGGUUCAUCUUCAAUGUGAUCCUGGUAACCCUCAUAGAUGGAGUAAUCCUUGAGCACACGAAUUGCGGGCUUCCAUGGACAAGUAAAUGGUGCUAAACAAGUCAACGAUAAUUUGCAUUCUCCAUUCACUCCUCCAUCACAUGCAUUCUUCGGUUCAAGAUAUUUUUCCAUUGCCACUCUUAAUUUAUUCCUGUCAUGAAAUUUCAAAUUUUCUGGUAUAAUAAAAUCAAUUUCAGUAACAGGAAUUGAAGAAUAGGAGUCAGGAAAAUAUUGAUUAAGGAGUGGAGAAGAUGUCACCGCAUUUGGAGAUUGUUCAUUGGAUUCAUUCACUUGAAUGGGUUGCGGUUGGGAUUCCAUUUCUUCCUUUUCGGCUUCUUUUUCAACUGCAUCUGUAGAUUUUUCAUUUUGACACUCUUGCAUCUCCUCAUCACUAGUCAAGCAAAUUGCACUCUCAUUUUCUUCAAAAUCAACAAUGAUUUCCGAGGACAAUUCUUCCAUUUGAGAAGCCAAUCGAUUCAUUCUGGAUAUCAAUAGACAUAGUUGAUCUGCCAGAUAACUCAUUGGAUCCUUCAUCAUCUCAUUCCUCAUUUGUGUCUCCUGUUGGAAUCGGUAUGUAUUAAUAAAUAAUUCACCCAAUUCCUGAAAAGACAUACCUGACAAGGACGAUGGUUGUUGAGACUCUUGCUGUUGAAAAUCCAUUGGCCCGGUCGCAUAAUCAAAAUUGGAAUUAUCCCACCAUCCUUGAUCAUACCCGUUUGUAUAAGGGUCAUACUGCAUUUGAUAUUGGGGUGGAAAAUCUCCAAAAGUAUCAAUUGGAGCACUUAGAUUAUCUUGAAAUGCGGGGCAUGUGUCAGUUGAAUAACCUGAGUCAAAAUAAGUUCCACAAUUUGCACUAUCCCAUUGAUCAUUAGGAAACACGUGAGUCUCAUAACACCAUUCAGGAACAAAGUCCAGUCUAUUAUCAAAAUAUGGAAUGUUAGCAGCCAUAAAAAAAAAAUAAAUAAAUUGAAAAUGAAAACAAGGUGAACUAAAAAAAGAAACAAAUUAAUCUGACACCAGUCCCCGGCAACGGCGCCAAAAAUUGACAGGUGCCGAAUCUGUGUAAUAAUAAAUACCUACUCGAGAAAAAUACAGAUUUUGUAUAUAGCGGUGAGUAGGGUCGAAUCCACAGGGACUGGGGAUAAUUCGUUUCUUCUAGAGUCCAAAGUAUGGGGGGUUUUGGAUUAAAUGCUAACUAAAUAAAUUAACUGCAGAAAAUAAUUAAUUAAAAGAAAUAACUAAGAGAAACUCUAGCCAAGGAUACACUUCAGAAAUGGUUCAUGCAACUGAUCAUUGAUGCAGAAAUAAUUCCAACAUUUAGUAAUAGAUUAGUUAUAGUUGUCAUGCACGCGAUAAACAACCAACCCUUCCUUAAUUUCUCGAUAGCUAAGGUACGACCGUUAGCUAUUUCUCUAACCCAAAAAUAACCCUAAGUACGACCGUAGGAUUUAAUUUCUAGAUUGCAUUAAUAAUUAGAAAGGCCCAAUCCUAACUAACAAACACGCUACGAGGGUUUGUUUAAGUUAGAUCGUAUGUUCCCCUGACAUAAAUCCAAUUACGCCAGUUGCUACUGAGAUAGAGAUAACGAACAAUUACGGAUUCAAUUACCCCUAUUUAGCAAAAUAGCCUAUAUGAAUAAUUAAAUAUUGCGCAUCUAUUCAAUCACUCACAUGAGCUAUAGCAAUUAAAAGCAGGAAACAUAUAAAUAUCAAUAAAUUAAGGAAACAAUUAAAAUAAAUUAGAUCUCACAGUAAUUGUUGAACCAAAUCUUCAGUUGUCCCCUUGACUAGAAUUGAGAGGUUAGUCCUCCAUUAAUGGAGAACAACCAUGCGAAAGAAUAAAACUAAACUAUGCUAAGAGCUAAGCUAAAACUAUUGAAUGAUCCCCCUGUACGUUUUGCCUCCUUUUUAAAGCCAACAAUGACUCAAGUUAUCUAGUGGUCCCCACGGAUUAGAAGUCAAGGAGCAAAAGAAUUGGAGCCCUGCCGAAUUGCUUGUUUCCUAUUGCCAGUAGAGCUCUAAUCUCCUAAUCAGCAAGCAAAUGCAGUCUGUCUCUUCCUCUCCUUGUGGGCCCUCUUCCUCUCCUUGUGGGCCAGGUCGAUGGAGCUUUCUUGAAGUCUCCCACUUAUGGAGCAAGUCCGUACUUUUUGGUAGUUUUCUGCUUCAUUCCUGAAAUUAAGUCCAGAUACCAAAUAUGAGUAAAUAUUAACAAUUAAGCAAUAUUUGGUAAGGAUAAAAAGGGAGAUUAAUAAUAAAAUAACCAACAAUUAACACCCAUAUAGUAUUUGGCUAUUUGCAUUUCCAAGCAAUUUCAUACUGGGCUCCAUAUCCAUUGAUAUUUAGGACGAAGAUGCAUUUAGUUUAUUGUACAGGAAAAUUCUACUGAGUGAUGGAAAAUGUAGCUGGGGUAAUUCACUAAAAUGUAUUCGUAGCGCGCUAAUACUCUAACCAUUCUUUACCAGUAAAACCAACAGGCGGAAUGAUCAGAUGACUUUAGAAGAAGACUUUAGAUAUAUUAAACAAGUGCUAAUACAGUGAGUAUUGCUGUACAAAGUUACAAGUUACAGAUCAUUUAGAGUAGUUUGCAAUUACCACAUGCAACUCGUUGUUGCUUCUAAUUUUCAAAACAAAAAAAAAUCAACUGCAUAAUUAUGAAGAGCUUGACAAGAUAAAAUUAACUAAUUGUGUCAUUGAUUUAAAAUGUAUUUUAGUUCCACACUAGUCUACUGUAUUUCUUGGCUACAGAGUUGCACAGUUGUUCUGUUGAAUCUUCAGAGCAUUUUGAAAAUUUCCAUCAUUCCUUUCAAGACUGUUAGAUUCAUGAGUAAAAAAUUAUGUCCCAUAUUGGUCCGAAAGAUAGAGAAAAAAUGGUUAAUAUAUAAGUAAGGGCCCGAGACCUAAUGGCUUAAGAUUUUGGAUCAGAGUUGGUUCCUGACUUACAUAUUGGAUUCUUUGGUGGACUCUCUCUCUAGAUAUUUCUCCCUAUAAAAAACAUUGCUUUCAAAGUUUUUCAAAGUUUUUAAACUAUACACUUCAAAAUAUUAAAAAAAAACAUACUUCAAAAAAUUUUAAAAAAACUUCUAUAGUAAACUACGGUAAAAUUUUAGACAAACACCCAAAAAACUCAUUUGCCAAACAGGGCCUAAGUUCCUCGCAUUUCCAUUUUCCUCUUCAGUCAUACAAUCUCCAAUUUCCUUGUCCUCUCCUUGGUUGAACUUUCCUCUCUGUGCUGUUGAUAACAUUUAUUAUUCAUAACUAUCACAGGAAGAUUUUAAGUGAGGGAGAGAGGUUCCUUCAUAAAGUGAUCCUUUUAUGAUUAUUGAUGUCUGGGCCCGUGAUUGAUGAUCAGUUCCUUCAUAAAGUGAUCCUUUUGACUUGGAAAUCCAUUUUUAAUCAACUUUUAGGAUACCAACGGCAACAAGCAUACUUUUCUUGUUGGGCUUAGGGCUACAAACGAGUCGAGUCGAGUCGAAUUUUGGGCUAAUCGAGCCGAGUCUCGACUAAAUUUUAUCAAGCUUGAGUUCGAACUCGAGUUCGACGAGCCAGCAAUUUAAAGUUCGAGCUCGAAAAAAAUAAAAAAUAAUUAUUUUAUUUUUUAAAAAAUAAAUAAAAUAAUAUUUUUUUCUUAAUAAAAAAUAAAAAUAUUAAGGAUAUACAUGUAAUUUUACUAUUAAAAUAAGAAAAUAAAAAAUAUAUAUACUUAAAAUAAAAAAAUAAAAAAUAUUAUAUAUAUAUAUAUAUAUAUAUAUAUAUAUAUAUAUAUAUACUCGAGCUCGCAAGUCCGCUCGCGAGUUAACGAGCUUAAUAUUUUGAGCUCGAGUUCGAGUUCGAUUUCGACUCGAGCCAACUCGAGCUCGACUCGAGCUUGACUCGAGCCGCUUAGUAGCGGCUCGAUUUGUUUGCAGCCCUAGUUGGGCUCCAUUGACGGUAGUUUUCAUCGGUAAAUGCAUUUAAAAAAUGAAGCCCUUUUGGUGUAGUCUUUUUGUUGUUAUUGCUGUGUAAGAAAAUUAAAAUGGUAGUUUCCAAGUGGAUGGACAGUUCAGAUUCUUAUAAAAAUGGUGUCACAUUAUCACAUGGGUCGCUUAGAUAAGAUAAAAGAGUAGUAGUAGUAUAUACUUGCAUCUUUUUUUCUUUUUUUUAAUAAAAAAAAGACCAAUUGAUUCGUAUUUUUGUAUGUUCUGCGUAGCAGUUGUGAAUGGAAUAAGUUCCCAACCCACGCUCUUCACGUGCAUCUAUCCGUCAUUAAACGCUGCUACAUACGCUUGUGACUUUGUUCCGUGGAGUUAUUCUUAGAUGUGUCGCGGGCGGAAGUUAACUUGAAAAGAGGAAUAAUGUUCAAGUUUCGGACCGAGAGAUUGGAAAAUGCGGCGGUGACUAUUGUUAUGAUAAUUAAACAGUUUUUACCUGAUACAAUAUGUUAUUAUAUUUUUAGCGACCAUUUGAUUACCUGUUAGACCUAUUCACUUAAAUAGGAUAAUACUUAAAAAUAAAAAAGUAAGUUUCUCAUCUAAAAUAGUAAGUUAACCGUAAUAAUUAGUAAUUUUUGUGUCUCAAAAAGUAAAUUGGAAUAAGUAUGAAACUUACUUUUUAAAGAGAUAAAUUACUAUUUUAUAUCGCAAACAUACUUUUGAGAGAGUAAGUUUAGUUCAAGUAAUAGUAAGUUUUUAUACAUAAAUAGUAAUUCUUACUUAUAACAUAGUAAAUUUGAUUAAAUGACCAAAACUUACUAAUUUAUGGCACAAAUGUACUAUUUUGCUUAAAAAACUUAUACCAAACCAAUACUAGGAAGUUUAUUUGAACUAACAAUAAAAUAUUUUAUUAAUGAUUAAAACUUAGUACCUUAGUUAGUAAGUACUCGUAAUAUACUUGUAUAAUACAUGAUUAUAUGUAUAAUUUAAAAAUUUUUGUAUUUAUAUAUUUUAAAAUACUUUGAAAAAUAUUUUGACCUUUCACAUAACCUUAUAAAAUAAUAAAAUUUUGUCGCAUUAUAAUUUUGAAUAAUUUUUGAAAAGUUUAAAAGUUUGGAUAAUAAUAACAACACAUCUUCCUAGUUAUAUAUGGAAUAUCACUUAUCUAUGUAAUUCCUAUAAUUUAAAACCUAUUAAUAUAAUAAGAUGAUAAAGUUUUAAUAUAUUUAUUGUCUGAGACACAAGAAAUAAUAAGAAUUAAACUUGUAUUAAUAUAGACCUAACAAAAUGAGAGAAAUAGUGUAAAAAUUAAAACAACAAUAAAAAUAAUAGAAUUAGUGUAACAAAAUUAGUAUAAUCUGGAAUUUUUUUCUCUGGAGAUUGUUCACGAAUAUAAGCUCCAACCACUAAACAAAAAUCACAUGCAUAUAUAAUCUAUUGUAGAAUUUAAAUUAAAUUUAGUUCAUGUACAAAAUGAUCCUAAAAUAAUUAAUACACUACAAUACCAUAUUAUUUUAACAACAAAAAUUUUUUUUGCCAAAAGUCUCCAAUAUCCAUGAUAUAUGUAUGAGAGAUAUUUUACCAUAUUUUUAUCUCUUUUUUUCCCAUAUUUGUGUCUCAUGUCUAAUCAUUGAUGUUAAUUUGAGGAAGAAUAUUUUUUAUAAUAAAAUCAUUUUGAAUUUAAUUAACAAGUUGAGAUUUUUUAAAAUAAAAUAAAAGUGAAAUAUUUUGGGAACUUAUUUUUUAUUUUUCUAAAAUUAAAAGAUUGCUAUUUUUGACCAAUUGUUGCCAUUAACAUUUCAUUUUCUAGACUAAUUUUUAUCAAUAUAAAAUUAGUUUAGUUAACAAUAAUUGAAGUUCUGUUGGUCCGAGGAUUGCCAUGCUAUUGUUAUUAUUUUACAUUGAAAUAUAUAACCUAAGUAACAAAAUAAACAAUAGCUACUUAAAAAAAGGAAAUAGAUGCUCAAUUGAUUGCAUUCAAACUAUGAAUUCUGUUAGUGCAUAAUUGCUAAAUUAUAUUUUUAUUUAUAAGAAAUCAAUAUGCAUCAUAUAUUGACCAGGACUAAAUUACUGAUUACUUAACAAAUCAUAUCUAAACACAUGAUGUGAUAUAUAUUGCAUUUGGUCACCUUUAUACUCAUACAAUUUUCCUUUCUUUCUAUUUAUAUUUUAAAGGUGCAAAAUUCUCUUGAUUAUAUUAGUGAAAAUGCAUAAAAUCUUUUACAAAAUUAUUUCAAUUUAUUUACAAAAUAUUAGUACUUUUAGGAGAAGCAAUGCAUUGUAGGAAUGGUUUACUAAAUUUUUAGUAAACAUAACUACUGCAUUAAAAAGUUAAAAAAAACUUGAUUUUAUUAUGCUUUAAUUAGGAGUGCUUUUGAAGAGAAGAAUUAGGGGAUUAAUUUCUUUGAUUCAAGAACUUUUAGAGAUUGUAAUUAUCAAAAAAAAAAAGAAUUUUUAGAGAUUGUAACUCUCUUAUUAUUUGAUUUAAUAAAUUUGAUAUUUGUGCAAGUUUUCAUGUCUUUUAUUUUCGGCAACGAAAUUUGUACUUAUAGUUAGAUACAAAUAUGAUAAAAUAUCCCUCAUAUGUAUGUAAUGGAUAUUUGGGGCUUUUAGUAAAAAAAAAUUUUGUUGUUAAAAUAACAUUGUAUCAUAGUGCGCUAAUUAUUUUUGAACCAUUUUAUACGUGAACUAAAUUUAAUUUAAAUUAUACAAUAGAUUAUAUGUGCAAGUGAUUUUCAUUUAAUUGUUGGAUCUUAUUUUUAUGAACAAUCUUCCAAGGAAAAAAGUUCAGAUCAUACUGAUUUUCUUAUAUUAAUUGUUAUACUAAUUUUGUCAUUUUUAUUAUUAUACUAUUUCUCAUUUUGUUUGGGCUUUAACUCUUAUUAAUUCUUGUGUCCCAGAUGUAAAUUUAUUAAAACUUUAUCAUCUUAUUAUAUUCAUAGGUGUUAAAUUAUAAAAAUUGUGAUAUAUAAACAAGUGAUAUUCUAUAUAUAAUUAGGAAGAUUUGUUGUUAUUAUUAUUCAAACUUGCAAACUUUUCAAAAAUUGAAAAUGAUUAAAAACUUAUAAUAUGACAAAAUUCUAUUACAUAUUUUACGAGGUUAUCUGAAAAGUGAAACUACUUUUCAUAGCAUUUUAAAAUAUAUAAAUACAAAAAAAAUUUAAAUUAUACCUAUAAUCAUGUAUUAUAUAGGUAUAUUACGAGUACUUACUAAUUAAGGUACUAAGUUUUAAUCAUUAAUAAAACAUCUUAUCAUUAUUUCAAAUAAACUUCCUAAUACUAGUUUGAGAUAAUUUUUUAAUGUAAAAUUGUACAUGUAUUCCCAAAAUCAGUAAGUUUUGAUCAUUGCUCAAAUUUACCAUGUUAUUAGUAAGAAUUACUAUUUAUGUAUAAAAACUUAUUGUUACUUGAACUAAACUUGCUCUCUAAAAAGUAAGUUUGGGAUAUAAAAUAGUAAUUUAUUUAUUUAAAAAAUAAGUUUAAUCUUUAUUCCAAUUUACCUUUUAAGGUAUAAAAAUUACUAAUCUAUUAAGGUUAAUUUAAUAUUUUAGAUGGGAAACUUACUUCCAUAUUUUUAGGUGCUAUCAUAUUUAGGUGAAUGGAUCCAAUAAAUAAUGAAAUAAUCGUUAAAAGUGCAACAAUCUGUUAUAUUAGGUAAAAACGAUUUCGUUAUCAUAACUAUCGUUAACAAAGCAUUGUCCCGAGAAAUUAUUAUGAAGACUUCAUUCUCAAGUUAAAGACCAUGGGAUGGGAUGGGAUUUCGUUUUGUUGAUGUCUCUUUCAUUAGAUGCAAAUACUACGUGUCAUGCAUGUGAAACGGUAAAACUUUAAAAAAGAAAGGAAACCGCGUCACAAGUCAACCUUCCCUCCCCAGUUUCUUCGCCAGCAAAGGCCGCACAGGCACAUGAUUUACGACACAUAUUACUUUCUUCCAUCGGAUUUUACAUUAACGCGUGCCAACUCCGGAAUCUUUGGAGUUCGUGGAACGCACUUCCAAAUCUAGGCCUGUCAACGGUCCGAUUCUAGACCCGGAUUCGGCACGGAUUCAUGAAAUUAUUGCGGAUAUGGAUAGGGAUUUAAUUCCGUUAUUCGGAUCCGGAUCCGUUUUGUUAAACAAAAAAGGAUUGAAUACGGAAUAUAGUAUUCCGACCCGUAUUAGAUCCAAAUUCGGAUAUAAAUGGAUUAAUAAUUUAAAAUAUGUAUAUUUAUCAAUAUAAUUUGAUUAAGGCGAUGUAUUUGAGUGAAGUCAAUUUGAUUUAUUUUCUUAUUUGAUUUUUUUGUAUUAGUUAGAAAUUAGUGUACAAAUAUAUUUUUUUCUUAUUUUUAUUAAAAAUUAUAAAUUUUCAUAAUUUUUUUCGAGUAGAUCCGGAUCCGAAUCCGAGACCCGUUGGAUCCGGAUUCGAAACAUAGAAUAGAAGAUCCAUCGGAUAAAUGGAUCGAAUCCGGAUCCGAUUUGAUAUGCUGGAUCCAGAUUUGGAAUAAUGAAUUUUGACCUGGAUCCAGCCCGUUGAUAGGCCUACCCAAAUCCCCCCUCCUCUCUCUCCCUCAGAGAGAGAGAGAGAGAGAGAGAGAGUAGCCAGGUCCAUGUCAAAGAAAAAGUGGGAAGGAAAGUAAGGUGGAAAAGAAAAAGCAUAAAGUGGACCCCCCAAAAUUCCAUCAAACCUUCUCCUCCACAGCCUACACGAUAAAAUAAUAAUAAUAAUAAAUAAAUAAGAAUGCACUUACAAUGGACACCCGUUUUCCACAAUUACAAAAGUAUGCCAGCUGAUAAAUCUCAAUCUCAGUUGGAGCUGCAACAAUCAUGUGAUGCUAGAAAAGUUUUCUUUAUGAAGCAUCAGUAGCUCUUGGUGAAUUGCCACAAGAAGAGAAGACAUUGGACUAGAACUUCUAACGAUUCACCGUAUAUAUUAAUAAUAACGGUAACAACAAUAAUAAUAAAAGUAAUAUACUGCAAAGUCAAGUACUAAUAUAACCCAAAAAUAAAAAAAAAGAGAUACAUGGGUUUCCAUGAACUCCAUUCCAAAAUUAGACUGCCAAGUCAAAAAUAAAAAAAUAAAAAGGAAAAGAAUAUGAUCACAGGUCCAUUUUUUUGAAGUCCGGUGAUGAUCACCAGGUAUGUAGGAAAUGUUACCGACAAAAUUAUCCGAGCUGAACCCGGAGAACAAAAAGUAAAUUAAGCCAACUAAGGGAGACUUUUUUGAGUACAAUAUUUUACAUUGAAAAUUCGGAGGGAGCUAAACUACCUUCGAAAAUGUUUCAGGAAAUCCUAAGACAGGAAAUGCAGGCAAGGGAGACUAAAACUACCAAAAUCUGCACUUGUAACAUAUUAAUGACCACUGAGUAAUUGAUUAAGUGUGCAGAUACUAAAAUCCGCAGGUCUGUUUUUGAGUGAAGUCUUGUGACUUUGUACUUGGAUGGUUUAGUUCAUGAUCAGCAGCAUGUGGUCCUGAAGAGACGAAGACUCAUCACCAAUUGGCAUUUUAUAGUCAAUUACAUUUAUGGAAUAUCUGCUGUUGCAGGAGGAGCCACAUACUUUAAUUAGCUGCCGAUUUGGCUACGAAGCAAGAACUUGUUUUAACACGGUUCGUCAAAUUUGCGCUUACCUUGAAACCAAUGGUGCAAUUCCUUGAAUCUAUAAGGAUAAAAUUUUAUGAUAUGACCAUGACUGUGAUGCUAAUGAGGGCAUUGUUCUGGUAGUAAAAUAAGUUGAAGAAAAUGCAAAAGGGAAAAACAUAAACAACAGACUUCUGAAACUAAUUGAUUCCGGCAAGGGCAAAUAAAACAUUUUUGCAAAUGUUGAAUUGCCUGUCAUAUGAAUGGCCAAUGUGCUAAGUUCAGGGCAAGUAUACCUUGAUUAAAACUUCUAUGAUAUGACCAUGAAUCAUAAAUACAAACUCCGAACUUUAACAUGAAUCAUAAAUUCGUGGUGUCUUCCCAAAAGCUAUAUUUACCAUGCGAUGUUGCAGAAAAAUUCUUCCAAGAUGGUACAAUGUAAUUCUGUAUUGUGUCCACUGUCCACUGUCUCUAAAUGGUUUGAGAAAUCAAGCAUAAUCUGUUACUGUAGUCCCAUGGUCCCUAAAAAUACAAGUCCCAGCUCUGGGCCCAAAUCUCCUUAAUUAGCCCUUGGACUUUAGCUUUGAAGAAGCUGGUUAAUAAAAAUUGGCUGUCAACAACCUUUAUAAAUCAAUUCCCAUUGCCUAGCCAAAUCCUCCCCUAACCAGACGUAGUUAUAAAUUAAAAAAAAAAAGGUCUAAUCGACAGAAACCAUUGUGUGUGUUUACUUCCAAAUGCUAACUCGAUAAUAACCAGAAACUAGUGUUACACUGGUUACUUUGUGAUCUAUUAUUUAAUUCUAGAGGAAAUGAAGAAAGUGCACAAAAAAAACUCGUCAAAGUAGAAUGUGAGCUCAGGUCAGUCGAUGGUCGACUGUUGCAAUUCACACAAGACUAUUUUUUUUUUGCUAGCAACGAUACAUUGUAUAACUACUCUAUCCUAAUCUAGGGGGAGGGGGAGCCUAAGGAGGCUUGUGUUAGGGGUUAGUGGGUAUUACAGAUCUAACUAGACCAAGAGAGUGUUAUGACACUACCCUUAGAUUUUUUUUGUUGCAGGUGAGAUUUGAACCCUCACCUACCCUUCCCUGAUGGCCACUGAGCUAAGGUCAGUGGUUGCAAUUCACACAAGACUAGCUGCCCCUUUUUUUCUCCUUACCCCACCAUUACAAGCCAUUCUCAAAGCAAUUUCCUGACAGAUACAAAACACAACUUAUGCAAAACACAGUCAGGCAUAGGCUUGACUCCAAACCAUUUAUCUAUACAGAGAAAACUGCUCUUUCCAUCAAACCUAAAUUAUAGUGAUACAAUCGCUUUACUAUAUUAUUAUUAUCACUUUAUCCCUUUAAUUAUAGUGAUACAAUCGCUUUAUUUUCUAGACAUUUUACCCCAUCGUUAAUCUAACCAGUAUGUUAAAAAUUUUUUAAAUGUAUUUACCCUUUUUUGGUAUAUAAUUAAAAAUAAAAAAAAGUUGGAAUGGUUAUUUUUCUUUUUUUCACUCUAAGAGUUCCAAAAACAUAAAAAUAAAAGAGUUUUCUGAAAUUUCUUUUUUCACACUUAUUCAUACUAGGAAAAGAAAAAGAGAUAGGAGAGAAGAUUUUGCCAAGAAAGAAAAGAAAAUAAGGAAGAAUCUAAUAUUAUCGUAUCACUUUAACAUCAUUGGGAUUAUGAUUGGAAUUGGGUGGUAAACUAAAAAGUAAAGUAAUUUUAAAAUAAUAAAAACAUUGAAUUCUUACUUAUUUGUAUUUUAUAAAAAAAGAAUUGAGUUCUCUCCCUUUCUCUACCCCCUAUCUUCCUAAUUUUUUCAACAUUAAAGAGAUUGCCAAGAAGAAAGAAACUAAUGUUUUGACUCUUUUUUUUCUUGAUACUAAAAAGGAGAAGAGGCACUCUAAAUUUUUUAUUAUUUUUAUUAUACAAAGAGGAGACUACUUUCUUCUAAAAUUUUUUAACUUUCUAAAUUGGUUUAAUAGUGGGAUAAAUUACUUGAAAAAUAAUUUUUUGGGGGUAGAUUGAUAAUGAGGCUAUAGUUUUAUGGGGAUAAAGUGAUAAUAAUUUUAAGAGUUAAACAUGUUUUUACACUUGAAUUAAUGGACUCCAUUAAUUUUGACCAUUAGUUUUAGGGGUAAAAUGACUAAAACAUAAUUCAUAAUAUCACCAAACGUUAAGAGGUAAAGUGAUAAUAACCCUCAACUACUAGAUUUAUUAAGUAGUUAUUCAUUUUUGCUAAAUUUAAAAUUAUUUUUCCCUUGAUUUUAGUCAAAUAUUGUUUUAACUGUCGGAUUCUACUUAUAUUUGAUUAAUGGUGCUAAUUAUAAGAAAAGGAGCAAAACGUGACAAAAGGGGGCAAUUUUCCAAUUAUUUUGAUGGUGGCACGUUCGAAGCCGGUUUCCAAGUCCGAAUCAAAUUCAAGGCAGUAUUGGAAGAAGAUUUUGAAGAUUUUAAUUUUCAUUAUUAGUUCUAAUAUUGGAUUAGGAAACUUGGAAUAUUUUCUUUUAUGGUUUUUUUUUAUUUAGGAGACUAGUUUUAUUUGGUAGCAGACUUCAAUUAGGAAACAAAAAGAAUAAGGGAAAACCGAUUCCCGCGUGAUUAAGAGUUGGGCAGCAAUACUCUCGCGCGGGUAACUCUUUGAAGUACUAGGGAGCCGUCAUUGGUUUCUCCUCCCUUGGGGUCGGCUAGCCUUUUCAUUAAGUUUUAAGGAGAAAAGCCAAUUGCACUAAGAUUCGAUGGAGUCCUGCGGAUCUCCCUUGAGGAUGCACAACUAAGUUUCUUUUUCUAGUCGAAAAUCAAUUUAAGAACUCGGUUCCAAACAUCUGUAAGAUCGAAUUAUUUUACUUAUUUCUUUUAUUCAUUAGUAUUUUUACGUUUUCUGAUUUAACUUCUUAUGCUUGUUAUGUUAUUUAAAUGUCAAGGGUCUGAUAUUCGAAUUAACCUAAUAAUCUACUGCCAAAUUAAUUGAUUGAAUCCGUAAUUGUUCAAUUGAUUAAUACCAGUUGCCACUAGCGUGAUUGGUUUCAUAUUAGGGAAACAUAUGAUCUAACUUAAACAAACCCUCGUAGCGUGUUUGUUGGUUAGGGUUGGACUUUUCUAAUUCUUAAUGCAAUCGAAGAAUUAAAUCCUACGGUCAUACCUAGGGUUAUUUCUUGGUUAGAGAUAUAAUUAACAGUCAUACUUUGACUAUUGAAAAAGUAAGGAAAGAUUGGUUGUUUAUCGCGUGUAUGACAACUAUAACCAAUCUAGUAAUGAGUAAUUGAAUUAUUUUUGCAUCGAUGAUUAGUUGAAUAGACUGUGUCUGAAAAAUUGCACCUUUGGCUAGAGUCGUAUUGGUUAUUGAUUAAUUUCUGUUUAUUUCUAUUAGUUGUUUCAUUAGUUGGUUAAUUAGUUAUUUUAUAUUUUCCAAAACCCCCCCAUGAUCUGAACUCUAGAAGAAAUGAAUUAUCCCCAGUCCUUGUAGAUUCGACCCUACUUGUCACUGUCUACUAGUUAGUAAUUUUGUUAGUUAGUCAAUUUUGGUAUAUCGGAUUAAGCAAACUCUUUGGAGGCAGGGUGAAUCAAGUAACCCAUUGCACAUCUAGAAUCCCUGCUCCAGUACUUGGAAUCGAUUAUUGACUGCUUUUAGUGGUAGUUAGGUUCUUAAUAUUGCAUAGGUUCGACAUCUAUCAAUUUUUGGCUCUAUUGCCGGUGACUGGUGUUUGAUUAAUUUGUUUCUUUUUUGAGUUCAUUUUGUUUUCAAUUUUUUUCUUUUUUUUUUUAUAUAUAGUUUAUGACUGCUAACAUUCCAUAUUUUGUUGAUAGAUUGGAUUUUAUUUUUAGAAGGAAUUAUGAGACUCAUGCUUUUUCUAAUGAUCAAUUAGCUGUUGCAAAUUAUAGAAGUUAUUUUACGUCAGAUCAUUCAACCGACAUAUACCCUGUAUUUCAAGAUGGCUUAAGUGCUCCAAUCGAUACUUUUGGAGAUUUUUCACCUCAAUAUCAAACGUGGUAUGACCCUUAUUCAAACGGAUAUGAUCAAGGAUGGUAGGAUGAUUCCAAUUUUAAUUAUGCGACCGGGCCAAUGGAUUUUCAACAACAAGAGUCUCAAGAACCGUGAUCUAUGUCAGGUAUGUCUCUUAAAGAAAUGAUUGAAUCACUAGCUACUAACACAUAUCGAUUUCAUCAGGAGACACAAGUGAGUAUCCGUAAUCUGGCGGAUCAAGUGCAUCUAUUGACAUCUAGAAUAAUGCAACUAGCUUCUCGAAUGUGUGAAGAAUUGCCCUCACAGACCAACAUCGACCUUAAAGAAGAUGAGAGUACAAUUAUCCUGACAAGUGACAUGGAACUGUAAGAGUCUCAAGAAAAAGAAUCUAAAAAUGCAGUUGAAAAGGGAAUUGAAGUGCAAGAAAUGAGACCCCAAUAUCAAAUUGUUCAAGUAAAUGAAACCAGUGAACAAUUUCCAAAUGCGGUGACAUCUCCUCCAUUCCUUAAUCAAUAUCGUCCUGACUCUUAUUCUUUAAUUCCUGUUAGUGAGAUUGAUUUUAUUAUAUUAGACCAUUUUGAGUUUUAUGACAGGAAUAAGUUAAGAGUUGCGAUGUCAAAAUAUCUCGAAUCAGUAAGUGUUUGUGAUGGAGUAGUGAGUAAAAAAUUAAGGUCAUUACUUGUUUGUUUGACGCCAUCUACUAAUCCAUGGAAGACCGUACCUCGUGUACUCAAGGAUUACUCUAUUUACGAGGGAUACCAGAACUACAUAAAAGGUGAAGCACUGAAACGAACUACACGAUUUUAUCCCCCGUGAAUAAACAUGGCAAUGUCUAGCCAAAAACAUUAAAAAAAGGCGCAGCUUGGGAAGCAACCCAAGGCUCUUUGUUUUAGUUUUCUUAUGUUUUUGGAGUUUUUGUUAAGUAUUAGUUGCAUUCAGUGAUUUAUUACUUUUGUGGCAGGAAGCUGGUAGUUGGGCCUGCCCGCGUCUAGUAGGCAUGCCUAAGGAAUGCAAUUAUUUUUCUGCGGUCAUAAGACUCUCCACUAGUUAGGCGUGCCCACGCCAUAUGGUCAUGCUUAAGGAAUUCAAUUUCCGAAGAUUGGUCAGAAGACUCUAUAGCAGUUAGGCGUUCCCACGCCAGGUGGUCAUGUUUAAGGAUCUUAAUUUCGGGCGGUUGGUCGGAAGACUCGAAACUAGUUAGGCGUGUCCACGCCUAACACAAGGAUUCCUUCAUUAAAUAAAAAAAAACCCCAACAGUGCCCUAUUCUUUAGCAUCUCCGAUUUUGGUUUGGGGUCAGUAGAGGUUCACCAUAUUGGUUUCACACCACCAGUCCUACCUAUGCCAUAGCUGUUCGAAACCCUGACAGGUUGUCAGACUGUGCAAUAAUAAAAAUCUGCUCAAACGAAAUUAAUUUUUGUAAAUAGUGGUAAGCAGGGUUAAAUCCAUAGGGAUUGGGUGUAACUGUUUCUUUUCAAAUUCACAGUAACCAGGGGGUGUUUUUGUGCAGAAGAUGACAAACAGAGAAAUUCAAAUAAAAUCUAAGAAGCUACUAAAAAUUAAAUAACAAUUUACUAAAAUCAAAUGAAUGAUAACUAAGGAUCUAGCCAAGAAAUAACUUCAGCAAUGGUUCACCUAAUUGAUCAUCGAAGCAAAGGCAAUUCCAAUUAUUUAUCAAUAAAUAGGUUAUAACUACCAAACAAGCGAUGACAAUCAACCCCUCCUUACUGUGUCGGUGAUUAAGGUACGCCCGUUAACCACUACUCUAAUUGAGAAAUAAUCCUAGGUACGCCCGUAAGAUUUUAUUCCCCAAUUGCUUUACGUAUUAGAGGAGCCCUAUUCUAACCAAAUAACACACUACCAGGGUUAUUUUAGAUUAGCCCGCGCAUCCCUCCUGACACAAACCUAAUCAUGCCAGUUGUCACUAAUUCAAGGCAAUUAAACAAUUACGGAUUUAAUGUCUUAAUUGACAGUAGAUUAUCAAGUUAACUAAUUAUCUGGAUCCAAAAUAAUUAAUUAAUUAAAUAAUUAUAAAUACUACAAUCGAGGAAUAUGCGAAUACCAAUAAAUAAAAGAAAAAGAUGAAAUUAAAUCGAUUUCACAAUUUUAGGCGAAUCAAAGCCUCCAUUGUUCCUUGACUAGAGCGAGGAAAUUAGUUCAUACUCGAUGCGAAAAACCCACAGAAAUUGUAAAGAAAGCCGCGGCCAUUGCCCUUUGAAGUUGGGGGAAUUCAAUUCGUUCUAUUCAAUCGGAAAAGCAAGCUACAGGAGGCAAUUGAUUGUUUUUGUUUUUGUCCGACAUACGGAGGAAAAGAAACGACUAAGAACUAAAAGGAAUAAAAGUCAAAAGCUUUUCAAAUUUGCUCAUCACAUCCACGGGAGAAGAAAAACACAAACCAAGAGAAAGAUACCAAGGAAAAGUCAAAAGCCAGGCUAAGCUACUGGACGAAAAGUUUUCUUCUCAAUUUCUAUCUAAGUCUUCUUCCUACGCUGGCACUGUGCGGCGCCCCCCUUGCGGAGAGGACCCCCAGCCCUUCGUUCCUUUCCUCUUUUUAUGUUGUCUUUUGCAAAUUAUCAAAAAAAGGUCGUGCCUUGAUAUUCCAAAAAUACCCCUGAAUGCCUGCCCUUUGAACUCUUUCAUGAUAAUCAUCAAAUUGGCUCUUGUUAUGGUAUUUUCGAUCUACUCCUUAAAAUAAAUGUAAAUUACGAAAAGUGAGUAGAAUCUAAUAAUUAAUCCACAUCAAAUCAGGUAAUAGAGGAAAUUAAUAAUAAAAUAAAUGAUAAAAUUGCAACCUAUCAAACCCCUUCCCAAAUCAAGCUCCAAUCUUGAAUUUGGUACUGAAGUCGUUGUCCUCGGCUUUCGUAGGCUUUUUGUUGUUACUGUUGUGUAAGAAUAUUAUAAUGAUAUUUGCUUUGUUAGAACUCAACGGAAGAUAAAAUAAAAUUUUUGCGAUUCCACGGAGUAGUUCAGUGGUAAGCAAACUCUUAGAACUCGUCUGGUUUUGGGUUCAAAUUUUAUCUUAAAUUUGAACGCUUGUGACUUACCUAGGAUGUCUCGUGGAGGGCCGCAGCAUAUCUCUCAGUUUGGUGUGUCGGCUCGGUCCAAAGUGAUUCGAAUAGGGGCAUAUUCUGGGUUACAAAAAAAUAUUUUUUUUUAUUGAGUUGAAGAACCAAAAAAUAAAUCUAUUGCAAACCGAUAUUGUCAUUAUUUCGACAAUUUUUUAUAAUCUUUCUUAAAAGGUUUCAUUCGUAAUUUUUUUAUUGGAAAUAUUUAAAAUUGUUCACACCAGUCUCAGACUCGCGUUAUUUACAGAUAUUCAAAAUUACUAUUACUUGCAAGUACUUAGUUUUAGUUAUCAUUGCUUGGCUUACAAACAUUAAUGUCCCAUGAAAAUUGGACCUAUAGCCGGCAAGAGUUGUAUUCUUGACUAUAUACACGAAUUAGUCACAAGUAAUGGACUGCAGACCCAAAAUUUUUUUUGUCAAAGUCACUUGCUGAAAAUAAAAUUAAAAAAAGAAUUGUAGAAAUAUAAUUACCUCAUGGAAAUAUCAAAGGUCCCUCGCACAUAAAAAAAGUCCAACUAAAUGCUAAAUCGGGUCAGUUGGGAGUUGGGGCCACUUAUUGUGGGAACGUUUUUUCACUCUUUUGACUAUUUCUUCCUUCGCUUCUUGAACCCUUCCUCGUCCACAGGGGACACGACAGUGGUGAUUGUCCCCCCUAACUUUUAAGAAAUCAUAUUUGUUACCUACAACAUUUUAUAGAAUUUUGCUUUAAUUUCUAAUUUUGCCCCCUUCAAAACUUUUUAUAACUCUAGUGUCCCAACUCCACCUGUUCCCUUUCUUUAAACUUAUCUUCGAUUGAUUGUUAUGGUACAUGGUAUUAUUAAUUUGUCAAUAAAGAAUUAUUACUCUUUAAUCAAGUGUCUCAUCGUACUAUAAGAUAUAUCAUUUUUUUACUUUCACAUGUAGCACUAUUUUAUAGGUGUAAUCUCUGAACUUUUUUUUCUUCUUGCCUACAAAAGUACACCAUUUAUUUGUUCUAUCAAUUUAUGUUUACAACAGCCAUUUGUAGUAUUAAAAAUUAAAAAUUUUACUCCUUAAUUAACAUUUUAAGAAUAAAAACCUACACAUUUUAUACUCUAAAACUACUUAAACUUGAUGUAUUUAUAACUUAAUAUGCCCUCCCCUUCCCCCGCCCCCCUUUUCUGCGAAACCCUACUCUGCCACUACUCAUCAUCAACAUUUUCUUUGGCUUCACAAAGAACUAUCAUUUCCUUGAAACCAAAGGUUGUAAUAUCAUUUUCUUUGGUCCCACAAUAAGGAUGGGUAGUUAAAAUCACUUUUAGUGUGGACGAAUUCUGGGGAUACAGCUCUGGAGAUUGAGAAGACAAUGACUAUAACUGUUAUUUUAAAGGGAAUUCUCACACAAUAUAAAUUAUCCACAAAAAGGAUGUCCGUUGAAAGCUUUCGGACGAAUUGCUCAUAUUCCGAAAAUAUUAGAAUUAAUUUUAUUAAUAUUGGAAGCUACUAGCCAUGAUAUGUCACAAUUUUAGUUGUUAGAUUAGCAUGACAACAAUCCUUUCUUCAUCAGCCACUGCAGUUAGCCAAGUCAAUUACCACUACUUGAAACAUUAAUUGGUGUGUGUGUGUGUGUGUGUGUGUGUGUGAAGGAAAAACAAAAGGAGGGAGUGAGAGUUAGGAAUAGUCCUUCAGUUCCAAUUGUGGUUAUGUAAGCGCUAUUGGAGGCAAAAAUAGACAUUCGCAGUGAGGCCUUCAGAGCAUUAUCUUAGCUUUUAUUCUGAUGUUAAGAGUUUGUAAAGAGGAUCAGCCAUUGAUUAGUUUAACUUUCGUCCGUUUUUGCGCAUGCUUCCCAGAAUCGUAGUUUAACCUUUACAGUAUUAGCCAUUACGCAUGAGUCCCUUGUUUGUUUGUAGAAACUCUACUACUGCAUCGACAAAUGCCUUCAGUUACCUCUAAAGAUUAGAAAAGCAAAUAAAAGUACACCACCAAUGGCGCUUCUUGCUGCAAUGAUUGCUUCAAAUAGUCAGAUCGAUCAACCCGCCGUUAUGCCAGAGACAAACCCUGACAGUGAUGAAAGGCACUUCAUAUUGAAAGGCACUUGAAUUCUAGCAAGAGGAUGGGGUGUGAAUAUGAUCACAGGUUCUUUUUAUUGAAGUCCAGUGAAGAUCAGCAGGUAUGUAGUAAUUGUUAAUGACAAAAUCAUCCAUACUGAACCCGGACAACAAGAUGUAAAUUAAGAAAAGGGAGACUAAAACUACAAAAAUCUGCACUCGUAACACAUUAAUAACCGAGUAAUUGACUAAGUAUAUAUGUAGAUACCAAAAUCUGCACUUCUGUUUUUGAGUGAAGUCUCGUGACUUUGUAUUUGGAUGGUUUAGUUCAUGAUCAGAAGAAGAGUCGAAGACUCGUGGGGGUGGACUUGACUAGUUGGCCUUUCAUAGUCAAUUAUAUUUAGGAUAAAUUAUUUAUAGCCGCCCUUUGAUUUUACAUAAUGCUAGAUGAUCACUUAAGGUUUCAAAAUAGCUACAUAACCCCCUAUAGUUUUAUAUAAAUUGAAAAUGGACGAAAUGCACAAUCAGUUGUGACAUAACCCCCUUAUGAUUUAUAUAAAUAUCCAUUUUAUCUCUCUGUAAUUUUUACAUUUAUCCACGUGAUCCUCUUAUACUUUUAUACAAGAUAGUUAAGCUAUCGAUUGAUUUAAUCUUUAAGUAAAUGUACUAUUGGUAUUUCAAUUAAAGACGUCGCAUAGGUUAUUUUCAGUCAAUUUUCACUUUAUAUAAAACUAUAAUGAGGUGAAGUGGACAUUUUGAAACGUCAAGAGGAUUAUGUAAAUAAUAGAUGAAAUCACAAGGGGUUAAAUGUAAUUUACCCAUAUGCUUAUUGAAUCUCUGCCGUUGCAAGAGGAGCAUAAAUGGCGAAGGAUCAACUAAAGAGCUUUGGCCACGGAGCAGGAACUUGUUUCAACACGGUUCAUCAAAUUUGUGUUUACCUUGAAACCAAAUGGUGCAAUUUUUUGGAUCCAAUUUGGCCGUUUGACCAUUGGAGCAAUUUCUUGUUCAUUUAAAAUCAAAUUAUAUGGCAUGACAAUGGCUAUGAUGUUAACAAGGGCAUUGUUCUGGUGGUAAAAUAUGUUGAAGAAAUUAUAGUAAGAUGUUCAAGGUUCGAGUCUCCUUAAUUAGUCCUAUGACAGCUUUGAAGAACCUGGUUAAAGAAAAUUGAUUAUCUUCAACUUUUAUGAAUCAAUUCCAAUUACCAAGUCAAAUCCUCCCCUAAUCAGUCAUAGUUAUAAAUUCCACAAAAAAUGGGGGUCUAAUCAACAGAAACUGUUGUUAACGUUUACUUCCAACCAGAAACUACCGUUUCACUGUUUACUUUGUGAUGUAUUCUAUUAUUCUAGAGGAAAUGAAGAAAGUGCAGAACAAAAACUCGUCAAAGUAGAACAUGAGCUCAGGUCAGUCAAUGGUCGAUUGUUGCAAUUCUCACAGUACUGGCCUUCUCCAUUUUUCUCCAUUAUGUGUCAUUCUCAAAGCAAUUUCCUGACAGGUUCAAAACACAACUCAUGCUAAAACUCAGACAGGCGUAGACUUGACUCCAAACCAUUUAUCUAUACAGAGAAAACUGCUCUUCCAUCAAACCUGAAUACUCAUUAGAAGAUAAAGAAAAAAUGGAAAUCUGGAGAUUGGUCAUAGUGGCCAUUAGCUUUUCUUCUCUACUAAGCCCUGCAAUCUUUGCGGACAACGUCUCAAUUGCACCUGCAGCAGCACCACCUGACGAUGUCUGUGCAGAGAAAAGAUGUAGCCCCGACGGUCCGGCCGUAAGAUUCCCAUUUCUGCUAAGAGGAAAGCAGCCUGAAGAGUGUGGCUACAAUAAUCCAGGGUACAAUCUUUAUUGUGACAACGGAAACCAUACCUUACUUGAGUUUCCCCCUUCAUCAAUGAAAUUUGUGGUCAAGAGCAUCAACUAUAAGACUCAAAUGAUCCAAGUCCGGUUUGCUGAAGGUUGCCUACUCAAGUAUCUGAGAAAUCUUGAAUUAUCUUCUACCCCGUUUCAGUUUUCUGCACCAGACUACACGAUAAAUCAAUAUACUUUGUUCAAUUGCUCAUUGGCAAAUGGUGAUAGUUGGUCUACCGAUGAUGGAUACGACUUUCGUUGUCUAGACACCCCCGGAUUCAGGGUGCGUGCAACGGGUUCUGAUACUGAAAUUCGGCUUUUGUCUCUGGAAUUAUGCACAAAGAUGUAUGACACAACUUUAGUUUCGGAGGAACUAUUUGGAAUGCAAGACUCAAUGAACCUGGCCUGGUCCUUGUCUGCAUGCAAAAAAUGUGAGGUACAAGAAGCUGGAAUUUGCAGAUGGAAGAAUGGAACUAACAAUAAAUUUGACUGCUUUGGAGGAAAGAAGCUCGACUCUGGUACGUACCAUUUACUGUUCCUUCCUGGUCCAUUUCUUGAUGUUUCUCGUCGAAGUACUUCAGAUAGACUAAUGGACUAAAGAUUCAGACCACAAACAGAAUGAGAUAUAUUUAAUUGUCUAGAAGAAGUUUUUAGAUGAAUCUACACCAGAAAUUUGAACGUUUACAUCUUGAAAAGGAUAAAUUUAAAGAAAGGUAUCAUGUACCUAUACCCCUCCCUGUUUUCUGAACUCACCCAAUUUGGUGACUGUAUUGAUAAAAUGGACCAAGAGCACGAACAAUACUAGGAACAUAUGUAAGAGGCCACAAUAAACAGAAAGAAAGAAAGAAAAGAGAGAGAAUUCACAUUUCUAGUUAACCUUGACUGUUGUACAUAGAUGUCUUUUUGACAUUUGCUAGUAUGUUACAGGUGUAUCGAAGAAAUUACUCAUUUCAGGUGAGAACCUUGCUGUACAUUUUUCUCAGUUAAUUUUUCCAGUAUAGAGAAAAGAAAAAGUAAAAUUGACAUGUGCCUUUAACAACAGGUCCAAUCGUGGGGUGUUUCUUUCUCAUAUUAGCAACAAGCGCCCUUUAUGUCUAUAAAACAAAGAAAAUAGACAGAAAAUCAGAAGAGAAUCAGAACAUUUUUGGAGGACUACGCUGCCAUGAAGCCUACUCGAUAUUCCUAUGCUGAUAUCAAGAGGAUCACAAAUGACUUCAAGGAUAAAUUAGGUGAAGGAGGCUAUGGAAAUGUGUUCAAAGGCAAAAUUUCAAAUGAAAUAUUUGUUGCCGUGAAGCUGCUGCACAAUUCCACAGGAAAUGGGGAAGAGUUUAUCAAUGAAGUAGGAACAAUGGGCACAAUACACCAUGUAAAUGUUGUCCGCUUGGUAGGCUUCUGUGCUGAUGGAUUCAAAAGAGCUCUUGUUUAUGAAUUUUUGCCAAACGGUUCUCUGGACAAGUUCAUAUUUCCGGAAGGUCAAGAGCAUCAUAACCUUGGAAUGGAGAAGUUACAAAACAUAGCAUUUGGCAUUGCGCGAGGUAUCGAGUACCUUCACCAAGGAUGUGAACAGAGGAUCCUCCAUUUCGAUAUCAAACCACAUAACAUCUUGCUUGACAACAACUUUAACCCGAAAAUAUCUGAUUUUGGGUUAGCCAAGCUUUGUGAAAAGGGAAGAAGUGCAGUUUCAAUGACUGCUGCAAGAGGAACCAUGGGCUACAUUGCCCCUGAAGUCUUCUCAAGGCACUUUGGCAAUGUGUCUUACAAAUCAGAUAUCUAUAGUUUGGGGACUUUUCCCUCCGCACAGGAAGGAAUUAGAGUAGGUUUUUGGAUAGGAAAUAAAGUAGAAAACAGAGAGAACUACUUAGCUUAGUUUUCUUUGACUUUUCCAUUUUCGUCAUCUAGUGGGGACUUUUCCCUUUUUAGCUUUGAGUAGUUGUUUUCUUUUCAGCCGUAUGUAGGAGAAGCAAACAAACAAUCAAGUAUCUCCUGUAGCUUACUUUCUCUAUUAAAGAUAACGAAGUGAAUUCGCUCAUUUGGGAACUGAUGGCCGCAACUCUUGCUUUCAUUUCUCGUGGGUUUUGUUCAUCAAUUAUGAACUAAAUUUCCUCACUCUAGUCAAGGGAUAACAGAUGCUUUGGGUCACCUAAAAAUGUGAAAUCGAUUUAAUUUUAUCUUUUUCUUUUAUUUAUUAGUAUUCGCAUAUUCUUGAUUUCAGUACUUAUGGUUAUUUAAUUAAUUGAUUGUCUUGGAUUCGGAUAAUUAGUUAAUUUGGUAAUCUAUUAUCAAUUAGGGCAUUAAAUCCGUAAUUGUUUAAUUGCCUUGAUAUAGUGACAACUGACAUGAUUGAAUUUGUGUCAGGAGAAUACGCGGGCUAAUCUGAAAUAACCCUGGUAGUGCAUUAUUUGGUUAGAAUAGGGCUCGUCUAAUACGUAAGGCAAUUGGAGAAUUAAAUCUUAUGGGCGUACCUAAGAUUAUUUCUCAAUUAGAACAGUGAUUAACGGGCGUACCUUAAUCACCGACACAGUAAGGAGGGGUUAACUGCCAUCGCUUGUUUGGUAGUUCUAACUUAUUUAUUGAUAAAUAAUUGGAAUUGCCUUUGUUUCGAUGAUCAAUUAGGUACACCAUUUCUGAAGUUAUUUCUUAACUAGAUCCUUAAUUAUCACCCAUUUGAUUUUAGUAAUUUGUUAGUUAAUCUUUAGUAACUUCUUAGAUUUAGUUGAAUUUCUUUGAUUGUCACCUUCUGCACAAAAACACCCCAUUGUCAACCCCUCUACUGAAAUUACUUUUAGUUUGAGCAGGUUUUUAUUAUUGCACAGGCUGACAACCUGUCAAUUUUUGGCGUCGUUGCCGGGGAUUGGUGCCAGAUUAAUUUGUUUCUUUUUUAGUUCAUCUUGUUUUUAUUUUUUUAUUUAUUUUUCUCUUUUUUUUUUAUAUAGUUUAUGGCUGCUAACAUUCCGUAUUUUGAUGAUAGACUGGACUUUAUUCCUGAAUGGGGUUAUGAGACUUGUGUUUUUUCUCAUGAUCAAUGGACUGUUGCAAAUUGUGGAAAUUAUUUUGUCUCAAGUUAUUCAACUGACACAUGCUCCGCAUUUCAAGAUAAUCUAAGUGCCCCAAUCGAUACCUUUGGAGAUUCCUCACCUCAAUAUAAAACGUGGUAUGACCCUUAUUCAAACGGGUAUGAUCAAGGAUGGUGGGACAAUUCCAAUUUUAAUUAUGCGACCGGGCCAAUGAAUUUUCAACAGCAAAAGUCUCAACAACCAUCAUCCGUGUUAGGUAUGUCUUUUGAACACAUGAUGGAAUUGCUAGCUGUUAAUGCAUAUCGAAUUCAGCAGGAGAUACAAGCGAUGGCGAAUCAAGUUCAACUAUUGACAUCCGGGAUGGCGGAUCAAAUACAUCUUUUGUCAUCCAAGAUAACGCGAUUAGCUUUUCACCUUGAAGAAUUGCCCUCACAAACCAAUAUCAACCUUGAAGAGGAUGAGAGUGCAGUUAUCCCGCCAAAUGACAUGGAACUGCAGGAGUUUCAAGAAAAUGGAUUUAAAGAUGUAAUUGAAAAGGAAGCUGAAGUGCAAGAAAUGAGACUCCAGGAUCAACUCAUUCAAGUGAAUGAAUCCAGUGAACAAUCUCCGAAUGCGGUGACAUCUCCUCCACUCCUUCAUCAAUAUUUUCUUGACUCUUAUUUUUCAAUUCCUGUUAAUGAAAUUGAUUUUAUUAUACCAGAAAAUUUUGAAUUUCAUGACAGGAAUAAAUUAAGAGUAGCGAUGGCAAGAUAUCUUGAACCAAUAAAUGCAAGUGAGGGAGGAGUGAAUGGAGAAUGCAAAUUAUCAUCGACUUGUUUGGCGCCAUUUACUAGUCCAUGGAAGUCCGUAGCUCGUGUGCUCAAGAAUUAUUCUAUUUAUGAGGGUUAUCAGGACUAUAUAGAGGAUGAAGCAUUAAGACGAGCCACAAGAUUUUAUCCUCCAUGAACAAAACAUGAUAAUAUCUAGCCAAAAUAUUAAAGAAAGGCGCUCAUUGGGAGGCAACCCAAUUUCUUUUAGUUGUUUGUUCAAUUUUGUUUGAUAGUUUGAACAUGUUUUUCCUUGAAUUUGAAUGAUUUCGGGUUUCAAUUUUCGUUUUGAAGAUUUGUAGGUGUCCUUCUGUCAUGACGCGCCCGCGUCAUGACGUACGGAGAGCUCAUGGUCAGAAUCGUCAGAAGGGGUUCUUGCUCUCAUGAUGCGCCCGCGUCAUGUCAUAUGGAGAGUUCUAGAUUCCGUGCCUUCAUGACAUGCCCGCGUCACGUUCGCGGAAAAGCUAAGUAUUCAAAAACCUCAAGAACGAUUAUUGAUUUUCUGUUAAUCUUUACUUUUGAAUUCCAAAAAUAAAUUUUGUCAAUAAUAAUAUAAAAACGAUGAUAUAUGUAAAAAAAAAUUUCAAAAAAAAAUUUUCAAGUAAUUAACAAGAAGAAAAAAAAAAAGGGAGUCUUUCCAUGAAAACAAAAAAAAAUUUCUAAAAUGAAAAAAAAAAACGAAAAAGCAAAAAAAAAAAAAAGAAAAAAAAACACAAAUAUUAUUUUCUUUUUCUUUUCCUUUCUUUCCUUUUCUUUUUCUUUCUUUCCUUUCUUUCUUCUUCUUUCUUUCUCUUUUCUUUCUUUCUUCUCCCCUGUUUCUUCUUCUCUUUCGACCGAGCACACCUCAUGCCCGCCGCCAUCUCCUUCACCCGCCACCACCGCCGCUGUUCAUGUGCCGCGCGUCGUCCACAGCCGACUUCGCCAGCCACCUCCGCCCGCGAGCUGCCGCCGUUCCACCGGCCGCAUUGCACGCCCAAGCAGACGACCUAUUUGGCGCCGCCGCUACCACUACAGGGCAGCCCGCUACAGCGCCGCACAGCCACGCAGCUGCGGCCCUCCAACUCCUCCUCUCUCGCCACCAGCAACGGCUGCCUACUCCUCUCGCAGCCGCAGAGGACCAGCGACGACCAGCCCGCGCCCUUCUCUGCCCGCCGCCCGCUCCUGCCACAAGCGACGCGUGCUGCCAAGCCUCCCCACACCCGCAUAGUCGACGCGCGGCUGCCCACCCCUCUCGCAGCUCACGCCGGACAUUUCCCCCUCUCUCUCCGCACGUCACCCCCCACCAGCGACUACCACUUCACCUCGCCAAUGCUUGCCUCCCGUCGCUGCCCACGGUUUCCAUUGCCCAAAUAUUGCCUGGAACUGUUGCUCAAAGACGAUGUGACGGUAUUUAUCUGUCUCAAUUCCCUAGCAAACUGUUGCAGUAGUAUUGUUCCAAUCGCGUUAACAGGUGCCGAACCUGUGCAAUAAUAAAUAUCUACUCAAAAAAAUUACAAAUUUUGUAUAUAGUGGUGAGUAGGGUCGAAUCCACAGGGAUUGGAAAUAAUUCGUUUCUUCUCGAGUUCAGAGUAUGGGGGGUUUUUGAUGGAAGGAAAAUAAAAAAUGAAAUAAAACAAAUAAAAUUCAAAACUAACUCACAAAGCACAAUUUACUAAAAAUAGCAAUUAAUAAAAGUUCUACCCAAAGGAUUAACUGUUCAGGUACGGUCCAAUUAAAUGAUCAUCGAUGCAAAGGUAUUUCAUCCAUUCAUCACUAGGUUGGUUAUAGUUAUCAAUAAGUUCUGACAACCAGUUCUUCCUUACUUUUUCGACAGUCAAGGUACGACCAUUGACUGUUUCUCUAACCAGAUAACAACCCUAGGUACGACCGUAGGAAUUUAAUUACCCAAUUGCAUUAAACCUAGAAGAACCCAACCCUAACCAAUAAACACGCUAAGAGGGUUUAUUUAAAUUAGAUCUUGCGUUUCCCUAUCAUAAAGCCAAUUAUGGUGGUUGCCACGGGGUGUUAACUAAAUGAAUAAUUACGGAUUCUAUUUAAUUAAUGUGGCAGUAGGCCAUUAAAUUAAAUCAAAUACCUGGCCGUUGAUAUUCAAUUAAUAAAAUACCCAUGAACAAUUAAUUCAGGAAACGCACGAAUAGCAAUAAAUUGAAAGAAAUAAUGAAAAUUCGAUUAGAUCUCACAGAUAUUAUGGACCGCGCCUUCGCGUCAACCUUUGGGUAGAGGAGAAAAUUAGCCGCUCCUCAUGGUGUCAAUCCCGCGUGAUUUAAUUGAAUUCAUUCAAUUAUUCGCCGAAGAAUUGGGGGAAGUGGAAUUAAUUGCAGUAACAACAGAGAAGGCCCUGCCUUCGUCUUUGCUUUGGAGCCGCAAGUGUACGAACAAAAGCUAACGUAAAUUGUGCAGAGUCAAAACAAAGGCCAAGGAGUCAAAGUGUCACAACCGAAAAGCUACAAAAGUCUGCAAUCGCCUGACCCCUCUCGAAAAGAAAAUCAAAGCUAAUCUAUAUUCUUCUCCGCGUCCCCUUUUUUUGUUGUCUUAUAUAGCGCCGCAGGGGAAAUCCACGCGGAGCAGAGCUCUUCUUUUCGUGGGAGUUUUUAUCCCGUGUAGCUGGUCCAUGUGGACCUAGUUUCCUCAUUCUCAUUCCCUCUACAUCUGGCCCUUUCUUUUCUUUUUUAAUUGAAGCCUCUAGGGGCCAAGUCUCGUCUGACCCAAUUGAUUGAAACAAAAGCUAGCCUUUUGGAGUUUUAAUCCCGUGCUCCUCGCGGUUCACGUGGACCGGGGUCCGGCUUUUCGGUAACAUCUACCUUCUCUACGUGGCCACGCUCUGAGACGAAGGGUCUUCUGAAAAUUUGCCUUGAGAGGUCAUUUUUAAUGCCGACCACCUACAAUUCACACAAACAUCAAAUAUGAGUAACAUUCCAAUUCUUAACACCAUGAAUAGCCAAAAUUAGGACAAAAUAACACUGUAAAAUGUGCCAAAUAACUGCUCUAUCAAAUCCCCCCACACCUAGACAAUGCUUGCCCUCAAGCAUUUCAAAACUCAGAAAUACAAUCAAGAAAACACAGGUCCUGCAGUAAUCUACACUAACACAAGCAUCUCACAUUCCUGACAAUGCCGCCAAAAUUAGAACACACUGGACAGGUGGUGAUCCGAAAAAUAUAAGCAGUAAUACUCGUGACUUUCAAGAAAAUGUAUGAAUACUAGAAACCCUCAAAUCAACAUCAGGGAAUGACAUUACCAUAGGCUUGCACAUUUAUCACAUCUCCACCACUGAAAAGUGAACUAAAUGCACAAAUCAAAGGGACUUUAAUAGGGUUGUAAUGGGGUUUAGGUAGAAGGCGGGACAAGAAGGUAGAAAUAGGAUAUAAUGUAUCAAGAGAAUGUCCAAUAUCCACUACAUAACCACGAUGCUUUACCGGGGCAAUUUCUCAAGCAGGGCGUUUCCAUUUGCUGUUUUCACUGUGCAAGUGUCGAAACUCGUUCCUCUCUUUUUUUUUUUUUGGAGAGGACGUCUAGCAAGGCGUGGGCACGCCCUGGAAGACAAAGUCUUCUGCUCACCAGUUUUUUGCCGAUUUCUCCCUUUUUUUCUCUUUUUUUCUUUGUUUUUUUUUUAUUUUCUUGACUUUUUUUUCGAUCUCAGAUGUACAGAAACAGCACCAUACAGCAUACAACAUCUUUUUGACAACACUUGCGCCUAUAGAUUUAUUUGCCUUGCACAAGUAAUGAAUUUCAGAUAUCCCUUAAUGACACAAGAUUGAACAAGAAAGUCUAAAAAGAUCAUGGGUUAUCAAACACGGCUAACAAGCAAAAGCGAAGGAUAAAAGCUCAAGUUGGUUCACUAUUAGGAAACGAGAUGAAGGCAUGGUUUGUAGAAAGUUAAAGAAAGUCAAAUCCUAAAUGCCCUUAUCAUUUCAAAUGCAUCCAGUUCAACAAAAUGUGGUCUCGAAAUGUAUAAAAUAGCAAGUUCUAGAAUGCCGAUACCAUGUGUGAUACUCACUCAAUCAAACAAAAAUAGAGCAAACAAGAAUAAUGUGCUCAUGCAUGGCUCAAAAGCUCCCAAAAGUUUCAAGAAUGGGUCAAGUCCAGCGUAUUCAACACUCAACAACACUGCCAAGGGAAAACAAAAUGCAUAGCUAGUAUAUUUACCCACAUACCCAUGCACCUUGAUUAUGUCAUUCAUCACAGCAACAUGCUCCAGCAUUAACAAGCAUAGAAAUAAACAAAAAGCCGGCUAACUACAAUGUCUUCAUUUUUUUUCAUUUUUUCCAUUUUUUUUUAGAGUAACAAAGCAAAAAGAAAUAAUGGAAGCCACUCCCCCACACUUAAAACCUACAUUGUCCUCAAUGUAGAAAAGACAAAUGAAGUAUUAGGAGAAAAGAAGAGAAACUUCCCUGACCACCGAGAGGGUGCAGUGAGACACUAAGGCGGAGGAGGGUGAGGUGGCUGGAAUCCAAUGUGAGCAAAGAAAGCUGUCUGAUGAGAGAGAUAGUGACGGUGGGAAAGGCAGCGACGUGCGAUGGAUGGCGCGAGGAGGAAAGAGAGAGUUUCUAGCGGCGGUGGACAAAGGGAAAACCUUGGACUAAGACAAAACAAAGAAAAUUGAAAAGUAGAAACUGAGACAAUGGAAAUUGAUAAGACCAUACAAGACAAGAAAAGAGAAAAGUUGAAAGUGGGAUUAGAGAGGAUCCUGGUCAAUCUUUGACUGUCGUUGGCGCAAAGGCUGGAAGGCGUGGGCACGCCUUGAAAGCUAUAGUCUUCUGACCGUCAAUUCCAAAACUUUACUCCUUAGGCGUGACCACUUAGUGUGGGCAUGUCUAACUGUCAGGUUCUUGUCACAAAACAACAAUCCACUAAAUGACACUAACAUUUAAUAAAAAUUUCAAAAAUAUAAGAAAACUAAAACAAAAGAAACCUUGGGUUGCCUCCCAAGCAGCGCCUUUCUUUAAUGUCUUUGGCUAGACAUCGUCAUGUUUAUUCACGGAGGAUAAAAUCGUGUGGCUCGUCUCAAUGCUUCAUCUUCUAUGUAUCUCUGAUAUCCCUCGUAAAUAGAGUAAUCCUUAAGCAUACGAACUACAAUCCUCCAUGGACUAGUAGAUGGCGCCAAACAAACAAGUAAUGACCUUAAGUCUUCACUCACUCCCCCAUCACGAGCAUUUACUGGUUUGAGAUAUUUUGCCAUCGCAACUCUUAACUUAUUCCUGUUAUGAAACUCAAAAUCGUCUGAUAUGAUAAAAUUAAUCUCACCAACAGGAAUUAAAGAAUUAGAGUUAGAAAAAUAUUGAUUAAGGGAUGGAGAAGAUGUCACCGCAUUUGGAGAUUGUUCACUGGAUUCAUCCAUUUGAACAAUUUGAUAUUGGGGUUCCUUUUCUUGUACUUCAAUUCCCUUUUCAACUGCAUCUUUAGAUUCUUCUUCAUGAGACUCUUGCAGCUCCAUGUCGUUUGUCAUGAUAAUUAUACCUUCAUCUUCUUCAUGGUCAAUAAUAGUCGCUGAGGGUACUUCUUCACUCAUUCGAAAUGUCAAUUGCGUUAUCCUAGAUGUCAAUUGAUCCAUUUGAUCUGUCAGGUUACGCAUGCUCGCUUGUGUCUCCUGAUGAAAAUUCAUUGUCACCUGUUGUAGUAGAUGUGUCUCCUGCUGAAGUUGAUGUGUCUCCUGUUGAAGUAGAUAUGUGUUACUAGCUAGUGAUUCAACUAUUUUUUCAAGAGACAUACCUGACAUGGGUGACGGUUCUUGAGACUCUAGCUGUUGAAAAUCUAUUGGCCUUUGUUCAAAAUUAAAAUUGGAAUCAUCCCACCAUCCUUGAUCAUACCCGUUUGAAUAAGGGUCAUACCACGUUUGAUAUUGAGGCAAAAAAUUUCCAAAAGUAUCUAUUGGAACACUUAGACCAUCUUGAAAUGCAGGGCAUAUGUCGGCUGAAUGAUCUGAGGCAAAAUAAGUUCCACAAUUUGCAACAACCCAUUGAUCAUUAGAAAAAGCAUGAGUCUCAUAACCCCCUCUAGAAAUAAAAUCUACUCUAUCACCAAAAUACGGAAUGUUAGUAGCCAUAAAAGAAAAAUAAAAAUAAAAAAAUAAAAACAAGAUAAACUCAAAAAGAAACAAAUUAAUCAGGCACCAGUCCCCGGCAAUGGCGCCAAAAAUUGACAGGUGCCGAACCUGUGCAAUAAUAAAUACCUACUCAAGAAAAUUACAAAUUUUGUAUAUAGCGGUGAGUAGGGUCGAAUCCACAGGGAUUGGGAAUAAUUCGUUUUUUCUCGAGUUCAGAGUAUGGGGGGUUUUUGAUGGAAGGAAAAUAAAAAAUGAAAUAAAACAAACAAAAUUCAAAACUAACUCACAAAGCACAAUUUACUAAAAAUAGCAAUUAAUAAAAGUUCUACCCAAAGGAUUAACUGUUCAGACACGGUCCAAUUAAAUGAUCAUCGAUGCAAAGGUAUUUCAUCCAUUCAUCACUAGGUUGGUUAUAGUUAUCAAUAAGUUCUGACAACCAGUUCUUCCUUACUUUUUCGACAGUCAAGGUACGACCAUUGACUGUUUCUCUAACCAGAUAACAACCCUAGGUACGACCGUAGGAAUUUAAUUACCCAAUUGCAUUAAAGCUAGAAGAACCCAACCCUAACCAAUAAACACGCUAAGAGGGUUUAUUUAAAUUAGAUCUUGCGUUUCCCUAUCAUAAAACCAAUUAUGGUGGUUGCCACGGGGUGUUAACUAAAUGAAUAAUUACGGAUUCUAUUUAAUUAAUGUGGCAGUAGGCCAUUAAAUUAAAUCAAAUACCUGGCCGUUGAUAUUCAAUUAAUAAAAUACCCAUGAACAAUUAAUUCAGGAAACGCACGAAUAGCAAUAAAUUGAAAGAAAUAAUGAAGAUUCGAUUAGAUCUCACAGAUAUUAUGGACCGCGCCUUCGCGUCAACCUUUGGGUAGAGGAGAAAAUUAGCCGCUCCUCAUCGUGUCAAUCCCGCGUGAUUUAAUUGAAUUCAUUCAAUUAUUCGCCGAAGAAUUGGGGGAAGGGGAAUUAAUUGCAGUAACAACAGAGAAGGCCCUGCCUUCGUCUUUGCUUUGGAGCCGCAAGUGUACGAACAAAAGCUAACGUAAAUUGUGCAGAGUCAAAACAAAAGCAAAGGAGUCAAAGUGUCACAACCGAAAAGCUACAAAAGUCUGCAAUCGCCUGACCCCUCUUGAAAAGAAAAUCAAAGCUAAUCUAUAUUCUUCUCCGCGUCCCCUUUUAUUGUUGUCUUAUAUAGCGCCGCAGGGGAAAUCCACGCGGAGCAGAGCUUUUCUCUUCAUGGGAGUUUUUAUCCCGUGUAGCUGGUCCAUAUGGACCUAGUUUCCUCAUUCUCAUUCCCUCUACGUCUGGCCCUUUCUUUUCUUUUUUAAUUGAAGCCUCUAGGGGCCAAGUCACGUCUGACCCAAUUGAUUGAAACAAAAGCUAGCCUUUUGGAGUUUUAAUCCCGUGCUCCUCGCGGUUCACGUGGACCGGGGUCCGACUUUUCGGUAACAUCUACCUUCCCUGGCGUGGCCACGCUCUGAAAUGAAGGGUCUUCUGAAAAUUUGCCUUGAGAGGUCAUUUUUAAUGCCGACCACCUACAAUUCACACAAACAUCAAAUAUGAGUGACAUUCCAAUUCUUAACACCAUGAAUAGCCAAAAUUAGGACAAAAUAACACUGCAAAAUGUGCCAAAUAACUGCUCUAUCACGCGUUUUGGGCCUCGUUGUGAUUUGUUUUGCCGCUGCUUUAUAUUGAAUUGCUGGAGGGCUAGUUGCACUGCUUUGGGGAUUGUUUUGCUGCCUUGGGUGUUGCCUGGAUUUAUGUUAACAAGUUGGAGAAUGCCUUGCCUGUUGGUUUCGUUUGUUGACAUUUUGGGUGGCACGGUGGCACUUGAAUCUACUCGUUGACGUUGGUAGAAUUUAAUUGAUUAGUCGGCGACAAAUUGGCUACUGACUUGGGUUGCUAUUUGGGUGACUGUUUGAUUGAAAGCUCAGUUUUUUUUGUAUUGCGUUGUUAAUGUCCAAUUUCUACACUGCUAUUGCUGAUUUUGAGUUCAAACAGUAACUGGCCAACUGGAGCCAUUUGUUAAGAUUUUGGAUGGACAGAGUUUUGCAUUUGCUGGUUGAAUUGAGUUAAGAUGUCUCAGCACUUGGGUGCAUACUUUCGCCACAUCGAUUUUCCUCCACUGUUCCCGCCUACCCCUUCGCCACUCGAGAGGGAAGUUUCAUUGUUCUCUUCAUUAUAAUUACUUUAUUGCCUCCAUUGAGGACAAUGUAGGAUUUAAGUGUGGGGGGAGCAGUUAUGGUAUUAGUUUUUCUAGUUUUUAGUUUUCAGAUAUUUUUCUUUUAUUUUUAGUUUGUUAUUUGUCUAAUUUUUGCUUACUUUUUGUCAUUUAUCUGUUUAGCUCUCCUAUGACUGCCAAGUUUGAUGUUGAAUUGUUGCCUCUAUUUCUACUAUUGCCAAAUUUUACUAAUAAAAGGGUAUCAAGUUAAUGUGGUUGAAUCCAAAAACAUCUCUUUGGUGAAUAUCGAUGAUUGUUUUACUCUUAUAAUUUUUGGUUAAUUUUUCUAGGCAUAGGGAAUGAUUGUUGGCAUUUUCAUGUGAAUUGGUUCGGUUAUUAACCUUAGUUCUCCAUAUUUGAAAAUGAAGCUAGCGGCUGCAAAUUUUCUUUUGAUUUUUGUGUAAUUUUGAAUUUUUGGUGCUAUUUGGCUGUGAAUAAGAAUUGAUUGUACUCCGCUAGUAUUUACUACUGAGUAACUGGAGAUCUUCACCAAAAGUAUCGAUUCUAGCGUCAAAAAGUAGUAAUUGCUAUGAGUGCGUGGUCACGUGGCCAUAGAAGCUGAGUAACCGGGCUCUUUCAUCUAACAAAUGUCAGAGUUCGCGUCAAAAGGCUCUAAUGGCCAGAGACUAAGUCUUGUGUUACUAUUGAAAAAAAAUCAGAAAAAUAGAAAAAUAUGAAAAAAAGUGAAGUUUGUGUUAGUGUAUAAUAAAAGUCAGCUUGCCGAUUUAUGGAUUUAAUGUUGAGAUUUUGGUUAAUAGUUGGACCAUUUGCUGAUAAAUGUUAUGCGUCAUUCCUUCUUCUUAGAUUAGUUAACAUGAAAUUAGAGGAUCUUGUGGUUUAGAGGCUAACCGAAGUGAUGUUUCUUGGACUUGACCAUUGAUGCUUGAUUAUUAUUUUUCUUGGUAUCUUGACAAUUUGUUGGAUAGAGCAAUAGCCACUAUCAAAUAUUGGUGUUUGUUUGUUGUUCUCAUGCUUGAGAACAAGCAUGGUUUAGGUGUGGGGGGAAUUGAUAGGUUGCAAUUUUAUCAUUUAUUUUAUAAUUAAUUUCUCAUAUUACCUAACCUGAUGUGAAUUAAUUAUUAGAUUCUACUCACUUUUUGUAAUUUACAUAUAUUUCAGGGAGUAGAACAAAAAUAUCACAAUCAAGGCCAAUUUGACAGUCAUCGGGAAAGAAUUCAAAUGAAAGGUCUUCAGGGGUAUUUUUGGAACAAGGAAACACAAGUCCUUUUUGAUAAUUCGCAGAAGAUAGCAUAAAAGAGGAAAAGGAACGAAGGGCUGGGGCUGCUUCUUCUUCCUCCAGAGGAGGAGGCCGCCGCACAGGAAGGAAUUAGAGUAGGUUUUUAGAUAGGAAAUAAAGUAGAAAACAGAGAGAACUACUUAGCUUAGUUUUCUUUGACUUUUCCAUUUUCGUCAUCUAGUGGGGACUUUUCCCUUUUUAGCUUUGAGUAGUAGUUUUCUUUUCAGCCUUAUGUAAGAGAAGCAAACAAACAAUCAAGUAUCUCCUGUAGCUUACUUUCUCUAUUAAAGAUAACGAAGUGAAUUCGCUCAUUUGGGAACUGAUGGCCGCAACUCUUGCUUUCAUUUCUCGUGGGUUUUGUUCAUCAAUUAUGAACUAAAUUUCCUCACUCUAGUCAAGGGAUAACGGAUGCUUUGGGUGGCCUAAAAUUGUGAGAUCGAUUUAAUUUUAUCUUUUUCUUUUAUUUAUUAGUAUUUGCAUAUUCUUGAUUUCAGUACUUAUGGUUAUUUAAUUAAUUGAUUGUCUUGGAUCCGGAUAAUUAGUUAAUUUGGUAAUCUAUUAUCAAUUAGGGCAUUAAAUCCGUAAUUGUUUAAUUGCCUUGAUAUAGUGACAACUGACAUGAUUGAAUUUGUGCCAGGAGAAUACGCGGGCUAAUCUGAAAUAACCCUGGUAGUGCAUUAUUUGGUUAGAAUAGGGCUCGUCUAAUACGUAAGGCAAUUGGAGAAUUAAAUUUUAUGGGCGUACCUAAGAUUAUUUCUCAAUUAGAGCAGUGAUUAACGGGCGUACCUUAAUCACCGACACAGUAAGGAGGGGUUGACUGCCAUCGCUUGUUUGGUAGUUAUAACCUAUUUAUUGAUAAAUAAUUGGAAUUGCCUUUGUUUCGAUGAUCAAUUAGGUGCACCAUUUCUGAAGUUAUUUCUUGGCUAGAUCCUUAAUUAUCACCCAUUUGAUUUUAGUAAUUUGUUAGUUAAUCUUUAGUAACUUCUUAGAUUUAGUUAAAUUUCUUUGAUUGUCACCUUCUGCACAAAAACCCCCCCUUGUCACUGUGAACUUGAAAAGAAAUAAUUACUCCUAGUCCCUGUGGAUUCGACCCUGCUCACCGCUAUCUACUGAAAUUACUUUUAGUUUGAGUAGGUUUUUAUUAUUGCACAGGCUGAUAACCUGUCAUUAAUGUAUAAUAUUUUUUUUUGAAAAAAAAAACUAAUGACGAAUGAUGUAUAUGAUAUAAGAAAGUAUGAAAUAUUCGUGAAAAAGUGCUAAUUAGCUCAAAUAUCAAGAUCAGCUUUUGGAGAAGUUUUUCUUGGGGAAAUUUUGGAAAGGGGAACAGGAAAAUUUUAAAUUCAUGAGAAGGGAAUAAGUUUUAAGAAAUUUGUAAAUGGGUUAUUGAUUACUAUUCUUAUAUUAAGCAAAAAAUUAGUGCUGCAGGAAAAUCAUGAAUGUGUACAUAUGUUAUUAUGACAUUGUUAUAUGUUCACAAUUUCAGUAUACACACGUACAUAAAUAUCAAUUUAAAUAUACAUUAUAUAUAUAUAUAAAAGAGAUGUACAUAUAUAUUCAUUAAGCGUACAUUUUUAUUCAUUAAGAUCCAAAUUACUGUUUAAUAAAAUGCACACAGUUAUAAGGGUGAAUUGGAAAUCUAAUAAUAAAUUUAUUUGCUUUUAUAAUUCGCGAAUACUAAACCCUAUCUCAAUUACAAAUUCAGGAAAAAUUACAAUCUUAUGACUUUUGCAUCUUUCAAUUCGCAUUUUUCACAUUUUUCUUUCUUUCCUUUUUUCCACUUAACUUUUAGACCCUCGAAUUUGGAGUGAUCUGUGGAGUAUUGAUAGGGUAUAAUUUGUUAGUAAAUUUAUUAUUGAUUUCCCCUUCUAUCCCUGACAAAUAUUGUGUUAAUUGCUGAUAUUUACUCAUAUUUGGUAUUUGGAAUCAAUUUCAGGAGUGAAGCAGAAAAUUACCAAAAAGGAGGGACUUGUAUGGAAAAAUGUAGACUUCUAAGGGCUUCAACCUUUGGGUCCUUGAAUUGGUGGGGACCACAAGUUAGUGCAAGGCACUUAGUCAUUUGGGCUUUUCAAAGAAAGCAACGUAGAGAGAUUUGGAACAACAAGUACUUUGGAGGCUUUGUCCACAUGUGCGGGGACCACGGAUAAGAAGCAUGAGUCAUUUGGACUCUAGGAAAAGAAACGUACAAGACUUUGAAUUUGGUGUGGGGACCACUAGAGAUAGCAUUAGACUUCCUUUUGGCUUUAAAAAGGGGGAAACGUAUAGAGAACUUUUAUCAAUCAAUAGUUUUAGCUUAGCUUUUAGCGUAGUUUUGUUUUGUUUUCUUUCUUGGCUCUUUUGAUGGCCUGGACCUCAGUGGAAUUACUUGAAGAUUUUCUCAUGAGGCGUGGCUAAGUUUGUCUAGUCAAGAACAACGAAGGAUUUGGUUCUACUAAAUUUGUGAGAUCGAAUUAGUUUUUAUUUAUUUUCAUUAUUCACUGGUAUUUGUCUAUCUUCUGCUUUAUGUUCAUAUGGUUGUUUUAUUAUUCGAUUAUCCAGGGCCCGGACUCUAGAUUAAUUCAAUAACCUGAAGCCAAUUAGGAUAGUUAAAUCCGUAAUUGUUUAAUUAUUCUAAACUGGUGGCAACUGGCAUGAUUGGAUUUAUGUCAGGGAGAUAGACAGGCUAACUUAAAGAGACCCUCGUAGCGUGUUGAUUGGUUAGAAUUAGGCUCUUCUAAUUAUUCAUGCAAUUAGGGAAUUGAACUUCUAUGGUCGUACCUAGGGUUAUUUCCUGAUUAGAGAAAUAGUCAACGGUCGUACCUUGGCUAUCGACGAAUUGAGGAAGAGUUGGUUGUUUAUCGCGUGUAUGACAACUAUAACUAAUUUAUCAGAUAGUAACUGGAAUAAUCCUUGCAUCUGUGAUCGAAUUAAGUGAACCAUCUCCGAAGUUGUCUCUUGGCUAGAGUUCGUCCAUCAUUAUUUUUAUUGUGAUAAUUAGUUAAUUGAGUUGUAGUUAUUUUAUUUUAUUUUAUUCCAAAUAAUUUAGUUACUCUCAUUUUCAAAAACCCCCCAUAUCUGGAACUUGAGAAGAAAUUAAAUUAUCUCCAGUCCCUGUGGAUUCGACCCUACUCACCGCUAUAUACAAACUCUGUAUUUUUCUCGAGUAGGUAUUUAUUAUUGUACAGGUUCGGCACCUGUCGAUUUGAUAGAGCCGUUAUUUGGCACGUUUUGCAUUGUCAUCUUGUUCUAAUUUUGGCUAUUCAUGGUGCUAAGAAAGGGAAUUUCACUCAUAUUUGAUAUUUGUGUGAAUUGUAGGUGGUUAGCAUUAAAAUGAUAUCGCGGGGUAAAUUUCCAGAAGACUUUCCAUUUCAGAGCGUGGCCACGCCUUAGAAGGAGGACGAAACCGAAAGCCGGACUGCGGUCCACGUGAACCCGAAGCGUGGGAUCAGAACUCUGGAGACAAAGCUUUGCUCCAGGCCUUUGUUCCAGACGUCUUUUUCUUUUCUACGUCUCUUGUGCGGCGGAUAUAAAAAGAGAAACAAGGAAGAUUCAAGGGACAUCUACUUUUUAGGCUUAGUUUUCUUUUCCUAGGUUUGUCAGCAGUCAGACGUUUUUGACUGGGGGCUUUUGGCUUUCUUCAGCCGCAACUUAGACUAGCUUAGGAGUUCACCUUUUCAAUCUUUUGCUGUAGACGCCUUUGACGUUCGCUUUUGAUUUUGCUACAAUUUUCCAUCGCUUUUAUCCCUUUUCUUGACUCUGCUCCAGGAGCGACCGAAUCUAAGUAAAUGAACCAAGGGAAUUUCCCAUUUGUUCCUUAGUUAAUUCGCAUCGCUCCGCUCCUUGGAAUUAAUUGUUUGGAUGUUUGCGUGGAUGAAAUCAAUUAAAUCGCGUGAGCUUGACACAAUGAGGAGCGGCUAAUUUUCUCCUCUACCCAAAGGUUGACGCAAGGGCGCGGUCCAUAAAAUCUGUGAGAUCUAAUCAAGCUUUCAUUAUUUCUUCUAAUUUAUUGCUAUUCGUGCGUUUCCUGAAUUAAUUGUUCAUGGAUAUUUUAUUAAUUGAAUAUCAACGGCCGGGUAUUUGAUUUAAUUUAAUAGCCUACUGCCACGUUAAUUAAAUAGAAUCCGUAAUUGUUCAUUUAGUUAACAUCUCGUGGCAACCACCAUAAUUGGUUUUAUGAUGGGGAAAUGCAAGAUCUAGCUUAAAUAAACCCUCUUAGCGUGUUUAUUGGUUAGGGUUGGGUUCUUCUAACUUUAAUGCAAUUGGGUAAUUAAAUUCCUACGGUCGUACCUAGGGUUGUUAUCUGGUUAGAGAAGUAGUCAAUGGUCGUACCUUGACUGUCGAAAAAGUAAGGAAGAGCUGGUUGUCAGAGCUUAUUGAUGGCUAUAACCAACCUAGUGAUAAAUGGAUGAAAUAUCUUUGCAUCGAUGAGCAUUUAUUUGGACCGUGCCUGAGCAGUUGAUCCUUUGGGUAGAACUUUUAUUAAUUGCUAUUUUCUAGUGAAUUGUGCUUUGUGAGUUAGUUUUGAAUUUUGUUUGUUUUAUUUUAUUUUAUUUUUGUUUGCCUCCCAUUGAAAAUCCCCCAAUUUUGUUCUACUGAUUUGGAAAGAAAUAAUUUCCUACCUGCUCCCUGUGGAAUCGACCCUACUUGCCAUUGUACGCAAAAUUAGUAUUUUUAUAGACAAAUCCGGUAUAUCGGAUCAAGCAAACUCUUCGGGAACAGGGUGAAUCAAGUAACCCAUUGCACACCUAGGGUCCCUGCUCCAGUACUUGGAUUUGUUUUAUAAUUAUUUAAUUGAGGUGGUAAUUAGGACUUUUUAGUAAUUAUUAUUGCACAGGUUCGGCACCUGUCAAUUUUUGGCGCCGUUGCCGGGGAGUUGGCGCUUGGAUUAUUUGUUUCUUUUUAAAUUCAGUUUUUAUUUUAUUUUAUUCUUCUUGGUAUUUUUGCUAGUUUAUGCCCCGUUCUUCUCGCACAGGUGAAUUGAUAUACGACGCUGAGGUUGAGAAGGCAGCGCGUAAGCGAAGGCAAGAGACCAAGAGACGAAAAGAAGGGCACUUAUUUGCUGCAAACGAGUCAGCGGAAGACGAAGUAAGCAUGGCCAACAACCAAACAUUGAGGGAGCUGGCUGCCCCGGAUCUGACUCACCAGCCCUUAUGCAUCACAUUCCCCGCUUUGGCGGAGAAUACCGCUUUCGAACUGAAGUCGGGGUUGAUUCAACUCUUACCCUCUUUCCAUGGUCUCUCUGGCGAAGAACCCCACAAGCACGUAAAGGAGUUCGAGGUGGUCUGCUCUAGUAUGAAACCUCCUGGGGUCACUGAAGAGCAAAUUAGACUGAGAGCCUUCCCGUUCUCUCUCAAAGAUGCAGCUAAAGAUUGGCUGUACUACCUACCAGCAGGUAGUAUUACCACAUGGGCGCAGCUGAAAAAGAAAUUCUUGGAAAAAUUCUUCCCUGCAUCCCGGGCUGCGAGUUUGAGGAAGGAGAUCUGCGGCAUUAAACAAUACCCCGGUGAGUCCUUGUACGAAUACUGGGAAAGGUUUAACAAGUUGUGCACUAGAUGCCCGCAGCAUCAAAUUAGUGAGCAACUGUUAAUCCAAUACUUCUACGAAGGGCUCCAAUCAACCGAUAGGAGUAUCAUCGACGCUGCAAGUGGGGGAGCACUGGCAAACAAGACACCAAGGGAAGCGUGGGAGCUCAUCGAAGCCAUGGCAGAGAACUCCCAGCAAUUUGGCUCCCGUGAGAGCAACCCUCCCCGUAGAGUCAACGAGGUAGAGAUUUCAUCCUUACAGCAGCAAAUGUCAGAACUGACGUCAGUUGUUAGGCAAUUAGCCAUGAGAGACGCGCCGCGAGCGAAGGUGUGUGGAAUAUGCACUAGCAUGGACCAUUGCACAGACUCGUGCCCCAUUUUGCAAGAGGACGGGGCGGAACAGGUAAACAUGGCCGGAGGCGUGCCCGCGCCCCGCAGGCAGUACGACCCAUACUCCAAUACGUACAAUCCGGGCUGGAGGGACCAUCCCAAUCUCAGUUAUGGGAAUAGGCAACAAAAUGCACUUCCAAAUCGUCCACCAGGAUUCCACCAGCCAUGGCAACCAAAAUCGCAACCCUCGUCCUCCAACCCAGGAAGUUCUCUAGAGGAUCUAGUCAAAAACCUGGCCACGACUACUACCAACCUGGCUACGACUACCGCCCAACUCCAGCAAGAGACCAGGUCAUUGACCACAAAUAUGGCUCAACUCCAGCAAGAAACUAGAGCCUUAACCAUGAGCACCACUCAGUUCCAGCAGGACACAAAAGCAGGCAUGAAGGAUAUGGAGGCUCGAAUAAGCCAAAUGGCAACUGCCAUCAAUCGCUUGGAGUCCCACUCUUAUGGAAAGUUGCCAUCGCAACCCGAGGUAAAUCCCAGGAAUGUAAGUGCCAUGAUGCUGAGGAGUGGCAAGGAGGUGGAGGGAUCUAAGUUGACGAUUUCGAAAAGCAAACGUGAGGAGCAGAUAGAAAAGGGAAUUGAAGAGGAAGGGCGCAUUCGCGAAGAGCCUAAGGUAACAUCUAUUCCUUCGAUCCCUAUUAAAUCUAAUAUAGCUCCUUUUCCUUGCAGGUUGGAAAAGACAAAGAGGGCAGAAAAGGAAAAAGAAAUUCUGGAUGUGUUCCGCAAAGUUCAAGUAAACAUCCCCCUAUUGGACGCGAUCAAGCAGGUACCCAAGUAUGCAAAGUUCUUGAAAGACUUGUGCGUUAACAAAAGAAAGCUAAGGGGUGAUGAAAGAGUGAUGGUAGGAGAGAAUGUAUCAGCUGUACUACAAAGGAAACUCCCACCCAAAUGCGGAGAUCCAGGUAUGUUUGCUAUCCCCUGUAAGAUUGGUCAUUCUAGUAUCAAAAAUGCCAUGAUAGAUUUAGGAGCUUCUAUUAAUGUGAUGCCUAAAUCAAUCUAUGAUUCCCUAAAUUUAGGACCUUUAAAAGAAACGGGGAUAAUAAUUCAAUUGGCUGAUCGUACAUGUGCUUAUCCGGAUGGGAUAGUUGAGGAUGUUUUAGUGCAAGUAGAUGGAUUAAUUUUUCCUGCUGAUUUUUAUGUGCUUUACAUGGAUGAUAGAAGUGCCCCAAAUCCAUCACCCAUUAUAUUAGGAAGACCAUUUUUGAGUACUGCCCAGACUAAAAUUGAUGUUAGUAAGGGUACUCUCACGAUGGAAUUUGAUGGAGAAAUAGUCCACUUUAAUAUUUUUGAUACAAUGAAACAUCCUGUUAACUCUCAUUCUGUGUUUGCUAUGUAUACCACUAAUUCCUCUGUGCAAGAAUUUUCUAAGUUUGCUUAUAGGGGUAAAUCCAAGGUUGCUGCGAGCAAGUCCUAUAGGAUGAAAGCAAUUCAUGAGGUAAAAAUGGAGAGAAAAUUCAGGAAAAAAGUUGCACUCAAUGGCAAUGUGGAUCCUGGAGGAGGGCCACCAAUUACAAGGAAAAUUCAAUUACAUCCAGACUAAAGAGUGGUGUUGUGUCUAGCCAAAGACGUUAAAGAAAGGCGCUGCUUGGGAGGCAACCCAAGGAUUACAAUUUUAGUUGUGAUCAUUUUUCCUUACUUUAUGAUUUUUCAGUUUUAUUUUAAUGUUUUGAUGGUUUUUGUAGUGUUGGACAGAAGAGUAGGGGUUCCAAGGCGUGCCCACGCUUUGGAAAGAAAAAAACAAAAAAAUUUCGUGUGGACAUCAUUUGGAUGUUGUGGGCAGAAGAGUAUGCUCUCCAAGGCGUGCCCACGCCUUCCAAACCCUCAGAUAGCGAAAAAAAAAAAAAAAAAAAGUUUGACCAAGACCCUACUCCUUCCACUUUCCCUUCUUCUUUGACUAGUCUUGGACAAUCUUCUCCAAAUUUCUAUUGCCUACGUUUCCAGACUUUUCUCCUUUGUUUUGGUCAAGCCCGCCGCCGCCGCUCAAAUCAACCUCGCGCGACCCACCAGAUCUGGUCGCCCACGGCUUAGCAGCACCGCGCGCGACCCCUUCUGCUGCUCGCGCAACCUCGCGGCACCAGCAGCUCACGCGACUAGCACCGCGCGCGCCAGCACCACUCAGCGCGCGCGGCUACCAGCUCUGCGCGCAGCCUUUCUCCUCAAGCGCGCCAUCAGCGCACGCGACGCCCAGCAGGCCUACCCGCACGCCCAGCCACCCUCCCGUCGUGCGUCCCUCUCCUUUGUUGAGAGCAGAAAUUGGUACCUCUGUCCUAUUUUAUUGCUGCCACUAGUCUUUGAAUUUGGGGUCCGUCCUCCUCUCAUCCUCCCCCUGCUGGAGACCCCCGCUACCCGGACCUCCAAGUGGGUCUCCAUGAACUCAACACCCAACUGGCAAGGAUAGAUGGCCGGCUUAUGGCGCUCCAGGUUUUCGCCCGCAUUCAGGCAGAGAAUCAGGCAGCUUACUAUGCUCAUAUUGGCUUCCAGCCGCCGCAUCCGCCGCCUCCUUAGGCUCCGGCCGCACCUUUUCAGUAGUCAGGGAAGUUUUCGCUCCCUCUGCCCUUGCAAUUUAUUUUUCUAGGUUACAUUGAGGACAAUGUAAGAUUUAGGUGUGGGGGGAGUGGCUUCCAUUACUUUCUUUUUCAUUAGUUCUUUUUGCUUUGUAGUGGCUUCCAUUACUUUCUUUUUCAUUAGUUCUUUUUGCUUUGUUACUCUAAAAAAAAAAAAAAAAGAAGAGAAGAAAGAAAUGGAAAAAAAUGGAAAAACAUUGUAGUUAGUCGUCUUUUUGGCUGUUUCUAUGCUUGUUAGUGUUGGGGCAUGUUGCUGUGAUGAAUGACAUAAUCAAAGUGAGUGGGUAUGUGGUCGUAUAUGCUAGCCAUGCAUUUUGUUUCCCUUGGCAAUGUCACUGAAUGUUGAGUAUACUGGAAUUAACCCAUUUUUGUAACUUUUGGGGAGCUUUUGAGCCUUACUUGAGCAUAUUAUUCUUUUGCUCUAUUUUGUUUGAUUGAGUGGGUAUCGCACAUGGUUUGAACAUUCUAGAACUUGCUAGUUUAUGCAUGUCGAGGCCACAUUUUUUUGUUGAAUUGGAUGCAUUUAAAAUGAUAAGGGCAUUUAGGAUUUAACCCUCUUCAGCUAUCUAAAAAAAUCAAGCCCUCAUUUUAUAUCCCAAUAGUGAACCAACUUGAGCUUUUGUCCUUCGUUUCUGGUUGAUAUCCGUGUUUGUUAACCCAAGACCUCUUUAAACUUUCUUGUUUACCCCUGUGUUGUCAAGGGAUGCCUGAAUUCCAUCAUUUGUGCAAAGCAAACAGAAAUAGGAUUGCAAGUGCUGAUAGAUUAGGAGCUAUAUGACGCUACCCUUGUGUAAAGGAGGGGAAAUUGGGAAAAAGGCCACUGACCAGAAGACUUUGGCUUACAAGGCGUGCCCACGCCUUACAGGACUGUCUCUUGAAAAAAAAAAAAAAAAAAAAAAAUUCCAUGAAGAGAUCUCGUGACCAGAGGACUAUGGGCUACAAGGCGUGCCCACGCCUUGCGAGCAGUAUUCAAAAAAAAAAAAAAGAAGAGAAAAAGAGAGAGAAAGAGAAAAAUUGGGGGCACUUGUACAAUGGGCACCGCAAAUGAAAACUGCCUUGUUUGUGAAACCCCUCCGAUAAAGCACUGUGGUUAUUGGUGAGUUUCGGACAUUCUCUUGACACUUUACCCCCUAUCUAUACUUUCUUAACCCGCCUUUCACCUGAGCCCUAUUACAACCCUAUUAAAGUCCCUUUGAUUUAUGUGCUUGGUUCACUUUUAAGUGGUGGAGAUGUGAUAAAUGUGCAAGCCUGUGGUAAUGGCAUUCCAUGAUGUUGAAUUGAGCGUUCCUAGUAUUCAUAUAUAUUCUUUGAAUUACAACAUGUCCGGUGUGUUCUACCUUUGGUGAUAUUGUCAGGGACCCUAGAUGCUUGUGUUAGUAUAGACUUCUACAUGACCUCUACUCUCUUGGUUGUACUUCUGAGCUCCGAAAUGCUUGAGGGCAAGCAUUGUCUAGGUGUGGGGGGAUUUGAUAGAGCCGUUAUUUGGCACGUUUUGCAUUGUCAUCUUGUUCUAAUUUUGGCUAUUCAUGGUGCUAAGAAAGGGAAUUUCACUCAUAUUUGAUAUUUGUGUGAAUUGUAGGUGGUUAGCAUUAAAAUGAUAUCGCGGGGUAAAUUUCCAGAAGACUUUCCAUUUCAGAGCGUGGCCACGCCUUAGAAGGAGGACGAAACCGAAAGCCGGACUGCGGUCCACGUGAACCCGAAGCGUGGGAUCAGAACUCUGGAGACAAAGCUUUGCUCCAGGCCUUUGUUCCAGACGUCUUUUUCUUUUCUACGUCUCUUGUGCGGCGGAUAUAAAAAGAGAAACAAGGAAGAUUCAAGGGACAUCUACUUUUUAGGCUUAGUUUUCUUUUCCUAGGUUUGUCAGCAGUCAGACGUUUUUGACUGGGGGCUUUUGGCUUUCUUCAGCCGCAACUUAGACUAGCUUAGGAGUUCACCUUUUCAAUCUUUUGCUGUAGACGCCUUUGACGUUCGCUUUUGAUUUUGCUACAAUUUUCCAUCGCUUUUAUCCCUUUUCUUGACUCUGCUCCAGGAGCGACCGAAUCUAAGUAAAUGAACCAAGGGAAUUUCCCAUUUGUUCCUUAGUUAAUUCGCAUCGCUCCGCUCCUUGGAAUUAAUUGUUUGGAUGUUUGCGUGGAUGAAAUCAAUUAAAUCGCGUGAGCUUGACACAAUGAGGAGCGGCUAAUUUUCUCCUCUACCCAAAGGUUGACGCAAGGGCGCGGUCCAUAAAAUCUGUGAGAUCUAAUCAAGCUUUCAUUAUUUCUUCUAAUUUAUUGCUAUUCGUGCGUUUCCUGAAUUAAUUGUUCAUGGAUAUUUUAUUAAUUGAAUAUCAACGGCCGGGUAUUUGAUUUAAUUUAAUAGCCUACUGCCACGUUAAUUAAAUAGAAUCCGUAAUUGUUCAUUUAGUUAACACCUCGUGGCAACCACCAUAAUUGGUUUUAUGAUGGGGAAAUGCAAGAUCUAGCUUAAAUAAACCCUCUUAGCGUGUUUAUUGGUUAGGGUUGGGUUCUUCUAACUUUAAUGCAAUUGGGUAAUUAAAUUCCUACGGUCGUACCUAGGGUUGUUAUCUGGUUAGAGAAGUAGUCAAUGGUCGUACCUUGACUGUCGAAAAAGUAAGGAAGAGCUGGUUGUCAGAGCUUAUUGAUGGCUAUAACCAACCUAGUGAUAAAUGGAUGAAAUAUCUUUGCAUCGAUGAGCAUUUAUUUGGACCGUGCCUGAGCAGUUGAUCCUUUGGGUAGAACUUUUAUUAAUUGCUAUUUUCUAGUGAAUUGUGCUUUGUGAGUUAGUUUUGAAUUUUGUUUGUUUUAUUUUAUUUUAUUUUUGUUUGCCUCCCAUUGAAAAUCCCCCAAUUUUGUUCUACUGAUUUGGAAAGAAAUAAUUUCCUACCUGCUCCCUGUGGAAUCGACCCUACUUGCCAUUGUACGCAAAAUUAGUAUUUUUAUAGACAAAUCCGGUAUAUCGGAUCAAGCAAACUCUUCGGGAACAGGGUGAAUCAAGUAACCCAUUGCACACCUAGGGUCCCUGCUCCAGUACUUGGAUUUGUUUUAUAAUUAUUUAAUUGAGGUGGUAAUUAGGACUUUUUAGUAAUUAUUAUUGCACAGGUUCGGCACCUGUCAAUUUUUGGCGCCGUUGCCGGGGAGUUGGCGCUUGGAUUAUUUGUUUCUUUUUAAAUUCAGUUUUUAUUUUAUUUUAUUCUUCUUGGUAUUUUUGCUAGUUUAUGCCCCGUUCUUCUCGCACAGGUGAAUUGAUAUACGACGCUGAGGUUGAGAAGGCAGCGCGUAAGCGAAGGCAAGAGACCAAGAGACGAAAAGAAGGGCACUUAUUUGCUGCAAACGAGUCAGCGGAAGACGAAGUAAGCAUGGCCAACAACCAAACAUUGAGGGAGCUGGCUGCCCCGGAUCUGACUCACCAGCCCUUAUGCAUCACAUUCCCCGCUUUGGCGGAGAAUACCGCUUUCGAACUGAAGUCGGGGUUGAUUCAACUCUUACCCUCUUUCCAUGGUCUCUCUGGCGAAGAACCCCACAAGCACGUAAAGGAGUUCGAGGUGGUCUGCUCUAGUAUGAAACCUCCUGGGGUCACUGAAGAGCAAAUUAGACUGAGAGCCUUCCCGUUCUCUCUCAAAGAUGCAGCUAAAGAUUGGCUGUACUACCUACCAGCAGGUAGUAUUACCACAUGGGCGCAGCUGAAAAAGAAAUUCUUGGAAAAAUUCUUCCCUGCAUCCCGGGCUGCGAGUUUGAGGAAGGAGAUCUGCGGCAUUAAACAAUACCCCGGUGAGUCCUUGUACGAAUACUGGGAAAGGUUUAACAAGUUGUGCACUAGAUGCCCGCAGCAUCAAAUUAGUGAGCAACUGUUAAUCCAAUACUUCUACGAAGGGCUCCAAUCAACCGAUAGGAGUAUCAUCGACGCUGCAAGUGGGGGAGCACUGGCAAACAAGACACCAAGGGAAGCGUGGGAGCUCAUCGAAGCCAUGGCAGAGAACUCCCAGCAAUUUGGCUCCCGUGAGAGCAACCCUCCCCGUAGAGUCAACGAGGUAGAGAUUUCAUCCUUACAGCAGCAAAUGUCAGAACUGACGUCAGUUGUUAGGCAAUUAGCCAUGAGAGACGCGCCGCGAGCGAAGGUGUGUGGAAUAUGCACUAGCAUGGACCAUUGCACAGACUCGUGCCCCAUUUUGCAAGAGGACGGGGCGGAACAGGUAAACAUGGCCGGAGGCGUGCCCGCGCCCCGCAGGCAGUACGACCCAUACUCCAAUACGUACAAUCCGGGCUGGAGGGACCAUCCCAAUCUCAGUUAUGGGAAUAGGCAACAAAAUGCACUUCCAAAUCGUCCACCAGGAUUCCACCAGCCAUGGCAACCAAAAUCGCAACCCUCGUCCUCCAACCCAGGAAGUUCUCUAGAGGAUCUAGUCAAAAACCUGGCCACGACUACUACCAACCUGGCUACGACUACCGCCCAACUCCAGCAAGAGACCAGGUCAUUGACCACAAAUAUGGCUCAACUCCAGCAAGAAACUAGAGCCUUAACCAUGAGCACCACUCAGUUCCAGCAGGACACAAAAGCAGGCAUGAAGGAUAUGGAGGCUCGAAUAAGCCAAAUGGCAACUGCCAUCAAUCGCUUGGAGUCCCACUCUUAUGGAAAGUUGCCAUCGCAACCCGAGGUAAAUCCCAGGAAUGUAAGUGCCAUGACGCUGAGGAGUGGCAAGGAGGUGGAGGGAUCUAAGUUGACGAUUUCGAAAAGCAAACGUGAGGAGCAGAUAGAAAAGGGAAUUGAAGAGGAAGGGCGCAUUCGCGAAGAGCCUAAGGUAACAUCUAUUCCUUCGAUCCCUAUUAAAUCUAAUAUAGCUCCUUUUCCUUGCAGGUUGGAAAAGACAAAGAGGGCAGAAAAGGAAAAAGAAAUUCUGGAUGUGUUCCGCAAAGUUCAAGUAAACAUCCCCCUAUUGGACGCGAUCAAGCAGGUACCCAAGUAUGCAAAGUUCUUGAAAGACUUGUGCGUUAACAAAAGAAAGCUAAGGGGUGAUGAAAGAGUGAUGGUAGGAGAGAAUGUAUCAGCUGUACUACAAAGGAAACUCCCACCCAAAUGCGGAGAUCCAGGUAUGUUUGCUAUCCCCUGUAAGAUUGGUCAUUCUAGUAUCAAAAAUGCCAUGAUAGAUUUAGGAGCUUCUAUUAAUGUGAUGCCUAAAUCAAUCUAUGAUUCCCUAAAUUUAGGACCUUUAAAAGAAACGGGGAUAAUAAUUCAAUUGGCUGAUCGUACAUGUGCUUAUCCGGAUGGGAUAGUUGAGGAUGUUUUAGUGCAAGUAGAUGGAUUAAUUUUUCCUGCUGAUUUUUAUGUGCUUUACAUGGAUGAUAGAAGUGCCCCAAAUCCAUCACCCAUUAUAUUAGGAAGACCAUUUUUGAGUACUGCCCAGACUAAAAUUGAUGUUAGUAAGGGUACUCUCACGAUGGAAUUUGAUGGAGAAAUAGUCCACUUUAAUAUUUUUGAUACAAUGAAACAUCCUGUUAACUCUCAUUCUGUGUUUGCUAUGUAUACCACUAAUUCCUCUGUGCAAGAAUUUUCUAAGUUUGCUUAUAGGGGUAAAUCCAAGGUUGCUGCGAGCAAGUCCUAUAGGAUGAAAGCAAUUCAUGAGGUAAAAAUGGAGAGAAAAUUCAGGAAAAAAGUUGCACUCAAUGGCAAUGUGGAUCCUGGAGGAGGGCCACCAAUUACAAGGAAAAUUCAAUUACAUCCAGACUAAAGAGUGGUGUUGUGUCUAGCCAAAGACGUUAAAGAAACGCGCUGCUUGGGAGGCAACCCAAGGAUUACAAUUUUAGUUGUGAUCAUUUUUCCUUACUUUAUGAUUUUUCAGUUUUAUUUUAAUGUUUUGAUGGUUUUUGUAGUGUUGGACAGAAGAGUAGGGGUUCCAAGGCGUGCCCACGCUUUGGAAAGAAAAAAACAAAAAAAUUUCGUGUGGACAUCAUUUGGAUGUUGUGGGCAGAAGAGUAUGCUCUCCAAGGCGUGCCCACGCCUUCCAAACCCUCAGAUAGCGAAAAAAAAAAAAAAAAAAAGUUUGACCAAGACCCUACUCCUUCCACUUUCCCUUCUUCUUUGACUAGUCUUGGACAAUCUUCUCCAAAUUUCUAUUGCCUACGUUUCCAGACUUUUCUCCUUUGUUUUGGUCAAGCCCGCCGCCGCCGCUCAAAUCAACCUCGCGCGACCCACCAGAUCUGGUCGCCCACGGCUUAGCAGCACCGCGCGCGACCCCUUCUGCUGCUCGCGCAACCUCGCGGCACCAGCAGCUCACGCGACUAGCACCGCGCGCGCCAGCACCACUCAGCGCGCGCGGCUACCAGCUCUGCGCGCAGCCUUUCUCCUCAAGCGCGCCAUCAGCGCACGCGACGCCCAGCAGGCCUACCCGCACGCCCAGCCACCCUCCCGUCGUGCGUCCCUCUCCUUUGUUGAGAGCAGAAAUUGGUACCUCUGUCCUAUUUUAUUGCUGCCACUAGUCUUUGAAUUUGGGGUCCGUCCUCCUCUCAUCCUCCCCCUGCUGGAGACCCCCGCUACCCGGACCUCCAAGUGGGUCUCCAUGAACUCAACACCCAACUGGCAAGGAUAGAUGGCCGGCUUAUGGCGCUCCAGGUUUUCGCCCGCAUUCAGGCAGAGAAUCAGGCAGCUUACUAUGCUCAUAUUGGCUUCCAGCCGCCGCAUCCGCCGCCUCCUUAGGCUCCGGCCGCACCUUUUCAGUAGUCAGGGAAGUUUUCGCUCCCUCUGCCCUUGCAAUUUAUUUUUCUAGGUUACAUUGAGGACAAUGUAAGAUUUAGGUGUGGGGGGAGUGGCUUCCAUUACUUUCUUUUUCAUUAGUUCUUUUUGCUUUGUAGUGGCUUCCAUUACUUUCUUUUUCAUUAGUUCUUUUUGCUUUGUUACUCUAAAAAAAAAAAAAAAAGAAGAGAAGAAAGAAAUGGAAAAAAAUGGAAAAACAUUGUAGUUAGUCGUCUUUUUGGCUGUUUCUAUGCUUGUUAGUGUUGGGGCAUGUUGCUGUGAUGAAUGACAUAAUCAAAGUGAGUGGGUAUGUGGUCGUAUAUGCUAGCCAUGCAUUUUGUUUCCCUUGGCAAUGUCACUGAAUGUUGAGUAUACUGGAAUUAACCCAUUUUUGUAACUUUUGGGGAGCUUUUGAGCCUUACUUGAGCAUAUUAUUCUUUUGCUCUAUUUUGUUUGAUUGAGUGGGUAUCGCACAUGGUUUGAACAUUCUAGAACUUGCUAGUUUAUGCAUGUCGAGGCCACAUUUUUUUGUUGAAUUGGAUGCAUUUAAAAUGAUAAGGGCAUUUAGGAUUUAACCCUCUUCAGCUAUCUAAAAAAAUCAAGCCCUCAUUUUAUAUCCCAAUAGUGAACCAACUUGAGCUUUUGUCCUUCGUUUCUGGUUGAUAUCCGUGUUUGUUAACCCAAGACCUCUUUAAACUUUCUUGUUUACCCCUGUGUUGUCAAGGGAUGCCUGAAUUCCAUCAUUUGUGCAAAGCAAACAGAAAUAGGAUUGCAAGUGCUGAUAGAUUAGGAGCUAUAUGACGCUACCCUUGUGUAAAGGAGGGGAAAUUGGGAAAAAGGCCACUGACCAGAAGACUUUGGCUUACAAGGCGUGCCCACGCCUUACAGGACUGUCUCUUGAAAAAAAAAAAAAAAAAAAAUUCCAUGAAGAGAUCUCGUGACCAGAGGACUAUGGGCUACAAGGCGUGCCCACGCCUUGCGAGCAGUAUUCAAAAAAAAAAAAAAGAAGAGAAAAAGAGAGAGAAAGAGAAAAAUUGGGGGCACUUGUACAAUGGGCACCGCAAAUGAAAACUGCCUUGUUUGUGAAACCCCUCCGAUAAAGCACUGUGGUUAUUGGUGAGUUUCGGACAUUCUCUUGACACUUUACCCCCUAUCUAUACUUUCUUAACCCGCCUUUCACCUGAGCCCUAUUACAACCCUAUUAAAGUCCCUUUGAUUUAUGUGCUUGGUUCACUUUUAAGUGGUGGAGAUGUGAUAAAUGUGCAAGCCUGUGGUAAUGGCAUUCCAUGAUGUUGAAUUGAGCGUUCCUAGUAUUCAUAUAUAUUCUUUGAAUUACAACAUGUCCGGUGUGUUCUACCUUUGGUGAUAUUGUCAGGGACCCUAGAUGCUUGUGUUAGUAUAGACUUCUACAUGACCUCUACUCUCUUGGUUGUACUUCUGAGCUCCGAAAUGCUUGAGGGCAAGCAUUGUCUAGGUGUGGGGGGAUUUGAUAGAGCCGUUAUUUGGCACGUUUUGCAUUGUCAUCUUGUUCUAAUUUUGGCUAUUCAUGGUGCUAAGAAAGGGAAUUUCACUCAUAUUUGAUAUUUGUGUGAAUUGUAGGUGGUUAGUAUUAAAAUGAUAUCGCGGGGUAAAUUUCCAGAAGACUUUCCAUUUCAGAGCGUGGCCACGCCUUAGAAGGAGGACGAAACCGAAAGCCGGACUGCGGUCCACGUGAACCCGAAGCGUGGGAUCAGAACUCUGGAGACAAAGCUUUGCUCCAGGCCUUUGUUCCAGACGUCUUUUUCUUUUCUACGUCUCUUGUGCGGCGGAUAUAAAAAGAGAAACAAGGAAGAUUCAAGGGACAUCUACUUUUUAGGCUUAGUUUUCUUUUCCUAGGUUUGUCAGCAGUCAGACAUUUUUGACUGGGGGCUUUUGGCUUUCUUCAGCCGCAACUUAGACUAGCUUAGGAGUUCACCUUUUCAAUCUUUUGCUGUAGACGCCUUUGACGUUCGCUUUUGAUUUUGCUACAAUUUUCCAUCGCUUUUAUCCCUUUUCUUGACUCUGCUCCAGGAGCGACCGAAUCUAAGUAAAUGAACCAAGGGAAUUUCCCAUUUGUUCCUUAGUUAAUUCGCAUCGCUCCGCUCCUUGGAAUUAAUUGUUUGGAUGUUUGCGUGGAUGAAAUCAAUUAAAUCGCGUGAGCUUGACACAAUGAGGAGCGGCUAAUUUUCUCCUCUACCCAAAGGUUGACGCAAGGGCGCGGUCCAUAAAAUCUGUGAGAUCUAAUCAAGCUUUCAUUAUUUCUUCUAAUUUAUUGCUAUUCGUGCGUUUCCUGAAUUAAUUGUUCAUGGAUAUUUUAUUAAUUGAAUAUCAACGGCCGGGUAUUUGAUUUAAUUUAAUAGCCUACUGCCACGUUAAUUAAAUAGAAUCCGUAAUUGUUCAUUUAGUUAACACCUCGUGGCAACCACCAUAAUUGGUUUUAUGAUGGGGAAAUGCAAGAUCUAGCUUAAAUAAACCCUCUUAGCGUGUUUAUUGGUUAGGGUUGGGUUCUUCUAACUUUAAUGCAAUUGGGUAAUUAAAUUCCUACGGUCGUACCUAGGGUUGUUAUCUGGUUAGAGAAGUAGUCAAUGGUCGUACCUUGACUGUCGAAAAAGUAAGGAAGAGCUGGUUGUCAGAGCUUAUUGAUGGCUAUAACCAACCUAGUGAUAAAUGGAUGAAAUAUCUUUGCAUCGAUGAGCAUUUAUUUGGACCGUGCCUGAGCAGUUGAUCCUUUGGGUAGAACUUUUAUUAAUUGCUAUUUUCUAGUGAAUUGUGCUUUGUGAGUUAGUUUUGAAUUUUGUUUGUUUUAUUUUAUUUUAUUUUUGUUUGCCUCCCAUUGAAAAUCCCCCAAUUUUGUUCUACUGAUUUGGAAAGAAAUAAUUUCCUACCUGCUCCCUGUGGAAUCGACCCUACUUGCCAUUGUACGCAAAAUUAGUAUUUUUAUAGACAAAUCCGGUAUAUCGGAUCAAGCAAACUCUUCGGGAACAGGGUGAAUCAAGUAACCCAUUGCACACCUAGGGUCCCUGCUCCAGUACUUGGAUUUGUUUUAUAAUUAUUUAAUUGAGGUGGUAAUUAGGACUUUUUAGUAAUUAUUAUUGCACAGGUUCGGCACCUGUCAAUUUUUGGCGCCGUUGCCGGGGAGUUGGCGCUUGGAUUAUUUGUUUCUUUUUAAAUUCAGUUUUUAUUUUAUUUUAUUCUUCUUGGUAUUUUUGCUAGUUUAUGCCCCGUUCUUCUCGCACAGGUGAAUUGAUAUACGACGCUGAGGUUGAGAAGGCAGCGCGUAAGCGAAGGCAAGAGACCAAGAGACGAAAAGAAGGGCACUUAUUUGCUGCAAACGAGUCAGCGGAAGACGAAGUAAGCAUGGCCAACAACCAAACAUUGAGGGAGCUGGCUGCCCCGGAUCUGACUCACCAGCCCUUAUGCAUCACAUUCCCCGCUUUGGCGGAGAAUACCGCUUUCGAACUGAAGUCGGGGUUGAUUCAACUCUUACCCUCUUUCCAUGGUCUCUCUGGCGAAGAACCCCACAAGCACGUAAAGGAGUUCGAGGUGGUCUGCUCUAGUAUGAAACCUCCUGGGGUCACUGAAGAGCAAAUUAGACUGAGAGCCUUCCCGUUCUCUCUCAAAGAUGCAGCUAAAGAUUGGCUGUACUACCUACCAGCAGGUAGUAUUACCACAUGGGCGCAGCUGAAAAAGAAAUUCUUGGAAAAAUUCUUCCCUGCAUCCCGGGCUGCGAGUUUGAGGAAGGAGAUCUGCGGCAUUAAACAAUACCCCGGUGAGUCCUUGUACGAAUACUGGGAAAGGUUUAACAAGUUGUGCACUAGAUGCCCGCAGCAUCAAAUUAGUGAGCAACUGUUAAUCCAAUACUUCUACGAAGGGCUCCAAUCAACCGAUAGGAGUAUCAUCGACGCUGCAAGUGGGGGAGCACUGGCAAACAAGACACCAAGGGAAGCGUGGGAGCUCAUCGAAGCCAUGGCAGAGAACUCCCAGCAAUUUGGCUCCCGUGAGAGCAACCCUCCCCGUAGAGUCAACGAGGUAGAGAUUUCAUCCUUACAGCAGCAAAUGUCAGAACUGACGUCAGUUGUUAGGCAAUUAGCCAUGAGAGACGCGCCGCGAGCGAAGGUGUGUGGAAUAUGCACUAGGAGAAAAAUGGUGAAUUUUGAAUGAUUUUUGAGAUAUUUAACCUUUGGUCAAAAAAGUCAAAAUUGUGAAUAGUAAUUCUUAAAGUCCAACCAAUCAUAUUGUGACACUUGUCACACUCAUUAAUGCAUUCUUAUCUUCCUUUUCUCUCUCACAUCACUCACUUCACACACACUACUUAUCUCUUAACACCCGAUAAAUUUUACACAAUAUCCGAAACUUAACCUUAUUGGCCGAAUUUUUCCGAACUUUUCGCACUAGUGGGUCCCACGUCCAAUAUACGUUCUUAUUUCUCAAAAACUAACUAAUACUAGAAAAAUCAUCUAAAAACUCUAUUUACUCAAUAAAAAUUAUCUGGGGAAUUUUCUAAUAAAGAAAAUGUGGAAAAAACGGGUUUUCAAUCUUAACCGAAACUUAGGGUUUAAAUCUUAAUCCCUACUUAGGGUUUUCGAAAUACUCCCAAAACCAAACGUUACCGCCCAAUUAAUGAAUAUAUCAACGUAGAACGAACUGGGGCCUCACAGUGUCACUGGGCCUGGGACACCUUCACAGGGUCUACUGGAUCACCAACCAUGGGUCUCGUGCUCAACCGCAUCAUUCCCCUCCUCUUGAAAAGGAUUUGCCCUCAAAUCGUGCUCGUCCCCUGCAAGAAACGGGUUCAGGUCAGCAACAUUGAAUGUAGCACUAACAUUAUACUCACCAGGCAAAUCUAAGCGAUAUGCAUUGUCGUUCAUGCGCUCAAUGACUUGAAAAGGCCCAUCUCCUCUUAGUGACAGCUUGUUUUGUCGUUGUUUUGGAAAUCUCUCCUUGCACAAGUGUAACCAGACCCAAGCACCAGGUUCAAAGACAAGCUUGUGCAUGUGCUUGUUAGCUUGUUGGACAUAUUGGCCCAUCCUCCUCUCGAUGUUGGUACGAACCUUGUCAUGCAAUGAUCUCACGAACUCAGUUUUCUUCUUGCCAUCUAAGUUCACAUGCUCAGAAGAAGGUAAUGGCAACAAAUUUAAGAGGGUUAAGGGGUUAAAACCAUACACAACUUCAAAAGGUGAGAAUUGUGUAGCACUAUGCACAGCCCUAUUGUAUGCGAACUCAACAUGAGGUAGACACUCCUCCUAUGACUUGAGAUUUUUCUUUAUGAUUCAUGUAGGAGUGUGGAUAAGGUCCUAUUGUGACGACCCCACCUCCCCCUAAGGCGUACCAAAGGGUUUUGCGGACCGCCUGCCCAUCUCUCGCUAGGACUCACUCACUCGUAUCCCGUGCAUACAUCCAUGGACCAGAAAUAACAUCGCAAUUCAAGCUUAUAAUUUACAUUGAUGUAAAAUCAAGGUACAAAGCCCCAAUAUACCCAAACUGGUUCAAAGUAUAUACAAUCCAAAUACAAAACAUUCUAUUCGAGGAAUAGCGCGAAUACAAGUCAAAAGUCAAAACAACUAGACUACGCUAGUCUUUACACGUCUCACGCCUCGCUCGUACCCCUGUAAGGAAAACAAAACUAACGGAGUGAGCCAAAACUCAGUGAAGUUCCAAAUAUCAAAUUGGUUAUCAAACAAAGUAAUAACAGUGAAAUAGUGAAAUAGCGAGCAAACAAGUCCAAUCAAGGAGAUAAUACUUCAAGUAGUCAAGAAAUAUAUGGAUCAUGUUCACAUGUAAGGAUACAGUGGCUCAUGUCUUGGCUCCAUCCUAGUUUGAUCAAUUAGUAGUUGACACUCCGUCAACUUUCAAGUAAUAACUAGUCCAGAAAUAAUACCCCACUUCACGCCAAUCUCCGUCCACCACUCAACCCCCUUUUUCGGGCCCGCACGCCACACGAAACAUGGGUGGUAAUACUCGAGUAUACCGAUUAGUCGAGGAGAUAACACUUCACUCGACAUUACUAGUUACCCAGGGUUUGUUAUCUAAUCGACCAGGCCCUUGUCGGCUCGAUUUGAUUAACUAGCCACAGGGUUUCUGGAAUUCCAGGCAAGAUACAAGUCAUAUGCACGUAGAGCAAGUCAAGUGAAAUCGAUAAACAAGAACAAAUCUGGAUAGGGCAAGUGCGAUAAAGUACAUCCUUGCCCUAUCAAAUCACUUAUAUAUCAUGUAAUCAUAUUGGUCAAAGAUAAAUCACAAAUAUCAAGUUCAAUCAGAUAUUUGGAAGCACUCACCAAAAGUAGUGCCUCUACUGUUCGCGUCUGGAAGGUACUCCGGGUUUGGAGUCCAAAUCUGCGAUAAAACUUGACUUAAGAACUUUGAAAAUUGACUAAGGUUUGAAACUUAGACGUUCGUUCAAUAAGAAUCAAGAAAUUGAAAUUCACUUGGAGAAUAGUCGUGAAAUAGUUGCUCGCUUUUCAAACUGAAAAAUUUUGUAACAUGUUUACUUGGAAAUAAAUUUUGAGUCGAAAGUGCAAGGAAAACGGAUUUAUAGUGAUUAUUACUGCUUUUCCUAAGGGUACAAGUUCGGCUAGAUUCUAACGUAUAGCCCUCGAUAAACCAGGUAACAAAUGUCCUAGAUGGUUCAAGUGAUAUUCAUUCAUCAACUUUACCCAAGUCGCAAGUAUAUUUCUCUAGUUCUCGAGCGUAAAUUUGGGCAGCAUGCCCUUUGUAUUUUCCUAUUUCCAGCCAUUAAUGGCUUCAUUCUUUUUCCUCAAUCAAACCCAAGUUUACACACAACACAAUUCAUUUCAAUAGCCGUUCCAUAGGCUCAAGACAAUACAAGGACAAAAUCAAACUAAUAACAAGUGCGGAAAUGAAAUUUAACAAGAGACAGAUUUGACGGGUUUCUGCGGAAUGGACACAUCCAAGGCUACACUUAUCGGAUUGGGUUGCAACUUAUACCGUUUAGAAGCUAAGACACAGGGCUACAAUUUUGAUGAAGACCACUUAGUCCAAAUUCCAGUGUAACCUAGUCAAAUUCCCAAUUCACAGAACCAAAUUCCAACUAAUUGGCUAGUUAACCGUACUACAUUUAAAUGGCCAUAUCUCAGGCUACCAAAGUCCGUUUAAGGCAUUCUUGGAGGCAUUGAAAAGCUAAGACAGAGUAAUAAAACUUUCAUGUUUUGGCAAAUGGCUAAAUCAGCACGGAUCAUAGUGAAUAGACACGGUCAAAUGGAUGAACUGUCUAAAACGGAUCACUGGAUGCAUCCUAGGGCAGCGAGGGUAUUUUGGUCUUUUCAUAGGCUACAUUGCUCCAAUUGGGCUAAAAUUUUGUAGGAAACUAUAAAAUAUCAUUCUAUACAACUUUCAUGUUUUGUACUAAGCCUAAUUCGGCCUCAAUCAUAGGGCACUGAAACCGGACAGAACUGAAGCAUACAAUUCCAGAAAUCUGGAAUUUUGGGAUUUCAAGGGUAAUCUCUUCAUUUUCUUGAUUCAAUCACUACCUCAACCUCUUAUACAAGCCUAUAUACAUCAUAUACCACUCCUACAACAAGUAUAAGAAGGAAAUCGGUCAAACCCUAGCUUACAUACAUCACCCCAAAAUCAUCACAACAACUUGUAUAGCUACUAAUCUAACCAAAACAUGAGUUAUAUAACAUCUUAAACAAAAAUAAAAGAACCAAAGCCAUGGGUCAGACCUUAUACCUGAACAAAAGGGCUUGCAAGAGUAAUACUUCACCUCCUCUUGAAAUUUUUUGUUCCCUUAGCCUCCCAAGUUUACAACUCACAAGUUAAUCGGUUUAGAAUCUUGUUUCCUUCACUCAAAUGGUGUAAAUCAAGAUGAAAGAAGGUUGUUUCUCUUGCUCUCUCUCUUUCUCUCUCUCUUGUCUCGGCCAAACCAGAAAAAAAAAUGAGGAAGAAUGAGCUAAUUUGCAAGAUAAGAAGGUAAGAAAAUUAAGUUUAAUCAAAGCCACAAAUUGCCAACACUUGGCACUACCAAAACCAUCCAAAAUUUUUUUUUCUUUCCUUGCAUUUUGAGUCCAAUUUUUCGGCCAAGAGGAUGGCUAUGAGGGGGGAUAUUUUCCACCAAUAUCAAGGUUAUGCGCUGGUAAGGAAAUGGUAGUCAAGUGGGGUGUUCAAUCAGUAGUGCACGGCACACGUCGGUUCGCACCGUUUUUCCUUAAAUCACACAUACUAGGGUUUUUACUUCCUAUUCACUAACUUUGUAUCAUUGCUUCUAAUCACAUAUUAUUUCUCACCCAAAAGUCACUUUUAAGCACCAAAUUUGAUCCGCGCUCCGUACCGGAUAAUUACACUAAGAAUACACGUGAAAACCCUAACUUGCUCCAACUUAGAAACGAAAAGUGAAACCCUACUUUCUAGGUUCAUUUGCACUUAUUGUGGAAUGAUUGGGUAGUAGGGCUAUAAUAAAUGAAUAGUUUCCAAAUAAAAGGGCAUUUUUGAGAAAAAUAUAAGGAAUUUACAAGUCCUCACACUCUCUCCCCCUUAAAAGAAUUUCGACCUCGAAAUUCAUACCUUUAGUCGUAAAUAACUCAGGGUACUUCUCUUGUGUGAGAACCCGUAAUUUCCCUAAUAAUUUUCCUAGGGUUUAACCUCUUUAAUAGCAUGUUUUCUGCGUUUUCUGGCUUAGGAAAAAUUUUCUUGGUGAAUUUUAUGAGUAAUUAUAGUUUUUAGAUGAUUUUUCUAGCAUUGGAGAGUUUUUGGAAAAUUAAGAAUAUAUAAUGGACGUGGGACCCACUAGUGCGAAAAGUUCGGAAAAAUGCGGCCAAUUAGGGUAAAUUCCGGAUACUGGUGGAAAUUUAUCGGGUGUUAAGAGAUAAGUAGAGGAUGUGAAGUGAUUGAUGUGAGAGGGAAAAAGAAGGAUGGGAUUGCAUUUAAAGAGGUGACAUGUGUCACUAUGAGGUUGGUGGUAACUUAUGACUUACUAUUCAUUUUUUUGACCUUUUGACCAAUUGGUUUAAUAUCUUAAAAUUACCACAGAAAUCACCAUUUCUUACCUCUAUAGUGGCCGGCCACCUUGAGCAAGGAAGGAAGAAGAACUCUUCAAAGUUUGGCAACUAUCUAGCUCAAAUCCUCCAAAACACUUGCUUGAUCUUGUUUCUACUCCAUAAAAUCCCUCUAGUUGGUGCUAGUAAGUGAUUUGGUGAAGUUUUUGGAGAAGCUAAGGUGUCCAACAACUCUACCUCUCUUGUUUUCUAGGUGAGUGUGUGAGAACCCGUAAAUAACCUAAAAAUUUUCCUAGGGUUUUAGUUCCCUUAAUUGCAUAAUUUUUGCAUUUUCGGGCUUAGAAACAUUUUCUGGGUUGAUUUUAUGAGCAAUUAUAGUUUUUAGAUGUUUUUUCUAGUAUUGGUGAGUUUUUAGAAAAUUAAGAAUAUAUACUGGACGUGGGACCCACUAGUGCGAAAAGUUCAAAAAAAUUCGGCCAAUUAGGUUAAAUUCCGGAUACUGUAUAAAUUUUAUCGGGUGUUAAGAGAUAAGUAGAGUGUGUGAAGUGAUUGAUGUGAGAGAGAAAAGAAGUGAUAAGAAUGCAUUAAAUAGAGUGACAAGUGUCACCAUGUUAUUGGUUUUCCUUUAAGAUUUACUAUUCACAAUUUUGACUUUUUUGACCAAAGGAUUAAAUAUCCAAAAAUUGCAUAAAAUUCACAAUUUUUCUUCUCUUGUUGGCCUGCCCUCUCUCUCAAGUUCAAGGGAGGAAGAAAACCUCUUCAAGUCUUGAUUUCUUCUUGCUUCAAUCCAUAACUCAACCAACUAAACUAGUUUCUACUCCAUAAAAUCUUUCUAGUUGGUGUUAGUGGUUGAUUUGGUGAAGUUUUUGGAAGAGCUAAGGUGUCCAACACCUCUACCUCUCUUGUUACUAGGUGAGUGGUGUGUGUAUCUUCCUCCUACAUCUAAUGAUGCUUAAGUUAUGCUUAUUAGUGAUUAAAGUGCUGAAAUUUCUGGUUUUUAUCUUGACUUGAAGUGAUUUGGUGAAGUUUUCCAUUUAUUGAUGAUUUUUCUGGUUUAAUUGGAUUAUGAUGGUGUGGUUGUUUGUGAUGAUUGGCAAUGGCCUAUAAUAACUCUAGUGGGUGUGAAAUGUGGAUAAAUGCAACCAAUUUUGGAUUUGGAAUGAAAACUGAAAAGUUAGGGUUCUUAAAUCCCCAAUUCUGUCCGGUUUUGGAUCAUAGGGUUAGAGGCCGAAUUUGACUUUGCUCAAAACAUGAAAGUUGUAGGUAUUGAUGUGUUUGAGGUGCCUGUAAAAUUUCAGGUCAUUUGGAUUAAUGUGGAAUGAGUUAUGACGAAAUUACUGUAGCUGUUCUGCUUUGGACAGAAUGCGAAAACUGUACUGGUUAUUGGCCAUUUUGACUGGAAUUGGUUUGGAUUUAGUUGUUGGUGUCUUCUGAUGAAAUGUAGCUGGAUGUCUUAGCUAACAUAUGCCUUUGGAAUUUCGGCAUUUGGACUUGUAUAGACUAAGUUAUAGUAAUUACAGUUUUGUGUGAUUUGCAAACCUGUUUUGGUAAUUCUGGUAUAGUAUUUGGCAUUUUCGACCUAGUUAAGCUAGGAACUGGAUUGAGUGACCUUCUUCAUUGUUGUAGCCCUGUUCCAUAGCUUCAAAGCGGUGGGUCUUACACCCCCAUCCGAUAAUCGUAGUGAGAGUUGUGCCAUUACCGCAUUAUGAGGUCGAAUCCGGUUUUCUUUCCAAGGCCUAAGUUUAAGGCCUUUCUUAAUUCCUGGUUUGCUAUCAUGCUUGUAUAUGUUUAUAAAACCCUAUUGGGGUUGUGAUUGGCAUUGCUAUAUGACUCGUUAUCGAGUCUCAUUGCAUUUGUUUACUUGUUCUAGGGCGUGACGGUGGUUCACGACAUUCCCCUGACGGAAGUGCAUGAAAUAGCACUUAUUUGAUUUGUGAGUAUACUACUCACUUAAAUGUUACAAUGUGGCUUUGUUAUAUGUGUAAUUGAUGCCUUGAAGGCUUAUUUGCUUAUUGGAAGUGAUUAAGGUGAGGGUGUACUUGACCGCCCUCACCCCUUGUGAUUUUAUUCAUGGUUAAUGACUGUUCACUGAAAUACUGUACUGGUUAUAUGAAAUACUGAAUUCCACUCAUGGAAACUGAUUUGGUGUCGUUUGGAUGAAUGUCCAACGGCUUUACUGUAUCACUGAGCUCAACCCCGUUUGGUAGUCAAUUGGAUCGAGCCGGCGAGGGCUUGGUCGUGAAAAUUGUCUUGCCACGGGGACUGUACUGAGGAACCUUGUAGUAAUGAGACUCUUGGUUCCGGUAUACUCGAGUAUUACCAAAAGUGACUGAAUGGAGUGCGGGCCCGGUUGGGGUAUGAUUGGUGGAAGGAAAGGAAGUAAAGUGAGGUCUACGGUUUUGGUACUUUUAACAUUGACAGAGGGUCAAUGAGGUUGGAUCAAGAUUGCAAGUGUGGAAAUGGGCUCUUGAGAGCCAACCGUAUCCUUUCACUGGUUUGAUUUAUCUCUUAAUUGCAUAUUUGAACUGAACGGUUAUGAUUAUGUGAUCUUGACUGCUUUUGUGUGAUAGUUGCUCACUGGGCUUUAGCUCAUACCGUGCCAUUUGUUUUCCUUACAGGAAAAUGACCACUUUUGGAAAGAAUGUGCUAGUUGGUUCAAGUUGAGCUCAUGUGAAUGUAUAUUUUGAAUAGCUCCUUGAGGGUGAAAACCCUAAGUGUUUUGUUGCAACCAAUGGUUGGCUUGUAAAUGGUUAUUUGUACAUGUAUGAACUAGUUGAAUAUUUGAUAUGCCGUCUUGGCUUGCAAAUGUUGGUUUCCAAUGUAUAUAUAUGUUUGGUCGAUGCUUGGUUGAAUUUCGAACUGAUACGCGUUUCAAACGGAAAAGAAAAAAAAAAUUUGGAAAAAGGAAAGGGCCAAAUCCGGCCGGAUUCUGACGUGUCCUCUACUGUUCAUCGCGGCUUCGAUUUUCGUUUUUUUUUAUUUUGUGAUUUUGACCUAUUUGCGCGCGUUGGUAAGCUUCGGAGCGCAUUAGAUCGACGUUAACUGAUCCGUAGUCCUGGCGAGAGCUGGGCAGGCAGUCCGCUAACCCCUUUGGUUCGCCUUAGGGGAAAGUGGGGCUGUUACAGAGUGGUUAUUGAACUUCCUCCUACACUUAAUGAAGCUUAAGUUGUGCUUAGUGGUAGCUAAAGUGCUGAAAUUUGUGGUUUAUUUCUUGGUUUGAGAUGAAUUGGUGAAGUUUUUAAUUUAGUUAUGAUUUUUCUGGUUGAAUUUGAUCAUGAUGUUGUGGCUGUCCAUGAUGGUUGGAAAUGAUGUUUAAUGACUCUAGUAGGUGUAAAUGAUUGGUAAUUGCAACCAAUUUUGGAUUUGGAAGGAAAUGUGAAAAGUUAGGGUUUCAUAACCCCCUUUUCUGUCCGGUUUUGUAUCUUAUGGUUAGAGGCCGAAUUGGCCUUCGCUUAAAACAUGAAAGUUGUAGGUAUUGACGUGUUUGAGGUGCCUGUAAAAUUUCAGGGAAAUUGGGGUAGUGUAGAGUGAGAAAUGUCGAAAUUACUAUUGCUGUUCUGGGUUCAUCAGCAUGGCAGAACUGCGCCUGUAAUUGGCUGUUUUGACUGGAAUUGCUUUGGAUUUGGUUGUUGAGGUCUUCUGAUGAAAUGUAGCUUGAUGUCUUAGCUACCAUAUGCCUUUGGAAUUUCCGAAUUUGGACCUGUACAGACUGAGUUGUACUGAUUACAGCAUAGUGUAAUUUGUAAACCUGUUUUGGUGGUUCUGGUUUAGUAUCUUGCAUAUUUAACCUGUUUGUACUAGGAAUUGGAAUGAGUGGCCUUCUACAUUGUUGUAUCCCUGGUUCUUAGCUUCGAAACGGUGGGUCUUACACCCUCAUCCGAUAAUCGUAGUGAAAUUGGUGCCAUUACCGCAAAAUAAGGACGUGACGGUGGCCAAAGCUAAUGCCAUUUCUUGAAUUUCUGGUUACUCAUGAUGCUUGUAUAUGCAUAUGAAACCCUAUUGGGGUUGUGAUUGGCAUUGCUUUAUGACUCAUUAUCGAGUCUUAUUGUAGUUGUUUGCAUGUUCUAGGGCGUGACGGUGGUUCACGACGUACUGGUGACGGCGGUGCAUGAAACACCACCUACUUGAUUGGUGAGUGCACUACUCACUUGAAUGCUUACAAUGUGGCUUUGCUAUAUGUGAUUGUGAUGCCUUGAAGGCUUAUUUGGAUAUUGGAAUUGAUUAAGGUGAGGGUGUACUUGACCGCCCUCACCCCUUUUGAUAGUAUUACUGAUUGUUUACCGUUUCACUGUAUUACUGAACUUGAUAUAUGAGUUAUUGAAUUCCAUUUCAUGGAAACCUGAUUUGGUGUCGUUUGGACGAAUAUCCAACGGCCUUACUGUAUUACUGAGCUCAACCCCGUUGAUAGUCAAUUGAAUCGAGCCGGCGAGGGCUUGGUCGUGAAAAUUGACAUGCCACGGGGACUGUACUGGGGAAUCUUGUAGUAAUGAGACUCUUGGUUCCGGUAUACUCGAGUAUUACCAAAAGCUACUGAUUGGAGUGCGGGCCCGGUUGGGGAAUGUUGGGUAGAAGGAAUGGAAGUGAAGUGAGGUCUACGGUUUGGUACUCUUAACAUUGACGGAGGGUCAAUGAGGUUGGAUCAAAACUGUAAGCGUGGAAAUGGGCUCUUGAGAGCCGUCCGUAUCCUUUUACCGUUUUGUUUCAUUCCUUAAUUGUGUACUUUAAUUGAAAGGUCAUGCUAUAUGCUCUUUGUUGCUUAUGUGGUAGUAACUCACUCGGCUUAAGCUCAUUCCGUUCCAUUUGUUUUCCUUACAGGAAAAUGACCACUUUUGGAAAAGAUUGUGUUAGUUGGUUGUCAAGUUGAGCUCAAGUAAAUGUAUCUUUUGAAUAGCUCUUUGAAUGAAACCCUAAUGUGUAUUGGGUUCAUUUUCUUUUGAUUGGCAAACCAAACAUGUAUAUUCAUGAUGAAUGGUUUUUGUGGCAUGCCAUUUGAUUGUAAAUGUUGAAUUUCAAUGUAUGUAUAUGUUGGAUUGAUGUUUGGUUGAACUCCGGAUUCUGACGUGUCCGGCACUGUUCAUCCGCGGCUUCGAUUUUCAUUUUUUUUUAUUUUGUGAUUUCGACCUGGUUGCGCGCGUUGGUGGGUUCCGGAACGUAUUAGAUCGACGUAAACUGACCCGUUAGUCCUGGCGAGAGCUGGGCAGGCAGUAGGAGAAGGUGGGGCUGUCACAUCUUGCAUGUUCUUCUCUAGUUCCCAAGUUGCUUCUUCCAUUUCGUGAUGUUUCCAUAGAACCUUAACCAGCGAAAUCUGUUUGUUCCUCAAGUCCCUCACCUUCUUGUCCAGUAUCCGAAUGGGUCGUUCCUCAUAGGUUAAAGACUCGUCCAGUUCAAUAUCUCCUGGUGGCAAAAUGUGACUCGGAUCUGGAUGGUACUUCUUAAGCAAGGAAACAUGAAACAUAUCGUGCCGAGAUAAACUAGCUGGUAACUCUAGUCGAUAAGCCACCUUCCCUAUUCGCUGAAGUAUACUGAAAGGUCCUAUGUAUCGUGGUUGCAACUUUUUCCCUUUUCCUGCCCUAAUCUUUCCUUUCAAAGGAGUAAUCCAUAGAAACACCUUAUCUCCUACUUCAAACUCCAAAUCCUUCCUUCGAUGGUUGGCAUAACUCUUUUGUCGGUUUUGGGUUGUUUGAAACCUCUGGCGGAUCACCUUUACCCUUUCGUAAGCUUCUUCAACCUAAGGUAUUGUAGCCGGAUCAAUAAUCUUCCUCUCUCCUACUUCAUCCCAAUGGAUUGGAGAUCGAUACCUUUGUCCAUACAAUGCCUCAUAUGGGGCCAUCUGAAUAGAAGAAUGGUAGCUAUUGUUGUACGCAAACUCAACUAGGGUUAGAUACUGGCUCCAACUCCCCCCAAAAUCAACUAUACAGGCUCUCAACAUAUCUUCAAGAGUUUGAACGGUUCUCUCAGAUUGUCCAUUAGUUUGAGGAUGAUACGCUGUACUAUAAUUCAACUUAGUUCCUAGAGCCUCCUGUAAUUUCUGCCAGAAUCGAGAUACAAAUUUGGGGUCUCUAUCAGAUACGAUACUCACUGGUACCCCAUGUAACCUCACAAUUUCAUCCAUAUAGAGUUUGGCAAGCUUCUCCAAGGAAUAUUUCAUGUUAACUGGUAAGAAAUGGGCGGUCUUAGUUAAUUGGUCUACUAUUACCCAAACCGCAUCAUGCCCCUUUUGUGUUCGUGGUAACCCUGAUACAAAAUCCAUUGUUAUGUGCUCCCACUUCCAUUUAGGGAUCUCCAAGGGCUGUAAUAAACCUGACGGUCUUUGGUGCUCAACUUUCACCUGUUGGCACGUAAGACACUUUUGUACAAACUGGGCAAUCUCCACCUUCAUGUUAUCCCACCAAUACAGACUUUUGAGAUCCUGGUACAUCUUAUUACUCCCUGGAUGCACUGUAUACCUAGAACGGUGAGAUUCCUCCAAAAUCUCUCUCUUUAACUUUUCGUCCUUAGGUACUACGACGCGAUUUCGAAACUUUAAAAUUCCAUCAGGGCCUAGGUUAAAGUUAGGCAACUCCCCUUUCUUCACUUUUUCCACCUAUUUUUGCACCAUUGGGUCCUUCACUUGGCUUUCUUUAAUCCGAUCCAACAAUGUCGACUUCACCUCAAUAUUUCCAAAAACCACCUUUUUCGGUUCCAGACGAGGUUUCCACUUACAUACAUCUUCUAACAAGCUCCACUCUCCCACCAUGGAACUCGCUAGUUGGGCCUUUCAACUUAAAACAUCUGCUACAACAUUGGCUUUUCCAGGAUGAUAAUUAAUGGUACAAUCAUAAUCUUCUAAGAAUUCCACCCACCGACGUUGUCUUAAAUUUAGCUCCUUCUGAGAAAAUAGAUACUUAAGACACUUGUGAUCCGUAUACACUUCAAAGGUUACUCCAUAGAGAUAAUGCCUCCAUUUCUUCAAAGCGAACACAACAGCUGCAAGUUCCCAGUCAUGGGUUGGAUAGUUCUGCUCAUGAGGUUUUAACUUCCGAGAUGCAUAGGCAAUCACAUUCCUAUUUUGCAUCAAAACACACCCUAAUCCCUCUCUUGAGGCAUCGGUAUAAACUGUAUAGCCAUCUGUCCCAUUGGGCAAAACUAGUACUGGAGUCGUGGUCAAUUGCCUUUUUAGUUCUUGGAAAUCGCUCUCACACUUAACAUCCCAAAUGUACUUUCCUUGUUUCUUGGUCAAGUUAGUUAAGGGUCCCGCAAUUUUUGGGAAGUUCUUUAUAAAUCGACGGUAGUACCCUGCUAAACCUAGGAAGCUUCGCACCUCUGUGGGAUUCUCUGGCCGCUUCCAUUUGGCUACAGCUUCCACUUUCGCCGGGUCUACAGCAAGCCCAUCUUUUGAGAUUAUAUGACCUAGGAACGCCAUUUUUUCCAGCCAAAAUUCACACUUACUAAAUUUAGCAAACAGCUGGUGCUCUCUUAGGGUUUGCAAUACUAUCCUCAAGUGUUGCUCAUGCUCCUCCCUUGACUUCGAAUAUACUAGGAUAUCAUUAAUGAACACCACUACAAACCUAUCCAAGUAAGGUUUAAACACUCAAUGCAUUAAAUCCAUGAAUGCCGCUGGAGCAUUGGUUAAGCCAAAAGGCAUUACCGCAAACUCAAAAUGCCCAUACCGAGUGUUAAAUGCCGUUUUUGGUACAUCCUCCUUUCUGAUUCUUAACUGGUAGUAUCCCUGUCGAAGAUCCAAUUUCGAAAACACCACAGCCCCUUAUAACUGAUCAAACAACUCAUCAAUGUGGGGUAAAGGAUAUUUGUUCUUAACAGUUACUGCAUUCAAUCCUCGAUAGUCAAUGCACAAUCUUAAACUCCCGUCUUUCUUUUUAACAAAUAGCACUGGAGCUCCCCACAGCGACUCGUUCUCAUGUAUGAACCCCCGUUCUAGGAAAUCCUGCAAUUGCACCUUUAACUCCUUAAGCUCAGCAAGUGCCAUUCGAUAAGGGGUUUUAGAGAUGGGAGUAGUUCCAGGUACUAGAUCAAUCUUAAACUCAAUCUCUCUUUCAGGUGGCAGUGACCCCAAUUCCUCCGGAAAUAUGUCCGGGUAUUCACUGAUCAACGGCAUGUCUUCCAACUUCAUCUUUUCCCCCGGAGUGUUAACUAGAAAGGCUAGAUUACCGCGUGCCCCUCGACUAAGCAAUUUCCUAGCCCUUAUUUCCGAAAUAAACGCAGAUGAGGCUAACAUACCCCUUACGUCUAACUUCAAAGUUGUCUCACCUGGUAUGCAAAACUCUACUACCUUUAUCCUACAAUCUACCCGAGCAUGGUAAUGAGCUAGCCAAUCCAUACCUAGAAUGACAUCGUACCCCUUAAUGGCUAGACUAAUGAGGUCUACCACCAAUUUCCGCUCACCAAUCCAAAUAUCACAGUUUCUAUACACCUCAUUCGCAAGUAAGGUUUGAUUACCUGUAGGUGUUCUUACUUCUAAGUCAUAAGGUAGCCUUUCAACUUUCAUGUCAAUUCCAAGCAUAAAUGUAGGGUUAACGAAAGAAUGAGUAGCACCGGGAUCUAUCAAAAUUUUGGCUAACCGGUGAAAAACAGGGAUCGUACCUUCUACUACCUCCGUUGGUUCAGGUACGGAUUGUUAGUCCAGCGAAUACACUCUGGCCGGUACCCUCGACCUGGUCCCUCCAACAUUGGUCGGCUUUGGGUUUGACCUGGCAGUCGACUGACUAUCACGGAUCAACGGGCAGUUGACUAUCUGGUACUCCAUACUUCCACAUGUUAGGCACUUCCGAGCCUUUCUCCAGCACUCAUCCUCGAUAUGGUUCGGUUUUCCACAAUAUCUGCAUGUUACUCGGGGAGUGGAGGUCUGGCCUCUCUGUGGAAUUCCUCUACCUUGCCCCCUACCACUUUGGCCUCCCCUCUGGGCACCUCCUGUGACGGCCCUACCUUCCCCUAGGGCGUACCCCAGGGUUCGGGGGGCUGCCUGCCUAGCUCGCGCCAGGGCUCGAAACACAAAGCUAAUAAAACAAUAUUAAACCACAAGAGAACUAUUCAUAAUAUAUACAACCGCCAAAAGUUCUAUUUACAUCUUCAAAAGUAUCGAGCCAAACCACUCUAAUACACUAUAACUACAACCAGCAGAAGAUAGACCCUAAGGAGGGUCCUUAUACAAACCACCAAAACAAAACAAACAUACUAUAUGUCCGACCAUUACAAUCAAACCUAACUAUACUAGUGUACGUGCCAAAAGUCCCCGCGUCGGCCCCUGCUAAGGAAAACAAAUGGAACGGGGUAAGCUAUAUGCUUAGUAAGUAAACAGGGGCGAAAGCGUAAAUUUCACGUAACAACAGUUACACAGUAAGAGUAAAGCAAAAGCAGAAAAGUAACAUCACAUAAUAAGGAUACAGGUGGCUCCAAAGCCAAUUCAUGUGCCAUGUAUGAUCUCCUGCCGACACUCCGUCGACCUCAAUUAAUGGUCCGUAGAACUUCACUUGUACUCCCACCGUACACCUUAUCACCCUCUCUGGCCAGGCACCUCACAAACUUGCUCGAGCGAACGAAAUUGAGCUUGGUUCACAAGCUCGGGUCACAAACUUGGUCCACAUAAUCGGUGAACCGGAUUCACAAACUUGGUGACCUCAAACCAGGUUGGACUGACUUCGACCAAGCCCUAACCGGCUCGAAUAGUCCAGCUAGGUCAUGAGAUCGGGCCCCAAACUCACAAACUUCACAAAAUUUAUUCAAAAGUCACCCCGAGCCACAACCUCAAGGGGUUUAGUUCCAAAAUGAUUCAUAUACAUAUGUCAUGUACAAAUAUGUGCGCAAACUAGGGUUUAGGUCGAGUGCGAUAAAGUACACCCUCGCCUAGGUACCCUUUUCAUACAUAUCAAAACACAUAAGCAACUAACACGUAAGAGCGGCCUGAAUACUUACACAACGAACAAAAGAGCAAAAGUUCGAAAUUUGUGCCGCGAGGAGUAGCUAGUAGGCCCCACCGGCUCCACCUAGCUCACCACCGUUUGAAAUAGAAGAUUGCAUCACAUAAUAUCAUAAACGGCUACUAAUAUGCCUAAAACAAGCAAAACGGCAAAAUCGGCACAUACGAGUGCGGAAACGGCACACGGAAACGGGAAUGGCGGCCUAGCCAUUUUGCCAUCAAAACUGUUUUGAGCCUAAUCGAAGCUAUGAGUGUCGGAUCAAGGUACAUGAGGUACCGUUACGAAGCUAAGAGAAAAGUCUAUAACUUUCAUGAAGACCUGUAACUCCGGAUCUGAACAGAGAUGGGUCGAAAGUGCAGAAAAUCGUUCCAGGAAUUCGCACUCCAAAGUAACGGACAGGGUAUGUUUGCUGGACUAUAACUCCCAGCUCACAAAUCCAAAUCAGGAGAUUUCAAAGGCAUUAGAAAGCUGAGACAUAAGGCUAAAACUUUGAUGUUUUGCCCAAGACCUGAAUCCACUCAGAACAGAACGAAAUUUGAGUGUCAAAGUACCCGUCAGAACUGUCCAGAUUCAAAGGCAGUUCUGACGAUCGAUCUUGUUUUGGUCAUAACGGGAGCUACGGAACUCGGAUUUUGACGCACUUUAUACCGUUUCGAAGCUAAAACCAAGAUCUAAAUUUCUCAUGAAGGAGUAUACACCCAGAUCGUACAGUAUCAAAACCGAAAAAGUCACGGGCAGAAGCUAAACUAAAAACGCACAGAAUCUGAUGUUCAAAACAGGCUUGAGUAUUUCAUCUAUAACUCAGGAUACGCUAAUCCGUUUGACCUGAAAUUUUACAGGCAUAUUCAGGACUUAAGAGGUUACAAUGUUGAAGAAGGCCACUCCAUCCAAUUUCGAGUGUAACUACGUCCAAAAUGUAAUAUACUACACCAGAAUCACAAAACAGGUUCACAAACCGUAUUCUAGUGCAAACAUCAUAAAACAGCCUACAUAAGUCCAAAUCCAGAAAUUCCAAAGCCAUCCAAAAGUUUAGAAACAGGGUUACAUUUCAUCAGAAGACCUAAACAACCAAUUCUGAAGCAUUCGAAACCAAAAUAACCAAUUACAAUCGCAGUUCUCAGGUUCGGGUAGAAACAGGACAGCAAGGGUAAUUCCGUCUUUUCACAAGCUACGCUACUCCGAUCGACCUGAAAUUUUUUAGGUAACUAUAAAAUACUAUUCUGUACAACUUUCAUGUUUUGUACUAAGGCCAAUUCGUCCUCUAACCUUGUCAAACAGAAACGGGCAGAACUGGAACCUAGAAUUUCAGAAAUCUGGAUUCCAAGCAUAUAAGUGCUAAUCCUCACAAAUUGAACUUGAAACACCCCUACUGUGACAGCCCCACCUUCCCCUAAGGCGAACCAGAGGGGUUAGCGGACUGCCUGCCCAGCUCUCGCCAGGACUAACAGUACGUUUUACGUCGUUCUAUUACGAUCCGGAACAUACCGUUGCGCGCAAACAAGCCAAAACUCAAAACUCUUUUUUUUUUUUUUCCUUCCAUCACAAUCCGGCCGGCAAUCCGGCCAAGAUCCGGCCGGAUUGUCUGGCCGGAUACCCGGCCGAGAGCAACUGGCCGGGUUCCAUUUUUCCCCCAGGCAAUCCGGCCUGCAAUCCGGCCAGUUUCUGGCCGGAUUCCUGGCCGGAUUCGCCACUGUUCACGCUCGGCAAAAUUUUUUUCCCGUUUUCGUUUGAAGUCGUAUCGAUCCGAAAUCAAUCCAAACAUCAACCAAACAUAUAUAUACAUUGGAAAUCAACAUUUACAAGCCAAACGGCCUACCAAAGUAUCCAUUUAGUUCAUACAUAUCCAAGUAGCCAAUUACACACCAAACAUUGGUGGAAUCAAAGUACUUAGGGUUUUCACCCUCAAGGAGCUAUUCAAAAUACAUAUACAUGAGCUCGACUUGCAUUCAACUAUCAUAACCUUUCCAAAAGUGUUCAUUUGCCUGUAAGGAAAACAAAUAACACGGAAUGAGCUAAAGCCCAGUGGUAUACCACCCAAUAAGCAAUCAAAGUCAUAUAAGAAUGAACUUUCAUUUAAAGUGCUCAAAUAAGCAAUGAAGCAAAACGGUAAAAGGAUACGGUCGGCUCUCAAGAGCCCAUUUCCACGCUUGCAAUCUUGAUCCAACCUCAUUGACCCUCCGUCAAUGUCAAAAGUAUCAAACCGUAGACCACACUUUACUUCCACUUCCUUCCACCCAACAUACCCCAACCGGGCCCGCACUCCAUUCAGUAAUAUUUUGGUAAUACUCGAGUUUACCGGAACCAAGGGUCUCAUUACCACAAGGUUCCCCAGUACAGUCCCCGUGGCAUGAUAAUUUUCACGACCAAGCCCUCGCCGGCUCGAUCCAAUUAACUACCAUACGGGGUUGAGCUCAUAAAUGCAGUAAAGCCAUUGGAUACUCGUCCAACGACACCAAAUCAGUUUCCAUGAAUGGAAUGCAGUAUCUCAUAUACCCAGUGCAGUAUUUCAGUAAAACAAUCAGUAGCCAUAACCAAAAUCACAAGGGGUGAGGGCGAUCAAGUACACCCUCACCUCAAUCAUUUCCAAUAACCAAGUAAGCCUUCAAGGCAUCAAAUACACAUAGCUCAAAGCCACAUUAUAACAAGUAAGUGAGUAGUAUACUCACCAAGUAAGUAAGUGGUAUUUCAUGUACCACGAUCACCAAGCCGUCGUGCACUACCUUCAUGCCCUAGAACAUAUAACACAUACAAUGAGACUCGAUAACGAGUCAUAUAGCAACGCUAAACACAACCCCAAUAGGGUUUCAUAUACAUAAGUGUGCAUAAAAGCAACCCAGAAAUUCGAAAAUGGCCUUAGCCAUGGCCCCCAUAUAGAAAACUGUUUUACACUCAUUAUGCGGUAAUGGCACAACUCUCAUUACAAUUAUCGGUUGGGGGUGUAAGACCCACCGUUUCGAAGCUAUGAAACAGGGCUAAAACAAUGUAGAAGGUCACUCAAUCCAGUUCGUAACACAACUAGGUCAACUAUGCCAAAUACUAACCCAGAAUUCCUAAAACAGGUUUGCAAAACACAAAAAACUGUAAUCGGUAUAUCUCAGUCCUUACAAGUCCAAAUGCCGAAAUUCCAAAGGCAUAUGUUAGCUAAGACACUCAGCUACAUUUCAUCAGAAGACACCAACUCCAAAAUCCAAACCAAUUCCAGUCAAAAUGGCCAAUUACUAUCGCAGUUUUCGCAUUCUGCUCAAAGCAGAACAGCUACAGUAAUUGCGUCAUAUCUCAUUCCACAUUAAUCCAAAUGACCUAAAAUUUUACAGGCAUCUCCAUCACAUCAAUACCUACAACUUUCAUGUUUUGAGCAAAGUCAAAUUCGGCCUCUAACACAGUGAUCUAAAACCGGACAGAAUUGGGGCUUCAAGAACCCUAACUUUCCAAUUUUCCAUCCAAAUCCAAAAUUAGUUGCAUUUUCCUAUCCAAUACACCUCAUAGAGUCAUUAUCAACCAAUACCAUUCAUCAUGCAAAGCCACAACCUUCAUUUCAUAUUAAACCAGAAAAAUUCUCAAUAAAAUGAAAACUUCACCAUAUCAAGCCAAAUCAAGAAAUAAAUCACAUUUUACUCCUCUCAUGCCUCCAUUAAGCACAAAAUAAGCAUCAUUAGAGAUAGUAGGGUGUUUCAAGCUUCACUUACCAAGAACCAAGAGAGAGAGAGAUGUUGACCACCUUAGGCCUUCAAACAAAGUUCACCAAACAACUUACUAUCACUAGAAGGAAGAGUUUUAUGGAGUGGAAUUGGAUGUAACCAAUGGUUUUGGUUGAUUUGCUCCAAGUAGAAGCUUGAAUGUUGAAGAAAGUUCCUUCCUUCCUUGCUCAAGGUGGCCGGCCAACAAGAGGUAAGAAAAUGGUGAAUUUUGGUGAAAUUUUGGAUAUUUAAUUCCUUGGGUCAAAAGGUCAAAAAAAUGUCAAAAGGUGAAUAGUACUUCUUAAGUCACAACCAAUGAGAUUGUGACACAUGGCACCUUAUUAAAUGCAUUCCUAUCCUUCUUUUCUCUCUCACAUCAAUCACUUCACACACUCCACUUAUCUCUUAACACCCGAUAAAUUAUACACAGUAUCCGAAACUUAACCUUAUUGGCCGAAUUUUUCUGAACUUUUCGCACUAGUGGGUCCCACGUCCACUAUUUACUCUUAAUUUUCUAAAAAUUCUCCAGUGCUAGAAAAAUCAUCUUAAAACUAUAAAUGCUCAUAAAAUCCUCUCAAAAAAAAUAUUUCUAAGCCAGAAAAUGCAAAAUUAUGCAAUUAAAAGGGGAAAUAACCCUAGGAAAAAUAUUAGGGUUUUACGGGCUCUCACACUCUCCCCUCCUUAAAAGAAUUUCGUCCUCGAAAUUUCUCACCUUAAUUCCCGAAAAGGUUUGGGUAUUUCUUUCGCAUUUCCUCUUCCAUCUCCCAUGUAGCUUCCUCCACUCCGUGGUUUCUCCAUAGCACUUUCACUAGCGGAAUCUUCUUGUUUCUGAGCUCUUUGACUUUUCGAUCGAGUACUUGAACCGGUUUCUCUUCAUAGGCCAGUGAUUCAUCUACUUCGAUAUCUUCCGGUUGUAAAACAUGAGAUGGGUCAGGAUGGUACUUCUUUAGCAUCGAGACGUGAAAUACAUCGUGGAUUCGAGAGAGACUGGAUGGCAGUUCCAAUCGAUACGCGACCGCUCCAACCCUCUGAAGGAUCUUGUAGGGUCCGACGUACCGCGGUUGAAGCUUCUUUCCUUUCCCCAUUGUCAGACUUCGUAAGGGUGUGAUCUUGAGAAAUACGUAGUCUCCAACUUCAAACUCCAAGUCUUUCCUUCGAUUAUCCGCGUAGCUCUUUUGUCGACUUUGAGCUGUUUGAAGUCGUUGUCGUAUCAACUUGACCUUCUCAUGAGCCUCUUCCAUCCACGGAAUAGUUGUCAGGUCCAGUGCCUUCUUUUCGCCAACUUCAUCCCAGUAAAUCGGUGAGCGGCACUUGCGUCCGUAGAGAGCUUCGUACGGAGCCAUUUGAAUCGACGAAUGAAAGCUAUUGUUGUACGCGAACUCCACCGAGGUCAUGUGCUGACCCCAACUGCCUCCAAAGUCCAGAAUGCAAGUUCGUAGCAUGUCCUCGAGAGUUUGAAUCGUCCGUUCUGACUGGCCAUCCGUCUGAGGGUGAUAGGUUGUGCUCAAAUUGAGUUUCGUCCCCAGGGUUUCUUGGAAUUUCUGCCAAAAUCGUGAUACGAACCGUGGAUCCCGAUCGGAAACGAUGCUCACAGGAACACCGUGUAGUCUUACUACUUCGUCCAUGUACAGUCGGGCCAACUGAUCCAUUGAAUACUUCAUGUUCACCGGCAAGAAAUGGGCCGAUUUGGUUAAUCGAUCAACGAUCACCCAAACGGCAUCGUGUCCCCUUUGCGUCCUUGGUAAACCUAAAACGAAGUCCAUAGUGAUGUUUUCCCACUUCCACUCGGGUAUCUCCAAGGGUUGUAAUAGACCCGAUGGUUUUUGAUGCUCUGCCUUCACUUGCUGGCAAAUAAGACAUUUCUGCACGUAUUGAGCUAUUUCCCUCUUCAUAUUAUCCCACCAAUAGGUCCCUUUUAGGUCUUGAUACAUCUUGCUGCUACCUGGAUGGAUUGUAUACUUGGACCGAUGAGCUUCCUCCAGAAUUUCUGCUUUUAAUGACUCGUCCUUUGGUACUACAAUUCGGUUCCGAUACUUCAGAAGACCCUCAGGACUCAAAUUGAAGUCCGUAGUUUCUCCCUUUUCCACUUUCUCUCUCCACUUCCGCACCAUCAAAUCAUUGCCUUGCGCCUCUUUUAUACGUUCCAGUAGAGUGGAUGUAACCCUAAUAUUGCCAAAUAUCACCUUAUGGCUCCCAAGACAGGGUUUCCACUCGCACACGAAUUCUAGCAAAUCCCAUUCCUUGAUCAUUAGCCCUGCCACUUGCACUUUACGACUCAAGGCAUCUGCUACCACAUUUGCCUUUCCCGGAUGGUAGUUGAUUGUACAAUCGUAAUCUUCCAAGAAUUCCAUCCAUCGCCGUUGUCUCAUAUUCAGUUCCUUCUGGGAGAAAAGGUACCUAAGACUCUUGUGAUCCGAAAACACUUCGAAGGUCACCCCAUAUAGGUAGUGCCUCCACUUUUUCAAAGCAAACACAACAGCGGCUAAUUCUAGGUCGUGAGUCGGGUAGUUCUGCUCGUGAAGCUUCAAUUUCCUAGAGGCGAAAGCUAUCACAUUUCGGUUCUGCAUCAAAACACACCCCAAUCCCUCUCGCGACGCGUCCGCAUAUACUGCAAACCCGUCCACUCCAUUUGGCAAGACCAGUACCGGAGCCAUGGUCAAUCUUUUCUUUAAUUCCUGAAAACUCGUUUGGCAUCGGCCGCUCCAGAUAAACUGGCCAUGCUUCUUCGUCAAGUCAGUUAAUGGUCCGGCUAACUUGGAGAAAUCUUUAAUGAACCUUCGGUAAUACCCAGCUAGCCCUAGAAAGCUGCGAAUCUCCGUGGGGGUUUCUGGCCUCUUCCAAUUGGUCACAGCUUCAACCUUCGCCGGGUCCACUGCAAUACCUUCAUGAGAGAUCACGUGCCCUAGAAAUGCCACUUUCUCCAACCAGAACUCACAUUUACUGAACUUGGCGUAUAGCUGAUGUUCCUUCAAUGUCUGCAACACCACUCUCAAGUGCUCCUCAUGCUCCUCGCGUGACUUAGAGUAGACCAAAAUGUCGUCAAUGAACACCACGACAAAUCGGUCCAGGUAGGGUUUGAAAACCCUAUGCAUUAGGUCCAUGAAGGCGGCGGGAGCAUUAGUCAAUCCAAAGGGCAUAACGGCGAACUCGUAAUGCCCGUAUCUCGAGUUGAAGGCAGUUUUCGGAAUGUCCUCCUUCUUUAUCAAUAACUGAUAGUAUCCCUGUCGGAGGUCCAACUUCGAGAAGACCACUGCUCCUUGCAGCUGGUCAAACAACUCGUCAAUGUGGGGCAGUGGAUACUUGUUCUUGAUCGUAACGUUGUUCAACCCCCUAUAAUCAAUACACAUCCUCAACGUUCCGUCCUUUUUCUUCACAAAUAGGACCGGAGCUCCCCAAGGAGACUCACUCUCGUGAAUGAAUCCCCGCUCCAAAAGGUCUUGCAAUUGCAACUUAAGCUCUUUAAGUUCCGCAGGCGCCAUUCGGUAAGGGGUUUUGGAGAUAGGUGCGGUUCCAGGUAAAAGAUCUAUACGGAAUUCUAUCUCUCUUUCCGGAGGUAAGGCUACUAACUCAUCAGGAAACACAUCCGGAAAUUCCCUCACUACAGCCACGUCUUCCACUUUUAACUUAUCCGCUGGGGUAUUAAUUAGAAAGGCCAAAUAGCCUUGCGCCCCUCUACUUACCAGUUUCCUAGCUCGAAUGCCCGAAAUGAGAGCAGAUGAGGCUAACCUACCCCUUAUAUCUAACCUUAAGGUUGCCUCGCCAGGAAUGCGAAAUUCAACUAUUUUCGUUUUACAGUCCAGUUGGGCGUUAUACUUAGCUAACCAGUCCAUACCCAAAAUCACGUCGUACCCCUUAAUGGACAAGCUAAUCAGGUCUCCUAAAAACCUCCGCUCACCUACCCAUACAUCACAAUCCUUAUAAACCAUACUAGUCACCAAACGUUGAUUCCCCGUAGGUGUACUAACCUCUAAGUCAUAUGGUAAGCUAGCAGGUUUUAUAUCGAUGCCACACAUGAAAUCAGGGUUAACAAACGAAUGAGUGGCACCAGGAUCAAUUAAAACUUUGGCAAAGCGGUGGAAAAUAGGGAUCGUACCUUCUACGACCUCGGAAGACUCUGGGAUCUGGUGGGGCUCUAAGGAAUAUACCCUAGCCGGAACUUUUGGUUUGGAUCCGUCUCCCUUAGCCGGUCCAGUAUUGGUUCUCGACGGGAGUUGGCUCCCCUUUCCGUCUUGUUUCAGGACCGGACAUGUAGCCAGCUGAUGGUCCGCACUUCCACACCGCAGACAUUUCCCCAGUUUCCUCCAGCAAUUGUCCUCGGUGUGGUUUGUCUUUCCGCAGUGCCCACAGGGACCACGAGAUGCCGAAGCCGAGCCACUCUGGGUGUUUCCCUUCGGUCCUCGCCCAGCUUGACCACCCCUGAACGGAGUCCCUCUGCCAGAUCCGGACUGUUGACCACCACCCAUGCCUCGUCCAAUUUUGGAGGGAGUGCUCCUCUCACCCUGUCCCGAAGUACUCCCAGGAAAGCCACGCUUCUUGGCUUGGAAAUUUCGGACCUAAAGCCGUGCACUCUCAACCCGUUGGGCUUUUUCCAUUGCCUCGCUAAACGUGGUAAUUUGAGCCGCCGCGAGGUCCUUCUGGAUCUCAACAUUCAAGCCCUGAAUAAAGCGCCUCACGCGUCGUUGCUCGGUCAUGAUUAAUUCAGGCGCGAAUUUGGACAGGCGGGUAAACUGGCUCUCGUACUCCGCCACCGUCUGAGCCCCUUGCCGGAGCCGAAUAAACUCGUCCUCCUUCCUCUCCUGGACUAGAGGAGGGAAAAACUUGGCAUUAAAUUCCCGGAUGAAGUUCACCCACGUCCUCGGAGUCUGCUCACGCUCCCAUUUCUGCCUAAUUACGUUCCACCAGGAACGGGCAGCUCCCUCGAGUUGAAAAACGGCAAAAGUGACCUGCCGUUCGUCCGGGUAGUGUAGGGCCGCGAAUAUAUCAACCAUUUUCUCAAGCCACUUCUCGGCGACGUCAGGGUCGGGUCCCCCAAUAAACUUUGGUGGGGAAAACUUUUGAAAACGUUCGAGAGCUCUAUCCUCGCUCUCAACGUGGUUACCAGGAUUUCCGGGGUUAGGGUUUGGGUUUUGGCCCUGUUGUUGCACUACCUGUGCAAGUAGGUUGGUCAUUUGCUGCAUAGCAGCAGCUAUUUGCACAUUAGGGUCUAUUUGGGGUUCAGGAUUCGGUCCAGUAGAAGCUUCCCCCGUUUCCCUAACUGGUAUGGGUUGCCUAAUACCGCGCCCACGUCCCCGACCACUUCGCGUUCCUUCCAUAAGGUAUACUUGGUCUAGGCAAAAGUACUAAACCAAAGCAAUAACAAAGCAUAUAAGUAACAAAUAAACUUUCACUUAGCACAUAACGAUGCAUUUCAAACAAGAUCAAAAGCACACAUAUAUACAAGCCAAACAUAUAUACAAGCAGUCAGUCAGGUACGGCCAAAGCACGUACGUACACAAAAGAUCCACCUGAGGAUAGGCCUAUCAAAAGAGAUUUACACGUAGCUAACUCUACAUCCAAAACGGUUAGCUAAGGCUCUAUCCCUAUCCCUAUGUACAUUCCAAAAACCACCACUAGCCCAUAAGGUGCCUAGAUAUCAUAGCUUAGUCGGUUGCCGGGGUCUGAGACCCAGGCGAUGGGGUAGAUUCCUCCCUAGCCUCGGCCCCAGCAUACGAGGCCUCAUCGCUAGACUCCUCGAGUCCAUCGUCGCAUAGGUUAAGGAUCGCUUCAGCACGACCCCUCACUUUGCGAGCUCGCUUGACCUCACGCUCGCGACCAUCCCUCAGUUGAUCACAUAAGUCAUUAACUCGGUCCUCCGCCUCAUUCACAUCAUACUCAAGCUCCAUGAUACGGGCGGCUUGCUUGUCAUUGGUCGCCUUCGCCUGAGCCACCUCAGCCUCCAAGGUAGCAACCGCAGCUUCAAGCUUAGUAUUUUCCUUAGCAAACUCCUCGCGUUCCUUUGCCACCGACAAAACUAGUGUAUUUGGGUAGGCAAAGUUGCUACGACACUCACACUGUCGAACGCGGCUGGCCGGGCUCCAACGGACCACGGCUCCCUUCUGCCUAAGUUGAUACCUAAUCGGCGGCAACGUGCUACGAGGACGAUCUCCCGCCGGACGGUCACUCGGGUCACCACUGGCAUCCAUCCUAUAGCAAAGGAAAAAAUAACAUGAAUAACCUUAAAAACCAUAAUCAAUAAAACCCUCAAGUCGAGCACUUCUAUUACACCCAGGUUAAUUCAAACUUAGGCUCUGAUACCACCUGUGACAGCCCCACCUUCCCCUAAGGCGAACCAGAGGGGUUAGCGGACUGCCUGCCCAGCUCUCGCCAGGACUAACAGUACGUUUUUACGUCGUUCUAUUACUAUCCGGAACAUACCGUUGCGCGCAAACAAGCCAAAACUCAAAACUCUUUUUUUUUUUUCCUUCCAUCACAGUCCGGCCGGCAAUCCGGCCAAGAUCCGGCCGGAUUGUCUGGCCGGAUACCCGGCCGAGAGCAACUGGCCGGGUUCCAUUUUUCCCCCAGGCAAUCCGCCCUGCAAUCCGGCCAGUUUCUGGCCGGAUUCGCCACUGUUCACGCUCGGCAAAAAUUUUUUCCCGUUUUCGUUUGAAGUCGUAUCGAUCCGAAAUCAAUCCAAACAUCAACCAAACAUAUAUAUACAUUGGAAAUCAACAUUUACAAGCCAAACGGCCUACCAAAGUAUCCAUUUAGUUCAUACAUAUCCAAGUAGCCAAUUACACACCAAACAUUGGUGGAAUCAAAGUACUUAGGGUUUUCACCCUCAAGGAGCCAUUCAAAAUACAUAUACAUGAGCUCAACUUGCAUUCAACUAUCAUAACCUUUCCAAAAGUGUUCAUUUGCCUGUAAGGAAAACAAAUAACACGGAAUGAGCUAAAGCCCAGUGGUAUACCACCCAAUAAGCAAUCAAAGUCAUAUAAGAAUGAACUUUCAUUUAAAGUGCACAAAUAAGCAAUGAAGCAAAACGGUAAAAGGAUACGGUCGGCUCUCAAGAGCCCAUUUCCACUCUUGCAAUCUUGAUCCAACCUCAUUGACCUUCCGUCAAUGUUAAAAGUACCAAACCGUAGACCACACUUUACUUCCAUUCCUUCCACCCAACAUACCCCAACCGGGCCCGCACUCCAUUCAGUAAUAUUUUGGUAAUACUCGAGUUUACCGGAACCAAGGGUCUCAUUACCACAAGGUUCCCCAGUACAGUCCCCGUGGCAUGAUAAUUUUCACGACCAAGCCCUCGCCGGCUCGAUCCAAUUAACUACCAUACGGGGUUGAGCUCAUAAAUGCAGUAAAGCCAUUGGAUACUCGUCCAACGACACCAAAUCAGUUUCCAUGAAUGGAAUGCAGUAUCUCAUAUACCCAGUGCAGUAUUUCAGUAAAACAAUCAGUAGCCAUAACCAAAAUCACAAGGGGUGAGGGCGAUCAAGUACACCCUCACCUCAAUCAUUUCCAAUAACCAAGUAAGCCUUCAAGGCAUCAAAUACACAUAGCACAAAGCCACAUUAUAACAAGUAAGUGAGUAGUAUACUCACCAAGUAAGUAAGUGGUAUUUCAUGUACCACGAUCACCAAGCCGUCGUGCACUACCUUCAAGCCCUAGAACAUAUAACACAUACAACGAGACUCGAUAACGAGUCAUAUAGCAACGCUAAACACAACCCCAAUAGGGUUUCAUAUACAUAAGUGUGCAUAAAAGCAACCCAGAAAUUCGAAAAUGGCCUUAGCCAUGGCCCCCAUAUAGAAAACUGUUUUACACUCAUUAUGCGGUAAUGGCACAACUCUCAUUACAAUUAUCGGUUGGGGGUGUAAGACCCACCGAUUCGAAGCUAUGAAACAGGGCUAAAACAAUGUAGAAGGUCACUCAAUCCAGUUCGUAACACAACUAGGUCAACUAUGCCAAAUACUAACCCAGAAUUCCUAAAACAGGUUCGCAAAACACAAAACACUGUAAUCGGUAUAUCUCAGUCCUUACAAGUCCAAAUGCCGAAAUUCCAAAGGCAUAUGUUAGCUAAGACACUCAGCUACAUUUCAUCAGAAGACACCAACUCCAAAAUCCAAACCAAUUCCAGUCAAAAUGGCCAAUUACUAUCGCAGUUUUCGCAUUCUGCUCAAAGCAGAACAGCUACAGUAAUUGCGUCAUAUCUCAUUCCACAUUAAUCCAAAUGACCUGAAAUUUUACAGGCAUCUCCAUCACAUCAAUACCUACAACUUUCAUGUUUUGAGAAAAGUCAAAUUCGGCCUCUAACACAGUGAUCUAAAACCGGACAGAAUUGGGGCUUCAAGAACCCUAACUUUCCAAUUUUCCAUCCAAAUCCAAAAUUAGUUGCAUUUUCCUAUCCAAUACACCUCAUAGAGUCAUUAUCAACCAAUACCAUUCAUCAUGCAAAGCCACAACCUUCAUUUCAUAUUAAACCAGAAAAAUUCUCAAUAAAAUGAAAACUUCACCAUAUCAAGCCAAAUCAAGAAAUAAAUCACAUUUUACUCCUCUCAUGCCUCCAUUAAGCACAAAAUAAGCAUCAUUAGAGAUAGUAGGGUGUUUCAAGCUUCACUUACCAAGAACCAAGAGAGAGAGAGAUGUUGACCACCUUAGGCCUUCAAACAAAGUUCACCAAACAACUUACUAUCACUAGAAGGAAGAGUUUUAUGGAGUGGAAUUGGAUGUAACCAAUGGUUUUGGUUGAUUUGCUCCAAGUAGAAGCUUGAAUGUUGAAGAAAGUUCCUUCCUUCCUUGCUCAAGGUGGCCGGCCAACAAGAGGUAAGAAAAUGGUGAAUUUUGGUGAAAUUUUGGAUAUUUAAUUCCUUGGGUCAAAAGGUCAAAAAAAUGUCAAAAGGUGAAUAGUACUUCUUAAGUCACAACCAAUGAGAUUGUGACACAUGGCACCUUAUUAAAUGCAUUCCUAUCCUUCUUUUCUCUCUCACAUCAAUCACUUCACACACUCCACUUAUCUCUUAACACCCGAUAAAUUAUACACAGUAUCCGAAACUUAACCUUAUUGGCCGAAUUUUUCUGAACUUUUCGCACUAGUGGGUCCCACGUCCACUAUUUACUCUUAAUUUUCUAAAAAUUCUCCAGUGCUAGAAAAAUCAUCUUAAAACUAUAACUGCUCAUAAAAUCCUCUCAAAAAAAAUAUUUCUAAGCCAGAAAAUGCAAAAUUAUGCAAUUAAAAGGGGAAAUAACCCUAGGAAAAAUAUUAGGGUUUUACGGGCUCUCACACCUACUACAUCCUAUACAUGCUUAUAUACAUCAUAUACCAUCCAUACAACAAAUAUGAGAAAGAAAUUAUUCAAACCCUGACUUAAAUACAUCAACCCCAAUCAUCCAAAUCCACUUGAUAUAAGCAUAACAAGCAAAAUUACAUGCUACUACACAACUCAAACAUGGUUAAGGGAAAAGAAAAGUUACUCAGCCAUUAUACCUCAAGACAAGAGCUUUCAAGAGUUAUCCUUCACUUCCCUUGGCAAAAUUUAGCUCCUUAAGCUUCCCAAGCUUCCAAACUAAUGAUUAAUCGGUUUAGUUUUUCUUGUUUUCACUCAUUCAAGCUCAAACCAAGAUUGAUUGAAGUUUCCUCUUCUCAUGUUUUUCCUCCCUCAACUCACGGCUGAUAUGCAGAAAUAAUGGAGGAAAUAGGUUGGGUUUUGGUGAUAAAUAUGUUGUAGAUUAGUUAGUCAACCAUCCAAUGAAAUACCGCCACUUGUCGCCACCAAUUCCAUUCAUUUUUUUCCCUUCUCUCUCUUGGUAUUUAAAGUCAACAAUUGUGCAUGAUGUAUGAGAUAUUUUGAGGGUUAAUUAGCUGUAAUAAAAUAAGAAGAUUAAGGUAAUAAAGUAUGGGUCAAAUGGUGUGUUUACCCGGUAACAAACGGUACCCGUCGGUUCGAGCCGAUUUUCCUUAAAUCACUCGUACUAGGGUUUUUUUUCUUCCUAUUCACUAACUUUUUAUUAUUGCAUCUAAUCACAUAUUAUUUGUGAGAACCCAUAAAUCCCUUAAUAAUUUUCCUAGGGUUUAUUUCCUUUAAUGGCAUGUUUUCUGCAUUUUCUGGCUUAGAAAAAUUUUCCUGGUGAAUUUUAUGAGUAAUUAUAGUUUUUAGAUGAUUUUCCUAGCAUUGGAUAGUUUUUGAAAAAUUACGGAGAGAUUAUGGAUGUGGGACCCACUAGUGCGAAAAGUUCGGAAAAAUUCGGCCAAUAAGGUUAAGUUUCGAUACUGUGUGAAAUUUAUCGGGUAUUAAGAGAUAAGUAGAGGAUGUUAAGUGAUUGAUGUGAGAGGAAAAGGAAGGGAUAGGAAUGCAUUAAUUGAGGUGACAAGUGUCACCAUUUCAUUGGGUAUGGCUUAUGACAACUAUUCAUGGUUUUUGACUUUUGACCAAAUUGGUUAAAUAUCUAAAAAAUUGACCAAAAAUCUCUUAUUCUUGUCUUCCUCUUGGCCGACUUUCUUGAGCUUCAAAAGAGAGAAAAGCUCUUCAAGUUUUGGCUUUCAUCUUGCUUCAAUCAAACAAUCCAACCUUCUAAACUUGUUUCUACUCCAUAAAACCUCUUCAUUUAGUGAUAGUGAGUUGUUUGGUGAAGUUGUUUGGAAGCUUAAGGUGACAAGUUGCUCUCCCUCUUGUUUUACUAAGGUGAGUGGUGGAUGAACCCCUUUCCUCCCUCUAAUGAUGUUUAAUUUAUGUUUAGUAGUGGCAUAAGAGGCAAUUUUAUGGAUUAAUUCUUGAUUUGUGGUUGAAAUGAUGAAGUUUUAUUAUUUUUGGGGAUUUUUCUGUUUUAAUAUAAGCAUGAUUGUGUGGCUAUCUAGGAUGAUUAGAAAUGGUAUAUAAUGACUUAAGGAGGUGGGAAAAGUGAACAAUUGCAACCAAUUUCUGGUUUGGGAAAAAUUUCAGCAAGUUAGGGUUUUUGGGUUACACAAUCUGUCCGAAUUUUUAGUACCUAGUUAGAGGCCGAAUUGGCCUUGGCUCAAAACAUGAAAGUUGUAGGUAUUGAUGUGUUUGAGGUACCUAUAAAAUUUCAGGUCAUUUGGAGUAGUGUAGAGUGAGAUAUGUCGAUUUUACUAUAGCUGUUCUGGGUUGAUCAGAAUGUGCAAACUGUGUUUGUAAUCGUCUGUUUUGACUGGAAUUGCUUUGGAUUUGGAUGUUGGUGUCUUCUUAUGAAAUGUAGCUUGAGGUCGUAGCUACCGCAUGCCUUUGGAAUCAAUGCAUUUGGACCUGUAUAGACUGAGUUGGACUAAUUACAGCAUGGUGUGAUUUGUAAACCUGCAAUUACGGUUCUGGUUUGGUAUUCUGCAUUUUUGACCUAGUUGUACUAGGAUUUGGACUGAGUGGCCUUCUACAUUGUUGUAGCCCUGGUUCUUAGCUUCGAAACGGUGGGUCUUACACCCUCAUCUGAUAAUCGUAGUGCAAUUUGUGCCAUUACCGCAUAAUGAAGGCAAAACUGUUUUUGUUGUUAUGGCCAAGAUGGCUACAUUUCCUGAUUUUCUGGUUUGCUAUAAUGCCUAUAUAUGCAUAUGAAACCUUAUUGGGGUUGUGGUUGGCAUGGAUUUAUGACUCGUUAUCGAGUCUCCAUGUACUUGUUUGCAUGUUUAGGGCUCGCUCUCAUUCCGGUCAUUUCCUAGCUAACUUUUGUACUUGUACUAUUUUGAUCCUAGUGAACGGCUUUUGGGAAAUGAGAUGACUGUUGUGUGAAAUGUUGGGACUGAUUUGAGGAAAUAAUGAAGCCUUAAUGGCUGGAAAAGUAAGAAUUUUAGGGGAGGUGCUGCCCGAUUUUCUAGGCCGUUUGGUCCUUUAAGUUGGAUUUGCCUUUUGGUGGAAAUGAAAGGCUUUUGGGUUGUUUGCGCCUAAGUCUUCAUGUUACCUUUUUGUUUCCAAGAAAAUCAUGUUUUCCACCCUUGCAUUAGUAAUUAUUUGGCGAGGCAUACGACUAGUAGUCGAGCCUCAUGUGCAUUGUGUUUACUCGAUUAUGGAUGUGAAACCUUCAAUUGGUUUAUUUUGGUUAUUUUAGGGUUUCUUGGCGAUUAAGGCCAAUCUGAAGUAAAAACUUUUGAAGUUGAGCCGGUGAGUGUACCACUCCCCUCCAUUGCUGUUUAACUUGAUUUCUGCUCUGCAAUCUGUUUAAUUUGUUUGAGACGAGGGUGUACUUUAUCACACUCGUUCUCUUGUCUGUUCAUAUGCCAAUUUUGAGUGCCUAUCUGAAUCUGCCGUCUGAAUCUGCUAUCUGAAUCUGCUAUUCUGUAUCUGUAUCUGAAUCUGUUAUCUGUGUCUGCAUCUGUUCGGAUUUCUAUGACCUAUGAGCUCAAUCCUGUGGCUAAGUUAUUCGAGUCGGGCCGGCAAGGGCCUAGACGAUUAGAUAACGAACCACGGUAGUCUGUUCGGGGAUUUUUUGGUAUUGAGACCCUUGAUUCCGGUAUACUCGAGUAUUACCAUUUCUGUUCGGUUACGGUGAGCGGGCCCGGUAAAGGGGGUGUUUGGUGGACGGAAUUCGGUGUGAAGAGGGGUCUACGGACGUUUUGGUUCUAUAUACGUUGACGGAGAGUCAACCGAUUUGGAUCAAGUACUGCGCUGGAAAUUUGGCUCCUGAGAGCCACCCGUAUCCUUCUGAUUUGAAUCAUUGGUUCCUUUGCUUUACAUCUGGCAUGUGUAUCUGAUUUGUAAAAUGUGAAAUGCCAUGAUUUUUCUGCUAUAUGUUUGGUACCUCAUUGAGCGCAAGCUCACCCCGUUCUGUCCCUUUUGUUUUCCUUACAGGAAAAUAAACACUUUUGGUCUGGAUUUGACAAAUGGCUGCCAAAUUGAGCUAGUGGAACAUAUCUUUUGUAUAGCUCAUGUAUUAAAACCCUAAGUGUACUUUUGGGGCGUUUUCUCUUUUGAUUUGGCAAACCGUGUAGAUGUAUCAACUUUUGAAAACUUUUGUAUGUCAUUUUGGAUUGUACUCGCUAAAGUUCAGAUGUGAAUGUUUGCGUGCUCUUUCGAUUGGGUUCUGACGGGUCGGUUACUAUUCAUGGCCGACUCCGGAUUUCAUUUUUUUUAUUUUGGGUUAUUUUACCAUUUUGACUUGUUUACGCUCGUUUGUAAGUUUCGGAUCGCUAUAGAUAGUUCUAGUCUGCAUUGUUAGUCCUGGCGAGAGUUGGGCAGGCAGUCCGCUAACCCCUUUGGUUCGCCUUAGGGGAAAGUGGGGCUGUUACAAGUGGUAUCAGAGCCACUUCGCGUGGUCUCUGCGCGGAGUGAGACUGGGCCAAGUGGUGUGGUGGUCCUAAUUUCAUGAAUAUGUCUAAGUGCUCGUUUGAGCGUAAGUUAUGAACCGGGCAUGUGAUAAGUGUACGAAACAUUAUCAUGGGACUCGAGGAAGUUAGGUAUGUAUGUCGGGUAGGAAUCUUUAAUAAGGAUGGUUUACUCUUGGGACCGGCCGGCUCGAGUUGUGAAUUAUCUUAGAUGGGAUUCUUGCGCCCGGAUACGAAAGAUGUGAGGGCCUAGGUUAGAAAGGAUUUGGUGAACUAGAAAGGCCUUUCCUCGGGGGAUCGUCUAUGUUUGUACUUGACUUAACUGGCUGUAUGUAUGUGUGCGGCUUAAUUUUGACCGGCUUGUAUAUAUAUGUUUUGAUCCUGUUUGGAAUGUAUAAAUGUGUGUUAUCAUAAAAGUUUUGAGUGUUACUUACAUGCAUCGUGCUUAUUUUGGUUUAGUAUUAUUGCCUAGACCAAGUAAAACUCAUGGAAGGUACACGGAGUGGACGGGGCCGUGGGCGUGGAAAUAGGCAACCUACGCCUGAAAGGGGUACUGGGGAAACCUCAUCUGGACCAAACCCUGAACUUAGGGUUGAUCCCAAUGUCCAAAUAGCUGCUGCCAUGCAGCAAAUGACUGCUUUGCUAGCCCAAGUGGUGCACCAACAAGGUCAAAACCCUAACCCUAACCCUGGGAAUCCUGGUAAUCACAUGGAGGGCGAGGAUAGAGCCCUUGAGAGAUUUCAGAAGUUCUCCCCACCCAAAUUUCUUGGAGGCCCUGAUCCUGACGUAGCUGAGAAAUGGCUGGAGAAGAUGAUCGAUAUUUUCGCUACCUUACACUAUACCGAGGAGAGACAGGUGACAUUUGCUAUCUUUCAACUAGAGGGAGCCGCCCGUUCCUGGUGGAAUGUCAUUCGAAUGAAAUGGGAAAGAGAACAAACCCCGAGGACGUGGGCGAACUUUAUGAGAGAAUUUAAUGCCAAGUUUUUCCCUCCUCUCAUCCAAAAAAAGAAGGAAGAUGAAUUCAUUCGGCUUCGCCAGGGAACACAAACUGUAGCCGAGUAUGAGAGUCAAUUCACUCGGUUGUCUAAGUUUGCGCCUGAACUGAUCAUAACCGAACAAAGACGGAUAAGGCGUUUUAUUCAGGGGCUAAAUGUUGAGAUUCAAAAGGAUUUGGCUGUAGCUCAACUUAGUACCUUUAGUGACGCUGUGGAGAAAGCUCAACGGGUAGAAGAUGCGAGGCUACAAGUUAGAAACUUCCAAACCAAGAAAAGGGGCUUUCCUGGGAGCAGCUCGGAACAGGAAGAUAAGAGCACACCCCCUAAGAGUGGAAAAAGGAACGGGGGAGUACGACAACCGGGGGUGGCCAGAGGUGUCUCACCGGGAGGAUCGGUCACUGCUACUCGAGGUCCCUGUGGAUAUUGCGGAGGGCCAAAUCACACGGAGGCAAAUUGUUGGAAGAAAGAAGGAAAAUGCCUGCGCUGUGGUAGUGCCGAACAUCGAAUUGCUAAUUGUCCAGCACGACUGCGCGAAGGGAGAGGGACUCCGCCACCAACCAAGACUAACUCUCAGAAACCAGCUAAGACCAACCCUGGACAGUCGAAAGGAGAAGGGACUGGAGCGAAAGUACCGGCUCGAGUAUAUUCCCUGGAGCAUCAUCAGGUCCCUGACUCGUCUGAGGACGUAGAAGGUACGAUCCGUUAGGUACCUUAGAUUCGAUGGAUUCCGCUGAUAAGAAAAUUUCGAGGACGAAAUUUCUUUAAGGGGGAGAGAGUGUGAGAACCCGUAAAUCCCUUAAUAAUUUUCCUAGGGUUUAUUUCCUUUAAUGGCAUGUUUUCUGCAUUUUCUGGCUUAGAAAAAUUUUCCUGGUGAAUUUUAUGAGUAAUUAUAGUUUUUAGAUGAUUUUCCUAGCAUUGGGUAGUUUUUGAAAAAUUACGGAGAGAUUAUGGAUGUGGGACCCACUAGUGCGAAAAGUUCAGAAAAAUUCGGCCAAUAAGGUUAAGUUUCGAUACUGUGUGAAAUUUAUCGGGUAUUAAAAGAUAAGUAGAGGAUGUUAAGUGAUUGAUGUGGGAGGAAAAGGAAGGGAUAGGAAUGCAUUAAUUGAGGUGACAAGUGUCACCAUUUCAUUGGGUAUGGCUUAUGACAACUAUUCAUGGUUUUUGACUUUUGACCAAAUUGGUUAAAUAUCUAAAAAAUUAACCAAAAAUCUCUUAUUCUUGUCUUCCUCUUGGCCGACUUUCUUGAGCUUCAAAAGAGAGAAAAACUCUUCAAGUUUUGGCUUUCAUCUUGCUUCAAUCAAACCAUCCAACCUUCUAAACUUGUUUCUACUCCAUAAAACCUCUUCAUUUAGUGAUAGUGAGUUGUUUGGUGAAGUUGUUUGGAAGCUUAAGUUGACAAGUUGCUCUCCCUCUUGUUUUACUAAGGUGAGUGGUGGAUGAACCCCUUUCCUCCCUCUAAUGAUGUUUAAUUUAUGUUUAGUAGUGGCAUAAGAGGCAAUUUUAUGGAUUAAUUCUUGAUUUGUGGUUGAAAUGAUGAAGUUUUAUUAUUUUUGGGGUUUUUUCUGUUUUCAUAUAAGCAUGAUUGUGUGGCUAUCUAGGAUGAUUAGAAAUGGUAUAUAAUGACUUAAGGGGGUGGGAAAAGUGAACAAUUGCAACCAAUUUCUGGUUUGGGAAAAAUUUCAGCAAGUUAGGGAUUUUGGGUUGCACAAUCUGUCCGAAUUUUUAGCACCUAGUUAGAGGCUGAAUUAGCCUUGUCUCAAAACAUGAAAGUUGUAGGUAUUGAUGUGUUUGAGGUGUCUGUAAAAUUUCAGGUCAUUUGGAGUAGUGUAGAGUGAGAUAUGUCGAUUUUACUAUAGCUGUUCUGGGUUGAUCAGAAUGUGCAAACUGUGUUUGUAAUCGUCUAUUUUGACUGGAAUUGCUUUGGAUUUGGAUGUUGGUGUCGUCUUAUGAAAUGUAUCUUGAGGUCUUAGUUACCACAUGCCUUUGGAAUCAAUGCAUUUGGACCUGUAUAGACUGAGUUGGACUAAUUACAGCAUGGUGUGAUUUGUAAACCUGCAAUUACGGUUCUGGUUUGGUAUUCUGCAUUUUUGACCUAGUUGUGCUAGGAUUUGGACUGAGUGGCCUUCUAUAUUGUUGUAGCCCUAGUUCUUAGCUUCGAAACGGUUGGUCUUACACCCUCAUCCGAUAAUCGUAGUGCAAUUUGUGCCAUUACCGCAUAAUGAAGGCAAAACUGUUUUUGUUGUUAUGGCCAAGAUGGCUACAUUUCCUGAUUUUCUGGUUUGCUAUAAUGCCUAUAUAUGCAUAUGAAACCUUAUUGGGGUUGUGGUUGGCAUGGCUUUAUGACUCGUUAUCGAGUCUCCAUGUACUUGUUUGCAUGUUUAGGGCUCGCUCUCAUUCCGGUCAUUUCCUAGCUAACUUUUGUACUUGUACUAUUUUGAUCCUAGUGAACGGCUUUUGGGAAAUGAGAUGACUGUUGUGUGAAAUGUUGGGACUAAUUUGAGGAAAUAAUGAAGCCUUAAUGGCUGGAAAAGUAAGAAUUUUAGGGGAGGUGCUGCCCGAUUUUCGAGGCCGUUUGGUUCCUUUAAGUUGGAUUUGCCUUUUGGUGGAAAUGAAAGGCUUUUGGGUUGUUUGCGCCUAAGUCUUCAUGUUACCUUUUUGUUUCCAAGAAAAUCAUGUUUUCCACCCUUGCAUUAGUAAUUAUUUGGCGAGGCAUACGACUAGUAGUCGAGCCUCAUGUGCAUUGUGUUUACUCGAUUAUGGAUGUGAAACCUUCAAUUGGUUUAUUUUGGUUAUUUUAGGGUUUCUUGGCGAUUAAGGCCAAUCUGAAGUAAAACUUUUGAAGUUGAGCCGGUGAGUGUACCACUCCCCUCCAUUGCUGUUUCACUUGAUUUCUGCUCUGCAAUCUGUUUAAUUUGUUUGAGACGAGGGUGUACUUUAUCACACUCGUUCUCUUGUCUGUUCAUAUGCCAAUUUUGAGUGCCUAUCUGAAUCUGCCGUCUGAAUCUGCUAUCUGAAUCUGCUAUUCUGUAUCUGUAUCUGAAUCUGUUAUCUGUGUCUGCAUCUGUUCGGAUUUCUAUGACCUAUGAGCUCAAUCCUGUGGCUAAGUUAUUCGAGUCGGGCCGGCAAGGGCCUAGACGAUUAGAUAACGAACCACGGUAGUCUGUUCGGGGAUUUUUUGGUAUUGAGACCCUUGAUUCCGGUAUACUCGAGUAUUACCAUUUCUGUUCGGUUACGGUGAGCGGGCCCGGUAAAGGGGGUGUUUGGUGGACGGAAUUCGGUGUGAAGAGGGGUCUACGGACGUUUUGGUUCUAUAUACGUUGACGGAGAGUCAACCGAUUUGGAUCAAGUACUGCGCUGGAAAUUUGGCUCCUGAGAGCCACCCGUAUCCUUCUGAUUUGAAUCAUUGGUUCCUUUGCUUUACAUCUGGCAUGUGUAUCUGAUUUGUAAAAUGUGAAAUGCCAUGAUUUUUCUGCUAUAUGUUUGGUACCUCAUUGAGCGCAAGCUCACCCCGUUCUGUCCCUUUUGUUUUCCUUACAGGAAAAUAAACACUUUUGGUCUGGAUUUGACAAAUGGCUGCCAAAUUGAGCUAGUGGAACAUAUCUUUUGUAUAGCUCAUGUAUUAAAACCCUAAGUGUACUUUUGGGGCGUUUUCUCUUUUGAUUUGGCAAACCGUGUAGAUGUAUCAACUUUUUUGAAAACUUUUGUAUGUCAUUUUGGAUUGUACUCGCUAAAGUUCAGAUGUGAAUGUUUGCGUGCUCUUUCGAUUGGGUUCUGACGGGUCGGUUACUAUUCAUGGCCGACUCCGGAUUUCAUUUUUUUUAUUUUGGGUUAUUUUACCAUUUUGACUUGUUUACGCUCGUUUGUAAGUUCCGGAUCGCCAUAGAUAGUUCUAGUCUGCAUUGUUAGUCCUGGCGAGAGCUGGGCAGGCAGUCCGCUAACCCCUUUGGUUCGCCUUAGGGGAAAGUGGGGCUGUUACAUUAUUUCUCACCCAAAAGUCACUUUUAAUCACCAAAUUUGAUCCUUACUACGUACCGAAAAAAUCAGUCGGCGAAAAAUCGCGAAACCCUAAUUUGCUCCAAUCUUGAAAAUGAAGAGUGAAACCCUACUUUCCAGGUUCAUUUGCACUUAUUGUGGAGUACUUGAGUAGGAGGAUCAUAUUAAAUGAAUAAUUUCCAAAUAAAAGGAAUUUUAAGAAAAGUGUGAUGAAUUUUACAAUUCCGUAGAAUAAAAUUAGGGUUUUGAGUCAAAUAUGAGGGAUUUAAACAUAGUCACAAGUAAACUAGGGUUUUUGAUUAAAAUUUUAGGGCUUCUAGUCUUUUAAAACAAAAUAAGGUUUUAAAUCAAACCCAAAGAAAUAACUUUAGUAUCUUCCCUGAAACAAAAUAAUGUUUUAAAAUAAAAUGAACUAAAGAAACCGUAAAACAAUAGCAUCUUAAACGUUGGGGUGUCACACCUCCUCUCUGAGCACCUCCCCUAGAUGCAUUUGAAAACCAUCCACCUCCAGCACCACGACCGAACUUGGCAGGUGGCAUGGUCCGAUCACUCCGCACUGACCCUUGGUGAUAUAGGCAACCCUAGGGGAAAACCCUCCUAGAACCUCCCAACCUUGUAAUUAUCAGAGUUGGACCUUUUCUCCCAAUGGAAAUUGAACUCGAUUGUUCUCAUGAACUCAAGACCUCUGACACACAAAGGCAAUCAGCAACCUUAAGCAAAUAAAGAUGGAUGAAGAGACACCACGACUAGGGAACAAGCUAAUCGAUAAAGUCAGAUUUGAAUCCUAAGCCAUGAACUCAAGAAUUCAAGAGUAAGUUCGAUUAAGAACUUGAAGGAAAAUUCCUCACGAUUUCUGGUUGUAAUAUUCUGUCCCUCCUCAUACAAGAGGUGCCUUUUUUAUAGGCUAAAACUAGGGCAAAAUCCGGCCCACAUAAACCUGAAAGAAAUUCGGUCCGCAUAAAGGGCUUAAAGAGUCAGCUCUUUAAAGCUUUCCGAUAAGGCCCAAUAAGUAAUAAAAUACUUAACGCCUAACAACUACUAAACUAGACUGUCUUAAAACAACUACCAACUAAACUAACAAGUAUGAGAUCAUUCCUUCACUUCAAACGUACAAGUGAACAAAGUAACGUCAUGGUCCAUCAAAUCUUCAAACCUAGCUUGCUCCUUGCUUGUAUGGUGAAUGAUCAAGGCUUGUAAAGCUUCCUUCACCUUCUUGGAUCUUGAUCUUGUCAUCGGACCGUCAAUGUUGUCCUUGACCCAAGGUUGAAGUUGUUGCGCACCCGUAUCUGCAUCAUUAGAACCUCCCAACCUUGUAAUUAUCAGAGUUGGACCUUUUCUCCCAAUGGAAAUUGAACUCGAUUGUUCUCAUGAACUCAAGACCUCUGACACACAAAGGCAAUCAGCAACCUUAAGCAAAUAAAGAUGGAUGAAGAGACACCACGACUAGGGAACAAGCUAAUCGAUAAAGUCAGAUUUGAAUCCUAAGCCAUGAACUCAAGAAUUCAAGAGUAAGUUCGAUUAAGAACUUGAAGGAAAAUUCCUCAAGAUUUCUGGUUGUAAUAUUCUGUCCCUCCUCAUACAAGAGGUGCCUUUUUUAUAGGCUAAAACUAGGGCAAAAUCCGGCCCACAUAAACCUGAAAGAAAUUCGGUCCACAUAAAGGGCUUAAAGAGUCAGCUCUUUAAAGCUUUCCGAUAAGGCCCAAUAAGUAAUAAAAUACUUAACGCCUAACAACUACUAAACUAGACAGUCUUAAAACAACUACCAACUAAACUAACAAGUAUGAGAUCAUUCAUUCACUUCAAACGUACAAGUGAACAAAGUAACGUCAUGGUCCAUCAAAUCUUCAAACCUAGCUUGCUCCUUGCUUGUAUGGUGAAUGAUCAAGGCUUGUAAAGCUUCCUUCACCUUCUUGGAUCUUGAUCUUGUCAUCGGACCGUCAAUGUUGUCCUUGACCCAAGGUUGAAGUUGUUGCGCACCCGUAUCUGCAUCAUUCCCUCCCUCCUCGAAAGGAUUCGUCCUCGAAUCUUCAAAGUCUGUAUCAAAGUCAAAAGGAGAUAGGUCAGAUACAUUAAAAGAUGCGCUUAUGCCAUACUCACUUGGAAGUUCCAACUUGUAUGCAUUGUCGUUGAUCCUCUCUAGUACUCGAAAAGGUCCGUCACCUCUUGGAUGUAACUUGGUCCGUCGAGAUGCUGGAAACCUUUCCUUCCUCAUGUGCAUCCAAACCCAAUCACCGGGUUCGAAUACGACAUGUUUUCUACCCUUAUUUGCAUGUUGUGCAUAUUGCGCAUUUUUCUUCUCAAUUUGAGCUCGAACUCUCUCAUGCAAGGUCCGAACAGCUUCUGCCUUUUUGACGCCAUCUGCGCUUAAACACUCAUUAACAGGAAUAGGUGAUAAAUCUAGAGGGGUUAGCGGCUGAAACCCAUAAACAAUUUCAAAAGGGGAAUGAUUGGUAGUAGAAUGAGUGGUUCGGUUAUAUGCAAACUCGGCAAUAGGCAAACAUUCUUCCCACUUCUUCAAGUUCUUUUGAACAAUGGCUCGAAGUAGAGCACCAAGGGUUCGAUUGGUUACCUCAGUCUGACCAUCCGUUUGGGGAUGACUAGAAGUAGAAAACAGCAACUUAGUUCCCAACUUUCCCUAAAGUGAUUUCCAGAAAUAGCUUAAGAAUUUCACAUCCCUAUCACUUACAAUAGUACGCGGUACUCCAUGCAAUCUAACCACAUCCUUGAAGAAUAAAUCAGCAACAUGGCGCGCAUCAUUUGUUUUCCUACAAGGGAUAAAAUGAGCCAUUUUAGAAAAUUUAUCCACUACAACAAAGAUACUAUCCGUACCUGUAGAAGAUCUUGGUAAAUGUUAUUCUUGGUUUUGAUGAUCACAAAAGUUUGUUUAUACAGACCAAGAAAGUGAACACUUUGAUCAGGUCUGUUGGAACAAAGAAAGCAUAUGUUCGUUUAUCUCCUGACUACGUUGCUUUGGAUGUGGCAAACAAGAUUGGAAUAAUAUGAAUGAAUUUAGUCAUUGUUUUGUUUUCGAUCAAAGAUAUUGUCUUUUAAGUAUGUCUAGUUUGUCAUUCUUGGUACUUUGAAAUAUUUGUCUAACCUUUCUCAAAUACAAGUGUUUUUUUGUCUAUCCAAGAAUCAGGUUCAAAUAUGUCAUGAAAUGUAAAACAACCAAAAUGAGAAGCAAAAACAGGACAAUCAGGUCGGACGGCCGAAAGGAAACUGUCGGACGUCCGAAAAGAUAAAGAACAUCAGGAAGGAAGCACCGUCGGACGCUCACAUGGAAGCAUCGGACGUCCGGAAGGAUCGGACGCUUGCCAUCGGACGUUAAUCAACCGCAUCGGACGUCCGAAAAAUUCCAAGAUAACUUGCUAGCUCUCGGCCCAAGGUCGGACGCUGUGCUGUCGGACGACAAAGAACUUAUCGGACGUCCGAACCUCAACUUGGCUAUCAUCGGACGAUUGGUUCGGACGAUGAUUCGAUCGUCGGACGUCCGACAGCCCCAACGGCUAGUUGACUCUUCAGCUGCCUUCUAUCCGUUGGAAGCAUUGAUGAAGCCCAUUUCUGGAUCCCUUUAAAAUCAAACUGGUCUGAACGAAAUAGAGACUUUUGCUCACUUUGUUUACAAGUUCUCAAGAGAUAUUUUAGCUAGAAAAUAGUCUCCAAAGCAGAUUUGUAUUAAAGUGGUGUGAAUUUCUGUUGAGCAUUUCUUUUGUGGUUGAAAGGAUCUUUAGUGUAGCUUUGUUGAGGGUUUUCUGAGUGAUUGUAAAACUUCCUAGCUUGACUAAGUGAGGCUUAGGGCAAGGAGGAAGAGCUCCCUCCAUUGUACAUCUAGUUGAUCUUCGUUCAUCAAAGAGAAGUUGCUCUUCCUAGUGUUUGGUGUAACAGCCCCACUUUCCCCUAAGGCGAACCAAAGGGGUUAGCGGACUGCCUGCCCAGCUCUCGCCAGGACUACGGAUCAGUUCACGUCGAUCUAAUACGUUCCGGAACAUACCAACGCGCGCAAAUAAGUCAAAAUCACAAAAUAAAAAAAAAAUGAAAACGAAGCCGAAAGGAAUAGUGCAGUACACGUCAGAAUCCGGCCGGAAUCUGGCCGGAUUUCCGGCCGAGAGCAUCCAAUUUUUUUUUUCAAAAUUUCACCUCAAUCCGGCCGGCAAUCCGGCCAAGAUUCCGGCCGGAUUGUCUGGCCGGAUACCAGCCAGAGAGCAACUGGCCGGAUUUCAUUUUUUCCUCAGGCAAUCCGGCCUGCAAUCCGGCCAGUUUCUGGCCGGAUUCCUGGCCGGAUUCGCCACUGUUCAUCUUCGGCAAAAUUUUUCCUUUUCCGUUUGAAAGUCGUGUCACUCCGAAAUUCAUCCAAACAUCAUCCAACAUAUAUAUACAUUGAAUUUCAACAUUUAUAACCAUAGUGGCAUGCCAAAAUCAUUCAUUAAGGAGGUACACAUUCAAUGAGCCUAUCAAAAGGAAAUGAACCCGUUAUACAUUAGGGUUUCACUUCAAGAGCAAUACAAAAGUCAUUUACAUGCUCAAUUCGGCAAAAGACUAUCCAAUCUAUUCUCAAAAGUAGUUAUACCCCUGUAAGGAAAACAAAUAACACGGAAUGAGCUAAAGCCCAGUGAGUUACUACCACAUAAGCAGUAAAGAUCACAUAAGCAUAAUCUUUCAUUUCAAGUACACACUUAAGAAGUAAACAAGUUGGUAAAAGGAUACAGAUGGCUCUCAAGAGCCCGUUUCCACGCUUACAUUCUUGAUCCAAUCUCAUUGACCCUCCGUCAAUGUUUAAGAAUACCCGACCGUAGAUCUCACUUCACUCCAUUCCUUCCACCAAACAUACCCCAACCGGGCCCGCACUCCAAUUCAGUAGCUUUUGGUAAUACUCGAGUAUACCGGAACCAAGGGUCUCAUUACCACAAGGUUCCCCAGUACAGUCCCCGUGGUAUGUCACUUAUCACGACCAAACCCAUGCCGGCUCGAUCCAAAUGACCACCAAACGGGGUUGAGCUCAGUAAUACAGUGAGGUCGUUGGACAUCGUCCAAACAACACCAAAUCAAUUUUCCAAGAUUGCAAUUCAAUAACUCAUAUAGCCAGUGCAGUAUUUCAGUAUAAUAGUAAGCAGUCAUGAAUGAAAUCACAAGGGGUGAGGGCGGUCAAGUACACCCUCACCUCAAUCACUUCCAAUAACCAAUUAAGCCUUCAAGGCAUCAAAUACACAUAGAGCAAAGCCAUAUUAUAACAAGUAAGUGAGUAGUAUACUCACUAAGCAAUUAAGUGCUAUGUCAUGCACUUCCGUCAGGAGAGUGUCGUGAACCACCGUCACGCCCUAGAACACGUAAACAAAUGCAAUGAGACUCGAUAACGAGUCACAAAACAAUGCCAAUAACAACCCCAAUAGGGUUUUGCAAACAUAUAUAAGCAUCAUAGGAAACCAGAAAUUAGAAAAUGGCUUUAGCUUAGGCCUUGAUAAGAAAACCGGUUUUGACGUCAUAAUGCGGUAAUGGCGUAACUCUCACUACAAUAAUCGGAUGGGGGUGUGAGACCCACCGUUUCGAAGCUAAGAAACAGGGCUACAACAUUUUAGAAGACCACUCAAUCCAGUUCCUAACACAACUAGGUCCAAUAUGCAAAAUACUAUACCAGAAUUCCCAAAACAGGUUUGCAAAACACAGAAAACUGUAAUCGGUAUAUCUCAGUCCAUACAAGUCCAAAUACCGAAAUUCCAAAGGCAUAAGUUAGCUAAGACAUCCAGCUACAUUUCAUUAGAAGACACCAACUUCAAAAUCCAAACCAAUUCCAGUCAAAAUGGCCAAAUACAAACGCAGUUUUCGCAUUCUGUCCAAAGCAGAACAGCUACAGUAAUUUCGUCAUAACUCACUCUACACUAAUCCCAAUGCCCUGAAAUUUUACAGGCACCUCAAACACAUAAAUACCUACAACUUUCAUGUUUUGAGCAAAGUCAAAUUCGGCCUCUAACCCAGUGAUCUAAAACCGGACAGAAUUGGGGAUUUUAAGAACCCUAACUUUCCAUUUUCCAUCCAAAUCCAAAAUUAGUUGCAUUUAACCACAAUUCACACCCACUAGAGUCAUUAUAGGCCAUUUCCAUUCAUCAUACAAGGCCACAACAUCAAGAUCAUAUUAAACCAGAAAAUUCAUCAUAAAUUGGAAAACUUCAUCAAAUCACUUCAAACCAAGAAAUAAAUCAUAUAUUCCUUCCCUCAUGCCACUUCUAAGCACAAAAUAAGCAUCAUUAGAGGUAGUAGGGUGUUCAAGCAUCACUUACCAAGAAAUCAAGAGAGAGAGGGAUGUUGGCCACCUUAGACCUUCAAACAAACUUCACUAAUCAACUUACUAACACCUAAUGGAAGGAUAAUCAACUUACUAACACCUAAUUGACUUUCAUAUUCCGCCACAGUUUGAGCCCCUUGGCGGAGCCUAAUGAACUCGUCCUCCUUCCUCUCCUGAACUAGAGGAGGGAAAAACUUGGCAUUAAAUUCUCGGAUGAAGUUCACCCAAGUCCUAGGCGUCUGCUCCCGCUCCCAUUUCUGUCUAAUUACGUUCCACCAGGAACGGGCUGCCCCCUCAAGUUGAAAUACGGCAAAAGUCACUUGCCGUUCGUUUGGGUAAUGUAGAGCUGCAAAAAUGUCUACCAUCUUCUCAAGCCAUUUCUCAGCAACAUCAGGGUCGGGUCCCCCAACGAACUUUGGCGGGGAAAACUUUUGAAAACGUUCGAGAGCUCUAUCCUCGCUCUCGAUAUGAUGGCCAGGGUUUCCAGGGUUAAGGUUUGGGUUCUGGGCUUGUUGCUGCACUACUUGUGCUAGCAGGUCUGUCAUUUGCUGCAUAGCAGCAGCUAUUUGCACAUUAGGGUUUACUUGCGGUUCCAGAUUGGGUCCAGUAGAGGUUUCCCCCGUACCCCUAACUGGUGUAGGUUGUCUAGUUCUGCGUCCACGGCCUCGACCACUUCGGGUGCCUUCCAUCAAUCUAAGUCAAUCUAGGUCAUCAAAUAAAUAUACUGUUAAAGGGCACCUAACCCUCCUUUCCGUAGCACCAGACAGGAACAAUGAAACAAGAAUAAGCAACUCAAACAUUUACUGCGAAGAGCAUUUAAACACAUAACACGUAUACAUAGAUCACAUAACCAGGUUAAGCAAUCAUACGGAACAGUCAGUCAAGCACAUAUGAAGUCAUUGCAUGAAACAAUAGGGUCCUCAAAAGUACUUUAAACAACUAGGUCACAAGUGCAAAAGAACUCACGAAAAUCUUUUUCCCCUUCUAGGGCUUCGUCUAAAUAUUUAUAUCUUAAUCAAGGUCGAUCACGCUUAACUACACCCGAACAAACCACACGAAGUUCCAUAGAAUCGCCUUUCUAGUUCACCAAAUCCUUUCUAACCUAGGCCUUCAUAUCUUUCGUAUCCGGGCGCAAGAAUCUCGUCUAAGAUAAUUCACAUCUCGAGUCGGCCGGUCCCAAGAGUAAACCAUCCUUAUUAAAGAUUCCUACCCGACAUACAUACCUAGCUUCCUCGAGUCCCAUGAUAAUGAUUCGUACACUUAUCACAUGCCCGGUUCAUAACUUAUGCUCAAACGAGCACUUAGACAUAUUCAUGAAAUUAGGACCACAACACCACUUGGCCCAGUCUCAUUUCGCGCAGAGACCACGCGACGUGGCUCUGAUACCACUUGUAACAGCCCAACUUUCCCCUAAGGCGAACCAAAGGGGUUAGCGGACUGCCUGCCCAGCUCUCGCCAGGACUACGGAUCAGUUCACGUCGAUCUAAUACGUUCCGGAACAUACCAACGCGCGCAAAUAAGUCAAAAUCACAAAAUAAAAAAAAAUGAAAACGAAGCCGAAAGGAAUAGUGCAGUACACGUCAGAAUCCGGCCGGAAUCCGGCCGAAAAUCCGGCCAGAUUCCGGCCGGAUUCUGACGUGUACUGCACUAUUCCUUUCGGCUUCGUUUUCAUUUUUUUUUAUUUUGUGAUUUUGACUUAUUUGCGCGCGUUGGUAUGUUCCGGAACGUAUUAGAUCGACGUGAACUGAUCCGUAGUCCUGGCGAGAGCUGGGCAGGCAGUCCGCUAACCCCUUUGGUUCGCCUUAGGGGAAAGUGGGGCUGUUACAUUUGGUCUUCAAGUUUGGGUAAAGCUUGGUAGACACUUGGUUUGUUUCUCUAUUUUAUAUUUCUGUUUAAUAAAAUCUUCAUUGCUUAUCUAUACUUGCUUCUCUGAUUAAUAUUGCUAUUGUCUUCUAAAUCUAUUGGUUGAUCAUUACUAAAAAGGAGGUAAAUUUUUCACUUAAGAAAAAAGUGCAUAAACUUGGUUAAGAUUUUAAAUCCACCAAUUCACACCGCCUCUUGGUUGUCUGUGGGAAUCUUACAAUUGGUAUCGAGCUUGGUCUGCCGUGUGAGAUUAAGCUCUAACGGGCUUGGAGUAACGAUGACAAACCAGUCAUCGCUAUGUUUGUUGAUGGGCAAUCUGUUCCUAAAAGGCCUCCCAUGUCAAGUGGCUGGUAACUAUGUAGCUGGAAAGAACGAAUGAAUUAUCUUUUUGCACUCUAUCUGAUAUUGAACUAUGGGUUUUAUUGUGAUGUUGAAGGACCGCAUGAGCUAACUUUUUUUUUCUUGAUGGCAGAUACAGGGUUGUCUUCGGCAAAAACAAGAGUUGAAAUGAAUGCUCAAGAUAGGACUAAACCUGCACAUUGAAUGCCAAGGUCCCAUGAAUGUUAUUUAUAGUGCCCUAGAUUCAAAUGAAUCACUCAGAGUAAAAGCUGGCAAAUCGGUCUAAAGAAAUGUGGGAUAUACUAUAGAGAAUCCAUGAGGUGGUUGACAAUGUGAAAGAACAGAAAAGGCCAUCUUGUCACAAACCUAUGCAAUCAUUUAAAUGAACGCUCUUGGAAGGAUAUUGACAAAAUGUAUUGCAGGUUCACUGACUUGAUCAAAGAUGCUCGAGCGUUGGGCCAAAGAGUAGCACCUGGAGAGAAGAACAGGAAAAUUCUGCAAUGCCUUUGGCGCAAAGAAUGGCGAAAAUAAAGUGACAGCAAUAGAGGAGGCCAAGGAUUUAAGUUCGUGCGCUAUUGAAUCUAUCAUUACCUCACUAACCAAGCUUAUGAGUUGAAACGUGAAAUCUAAAAGUUGCAGGACAAGGAAAGGAUCUAGAGCAAAGAGAAACAUUGCUCUAAAGACUACUCAAGGUGAAGAUGAUUCUGCUCAUCUGGAUGAUGAAGACUCGGAUGGUGAUGAUAAUGAUCUUGCUCUCAUCACCAGAGGCUUCAAAAGAAUCAUGAAUAAAAGAAAGUUUAGAAGGGGAGGACCUAGCAAUCAAUUCCAGAAUCAGCCAUCUAUCGCAAAGUAUAAAGGUAAACAAGAUUUCAACAAGAAACAGUUGGACAAAUGCUUCGAAUGUGGACAGAUUGGACAUUAUGCAAACGAAUGCCCAUGAAGAAGAUGAAAGAUGGAAAAGCUGAUCGAAAGCCAAGAUUCAACAAUUUUCAGAUUACUUGGAAUGAAUGCAACUCCGAAGGGGAAGUUGAAGAAGAAGAAGAAUCUGCUCAAAUGGCCUUCAUGGCUAUUGGAAAUAAUGAGGUAACCUCCACACACUCUCAAUCUGAAAGUGAUAAUGAUGAAGAUGAUGAUCUUGAAUCUUUUGUUGAAAAACUGCAUAAUACCUUGAAGGAAUCCUAUGAUAAAAACAAGCAGUUAAAACAGAAAAUGGCUUUUCUCAUUCAAGAAAAUGCAAGUCUUUUUCAACAAAAUAAACAACUAAAGACCGACAAUGAAAGUCUAGUAAGAGCUGGAUGUAAUGUUCAAGAUGAGCUUGAUAGAAAGACAAAUAUUUGUGAAAUGCAGAAGGAAAGACAUGGUGAUUUGAAAAAAAGGAUGGACAGCUUGGAUGAGAAUUUGAAAGCAAGAAAGCAGGAGUUUAACAAAAGGAACAUGUUAUCUACACAUCCUACUACUUUUCAAAGAACAUUUGCACACAACAAAAUUGCACAUGGUUUCACAACAUAUAGAAGAGGUGAAUUAAGAUAUGUCAAACCAGUACAUGUUAAGGACUCUUCCAUUAUGUGUGUUUUUUGUUGUCAAAGAGGGCAUUUGAAAAGUAAUUGCUAUGUGAAAAGAAAUCUGAACAAAGGGAUGAAGUGCAUGUGGUUAGUUAGAUACAAUGCUAACUAUUAUGGACCCAAAAAUUAAAAAGGGUACCAAAAACGUUAUCUUUUCAGGAUAAAGGAUCAAACAAGUCAAAAUGGUUUAUUGAUAGCGGCUGCUCAAGGCACAUGACCGGUGAUCCUUCCUUGUUCAUAAAGCUGAAAUCAAAAUCAAGUGGAAAGGUAACAUUUGGUGAUGAUGUGAAAGCUAAGACAAUUGGAAUAGGUGAUGUUGGUAAGGAUGGUGAAACUUUUGUUCAUAUGUGGCUCUUGGUUGAUAACUUAGGUUAUAAGCUUGCUAAGUGUUAGUCAACUGGUGUGAUAAAGACUUGUUGAUGAUGUUAUUUUAAAAGCAUGAAUGGCAUUGUAACUUGAUUCCAAAUAUAAUGUUGUCAUCCAAAUAUUGGACCAAUACUUCACUUUCUUUAUCAUUCUUCUUUUGCAGCCCAGCACUUAUUAAGCAAAACUCAAGAGGAUCGACAUCAAGAUUGAUUUGAUCCACCUCUUUGGUCAGUAUAUCCAUUGAGUCAAUUAAACAAGCAUGAUCGGUAAAAGAAGGGUAUUUUUGCAUUUCAUUCAAAUUAAAUACUAUCUUUUCUUCGCCUAUUUGAAAUAUAAACUUGCCAUUUUUACAUCAAUAAUAGUACCCGUAGUUGCUAAAAAUGGUACCUAAGAUAAUUGAUAUAGACAUAUCUUCCUCCAUAUCUAAUACCACAAAAUUCACCGGAAUAAUAAAUUUUUGCACCUUGAUUAACACAUUUUCUAAAACUCCUAGUGUAUACCUAAUAGACCUAUCAGCUAAUUGCAAGGUAAUAUUAGUUCAUUUGAACUCAUGCAAACCUAAUUGUCUAGCCACAGUUAGAGAAAUUAAAGAUACACUUGCACCAAGGUCACAUAAUGCUUUUGAAAAUUCAAUAUUACCAAUAGUGCAAGGUAUAGAAAACUCCCAGGAUCCUUCAAUUUCGGUGGCAGCUUGUUUUGUAUGAUGACACUACACUCCUCAGUUAAUACUAUCAUUUCACAGUCCUCCAAUUUUCUUUUUCGCGUUAUGAUUUCCUUGAGGAACUUGGCAUACUAAGGAAUCUGUAAAAUAGCAUCAAUAAAAAGAAUAUUAAUAUGCAAUUGUUUAAAAAUUUUUACAAAUUUAUCAAAAUCUUUGUCAAGUUUAUUUGGCUUAAGUCAUUGAGGAAAUGACACUGCCGAAGGUAUCGAAACGGUAUUAGAGGAUGUUGGUUGUUCUUCUUCCACUUUCUCCUUAUCGCCUUCCCUCACACUUACCUCUUCUGCAAUUGUUCAUCUCCUCCACUAACACUCUCCUUGUGACAGCCCCACCCCUCCCUAGGGCAAACCCUAGGGUAUCAGCGGACUGUCUGCCCAACUCUCGCCAGGACUCAGUCGUUCAAAGUACUAAUAUCAUCAAUGAAACGAAUGUAACAUUUGACAAUGCAGGGGAUUGAAACACUAACUCAAACAUAAUCACUAAUUCAACAAUUCAGCUUAGUACAUAUAUCAUCGCAUGCCAACUUACCACGCUUCACUCAAAUUACAUAAUAUAAAUCACUCUUAAGAAUUUAAGCUUACAAGUCUGCUUAAAUGAAAGUUACAACCUCAAAAUGCAAGAACGGCAAAAUAAAGCAAAGAAAGCUCUCGUUCAAACCCCUUCCCGAUCUGUUAAGGAAAACAAAGGGAAUGGGGUGAGUUAAAACCCAGUGAGGUUCCAGGUAAACAAGUAAACACAUAGCCACAUAAAAUCACAAAAUAGCCAACUAAACACCGUACAGUAAAAUAACAGUUUAAUCACAGUUCAAUUCAAGAAUACGGGUGGCUUUCAAAAGCCAAAGGUCCACUUGAGUUUGAUCAUAAUUGCCUCCUGUUGACACUCCGUCAACACUUGUAACAGUAUAUAGGUCCGUAGAACACCACUUUCAUCAGUCUCCGUCCACCAAACAACCCCCCACCUGGCCCGCACUCCAUAAACAGUAGUUUGGUAAUAUUCUAGUAUACCAGGAAUCCGAGUUUCGAAUGCUCAAGGAUUCCAAUGAAACAGUAUCAAGCCGAGAAUUUUAUCACUGGUGGUGCUGGACAACACAACAAGCAAGCACAACAGCUAUACUUCACCAGGGACCUCCAAACAAGAUUCGAUUUCCAGUGAACAGUAAACAGUCCUCAAGGUUUAUCGGCCUUCUCGACCAAACCCUUGCUGGCUCGAUACAACCGACUCACCUAUGAGGUUGGGUACCCAAACAGUAACAGUAGUUGGUGGAAUGUCAUCCACACAACUUAAGCAUAGUCAUGUAUAGCAAUAUCUCAUUUCAUGUUAAUUCAUUCAGUAAGUAGAGCCUCAGUGAAAAGAAAACAAAACAAGGAAGGUCGAGUGCGAUAAAGUACACACUCGCCUCAAUUUUAAUUAAAACAGUGUUUGGCUCAAACAAUAACAAUUCAAUACUUUCAAGUACACAAAUAUUUCACAUAACAAGUAGCAAGUAGUGGAACACUCACCUGUCAAGCAAAAGUAAUAAUCGACGUCAAACGUCUCAGUUACGAUCACCGUCGUUGCCCAAACCUAGGUCAACGAGUGAAAACAUUAAUAAUCGGAUUCGUUCCCUACUAAAGUAUAGGUUCAUUAAGAGGCCAAGUGAGUAGUUUAAGCUACUUAAUCCGGCAUGCAAAUAGGGUCUAAACCACGGUGAAAUUUCAUGGAAAACAAGUCUAGUAUGUACAUGAAAGUUUGGCAAAUGAAAAGUUUCACUAAAGCUCAAAGGCUUCAUUACGGGUUAAACUGUCUCGCCCGGCCAGCCUCGGGAAAACGGUUAUUGCUCACUGUGGGAAAGUUAGAAUUAGGUUCUGUCAGUUGCAUUGGAAACUAGGUUCAUAAGGGUAAAUUUGUCUAGAAGAAACCAUUUCCAAAAUCCCAACAUAAGUGGCUCAAAAUUAAGAAACCAAAUGAACUUUCUGGACUGUCUCGAAUGAACAGUACUUCCUGGACAGCCAAAUUUCCAGACUUGCCACGGAUCGCUCGGGAUGAACCAGAAAAUGAGCUUUGUACCGUUUUAAAGCUCUAAGAGUCUACUUUCAAUUUCCACAGAUGGCACUCAAUUCCGAUCAGUGAGUAACACGUUAUGACCUUAACAAGAUUGCUGGACAGAAAAUUUCUGGACCUAGUCCAGUUUUCCUCCUUUGUUUAUAACUCAAAAUUUAUUCAACCAAAUUGGCUAAUUUUUUGUAGACAACCUCCACACACAUGACCCAACAUAUAACACUCACAUUUGUAGCCAAAAUGUGCAUGAAAAUAUCAAGGAAAAACCGGGCAGCAAGCUUAAAAAGUUUCAGUCAGCACACUUUAAAAAUUUCUAACUUCUACUCUUCUUGUUAUUUUCAUUCCUUGCACAUAACAAGUAUUAGAUCCAACUAAAUAGGGGUUUAAAACAUAUCAAUACUUCAUAAACACACAUGAAUAAGGGUUAGACAUUUCAUCAAACACUUGGUAUGCAUAUUAGUAAACCUAACCAUUACUUGAUUAAUUCUAGAAACUAACCCCAAAUUCAACCAUAACAAGUUGUUUUCACCAUUUCAACCUCAAGUAGAUGAUAUAACACCAUAAACCCAAAUUUUAAAGAUUACAUACCUUACUUACAAGUUGUUUUGGUCACCAAACAAACCACCACAAUAGAAGCUUUAGACUUGAAACAACCUCAAAGAUUGAAGGAAAUUUUCUCACAAACUCUAGAUCUUUCUCUUUUGGUUUUUGUUCAAGAUCAAACUAAGGUUGUCAUAGCAAGAAGAUGGAGUUUUCUUCCUUCCCUUGGAAGCCCUUAAGGUGGACGAAAUUUUGGAGGAAAAUGAAGCAAAGUUGGUUUAAAAUUCCUCUAAUCCUUUGGUCAAACAAAAUACAUGGCUAGGGUUUUGCCACAUGGCUCCAUUAUUGUCCUAACCUUUCUUAAUCUUUGACUAAUGCCAUUCUUACCUUUCCAAAUGCACCAAUAAUUAUUCAACACCUCUAAUCUCUCACAUAAAGUCUCUACCACUAAUAAAAGAACACUUGGACAAUUACAAGUGGUGAAUUAUUUACAACCUAACUCAAGGAAAUAUUUUAUUUCAAGUAAAAUGAAUUGAAAUGAAAUGCAUGGAAAUUAUUAUAACACAUAGAAAAUAAUUUGUAAGGGCAUAUAUUAAAUGGUUUAGAUCUUAUAAUAAGACAUGUAAGUAAGAAAAUUGUGUUUUAAAGUGAGGGUCAAUACAAGGGAUUUGUUGUAACACAUUGUGAAAUAAAUGCUAGGACAUAUAAGAGGUGGUUUAAAUCUUGGUGCAAGGCAUGUAGUUUGGGAAAAUUGUAUUUUAAAAAUGAGGGUUCUCACACUGUCUCCCCCUAAAAUAAUUACGCUCUCGAAAUUCUCAGCUUGAUUACUGAGUAGUUCAAAAUAUUUUCGAUGAAUAUCCUUUUUAACUCUCCCGAGUCCUGUGAGCGCAUGCUUUAGUAAAACCAGCAAUACAAAGCCAUAUUAUGUUGGAAUUGAAGCUCCAAAUCUUUAUUUAGAACAUGUAUCAAUUUACAAGUUUCAUAGUUGUAUAACCUAUCGAAAUAUAAUACUAGCUUGUUCCCAUCGAAGAAUAAUCCUUAUGUCCUUACUAAUCAAGGUUGCAAAAGUCAUUUAGAGCAGAAAAGUAUCACUUAUAGCCAAACGUUUAAAGAAAGUAGAAAAGACGUUCAAAAUGCAAAGUUGUAAACUGUCCGACCUAAGGUGGUUUGAAGAACUCAUUUUCCUUUCAUUUAAGUCUCGUUUCCACUCAUAAACCAACCUCAAAAUAGUUUACCAACUCCAAUCCUAAAGUUGGGAAUGUAAGCAGGAAUAAUCCUAGGAAAAAUAGAAAUUUUUUUUUUUAGUUUUGCGUGAUCUCAUUUGAAAAUCUUAUCUCGAGCUUCUUAUGUCCAAAACUUAAAAACUUUAUACCGUCGGAAUAUGGAUUCAAAUUGUUACAACUUUCUAGAAGGUACCAUUGUAAGAUCCAAUCCACGAGUCGGUCAAAUUCCAACCUAAAAUUGCUGCUUCACCCAGUAACAGACAGAACAGGUAUAUAGUUUCAGUCAACUUUGAAAAAUCAUAGAUAUUCAUGGGAAUUGAGAACAAUACUGAUACUCUGAACCUAGUUUCAAACAUAAUAAAUGAAACUCAAUUUUGACUUUUCUACAUCAAGAUAUAACAAAUUCUGUAAAACCUUCCAAGGUUCCCUGCGGAAAAAUUUUCAGCGGCACAUCCUUUAUGUUUACUAACUUUUCCUAGCCCAUUCAAGGCUUCAUUCUUCCCAUGAAAUAGCUUCAACUCAAGCAUAUAAAUAUCAAGCCCACAACUCACUACAUCAAGCAUAUAACCGUCUCUACUCAAGUUUAGCAAAAUGAAACCCGAAACUGAAAUUCUUAAUCACAAGCUAGAAUUUUCUUUAGGCAAGUCAUAACAAAGCUAUCAGACCAUGGUCAAUACUUAAGCAUGACGUGUAGUAGAAAAUUCACCAUAAAACUAUAAAUUACCACAACACUAGUUGAACCCAUGAAAUUUUUCAUAAAGCUGCCAAAAGUACUACCUUAAUCCACUAGUUUACCUAUAUUGCUAGUAGAGGAAAAUUGCUAGCCAAAGUUACCUUGUAACCUCAAAAAAGAUGGAAAUCUAGGGCUUCUUCCUCAAAAAUCGCUCCACCAAUACCUUGAAAUCUUUCUUAAUUAACAUUUCCAUGGAGUAACUUCAGAUUCAAGUACAAAAUUGAGGUUGGAGUUGGAGGUCUCUCUUUGGUUUCUCUUCUCUCUUGGUUCGGCAAAGUAAGAGGGAAGAUGAAGACAAUUCAGUCAAAUUGUUGAUUUAGUCAAGGUGAAAAAUGUGACGCAAACCUUAAUCUCGAUAAAAGAAGAGUUACAACAUGGUUACUAUUCUUACUGGCUCUUUAACCCAUGCACUGUAUAUUAAAUCAUUUCCUCCCUUCGAGCGACAAACAAUAAAUUUUUAACUCAAAGACCAAAGUAAGGCAAUAAACUCGGGGAUAAGGAUCCAAUACUGCACAAUCACCAAUAUUUCAUAAUACUUAUUAAAACAGCAGGUAUCAAGUCCACUGUUCCUAAGGGAAUAUAUCUUGCUAUAUAAAAAAAAUGUCACUAUGCAUAGUCCAAUGAUUAUAACUUAUCCGGGCAAAACCUCAUUAAUGGCUAUUCAACUAGGCAAAUGUACUGAUGCAAACUUAUUCUGUACCUCUUCUGGAAUCUCCUUCAUAUUUCCUUUCAAUUGUAUGUCCUGAUACGGUAGUUCAAUGUUCUCUAGGUAUUUUGGUUCCUAUCAUCUUUCCCAGUACUCAGUUCAUCUCUUUUGGAACUCUACUUCUUUUUGAACAGUCUCUAUUUUCUCAUGCAGAUCAAUCACCUUUGUCAUCUCACCGAUUCACUUAUUGAUAGUAGCUUGCCAGGCAACUCUAAUUAUGAUUGGCUUUGUAGAAGGUCUAGUCAUAUAACUUUUAAGUUCAUUCAUUUCCAAUCCAACCACGAGGAAUUAAACUUAGCUAUUCUCAAUUGAGAUAGACGAGAAAGCAGGACAGAAGUGGGGCACUACUUCAAGAUACUAUGCCACUUAUUUCUAGUAUGGUGUCUUAACACAAGAAGCACCAUUGCCACUUAUGUACAUAGGGAAACCCUAAAGCGUAUUUUGCAUAUCAAAAGUUCCACACCUUAUCUCAAACUUUUGCGUACAGGUAUAGAACCCAAUUCUUUUCUCCAAUCCCCAUACAAAAUUCCAAAACUCUUGGUCUCAAGACUAUAAUAAUCAAAACAAACCCAUACUUUGAUAUUAGUGGAUAGGUGUCAAGGAAGUAUAGGAAAGAAUGUCACAAGAAGAGUAGAAAUAUCAAUGUAGUUGUAAUCAAACCACUUCACAUUCGAAAUAAACACUUAUCAAGUCUUCACAGUCGUAGGAGAAGGAAAUAGGUCUUCAGUGCAAAUUUCUCAGCGUACACCACAAUCUAGCCACCGUCUACAGAAACGCUAACAGACUAUUUCAAGAUUAGUCCAUGAUAACUUCCGAGAUAUAUCCCCUCAAUCAGUCCAACAACUAGGUCAAGUGUUAGAAUCUUCCGCGCCUUGACUUUUGCCAUUACAACUUAUCUCAAGUACCAUCAAGAUACAGACCCUUAUUCUAGUGUUCUUCUCUUUUUGGUACUCAAGUACAAGAAUCCACAAUAAGGUAAUUCACAACUCGAGCCGGUCGGUCCCAAGAGUAAAUCACCCAUAUUACAGAUUCCUACCCGACGUACAUAUCUAUUCCUCCCAAAUAUCCUGAUAAAGAGUUUAUGCUUAUAACAGUCAUGAUUCAUAGCUUACGCUCCAGAAGAGCACCUAGUCCUUACCACUUACCCACAUAAUCUGACAAUAACACCACUUGACCCCAAACUCACUCCGCGUAGGGACCACGCGAAGCAGCAAAAAUAUCUUUCAUUCUUUCAAACCAGUUCUCGGCGGCUUUGGGAUCUGGUCCUCUAAGAAAUUUAAGGGGAGCGAACUUUGGAACCAUUUCAGGGCCCUAUCUUCACUUACUUCAAGGUUCCUUUACUAGUUACCCGGUACUUGACCUCGAUGGUCAACCAAACAGGCCAGUAAACAAUAGAUCAGUCAUACGAUUGAUAGCUGUAGCUACCUGGUCUCCUUCUCCACAUUCGGGUCCUUGGUUCUAAUUGACUACAGACCUUUAUUCACUACAACAAAAAUGGCCUUUCCUGACAUAUCUGUAAGGACACCUGUUGGUUUGUGUCAUUAUAGCACUCCUAUCAUGACACUUAUUAGCAAUUCAAUAAUAUAUACUCUAAUUUUUUUAUUUUAUUAGAUAUAAAAAUAAUAAUGUGCCUUUAGACUAUCUAACAUGACACUUGAGAAAAUAUGAGAUACACCAAAAAAAAGAAAGACACUAAACGGCAUCGUUUGAUUUUGGCGGAAGAUUCAUUUGCCUUAAAACACUCAAAAUUUUCAUUCUACUGGCCAAAACACUUACUAAAAACAAUUGCUCAAAAUUUUCAUUUUCCAGCUCCACCAUUUCUAGCCACCCUCUCUCUGUCUCUCUAUCUCUCUGCUGUCAGAUUCCGAUGUAAUUGGUGGGAAAAAUGGGUAGCAGCUAAGCAGCAGUUUCCAUGAAGCUUCAACCGUGGCUCCCUUAGGCAGCUAACAGCAACAUCAGCAACAAAAUCUCUCUCUUAGGAAACCCACUUCCGGGUCAUCAUCAUCUUCUUCUUCGAAUUCGGCUCAACAAAUUUCUCCCCCGACUCGAAUAGUUUAUCGAGAAUUGUCUUCCAAGUCCAAUCUCAAUUUGUCCUUUUGGCAAACUACCUGGUUCAUUGGCUUACUUUUACUAAUGGCAAUCUCGUUUUUCGGUCUCGCCAUUUUCCUUUUUCUUACCCUUGACUCCGAUUUCACCUCUUCCCCCAUCUCUACCGCUUCCGAAGGCGUCCAGGCAAGCCAAAAGCCCACUUACUACUUCAAAUUCAUGGUUUUUGCGUUCCUGUAGUUGCACAGAUAUGCGGUGCAUCUUUGUGUGUGUGUGUGUGUGUUUUUCCCCCUAUUUGUUGAAAUUGUACGCGGAAAGUUGUUUUAUAGUUAUUUUUGGUUCAAAAUUUUGACCAAGUUUGUGCUAUUAUAGGCAUGUGAUGGUUAUAAAUUAUAGCCCUUCAGAGGUUUAUAAGCUAAAAGAGGAGAGGGAAAGAGGAAAUGGAGUUGUUUGUGUAGAAUUAGUAAUAGCUUUCGACAUAUUUGAUGAAAUGCCUCGAUAAUCUUUGUUGAAAAUCUAGCUGGGUGUCAGUUAAAAAUUGCUAUUUGGAUUUUUUAAAGAGCUGAUUUAUGAAUUAAAUUUGAUUUUUUUUCCUAUUUUAUAGUUUGAGGUUUCUGUUGUGUGGCGAAAAUAAAAAAUGGUGUAUGAUGCUUUGAGUUCUAAUAGUUGUAUAAUGGGGCUUUGUGCCAAGUCAUUCUUAUUUUGUUCGGCAUCUGUGAUUUUGGUAGAUUACUUAUGGGUCAGUGAUCAAGUUGAUGCAUAAGAGAACAAAGUUUAGGCUGCAUUCGCAUGAUGUACCAUAUGGCUCUGGUAGUGGGCAGCAAUCCGUCACUGGUUUUCCCAACAUUGAUGACUCAAACAGCUAUUAGGUAUGUUUCUUUUUCUAGUAUCUUUUUUUUCUAGAUCAUCAUAAUUUUCUAAGUUUAGGUAUGAUUAAACUUGGCUUGCAGAUUGUUAGACCCGUACUAGAUACCAACGCCCAACAAGGGGAUACAAUCAAAGGUGGUACCGUCAUCAGGCUGCAACACAUGAGGACCAGAAAAUGGUUGCAUAGCCACUUGCUAAAUGUAAGUCUUACUAUGAUGCCUAUUGGCUUCUAAGGUAUCAAAUCAACAACUGAUACUCGAUCGUACCUCUUUUGAUCACUUGUGCUUUUUCAUACCAAAAAGGUACCCAGCAGACCUGUUUGAAAGAGUUGAGAUCAACUCAGUUUUAGACUGGCAUCAUGCCAAUCUACGACAUAGUUCAGGUGCCCAUCUUAAGUUUUGGCUCUCUAUUAAAUUAUUACUAAUCUAGCUGUACAUUAUUAGCUUGUCUUCCCUUAUCAAGAGAAUUGGGAUUUGUCUAGCGAUGUCUAGAUAUAGUCAUUCCAAGUUUCAUUUUCAGUAUUUUGCUUAUAAAUGAUACGUUAUCAUCAAUAUUAAUGUUGUACUCCUUGAUGCAUGCGCUUAUUUUUCUUACAGCUGGAUUAGUCUUCCAUAGCAAAUGGAUCUUUUUUGAAGUCAUUAUGAUCUCAUCCCAUGAAAUAAUUUUACCUUUCUUUGUUAUUUGAUUGUUGCCUAUGAACAUUUUGUGUGCUUACAGUUAAUUGAUCUUUAGGAGAGUCAUUCUAGAUUUAUUAUCCCAUAACAAUCUUUAGCUAAUAUAUUACUGAUUUUCUUUUGGGUUGGCAGACCACACUUUUGGAUUACAUCAGGAAAAGCAAGGUAUGAAUUGAUUAUUUUUAUUGAUGUUCACAUUGAGGUACAUUAUUUGUAAUGCCAUUAUGAUUUGAUGACUUUAGAAGAAGUACCUUAUUCUGUCUUAUGUUAUGAUGCUUGAAUAGCUAGGAACUAAAUCUCAGACAACCUACUGUAGGUGGCAACAUCUGAAGCAGGUGGAAUUACUCAAGGCAUGGGGGCAUACAAGGUACAAGUACCUUUUGAUGGCAAGCCACAGACUUGUGUUUUCCUUGACACCCCUGGACAUGAGGUAAUUAAUGAUGUAGCACUGGUUCUAACUUUUAACUGCUUAUUCAUGCAAGUUUUUUUUUCUUUUUUUAAAAUUUUUAUGUCAAAUGCUCUUCUUGGAGAUUUUGCAGACAUAUCUUCAAAGGCCUUUGUCAAGAUGAAUUAUCUAACAUAACUGUAAAAAUGGUUGGAUAGGCAUUUCGAGCAAUGAGAGCUCAUGGAGCCAGAGUAAUAGACAUUGCUGUUAUUGUAGUUGCUACUGAUGAUGGAAUUCGACCUCAAACAGAAGAGGCCAUUGCUCAUGGCAAAGCAGCUGGAGUGCGAAUUGUUAUUGCUAUAAACAAAGUGCGCUUGCAUUUAUUCUGAGAUUUUCCACUGUGUGUUGGCUUGUAUAUCAUUUAGUCUCAUUUGCAUUCUGCUUUUGAUGUAUGAAACAUGAUGACAAAUCUCCUCUUGCUUAUGGGAGUUGGCAUUUUCAGUUCUCAUAAUCACAGUACUGCUCAAGUUUGAUGUUUCUAGAUUUUUGCAUCAUAGCAUAUUAUCUUAUAUGCAUUCUGUUCUUUGGGAUAAUUUUAAAAGUCCUUUGGGUUUCUGAUCGACGGAAUGUAUAGCAGGGAGCAUUACCUGCAGGUUGCUUCUAUCUCAAAAAAAAAAAACUCCUGACAAUUAAAAGUGUCAGCAUAGAAUUCGAUAUUCUAAUGUUGUACUAUACCUAUCCUGACAUUUUCAAUUAUCAAGAAAAUGGACUUUUGUUGGCAAAUGGGAUGUUAUAACAGCAUAGUUUUCCUGACAUGUUGAAUAGUACGAGUCUAUCCCCACAUUGGAAGGGACGACACUCGCCCUAGGUGUGAGGAUAGAUAAAGUGUUAGGUUAGAUUAUCUAUACUAACACUUUUAAAUACCGUUAAAGGCCAUUUUUGUUGUAGUGAUUCCUCCUCUUAGUCUUGGACCUACCUAGAUCCACACCCAUGGCCCCAACCAUAUUAUCGUCUAGUCUCCAUGAUUAUUCACUAGUCUAGGAUCCAAGUAUUAUAACUGACAAGGUAAGCAAAUAGGGGUAUACAAUAUGCUUAUUCAUAUUUAAAGGUCAUAUAAGAAAUGGAAUCGAAGUCACGAUAAACGGGUGAAAUUGAAAAGCAGUUAAAGGCCAAUGCCGAAAUAAGAUCAAAGUCAAAAGUCAAAAGUUCAAAAGUCAAAGAUCCAAGUUAACAGUCAAAACACUGUACAUAAAGGCUCCUAGCAGUCAUUUAUAAAAUAACAGGACCAAAAGUAGCAAGUGCGAGCCUCAAGAGUACAAAUAUAGUCGUACAGUCAUAUCAAACAAAACCUAGCACAAGUGUCAAAAGAAAACUGUACAACCACCGAGCCACAACCCCUCCUAUCCUUUCUAUGUGCAAUAGUCAAAAUCAUCCAAGGUAGUAGUCUAGUAGUAAAGGCUUAAUCCGUCGUAGGACUAGUUGACCCCCCCAAACUGGGCGGGUUCGUCUCUAAUCUCGCCUCCUAUGUAAGAAGCCUCGUCACUCACUUCUCCCAGCAGAUCAUCACAAAUAUUCCGAAUGGACUCUGCUCUAAUCCUCACUUUCCUGGCUCUUAACCAUAUCAUACUCAAGUUCCUUAAUCCGCUCUGCUUGCAUUUCAAUAGUUUUCUUCAGGUAAUUUAUUUCAAAUCCAAGCCUAGUAUUAUCCCUCGCUAGGACCUUCCGCUCCUUCACUAUGGCCAGAACUACUUCAUUAGGGUAGGUAUAAGUAUAAUGGCACUCGAAAUGCCUGUAGCGGUUAGAUGGGCUUUAAUAGCCUCUAUCGUUUUCGGGCCUGAUUUGAUACUUAAUCAUCUGUAAGUCCCCACGGAACAACUCACCAACUGGUCUAUUGCUAGGGCCACUAGAUCCGUCCAUCGUACACAAGACGUAGAGGAAAAUUAAGCACUCUUAAAGGAAAAUAGUCAAAUAUAAUCCUCAAGUCAAAAAUUUCUAAUUCACUCAAGCCAAUUCAAACCAAGGCUCUAAUUUUUAUCCCUACCAGCGGUCACUCAACUUUCAAACCAAUCCCACAGUCCGGCAUCCUAAACUUGAAGCCUAGGAGACACUACAGAGAUCGGAAACCUAAGCUCUGAUACCAACUGUGACAGCCCCACCUCUCCCUAGGGUUGCCCUAGGGAGAGGUGGGGCUGUCACACUCCUCAUUUCCCUUGUUUUCUAACACCGAAGGGUCUUCUAAUUGUUUACCACUGUGAAGAGUAAUGGUCUUGACAUGUUACUUAGGAUUAACCUCCGUUUUACUUGAAAAUUUCCCUUGAUUUCGGUUGUUAAUAGAAUUGGCAAUUUGACCAAUUUGAACCUCCACAUUUCUGUACAUUCUGGUCAAUCGAUCCAACCGCCCCUCUAUUCACUCGAAUCUCUCCGAAGUUUCUUUUGCCAAUUUUUCUACCGCAAUCUUCCAAUCCGAUUUAGUGUUCGUCGGUUAUGGCAUUGGUUAGAAUCCCGGCAGAUUAUUGGGGAUUUGUGGAUUGCCUUGCUCCUUCCAUCCGAAAUUUGGAUGAUUCCUCCACCCCAAAUUAUAUGUAUUCGAGUAUGGAUUAUUUUGAGCAUUCCUAUUAUAAUUAUUAACAAAUUGAACCUGCUCAACAUCAACACACUCGUUAGAGUCAUAUUCUCUUCCAUAUAUAGAACAACAAGCAACAUGCACAUUAGAAGAAGAACUUGGACCACAUCCGAUUUGAUAACGUAACAUUUGCAUCAUAUUAUUCAUUUGCGCACUAAGCAUAUUGAUAGCAUCAGUUUUAAUCAUACCUGCUUGUCGCCUUGGAUUAUCUCUUUCAUUAGCCCAUUGGUAGUUGUUAGCUGCCAUUUCUUCUAUCAAAUUUUGAGUUUCUUCGGGUGAUUUACCCAUUAAAGCACCACCUGCGGCUGCAUCAACAGUAGUUUUAGUUGUGAAAGAUAAACCGUUAUAGAAAGUUUGUACAAUGAGCCAAUUGGGAAGUCCAUGAUGUGGACAUCUCCGAAACAACUUUCUAAACCGUUUCCAAGGUUCAUACAAUGAUUUACCAUCAAAUUGACUAAAACUAGUGAUAUGCAUUCUAAGUUUAGCCAUUUUACCCGGUAAAAAGUAUUUAUUCAAAAAUGUCCUAAAUAAAUCAUCCUAAGUGGUGAAGGUAUUAGGGGCAUGAGAAUGUAGCCAAAUUUUAGUCUUAUCCCUCAAUGAAAAUGGAAACAACUUUAGCCUUAUUUCAUCUUCACUAACUUCAUUCAUUUUGAUUGUAUCACAUAUCUUAAAAAAUGUGGCUAAGUGUGCUUUUGGAUCCUCUACGGCAUUACCUCCAAAUUGAGAUUGUUGCAUCAUUUGAAUUAAUAAUGGUUUAAUUUCAAAAUUGUUAGCAUUUACCGUUGAUCGCGCUAUACUUGUUUGGGAUCCUUGAGUUCCCGGUAGAGCGAAAUCCCUUAGAGCUCGCCUAUUUGCUUCGUUUUCUGCAAUUUCUUCUUCAAAAGGAAGCUCUAUCGCAAUUUCCUCUAUUGGUUGAAUCUCUUCUUCUUCUUCUUCUUCUUCUUGCUGUGUACGCCUUUUUUGUCUAUGUAGUGUCCUUUUAGUUUCCGGAUCAAAAGCUGCUACUACCCGUAAAGCCAGGUGCAUAUACUACAAACAAAAAUAAAAGAGAUUAUUUAGCAAUUAAUUCAUAAAAACCAAUAAAAAUUGUAACUUAACUAUAAGCAAAUUAACUAGUAAAUACAAUUAAUGUCUAAAUUAAUAAAGUUAAUUAGGGCCUAAUAUUGCCGCUCCCCAGCAACGGCGCCAAAUCUUGACGGAUUAUUGAUAUAAGUACAAGUUUAAUUCCGAAUUUUACCCGUUUGGACUGUAAGUAUACAAAUCAAUUUAGUAGUUUUGAGCAAAUAUCGAAUCGAUCCCACGGAGAGCGAUGUUUCAAAUUCUAAGUCCUCACUUACUCUAUUAUUUAGACUACAAUCAAUUUAAGCAAGAGAAUCUAUAAUUACUACCACCUACAAAUCUCAACUAGACAAUUGCAAGAUAACAAAUGGAGAAAAUUCACUAAAUACUUGAGUCUAAGGAUGUAGAUUCCACUUAUGACAUGAACAACACAAAUGAAUAGAUUUACCUCUUGUUACAACCCUUGUUUAACUAGAGAUUCAUUUCCAAUAUUACCAAAUCUCAUUUUCAUGAUGAAAUGGCCUAAAUGUAGUCUAGUUUUCCCUAUUCUCAUGGUGAAUAACUAGAUCUACUCUUGUUUCCUUCAUGAAAUGUAAGUUAAUCCACUUAAGUGUACCUCUAUUCUCAUGAGUCUACACAUCAAGCUCUACUCAUGUUGUUCCAUCAUUAGUACCAACUUUCAUUGAAUAAUAACAACUAAGAACUUGUUGUUGGUGAUCAAGCAACAACAAGUGAUAAGCAUGCACAUGUAGACAAGUUAAUACAAGAUGUAACAAGUGUAAAUCAUAUUCACUUCAUAUCAAGUAACCAUAAGUUUCAUCUACUUCCUAGAUCUAGAAAUUUAGCUACUCAUGUAGGAUAUAACAAGUAAGCUCAUAGCUUCAUUACGUAAACACAUCAUGAAUCACAAGUGAAAGAUAGAUUAAAGAAAGCUUAGCCAAGGUUAAUGAAGAAACUCCGAUUGAUCUUCAAUUUCUUCAACAAAAUGGUGUACAAUGAAGUCUCCAAUUGUUCUCACAAAAGUUGCUAGCUAGAGAGAACAAGACAAGACUAACUUCUAAAUUCUAAUGGUAAAAUCUGAUAUGAACUAUUUCUAAUAUGUUCUCCUCUCUUCUUCUAAUGAUUUUAACAUCUAAUUGUUAAGAGAGUAAAAAAGAUGGGCUUUUGACAAGACAUAAAGCUCCUUUCUUCUUCUUUUUUACAUCAGAAGCAUGUGCAGCCGAAAUUUUCUCUCCAACUAUAGCUGGAAAAUGGUGUAAAAACAAGGCAAGUGGCUGAACAAGUUGUUGAAAUCAGACGACAAUACGCGACUUGAGAAUACACGACUAUAACCCGCGUAUUGCCAAGUCGUUUAUUCAAUUCUGUGCAUUUGACUCCAAUUCAACUGCUAUUCACUCAUUGAUAGAGGCUGAACUAGCUCUUGGAAAAAGCUUAAAAGUUGUAGCCCUAUGCAUUAGCUUUCCAAUGCUUUAAGAAUAAUCUAAUUUGGAGCUCUGUGGACCAAGAUAUAAUCAAAAUAUCAUCACCUGGUGAGAGCUCAGUUCUAGCACUCGACCGUGCACAUAUGCUUCUGUAUUUUGACUUUUUGACCAGGAAAUCAACUGAAUUGGACUUUCAUGUUUUCAUACCAAAUGUAUAUCUAUCUCUUAGCUUCAAAAUAUUAUAAAGAUCUCUUCGAUCCGAUCAUUUUAGCGCAAGAUAUUGCCGAAAUACGAAAAUGUGUCAAAACUAUCUUCACUUGCAUUUCUUCAUUUGAAUGUUUUGCACUUCAUGUAUUCUUAAAACCUCUUCCAAUCACCAAUUAUCAUCCAAUUGUCUUCUCAAUUCAUGCCAUUUGAUGAUUGAUUCAUUAAACCUACAAAAACAUGAAGUUUUUACCAUAAAAAUUCAUAGAAAUGCAAUGUUUGCCAUUUAAACUAUAAAAUGCAUAUCUUUACCAAAAUCCUAGUUAAUUAGUUAUAAAACUAGUUAAAACACACCAAAACUAACUAAUAAAAUACACUAAAAAUACGUAAAAUAUAUAUACAAAAAUUGACAGGUGCCGAACCUGUGCAAUAAUAAAUACCUACUCGAGAAAAAUACAGAUUUUUGUAUAUAGCGGUGAGUAGGGUCGAAUCCACAGGGACUAGGGAUAAUUCGUUUCUUCUAGAAUCCAAAGUAUGGGGGGUUCUUGGAUUAAAUGCUAACUAAAGAAAUUAAAUGCAGAGAAUAAUUAAUUGAAAGAAAUACUUAGAGAAACUCUAGCCAAGGAUACACUUCAGAAAUGGUUCACGCACUGAUCAUUGAUUCAAAGAUAAUUCCAACAUUUAUUACUAGAGUGGUUAUAGUUGUCAUACACGCGAUACACAACCAACUUUUCCUUACUUUCUCGAUAGUUAAGGUACGACCGUUAACUAUUUCUCUAACCCAAAAACAAUCCUAGGUACGACCGUAGGAUUUAAUUUCUAGAUUGCAUUAAUAAUUAGAAAGGCCCAAUCCUAACUAACAAACACGCUACGAGGGUUUGUUUAAGUUAGAUCGUAUGUUUCCCUGACAUAAACCCAAUUACGCCAGUUGCUACUGAGAUAGAGAUAACGAACAAUUACGGAUUCAAUUACCCCUAUUUAGCAAAAUAGCCUAUGCGAAUAAUUAAAUAUUGCACACUAAUCAAUCAUCCACACGAGCUAUAACGGUUAAAAGCAGGAAACAUAUGAAUACCAAUAAAUGAAGGAAGCAAUUAAAAUAAAUUAGAUCUCACAGUAAUUGUUGAACCAUAUCUUCAGUUGUCCCCUUGACUAGAAUUGAGAAGUGCAAGAAUAAAAAUAAUAGCCGCCUUAGUGUUUGAUAAGAGAAAAACUGAAGGGAACAAAAGAUUGGCCAAAAGGCCAAAAGGCUCUGCCGAAUUCUCCUUUGCGGCCCCCCCAGAGCCAAGCGGCUGCCUCCCUCUUUCUCUUCUUAUUCUCUGGCCAAGUAAUAAUCACGUGAGAUCCCUAGCUGAGUCCUCAUCCCGCGGGAUCCGGCUUUCCCUUUUUCUUUUUUUGGUUUCCUAUUCAGCUUCUACUACUUCUUCAAAUCCGUGCAAAGGAAAUCAAAAAACCAGAAACUGCUGCUUCCUUUGAGUAUUAAUUACACGGGCCGGUCAUCCUAUCAUUUCCUAAUUUUUAGCUUUUUGAAACCAAAUAGACUUUCUCUUAAUCUUCCGUCAAUAAUCCAUGUAAACUCCAUUUUGAAUUGGGAAACUCUUGAGAAAUCACAUCUUUUAUCUCUUUUUGCUCCACCUUCCUACAAUUAGUACCAAAUACCAAAUAUAAAUAGAAUCAAUCAAUUAAAAUAAUAUUUGGUAUAAUAAAAGAGGAAAAUAAUCAUAGAAUUAACGGCAAAAACACAACUUAUCACUUAUCAUACAGGAAGAUUUUAAGUGAAGGAGAGAGGUUCCUUCAUAAAGUGAGCCUUUUAUGAUUAUUGAUGUCUAGGUCUAUGAUUGAUGAUUAGUUGACUUGGAAAUUUUUUUUUUUUGAGUGUUGACUUGGAAAUCCAUUUUAAAUCAACUUUUAGAAUACCAACAAGUAGACUUUUCUUGUUGGGCUCCAUUGAUGGUAGUUUUGAUCGGUAAAUGCAUUUAAAAAUGAAGCCCUUUUGGUCUAUAGUCUUUCUGUUCUUAUUGCUACUUAAGAAAAUUAAAAUAACAUUUGUUACAUUGAGCAGAAAAAUCCAACAUAAAUUCUUACAGCACAAAUUAUCAUAAAGGAGGUCAAGUGAAAACUUUUGGACGUACUAGAAAAUAUUUAGAAAAUAUUCAAAAUAGUUUUACAGAAUAUUGGAAGCUACUGUCCAUGAUAUAUCACAAUUUCCAUUCUUCGUUUAGCAUGAGAAUAAAUUUUUCUCAUCAGCAUAUCACAAGCAACUCCUAGCUUAAAUUGUGGUACCAUCCAAGGUACUUCAACAAUCAUAUGUUAAAGUGGCUUUGUCCCACAUCACCUUUUGUAUAAAGGAGCCUUUUUUUUAGUUGCUUAUAAAUAUAGUGGACCUAUGAUAGGAUUCGGUGCACCAAACCAAGAGAGAUUUAGUGGACUAUUUGGGCUUUUGGGUCAUUAAGCCUUUUGUUUAGUAAAAUACUUUGGACUCUCUUGUGUUUUAAGUAUUUGAUAUUUUAGGUCUAGGAACACUUUCCUGAGGCAUUUUUGUACUCUUUUCUUUAUAGUAAAAUAUUGCUCCUCCUCCAUCCGUGGACGUAGGUCAAUUUGACCGAACCACGUAAAUUCCUGUGUUCUUGUUUUAUUUAUUUUUGCUUUGUUAUUUGUCUUUUGGGGUUGUCCAAAAUCCUUUUGUCAAUUUCCUGGGGCCAAACCUAACAAACUGGUAUCAGAGCUUCUUCGGAGGCUUUGGAUUUUGUUGCAACAAUGACAAUAACAAAGACCGUUGUCGAGAAAUUUGACAGGAAUGUCAAUUUCGGGAUGUGGCAGCUCAAGAUGGAGGCCAUUUUGAUUCAUGAUGGAGUUUGACAAGUACAUAUUUUACGUAUUUUUUAGUGUGUUUAACUAGUUAUUUGGAGUGUUUUAUGUAGUUUUAUAGUUAAUUAACUAGGGUUUUGGUCAAGAUAUACAUUUUGUGAUUUAAUUGGCAAAAAUUACAUUUCUAUGGAUUUUAAUGGUCAAAACUUCAUGUUUUUUUGUAGGUUUAAAGAUUCAAUCAUCAAUUGGAGCGAAUUGAGAAGAGAAUUGGAUGAUUGGUGAUGAUUUGAAGUGGUUUAAAGAAAAUAUGAAGUGCAAAACAUUCAAUUGAUGGAAUGCAAGUGAAGACAUUUUUGACACAUUUUUGUAUUUUGGCUAUAUCUUGAGCUACAAUGAUUGGAUCGAGGUCAUAUUUAUACCAUUUUGAAGCUAAAAGAUAGAUCUACAUUUGAUAUGAAGACAUCGAAAUCCAAUUCUGUUGUUUUAUUGGUCAAAAAGUCGGAAAACAAAAACUGAUUUGUAUGGUCGAGAACUGAAACAGGGGAUUGACCAGUCGAUAGUAUUUCGAUCAUAUCUCAGUCCACAGAGCUCCAAAUUAGAUGAUACUUGAAGAAUUGGAAGGCUAAUUCAAGUGGCUACAACUUCCAUGUUUUGCAUAGUUUGGCCUCCAUUAUAGAGAAAAUGGCAGUUGAAACGAGGCCAAAUUCACAGAAGUGAAUACGCGACUUCAGAAAACGUGGGUUGUAGUCGCGUAUUCUCAAGUCGCAUUUUGUAACCUGAUUUCUGCAAUUUGCUCAGCCAUUUGCCUUGUUUUCACACUACUUUUCAGCAAUAGUUGGAGAGAGAAUUUUGGCUGCACAUGCUUCUGAUGCAGAAAGGAAGAGGAAAGGAGCUUUAUGUCUUGUCCAAAACCCACCUUUUUGACUCUCUUAACAAUUAGAUGUUAGAAUGAUUAGAAGAAGAGAGUAGAACAUAGAAAAAGAAGUUGAUAUCAGAUUUUAACAUUAGAAUUUAGAAGAAAGUCUUGUCUUAUUCUCUCUAACUAAGACUUUUUGUGGAGAACAAUUGAAAACUUCAUUGUACACCAUUUUGUUGAAGGAAUUGAAGAUCAUUGGGAGCUUCUUCAUUAUUUUGGCUAAGCUUUCCUUUUGUAUCUUUAACUUAUGAUUCAUGAUGUGUUCAUGCAAUGAAACUAUGUGUUUUCUUGUUAUAUCUUACAUGAGUAGCUAAAUUUCUAAAUCUAGGGAGUAGAUAAAGCUUAUGACUACUUGACAUGAAAUGAAUAUGAGUUACGCUUGUUACAUCUUAUAUUAACUUGUCUACUUGUGUAUGCUUAUAACUUCUUGUUACUUGAUCACCAAUAACAAGAUCUUAGUUAUUAUUAUUCAAUGAAAAUUGGUAAUAAUGAUGGAAGAAUAUGAGUAGAGCUCAAGUAGUAGACUCAUGAGAAUAGAGGUACACUUAAGUGGAUUAAACUCGCAUUUCAUGAAGGAAAUAUGAGUAGAUAUAUUUAUUCACCAUGAGAAUAGGGAAAACUAGACUAUAUCUAAACCAUUUCAUCAUGAGAAUGAGAUUUGAUAAUAUUGGAAAUGAAUCCCUAGUUAAACAAGGGUUGUAAUAAGAGGUAAGUCUAUUCAUUUGUGUUAUUUAUGCCAUAUGUGGACUCUAUUUCCCUAGAUUCAAGUGUUUAGUGAAAUUUCUCCAUUGUUUAUUUGCAAGUUAUCUAGCAAUUUUAGUUAGUUGAUUAACGUUGUGAUUUUCAUUACUUUAAUUAUUAGUUAGUCUAAAUAAUAGAGUAAGUAAAGGAUCUAAUACUUGUUUAAGUUGCUCCUCGUGGGAUCGAUCCGAUACGUGCUCUAAAUUAUUAAUUCAACCUGUAUACUUGCAAUCAAACGGGUAUAAAUUGGAAUUAAGCUUGCACUUAUAGUAAAGUCCCGUCAGAGUUGAUCUAGCGAUACAAAGAAUUGAGAAAAAGCCAGAGAGUUUGAUAGAUGCAAAUUUUGCUGAGAUGGAUAAGAAGGCAAAUUCCAAUAUUAUUUUAAAUCUCUCUGAUGAGGUUUUGCGGGAGGUAACCACUGAGACUUCGACAAAGGACAUGCGAGAUAAGGUUAAAGCUUUGUAUAUGAAGAAGACAGUUGAGAAUCAUUUUUAUUUAAAGCAAAGUCUAUAUAUGCUUCACAUGACUGAAGGUACAUCUAUACUCUCACAUCAUGAUAAAUUUGAUUCCACUAUUAUAGAUUUGGAGAAUAUAGAUUCGAAAAUUGAUGACAAGGAUUAGGUCUUGUUACUUUUGUGUUCUCUUCCCCAAUCCUUUAAACAUUUUUGCGAUACUAUGAUUUAUGAAAAAAAAUAAUUUUGUAUCGGAAAAUUAAAUUUGCAUUAAAAUCUAUGGAGUAGAUAGAUAGGGAUAUUACUCGGGAAUUUAGUGGGAGCCAGGCAGAAGGUUUGGUUGUUAGGGGCAGAACCGAGAAAAGAGAAUUUGACAGUAGUAAAUCUAAAUCUAGAUCUAAAUCCAGACAUAGAAAUUUGGAAUGCAAUUAUUGUCAUAAAUUGGGACACAUUAAGGCCAAUUGUUUUAAAUUGAAGAAUAGAUUAAAAUAGAAGGGAAAAUUUGGUGAGAAAAAUAUUGAAACUGUUGAAGCUGGUGUUGCAACUGAUGAGAAUGAAGGAAAUAUUUUCGUUGUUACUGAUGAUAGGACAAAGUCUAAAAAUGAAUCGAUUUUAGACUCCGGGUGCUCUUAUCACAUGUGUUCCAACAGGGAUUUAUUUUCUACUUAUCAAUCUUGUAAUGGUAGAAUUGUUUUGAUGUACAAUAAUGCCGUUUGUAUUGUUGUUGGUAAGGGUACAAUCCGAAUUAAAAUGCAUGAUGGUGUUGUGAGGACGCUUACUAAUGCUAGAUAUAUUCCUGAUUUGAAAAAGAAUCUCAUCUCUUUGGGCACCCUAGAGGUAGAUCCAAAAAUUUUUUUGGUCAAAGUCUCUUGCUGAAAAUAAAAUUAAAAAAGAGUUGUAGAAAUGUACUUACCUCGUGGAAAUAUCAAAGGUCCCUCGCACAUAGGGAUGGCAAUGGGGGCGGGUGCCCGCCCCGCAGGGGGCUCUCAGGGCGGGGGUUGGGGGGAAUUUUUUCCUCCCGUUUAGUAACGGGGCGGGGGGCGGGGGACCCGCAAAAAAAAGUAUAUAUAUAUAUAUAAAUAACUAUAUAUAUACAAUUAUAUAUAAUAUGUAAUUUAAUUAGUUAUAAACUUAUGAUAAUGAUAUUAUUAGUUAGAUGUAUUAUAUAAUGUAUAUUAGUGUAUGUAAUAUAAUUGAUAUUAUCAAUGAUACGAAUAAUUAGACAUGUCUACUAAUAGAAUUUAUUAAUUAGUUAUACUAAAUUUACUAAUACAUUUAUACUAAAUUUCUAAUUACACUUAAUAGAAUAACACUUUUUUUCUCAAAAAAAAAAACACAAACACAAUAAUGAAUUAGUGAUUGUAUUUGUACCAAAAGUGAAAACUUGACUAUUUUAGUUGUAUUUAUUUCAUCAUGUUAGAUUGCAUUCAAAUAACUUUUGUUUGAUUGUUUUUAUGAGUUUCAAUUGUAAAAUUACAAUGAAUAAUAACUUGAUGAUGUGUUGAUAUUUUAGUACUUGAUUAUUUAUUAAAAUUUAACUAUAAUAAAAUUUUAUUAACUCCGCGGGAAAAAUUUUAUUAACCCCGCGGGGGCAGGCGGGGCGGGGGGAGUGGGAGGCGGGGGACGGGGCGGGGGUCGGGGAGAAUUAAUAGGCAACGGGCCAACCCCGCCCCAUUGCCAUCCCUACUCGCACAUAAAAAAGUCCAACUAAACACUAAAUCGGAUCACUUGGGAAUUGGGGCCACUUGUUGUAGAAACGUUUUUCACCCUUUUGACUAUUUCUUCCUUCGCUUCUUCCUGACACGACGGUGGUGAUUGUCCCCCCUAACUUUUAAGAAAUCAUAUUUGUUACCUACAACAUUUUAUAGAAUUUUGCUUUAAUUUCUAAUUUUGCCCCCUUUAAUUUUUUUUUUUUUUAAAUACUAGUGUCCUGCAACUGCCUGUUCCUUUUCUUUAAACUUAUCUUUGAUUGAUUGUUAUGGUACAUGGUAUUAUUAAUUUGUCGAUAGAGAAUUAUUACUUUUUAAUCAUGUGUCUCAUCGUACUGUAAGAUAUACUAUUUUUAUACUUUCAGAUGUAGCACUAUUUUAUAGGUGUAAUCUCUGAACUUUUUUUUUCCUUCUUGCCUACAAAAGUACUCCAUUAUUUGUUCUAUCAAUUUAUGUUUAUAGCAGUCAUUUGUAGUAUUAAAAAUUAAAACUUUUACUUCUUAAUUAACAUUUUAAGUAUAAAAAUCUACACAUUUUAUACCCUAAAACUACUUAAACCUGAUGUAUUUAUAACUAAACUAGUUUUUUUGAGCCUCGCGUGUUGCGCGAGGUUGCCCCCAGUUUGUGUUAAUCAAAAUUAAAUGAUGGCGAGUAAUUUAGUACAAAACACUUGCAUACUUAAUAAUUAUGAUGUGAGAGAAUCCUUUUCUUGGUUUAUUAAGUCAUGCUCAAUACACCAAGGUGGCUGAUAUAUGAAUUGAUAUCAACUGUUGUCCUCGUCAUGGUCGAUUCGCAUAUGUUAAAUGCACUUAUAGCUAUAAUACAUACACCUUGAUAUCUACCACAGUCAUGCUUAGCACUCGGGCUGGCACGUUGCUCACGUCUCUUUCUAAUCCUUUCUUCAUACGCUUCUUCUAAGCUUGCAUAUUUUCAUCGGCGACCCAUUUAGAAAAGCUCAACUAUACAUAUGUAAAAAGGUUUCAAUAGGAAUGCAUAACCAACUAAAUUAUUAGCACAAACACAAUUAAUAAAUAAAUAAAUAAUAACAUUUGUACCUCCAAUAUGCUAUCAAGAAUUAAUAACAUAUUCAUUAACAUCCUUCAGUGAACCAUUGCGUUGAUUUGAACGCUCUGACUCAUUAGGCCUUUCUUUACAAGGACAAAAUCACGAAAAGGCAAAAUAAAGCAAAGAGCUCACCUUGCAAAAUUAGGAAAUGGAAGCUUUCAAUUGGAAGAAGAAGUUAGCCCUGAGACAAUGGUCCACAUAAAUGGAGGCAAAAGUUCAUGUAAAGAACACAAAUCAAAGCAUGCACCACAUAAAUAGAGAAUCAUCUGAAACUCAAAUCACCGGAAUAAAACAGGAGAUCUUAUUACCCUUUGCUAACUUGAAAAUCUGAAAUCAAAACAUCAAAUCACCAAACAAAGGUGAGUAAGAAAACAGAACUUAAAAAAUAAAAAACAGAAUGAAAUAUGAACACAGAGCAGAAAUUAGCUGCUACGGAACAUUUAUAACCAAGAAGUGACCAGCCCUAUUCAAUACCAUCAUCAUCCUAAUUCCCAAGUCAUACAUUGGCAUGAGGAGGUGCAUUUUCUAACUAUGAUUGCAUUGCUUUAGACUCCAAAGACAGUAAAUGUUCCAACUUGUCCAAGGCUACAAAAAUAUGUUAAUGAUGGUAAACUUGACUUAAAACAAAUAAGUUCCCUCCACUAUGAGUUCUCUUUAUCUUGGUUCUAAACGUGGUAAACUUGGUUUAAAACAAAUAAGCUCUCUCUAUCUGCAAUCCUUAGAAAACCUAGUAUAAGUAUGCAACAUUUUAUCUUAAUUAAAUUCAGAAAGCUGAAUCUGGCUUUAAGGCAUUUUACAAAUAGGUUUUGGGCACUAAUUAGGAUGGAGAAAAAUACUACAAAGAGUAAACAGAGCAGAAAUUAGCUGUUAUGGAACAUUUAUAACCAAGAGGUGACAAUCGCAACUGUAUUUGAUUGAAUUCAACUUUUCAUCCAUUCACAAUAUCCAUCAUUUUCCAUGGUUAAUGAUUCUAGAGAAUGAAAUGUCUGAAAUGAGAAUGAGUUCUUCAAUCGUUUAAGUUGCUCCUGAGAUGAGAGUGUGUUCUGUGUUUGUUUCAUGGAUACCCAAUUAAUUGGAGAACAAGAUCAGAAAACCCAAAAAAUGAAGAAACUUCACCGUGCUUUUCCGAUGAAGAAAUUUUGCCACCACAAUAGUGGUGGCGAACUCUGCUCGGCAAACAAUAGCUCAUCCCUAUUCCUCGAACAAGACCCUGCCUCUCAUUUUUUUCUCAUUUUUUUUUGUUAAUUUGGUUUGAAGAGACAAAAUAUGCAAGGGAAAAAGAAAUCACGCAAAAAUGGGGAAAUCCAAUUGUUUUAAAUUCAAGAGUUAGCUACUUGCAUGAAAUUAUUAUUCUAAAUUCAAGAGUUAGCUACUUGCGUGAAAUUUCAUAAGUGACUUGGGACAAAAACUGACUUCCUUUCCUGGAAAAAAAAAGGAGAACCAAAAAUUAUACAUUUAACCCAUCAAUCAUGCUGAACGCUCUUCUAAAGUGGCCUGAAUUUAACAUCAAAGAAUCUUUGGAACUAAUUUCACUACCAUGGCAUAUUUCAACAGUCUAAGCUUGCUCAGACUCAAAAAAAAAAGUAUAGCUAAUUGUCAAAAAAAAAACACAUCAUCUUUUCUUAGCUUUACAUUGCAUAAAUUCAGGGCUAACAAGUUCAUAUUGUUAGACCACCAUUCAUUUAUUGAAGUAAGGAAUAACACCUAGACCAACUGUAAUAACCUCUCAAUAUGUUUAGAAAAUCACCUAUAUUUUUCUUGUUACUUGGUUUUGGAUAGAUGCCUCUGGAAUACAAAUACCUUAAUGUAAUUAGUUUAUAAUAGUUUGUCUCUUGACAACCUAAUUAAACUCAUUCAAAAAAAAAUUGAACUUGCAAAUUUGAUGUUCAACACCUUUUAAUUUGAUUAGUUUCCUGCGUAAUUUCUAAUAUUUUAAAUUUCAAAUAUAGAAAAUGAAUUGGAUAUAUUCAUAGGCUAGAUUACAAACUACAUUAGCUAAACCCACAAAGUAAAAUAGGAAAAAGAUAAAACACACAUACACACACACAUAAACACAAAGUGAAACAGAAAGUAUGAAAUGCCUGGCCAUGUCUUACACAAGGAAAAUUAAAGAAAGAAAAAGAGAAAAAUAGCAUCCAAUUGGCCUUCCAUAUAUUCCUUUCUGUUCUGUAGCUUUUCGGGUUCUUUUUGGAAACUUAUUAGUUUAUAAUGGAUUAAACUAUACAACUAUUAUAAUAAGAGAAGGUUAUAGGAACUGCAAAACCUGUUAGGUGUUGUUUACGAGAAGAAAAAUCAAUUGCUCCAAUACAUUAUAAAUGAGUUGUUAAAAUAUGACAAAUUAAUGCUCCACCAGUUUUGAUAUCAAAGAAGUUGUUGCUCAAUAUAAAAAUCUACAUCUGGCUACGUCAAUUUUGCAACAGUUUGCCAACUUGUUACAAAAGAUUUGAAAGGUAUUUUAUCUUCAACAGAAUCUAAAACCAAAUGAAUAUUUCGAAGUGGUUAAACAAAAUGCUCAUGGGUUUGGUUGCCAAUUCAUGUACUAAUCACAAAUCAAGAACUACUUGGUUUCUAUCCAAGUGGACAUUUUCAUUGGCUUGGGUAUUAAGCAUCGAAAGUCUCUUGUUUUCUUUAUUCAGAACCGUUGACAAUGACACCAGUUUUUUUGCUCUACAAUUUUCAAAUUUACGUGAACCAUAUAAUGUACUAUGUAAACACAGGAAGGGAACCAUAUAUCAUAACAAAUUACAAAAAACAAAAGAACAAGCAAAUACCAUAUCACAAUCGAAACAUGCAUUGAUGAAAUUACAUUAAACCAAUCCAAAACAUCAAACAAUUUUCUGAAACAGAGAAAAACUAACACACAAUGAUUGUAGAUGUUAAAUGAGGACAUAUAGCGAAUAUAUGGUGUGCACGUCAAAUAAGUUUGAAUGACCUGUCUAAAAAUACAGCCCUUAAUCAUAAAACAAAAGACAUCAGCACAACAAACAAACCACAUCAAUGCGACCUUCAAUUAUGAUCAGCAAAUUGAUAAACUCAAAACCGAUAAGCUAAUAGAAGUAGAGUGAAAAGUUCACCUUUCAAAACCAUCGAAAGUUCACAAUGCUCUUCUGGUGAAGAAAUUCAACGACAAUGGCGGUGGUGGAUUCCGGUCAGCACGCAAUGACUCCUCCGUGCUCCUCGGACUCCCUUUUUUGUGGCUUUGCUAUUACUUUCCCCUUCUUCUCUAUUUCUUGUUUGCUUGUAAGGGAUGGAGUUAGAAAACUUGUAUGCGUUUUUAUUGAUGUGCAUCAAUGAUUCUUGGAGAUGAAAUCUUUGAGAUAACAGUAGUGGCUUCUUCAUAAUUUUAGCACUUAAAAAACAAUAAACUGUUGCAUUAGUUAACCCAAAGGUCCCAAACUGAAAGAAAACAUGCGUCAAAAAUGAAUGGUAAUGAGGUUUUCACCAACCGCUUCCCACCCCUCCAAGAAGUACACCUGUCCAACUAACAAAACCAAAUGCCCUCAAAGUUGCUGAAAAUUACUUGAUAACCGGCCCAAUUUCACUGUAGCAAUCUGAACUCCCACUUUUAGGGAUACGGGGCAGGAGCGGUCGGCCUGACGACCGCUCCUGAACGGUCUCCUCACAAGACCCAAAUGUGAGGCGAGAAAUAUUCCACGUCAGGAAGCCUUCAGUUGAGGAGAAAUGGAAAAAACAAAAAGAAAAAGAGUUGAUGGACCGUUUCAUGAAGCGCUGGUCCGUUACCGCCCAAAUGAAUCCUCAAAACGAAAAGUUAAGUCACACUCCCUCCAAAAUAAUUGCCCAUAUUCAUUAAUGCAAAAUUCUACAAAACAGAGCAAGAAAGAAAAGAAAAAGGAAAACAACAUUGCAGAAUUAUACAUGGAAUAGCAAGAAGUAGUAGAAAUAGAGUGGCUGUGAAGGAAAAUCACGGCGAGGAGAAGCAAUAAGUAGUGGCAGAAGGAGAGAGUUUAGGAUUGGCACUCAAAUAUCAAAAGACUUGAGAAGGUGAACGGAAAUUGUGGAGUACAGAGUUGGGAGUUCCGAAGAAGAAAUAAAGUAAAAGAAACACAGGUAAGAAAACAUCAAUGGUAUCAGAUAAAUUGUGGAUCAAUUUGACUUGUAGUUAUCUUUUGUUGUAUACAUUGUUGUGAACAAAUGGGAUGAUUAUACUUGUUGUAGUUUUGGUUAAAGUAAUUGUUUAAUACAGUGAAAAAUAGCUAAUACACUGGAACCUUCGGUUGCACAUAAUAGAUAUUAUAAUUACCAACACGGGAAAAGAAAGGUAUUGAAAAUUUUGCACACCAAGUGCUUGCAAAAUUGCGUGCAUGGGUUAGGGAUUGUUAUGGUUAUUGUGCAUGAAGUUGGUGUAGGUUUUAUUACAUAACAGUGGCUGAGUGGAGAUUAAAUAAGAUAUGGAUUUCUAAGAUGGUACAUACUGUUGAGGGAGACAUACAAAGUGAAGUGAUUGGGAGUGCAACCACCUUUCGAGGGCAAAUGUCACAACCUGUCGAAGAAAGUCAAUCUACGGUGCAACCAUCUUUGAUUGGGAGUGCAUCGAUGUCACAGCUGCAUGACCCAGAAACACCACAUAGAUUGCGGUCAUAUGGUCGAAAGAGGAAAGGUUGGUAUUGCUGUAUUAUUCAAAAUGUUGUAAUUCAAGUAACAUGACUGUAAAAGGUAGACACAUACGUUAACUGUGUUUAUACCAUAAUGAUGAUACCUAUAUAGAAUAUAAUUUCAUUUCUUAGUCAUGAUAAAAAACUUGUAGGGAGGGAUGUCAUAACACACCAAUUUGUUUGCUGCAUAAAGUACACACUAGACAAACUUCAUUUAAAUCGAUAAUAAUCACAUGUGAUUUCAUUUAAAACUGUUUGAAUAAUAGCAGUUACAGUGUGUAUGAAGAUAGUUACAAAUUAGUUCUCGUUUUUUUACAGUGUGUUUGAAGAGUGUUACAUGAUAGUUAUUGGGAAGUUACAGUGUGUUUGAAGAGUGUUACAAAAUAGUUAUUGGAAAGUUACAGUGUUUGAAAAUUAAUACAAAACUGUUUAAAGACUAUUAGUUGCAGUGUGUUUGAAAUUAUGUUACAAAAUAGUUAUUGAAAAGUUACACUAUAUUUGAAGAGUGUUACAAAACUGUUUGAAGACUGUUAGUUAUAGUGUGUUUGAAGAGUAUUACAAAAUAGUUAUUGGAAAGUUACGAUGUGUUUGAAGAGUGUUACAAAAUAGUUAUUGUAGUGUUACAGUGUUUGAAAAUUAAUACAAAACUAUUAUUAUAACUGUUAGUUACAGUGUGUUUAAAGAGUGUUACAAAAUAGUUAUUGGUAAGUUACAGUGUAUUUGAAGACUAUUACAAAAUAGUUAAUUGAAUGUUAAAGUGUGUUCGAAAAUUAAUACAGUGGUAUUUGAAGACUGUUAGUUACAAUGUGUUUGAAAACUAUUAUAAAUUGAUUUACAAUUUGUUACACAACGAUAGAUAUGAAAUCAUAUGAAAUGCAUGUUCUUCGCUUUUUAGGAGGCCUUGACAUUGAGAUAAAGUAAGUCUACACGUGUAACAAAUAAGAGCACCGUUCUGCGAUCAGCCGAGUACAUUCUACCAGCACAUGUUACAGUAAGCCUGUAUGAUAAAAAUGUAGCUGCAUACGAGAUUGUAACAUCGGAGCCUUGUAACAUAAUCACCUUGCUACUUCCAAAUGUUAUGUUUAUUAAGCUUAACGAGAUUGUAUGGUUACCUUAAUACACGAACUUCAUAUUUCAUAGUGGAACAACAACAACUCACUAUAAUGGUCAACACCAAAGUGCAUAUCUAGUUAUAAUUCGUGCGUUUUUACUUACAGUUUUGUUCGUUCUUAGUUACAACAAUGAAAAUUAAUUAAGUGUUUGAGACAACCCUAAUUACUAGAGCAUUUAAUAAAAUGUCUAAGAAAUUUAAUGUGUCGGGGGAGAAAGGGAAUUAUUAUUUGUGCUAAGAGCAAUUGCACAAACAAGAGAAGAUGAAAGGUUCAUCGGACGUUAACUAAUUAUAGUAUCACUCGUUGUAACAUCGUGGAAUAUCAUUAGUUGUAAAAUUACUAGUUGUAAUAUCACUAAUUUUAAUUAGAGAAGAUAAAAAGCUGCCGAUUGCUAAUUCAUUAGUUGUAAUGAAUUAUAACAUACACCUAACUCAUUGUAACUCAAUCUGUACAUCUCGUUAUGAUUAUUUGUUGUAUUUUAAAUAUUAGUUACCCCACUUUCAAAUUAGUUGUUCCAACGAAGUAUCAUGUUCUUUUGCGAAACGGUUACUUGGCAUGUGGUCGUGUGGAACCAAUCCGAGACGCCAAUUAUAACUUCAUUUCCAUACUAAAGGAGUAAUACCCAUUAAAGUGCCUGUAAUACUAUCUGUAAUAUUCAUCGUUAAUACAAUUGUAAACCACAUGUCUAAGUUUUAACAUAGACGAACAUAACAAGGUGCCUGUACAAGCACUCAAUUGUUUGGAACAAUCAAUUAUUUUGUAUUCAUAAAAAUUAUAGAUAAAUAUCAUUCAUCAACCUGCAACUGAGAGGAAUUGACGUCAACAGUUAGUCGCAAUCCCUGGGUGUUAUUUCUUUCCUAUAGUGCGUAACGAUGGCAAAUCAGCCAAUACAGUUAAUGAAACAUACGGUUAAUGAUAUACGUUGUCGAAGUAUCCAAUUAACAAAACACCAUAAAUAUGUGGGGUAAUGAUAAAAGCUUGUCACCUGGGGUGAUGGUGAAAAUACAUGAUAUGCAUCAUUAUCACAGUGUUCUAAAAUUGCCGCACGCUCCGCAUACAUUGUAUAAUAUAACUAUUCAACUGUCAACAACUCAUUAGCAAUGCCUAUAUUGCUCAGUUACAAAACUAAAUUGGACUAGACAUUAUAACAAAAAUGAUAUUUCAGACCAUUAAGAUAUCUCUGACGGAGUUAUGGUUAGAAAAUAUAGAAAAUUUGGGGUGCAUCCAUUCUAUAGGGAUACUUCCAUGAGGCUCCUGAUUAGCCAAUCUGUGGACCUUCGGAUAAUACAAAACAAUAUGUCAUUAAAGCAUUAUAUGUUAACUACAAAAUAUGCAUGCUUCGACAGCGUUCGGGUGCCCACCAUUACAAUUAAAGAAAAAAUAGCUCUACGAUACGAAAAAAGAAUCAAAUUUUAUCUACUAAAUGUAUAUAUACCGUUGAACUUUCCUUGAUUUCGGGAGCAACAACGUUUGGAGGGUCAUUCACUGACAGGAUCAUUGAAUGCUUCUACGAGUUUUGUAUGGACCAAAUAAUUGUAUAAAACAGACAAAAAGGGUAUAUCAGGAGGGAUGUCAGCUGUAACAAAAUCAUCACACAAUGUAACAUCAUCAUAACUAAUUGUGCUAUAAGAAACAUCCAAAUAAAAGUUAAAGUCAUGCCCAUUUUAUACUAACCGAAACUGAAUCAGUUGAUGAACGGCAUCCCAUAAACAUGUGUUCAUAAAAUGAAACCGAUGUCGGCUCCGAUUCUGAAACCUGUAUUAUUGACACGACAAUAAUGUUAUUUUAUAGUGAAUGGUACUUAUGGAUUAGUUAACUGUAUAACGAUAACAUUGUUGUAGCAUAAAUAUUUACCAUCCCAUGUAUAUCCCACAUUACUCAUCCAAAAUCUGUCUCUUUUUCCAUAAGCGCAUGGCUCUGUUUCAAUGAAAAUCCAGCAUCCUUGCUUAUUUCAGGUUGGAAUCCUUGAACCUCACUCACUUUUCUUUGUGAUGACAUCAUGUGCGAACAUUGAGUAAUGUGCAACUCAUGGUUAUGUUCUAAGACAAGGUCAUGCAUACGGUACUUCAUUGUCCCUCUAAACAACACGAUAAUCAUUUUAGCUCCACACCCCAUUUUCGUCGGCCCUCGUGUCCUCUUUGGCAUCGCAUCACCUUCGUAUUUGCACUUCACACCUUUCUUGCAGCAACUAUAUCUCCUAAACGUAAUCACGCCAUCUUUGUCUUUAUUCAGAUAGUCUUUGCGUACACUAAAACUCAUUUUAAAGGAAUAUUUGUUGUAAAACUUGUACGCAUCCUCUUCACUGUUGAACUCCAUUCCUAACUCAGGGAUCUUAUCUUCUGUCAAUUUGCUGCAAUCCAUUACUUCUGCUUCUAUCAAUUAUGCAUCAAACAUCAUAAUUUGCAACAUUUCAUGAAUUGUAUAUACAUAAACGACAAGAUGAAUGUAUAUUACUAUUCAAAAUGUGUCAUGAAUCACAUAUUACUCAUAUACCAAAUUCUAUUAUUAUGCUUAUCAAUACGAUUAAUGAAUCACAUCACCUUACUUUUACUCUAAGACAACGGCAUUAUCUAUAUACUAAUAGAACUCCAUGUACACUAAGUUAUACGGAUUGUAAUGUAUUGGUCACACGAUGUAAGUCUAUUUUAACUGUAUAUACAUCCACUCUGCUGAUUAUAUUUAGGUCCUAAAUUCUUUAGUUCACUGGACCUUAUGUCAUUCAUUAAUGACAACCGCCUAAACCAACUGCGCAUUUUCUACUAUUUCUACAUUUUGAGGACCAAACAAGUAUUUUCUACUCAUUGUAAUAUAUUUCUUACAUCAUGUAAUUAACUUGCAACACCAGGUACAUCCUUUUAUUAUUCACAUAUAUGUCUUUUCCUCUACUUCACCUCAAUCAACCCUACGCCUCCAUUUUAUACACAUUGCAUGGUCAGGAGAGGGGCAAACUAAGAUUGUAUGAUGAGUAUGGACCAACUACAUAUUACUCAUUUAACACACUAUAUUCAAUCACGUUACCUUGGUCUUAACCAUAUGCUUUAUGUUUCACCGAAUUCGGAGAGCGCAGUUGCUUCUGCUAUUAAGUUGCACGACAAAAUCUGGCUUCAUGAGAUGAUGAAUUUCCUCUGUUUGCUUCUACCUUGCUGCCUGCCUUGCACACAUUCAAAAAGGAUACAACACCCUCAUACCCAGCUUCAAAAUGCAUACAACACUCUCACUGCACUGUUUGCUUUCUUCCUUAUUCACUCAACAUCAUACCCCAGCUCUCUCCACCCACUUUUCUGUCAAUUGCUACCUUCAGCAAGAUGCCUCCUCUCUUCCCUCAGCUUUGUUUUGUGCGACUCUCUACUUUUCUAUUUGCUUUCUUCCUUAUUCACUCAACAUCAUACCCCGGCUCGCUCCACCCACUUUUCUGUCAAUUUACUGCCUUCAACAGGAUGCCUCCUCUCUUCCCUUAAUUUUGUUUUGUGCGGCUCUCUACUUUUCUGUUUACUUUCUUCCUUAUUCACUCAACACCAUACCCCAGCUCUCUCCACCCACUUUUCGGUCAAUUGCUACUUUUAGCAGGAUGCCUCCUCUCUUCUCUCAGUUUUAUUUUGUGCGGCUGAUUCAAAUUUUCAACUUGAUUUUCAAAAUUAAAACUCUUCCGUUUGGUCCGUCAUGUUCCCGUUUUGGCUAAACAUUUUUUUUUGGAACGGCAUCGUUUUUGGGGCCUGUUGAAGGCUUCCUGACGUGGAAUAUUUCUCGCCUCACAUUUGGGUCUUGUGAGGAGACCGUUCAGGAGCGGUCGGCCUGCCCCGUAUCCGUUCUUAGCCAAUUAAAUUUGCAAUCAACAAUAAAUGAUUGAAAGCUAUGAGCUGGUAUUAGAAUGAUAUUAUUUUUUAUUUGCCAUAGCAUUAGGACUGUCAAUAAAGUUGAAUUGAUUUGUCCCACCCAAAUUAGGGCUCAGCUUAAUAAGUGAUCAAGUAGGGUUCAAUUGUUGGGCCUAAUACUGACGCUCAAUUUUAAAGUGAGUUGUUGAUCUUAGGCAAUCCAACUAUCCAAGUCCAGCCAUAUCAAAGCUGGGCGGGUUAAGCAAUCUAAAAGUUUUCAAAGUGAGCCAAGUUUAGGCUAUGAAAGGCUCAACCAUAUCUAGUCUCGGCCCACUUUGAUAUGUUCAAUAUUUUGUGAUGUAUACAUUUCUUUAGCUAAAUCCUAUAGUAAUUUGUAUAUCUGUAAGUUUUAAGGUAACACUAAAAGAACACUAAAAUAUCAAUAUCAAUGUAGAUUAUUUUUGCUGAAACCCACAAUUUUAUAAUCUAAUUUGCAAGUCAUAUAAAAUUCAACGUAAUAUAAUCAGAGAAGGGAGUGUAAAUGAGAGGUUUCGAGUUCGAGACCUCCCACUUAUAAUUAAAAAAAGAAAAAACCUAAUCUAGCCAAUUAUCAUAAAAUUUUUAUUUAAAGCUUUUCAUUUAAUGAUUAUUUUACAUCUAUUAGUAGAACAAUUAGAGUAAAUACAAUAUUUUCUCAUUGCAUCAUUGAAAUUAUGAGAGAUUGCUUGUCAAAUCCAUAAAAUUAAUGUAAAGAUUGUACAGCAUAAGUGAACUUGGGCUAUCCCAAAUUCAUCAUGUUGAUGAAAAGGAAAGACACGUUCCCAAGGAAAAAUCCAAGGACAAAUAAAAAAGGCUACAAGGCUAUGUUAAACUAACAAUUUGACCAGUAAUAGCAACACCACCGCAAAAAGAUCGAUCUCAUGAAUUUGUAGGAAAUAUUUAGAUAUACUGUUCAUUGUUUAGAUAACAUAAUAGUUUAAGAAAAAAAUAUGUACUGGAAUUAAUAUAAUGAAUAAAAUUUGGAGUUAUAUAAAAAUUAAGUUAUAAUAUAGAUAUUUUAAUUUUAAUAAUGAUUUAGUGGAUAAAAAGUAAAAAUUUUAGUAAGAAAUUUUGAAAUAUCUAGACAAUUUGAAGCUAAACUGUAAUUUUUGAAAAGUACAAUGACACAAAAAUAUUAUUGAACGAUAAUGAGGUAACUUUGAAACUUAAAAGAAAGAAUGAGAGUUGGAUGGCAAAAAAAGGCAAAAAUUAGUAGUACCGGCGGCUAGCUUCAUUGUCAAAAAUUGUCGGCCGCAACUUUUAAAAGAAAUACAAGACCGGAGCGGUUUGGGAAGAACCAUUCUGGUUCGACGGUUCAUUACAGUUUAACUGGUUUUCAAGAUAUAGAAUGGUUUUUUAAGUUUCUAAGUUUUAACUUAACCCAACUUGAAAAACAAUCCAAUUGAUGGUUCAAUCGAUUCAACCAGAUAGUUCGAACUUGAUUUUAAAACAUUGGUUGUGGUGUAUUGAGAGCCACAGGACCACUGGUGAUCUACGUCUUGGUUAGGAGUAAAUUUUGAGUGGUGAUGAUCUUCGGAAAGAGCUCUCAAAUAGUAAGAUUUUUGUCAAAAAAAUAUAUUCAAUGAAUUAAAAAAACAUAUUUCGUGAAUGCAACUUUUGAUGACUAAUUGCCUAGAAAACCAAAGAACGCAUUUUGUUGAUACAACAUUUAAAGAAAUAUUGCAUUCAAUGAAUAUUUUUUUACUCUUCCGGAAGAGGUUUGAACACUUUUACCAUUUGAAAUUUUUUUUUAAACAUUCACACUCUUCGACUCUUCUGAUUAGUGGGGAGUAGAGGUGGCAAAUCAACCCAUACCCGCCCAUGAAAAGAUGGGUAUGAGUAUCUUAAAUUUUUAUAUAUGGGUAUAAAUGGGUUACCCAAUAAUACCCAUUUAAUAAAUGGGUAUUAUUGGGUAACCCAUCAAACCCAAUUAACCCAUUUAGAAUUCUCUUCCCCCCAAUCUCUUCUUUUCCCCCACCCAUUUUUUUUUCAAAUUUUUCAUUUUGUCAUGAUGUUAACUACUUUUUUUUCAUUAUUUUUAUUAUUAUUAUUAUUAUUAUUUUCAUACUAAUUUGACGAGUGAACCGGUGAGCUAAGAAGAGGGUGCAGAGAUUCCUGUUUAAGUUUUGGACAAAUUCCUUCUUCAAAAUUAAUAAUAAUUCAACACUACUACAAAUCUAAUAAUGAUUUAACACUUAGAACCAGAUAAUCUUUAUGGUUCAUGGGACUUUUGCUUCGCCCAACAUAUUAGAAAACACCUCGUCCAAUACCUUUGUCUUUUAAAACACUGCACAGUAACAAGAGUUGCAACACUUUUUUGCGUCGAGUUAAAAAAGUAAGCUAAGCCAAGAGAUAACAGAACUGCCAAUAUCUGCACCAGGAACGUAAUGACUAGUGAGCCAAUAAGUUAAAAAAAAAAAAAGGCAUAGGAGAAGAGGACUCCGAAUUGUGUUUUUGAACAAGAUUCUUGAUUUAUUUCAUGAUCAGCCAAAAAAAAAAAAAAAUUAAGAAAAUACCACCAAUGCCUACAGGCCAUAGCUGCAUUUAUGAGUCAAAUAAGAAGUCAUCAAGAUUGGCACAAGCCAGUGGUACUCACGGCUUAGAAGUAUUCUAUUUGUUUUAUUUAUUGGCAAGCAACAAAUUGUCAAGAUCCACUAGUGAAAUUAAUGGACGCUACAACUUUAUUUGGAGCACUUUCAUUAAUUAAAAAUCAACUACUAGAUUUAUUAAGUAGUUAGUCUAGACUGUAAUAAAAUUAUUCACUCGUCAAAUUAGUAUGGCCAUGAAUAAAUGCUUCUUUCUUUUCCAAGUGUCUUUCUUCAUCGUUUAAAUGCAUUUAUCAAUCAAUACUACCAUCAAUGGAGCCCAACAAGAAAAGUAUACUUGUUGGUAUUCUACAAGUUGAUUGAAAGAGGAUUUCAAGUCAACACUCCCAAAAAAAAAAAAAAAAAUCUAGGUCAGUUUAAUGAUCAAUCCUGGACCCAGAGAUCAAUAAUAAUAAAGGGAUCACUUUAUGAAGGAACCCAUCUCCUUCACUUAAUCAUAUGAGCUUUGAUAGAAGAAAAUGGAAUUGCCAGGAAAUUAGCUUUGAUAGUACUGUGGUGCAUCCAAAUGAGCCCAGAUGAUCGUCCUUCAAAGAUAGAAAUUUUAGAAAUGCUUAAAUGUUCUGAAGACUGAAGAAUCAACAGAACAACUGUGCAACUCUGUAGCCAAGUAAUAUAUCAGAAUUAGCCAAUAUAUUGUUGGCAUUUUUAUUCCAAUGGAAGUGUGGAACUAAAAUACUUUUUUAAUCAAUGUCACAAUUAGUUGAUUUUACCAUGUCAAGCUCUACAUAAUUAUGCAGUUGAUUCUUUUUUUCUUCUUCUUCUUUUGAAAAUUAUAAGCCACAAUUAGUUACAAGUGGUAAUUGCUAACAAAGUUAUCUGUAACAUGUAACUUCUUGUACACCAAUACUCACUAUGUUAGCACUAGUUUAAUACAUCUAAAAUCUUCAUGUAAAGUCAUCUGAUCAAUUGACUGUUGGUUUUACUGGUAAACAGUUGUCAGAGUGUUAGAUACAAGUAUAUUGUUGUGAAUUACCCCAACUACGUUUUCCAUCUGUAGAAUUUUCCCAUAUAAUAAAUGCAUCUUCAUCUUAAAUAUCAAUGGCUAUGGAGCCCAGUAUGAAAUUGCUUGGAAAUGAAAUACUACGAAGUCCAACUGAAAUUGUCUUAUAAGAAUUUCCUUCUAUCAAUAAAUCAAGAAAGAUUCAAUGUCUACAUUCAACUUGGUUGGCCGUCUCUGUGUGGAAAAAGAAAGAGAAAAAAAGAAGAAGAGAAGAAUAGAAUUGUAGAAUCUAGGAAUAAAAACAGGAUAAGAUAUUGACAGUCUCGGUGUGGAAAAAGAAAGAAAAGAAAAAAGAGAAGAAUAUAAUUGUAAAAACUAGGAAUAAAAACAGCAUAAGAUAUUGAGAUCUCUUGGCCUAGUACCAUGUUUUUGUGGAGCAGAAUUGCUAAGUAAACCCUAAUUGCAUGUUUUUGGCCCACUGGAGAAAAUUGAUAACUUUUAUUUUUAUUUUUAUGAAAUAAUUAAAUAUUAUUUUGUUUUUCACAUUUAUCUCAUCUCCUAAAUGAUGACAAAUUUUUCACAAUAUUCGAGGUAAUAAAACUAACACAACGACUUUUGAGUUACUAAAACUUGCACAAUUUUCGAUAACUCUAUCACGACUUUUAAGGUAAUAAAAUUUGCAUGUGUUACAAGAAGAUCUUAUCACUAUCUUGAAAAAAUUAGUCAAUAUACUUUAAAUUCCCCUAUAAAUAAGUAUUAAUCCCCCCUUUCUAUCAAACUGACAGAGAAUUCAAGUUCAUUUUGAGUAAAUGGAAGAAUAGUUCUUAUUUCUUGUUUACUGUUACAAUUUCUCUAUAUUGUUCUAUUAGUUUACAAUUUCUUUAUAUUGUUCUAUUAGUUUAUAGUUCGAUAUUCAAUCAGUACAAAGCACUGCCAACCAACCAAUUGUAGAUUAGUAUUAGUUUUAUAACACGUUAUCAGUACGAGUCUUUACUUAUGAGCAAUUAAGAGGGAAGGAGGUAAAAGAAAAAAAAAAGAGUUUUUAGGUAGCAAACUGCUCUUGUAAAGUUUGGUCUUACCAUCAAUUGAGGCUAACAAGCAGAACAACAAUGAAUUUAGGAGAAGGGAUAAAUUGGAUGGUACAGAGAGAGGAAGUUUAAGUAUGAGUUCUCGAAAUGAGAAGUUUUGAGUUUGAAACCUCCCACUUACAUUAAUUUUUUUUUUAAAAUUAAUGAAUUUAGUACAAAGACCUGAAGAUAAAAAGUCUACAUAGGACUACCUCAAAAGAUAAAAAGGCAAAAAAGGAUAAAGAGUUUCCCUGAAGGAAGGAAAGCAGUCUAGAUUGGGCCUGUAAGAAUUUGGGGAAGAAUUUAUAUUCAGAGUUCGUUAAUUGUUAUAGAGAAAUUCUUCUUUACUGUGCCAAUAUUAUUCUUCUUUACUUCAGAUAAGGCGGACCCAUUCUUGAAUAAGACAUUUGGCGUGCGAAUUGUGAAAGACCAUCUAAGUCUUGAGAUUUUUCCUAUUAUCAAAAAAAAAAAAAAGAGUGUUGAAAUUUUUUCUCUUUUAAAAUGUUUUGGAUUUACUCGACUUGAUUUUCAUGUUGCCGUCAACUGGGGCUCACAAGGAAAAAGACUAUUCUGCAACAUUAACAAUAGGAGGAGUAAAUUGGAAAAUAAUAAGAACAAUGAAGGACUCAGUAUUCAAAUUGGGAUUUGCUUCCCUCAGAAUUUUUUAAAUAAUAAAAUAGAAUAAUUUUAUUAAUCAUGAGAUCAAAUCUGCAACAAGUGCAGAAUUAAUCAGCAUACAAAUUGUUCCCUCAGAAUUCAAGUCGAUAAUCAGGUAUCAAUGUCCAUCAUUUUAUGAGUGGAUCCCAAUAAACAAUAUAUAUCUCGAUCCUACGGGUCUAUAGUGGAAAUGUGAAAGCCUCCCAGGUCAACAGAAUUUCGAGCCUCUAAAAGUUAAAAGAGGAAAAAAAAUAAAAAGAAAGAAAAACGUGAAAAAUGGGAAUUGGAAGAUGCAAAAGUCAUAAGGGUGUAACUUUUCCUGAAUUUGUAAUUGAGAUUGGGAUUACCAUUCAUGGAUUAGCCAAUGUAGUGUUGGCAUUUUUAUUCCAAUGGAAGUGUGGAACUAAAAUACUUUUUUAAUCAAUGACACCAUUAGUUGAAUUUACGCAGUUGGUUUUUUUUUUUUCUUUUGAAAAUUAUAAACUGCAAUUAGUUACAAAGUGGUAAUUGCUAACUACUCUAAGUUAUCUGUAACAUGUGACUUUGUUAUGGAAAAAGAAGAAAAAGGUCUAAAGAAUUAGAGGAAAGAGUUAGUUAUGCUGUAACAAAAUGAUACAAUACAUGUCUCCUUGAUUAUUGUACACCAAUACUAAUUAUAUUAGCACUAGUUUUACUGGUAAAGAGUGGUUAGAGUAUUAGCUACAAGUACGUUUUCCAUCACUCAGAAGAAUUUUCAUGUAUAAUAAAAUAAAUGCAUCUUCGUCCUAAGUAUCAAUGGAUAUGGAGCCCAGUAUGAAAUUGCUUGGAAAUGCAAAUACAACAAAAUCUGACUGAAUUUGUCCGAUAAGAAUUUCCUUCUGGUCAUCAAUAAAUCAAAAGAGAUUCCAUGUCUACAUUCUCUAUGUGGAAAAAGAAAGAAAAAAAAAGAGAAGAGUAGAAUUGUAGGAACUAAGAAUAAAAAUAAGAUAAGAUACUAUGUUUUUGUGGAGCAGAAUUGCUAAGUAGGUCCUAGCUGCAUGUUUCUGCCCCUUAUAGUUGAAUCCCAAAAUUGAUAGAAGUAAGAAUGACUUGACUAAUUAAUGCCUGUACCAAAACGCUAGAAGUAAGAACGACUUGACUGCCACUGGGCCUUUGGUCCGGUGGUCAUCCCAAGCCUUCUUAGGCUUGGUGGUGCGGGAGGUCAAGAGUUCGAACCUUACCUCCCACAAAAAUUUGUCACAAUAUGUGACGGUCUUCAUUGACCAGUUUCGAUGGAGUUUCUACUCACAUCGAAUCCCCUCCCCCUCCCCCCUAGAAUACGUUAGCUUAGAUUAUAGGAAUUCUAUCGUAUCGACAAAAAAAAAAAAAAAAAACGACUUGACUAAUUAAUGCCUGUAUCAAAACUAGGGCUGGAAAUGAACCGAGUCGAGCCGAGCUUGAGCUCGAAAAAAAUAAAAAAUAAUUAUUUUAUUUUUAAAAAAAAUAAAUACAAUAAUAUAUUUUUUAUUAAUAAAUAAUAAAAUAUUAAACAUAUAUACGUAAUUUUACUAUAAAAAUAAAAAUAAAAAAAAAUAAAUAUAUAAUAUACGUAAUUUUAUUAUUAAAUAAAAAUAAAAAAAAAUAUAUAUAUAUAUUCAAACUCGUGAGCUGGCUCGCGAGCUAACGAGCUUAAUAUUCUGAACUCGAGUUCGAGCUCAAGUUUGACUCGAGCCGGCUCGAGCUCGAUUCGAGCUCGAUAUUAAUCGAGCUCGACUCGAGCUUGACUCGAGCCGCUCGCGAGCGGUUCGAUUCGUUUGCAACCCUAAUCAAAACGCUAAUUUGACAUAUUUACCAUGUGAUAUCUGUAGAUGACAAUGAAAGCUUGCUCAGCAUCCAUACUUCUAUGAGCGGCUCGAUUCGUUUGCAACCCUAAUCAAAACGCUAAUUUGACAUAUUUACCAUGUGAUAUCUGUAGAUGACAAUGAAAGCUUGCUCAGCAUCCAUACUUCUAUCAACACCUAUCCGAUAUGGAAAAUGCUCUUAAAGUUUCGUGUACCAUCAACUGGGGCUAACAAGCAAAACAAAGAGGACUUUAGUACAAAGACCAACGACUUAGAAGUCUACGCAGGUCUACCUCAAAAGAAAAAGGAAAAAAAAAAAAGCGACUUUCCCUGAAGGAAGGAAAGCAGUUCAGAGUUCGUUAAUUAUGAAAGAGAAACUUUACUAUGGAGAAAAGUAUUCCUCCUUUUUGACUACUAAAGCCCAUUUUCCAAUUAGAGAAUUAGUGUGGGAAUUGUGAAAAUUGUUUGGAUAGUGUAUUAUUUGAAAUAUUAUUUGGAAUAAUUACUGUAGCACUUUUUGUGAUAUGAUGUAUGUGAGAUAAAAAGGUGAUUGGGAAUAUAAAAAGGUAGAUUGGGAAAUGUGUUUGUGAUGCAAGCGAAAUAUUAUUUGGAAUAAUUUGGUAUCCAAACACGUCAGUCGAAUUACUCAACUUUAUUAGAAUUUUUCCAAUUAGAAUUUUUGCUCUUUUAAAUUUUUUUUGAUUUAUUCAGCUUUAUUUCCGCGUUACCAUCACCUCAGAGUAGAUUGGAAAAUACACUGUUCGGCAAAACGUUGACAACAGAAAGAGUAGAUUGGAAAAUAAGCAUUAAAGUCGAGUUUUGCCUUCCUCAGAAUUCAAGAUUCAGCUCCAGCACUAAUUUUUUGCAUAAUCUAAGAAUAGUAAUCAAUAACCCAUUUACAAAUUUCCUGAAGCUUAUUCCCUCCUCAUGAAUUUAAAAUUUUCAUGUUCCCCUUCCAAAAUUUCCCCAAGAAAAACUUCUCCAAAAGCUGAUCUUGAUAUUUGAGCUAAUUAGCACUUUGCACAAAUAUUUCAUACUUUCUUUUAUCAUAUACAUCAUUCAUCAUUGCUUUUUUUUUAAAAAAAAAAAAAUCAUACAUUAAUGUCCACAUUGUUUUCCUCUCCUCAUGCAUCACCCUAAUGGAUUUGUAGUGAAGGCACCAGAAAACUUUUCAAUCGGACACAAAUAUAUUAAGGUUCUUCUAGUGCAUUCAAAACAAGAAUAAGGAUUGGUUCAGUCUUCCUUAUAGUUACAUUGUUGUGUUUACUCUGAUCUUGGCUUGAAAUUGAUUCAAAAACUUGAGAUUGUUAAGCAGCAGAUUACAGAAAGUACGUGCUACUACUGUGCCGUUAUGCAGAUUCGGGGAAGUUAUGUGCUAUUACUCCUACCUCAAAAAUUUUGAUGUUCUUAAUUCAAGACAAUUCUCUUAGUCUUUAUUGGAGAUUCAUCUUACUCAGCGAGAUUGAUUUUGUUUUAUUUUUUUUUCAGGUUCAACCCCAACAUGGGACAAUAAUAAUAUUUACAUAAUUUUGAAUUGCAAGAAAUCAAUAAACAAUACAAAGGAAACCACUAACUCUUUACAACUCAUUAAAGUACGACUUUUCUAUGUAUGGAAAACACUAACCAGUAAGGUAAACUAAACUUCUUAAGGUAUUGAUUUUGUACUUAUAUCGUCAUUAAAUUAAUGAAUUAUGUUUAUGACUUCAUCUUUUUAUUAAAAAUUGUUAUCAAGUUAUCACUACAAGUCUAAAACAUAAUUACCCAAAUGUUAAACAAAAGCCAUCCAAGUGAAAUAAUUUUAUGAAUUUUAAGGUUUCUUAAUCUUUUAAUCUUAGAAAUUUAGGAGGGAACGAGGCAAAAGGAAAAAGAGUUUUUAUGUAGCAAACAGUUCCUAGGAAAACAUAUAUAUUUAGAACAAGCACUUCAUUUCUAAAUUGAAAAGGAGUAGACACACACUCACAGAAUAAUAAUAAUAAUAAUAACAAAAGUAGUAGACGGAUAAAUAAUACAGAAUUAAAAAAGAAUUCAUUGCUCAAGAAAAACUAAAAAACAAUUUCAUCCCUAUAAAAAAAUAAGAAAAAAUUUGUCAAAAACGACUUUGGUAGGUACUGAAGUCUAAAAACGAAAAAGAAAACAACAAAAGCUUAGAUUGGACUCCCUCAAGGAAAGAGGGAAAAAAUUUCUAGAAUGGAUGGUUAAUGUGAAUCGUAAAAGACCACAUCUAGGUCUGGAGUUUUUUUUUUUUUUUUUCAUUUAUUAGACUUGAUUUUCGCGUUACUAUCAAUUGGAGCUGACAAAGUAGAAUAAACCUGGACCUUCUAUCUAGUUUAGACAUGAUAAUUGAGGAUAUUCAUUUGGCUUUAUUAGAUCAGCAUAUUUUCAAUGCACAUUGUUUAAUUCAUUUGUACAAAAACUGUCAAUUUUUUUUCUAAAAUUCUGUGAAAUUUUCCUUUAAGUUUUGUCAAGCAAAUCGUGCUAAAUGAUAUCCAACCUUCUCAUUAUUAAAGUUCUUGUUUUAUCCACGAAAAAAAUCUCUACAAAACAAUAUCAACAUAAAGAUAAAGAGUAGACUGCAAAAUGAUAAAGAACAAGGACUUAGUAUUCGAGAAAAGAAUCGUUUUUUUGUAAGUACACUGAUUUGAAGAUUUAUUAACAUCGUAAUUGAUGAUUGCUUAUGAUGAUCCUUUAAAAGUAUUCAGUACUACUGCUUGAAACUAUGUUUUUGGGAAAUUAAUGGCAAAUUACCGUAUAUUGGAAGAUUUCAAGUUAAGAUGUGAAGUGGUACAUUUGGCCUAAAUAUGGUAGUACAACUAUUCAUUUUUCUUUUUCUUUUUUUUAAAAAAAAAUAUAGAACAACCAAAUAUUGUUGAUGAGUACAACUGUUUAUUUUAAAUUUCAUACACCAUAUAGGUCUUAAUAUAAUGUUCAAAAUAUAAUUGAUUAGUCAAUCUCAAAUUCUCCUUUGAAUAGUGCAAUUCUCACUCCAAUCUUUGGAGGCUAAAUAUAGUAGUAGGUACUUUUUUUUAUUUAAGAAUCAAAAUAUUGUUAACAGCCAUUUAUUUCAAAUUCAUACAUCAUAUAAGUGUAAAUGUUUAAAGUAGAAUUGAUUAAUGCAUUGGAGGUGUGGGUCUAGACUUUCAAAAUGUGGAUUUAGAUUAUCUCAAAUUCUCCUUUUAAUUGCGAAAUUCUUGCCCCAGUUUUUGCUAGUAACUCAUUUUUCUCGAGAAAAAAAGAAAGAAAGGAGAGUAGAAUAUGAAAUUUGACUGAGUCAAUUCUGGGAAAAGUCCCUUUCGUUUUCCAGCUUCAAGUAAAUUUCUUGAAUUUGACUGAGCCAAAAUUCAAUGUAUCAUUCAUGUAACGAAUUGCAUUAGCAAAUAUCACUACUUUGAUUAGUUUGCACAUGACAUUAACUAAAGACAGGUUUUUUUUUUUUUGGUAUGAUUGCGUUCAGUUAUUGCGUUUAGAUAAGCUGUUAUAAAUCUUAUGACAUUUGGUGUUUACAAUCAUAGCAACUAAUAAAAUGAAAAAUUCAUGUAAAUGUAAUAAAUAACGGUACAUAACCGUACCCGCUCCGAUUCCCCUAAAUCAUUUGUUUAAUUUGGAAACUAAUUACGUGAAUUUUUUUAUUUUUCUUUUUUGGGGAAUGAGAGUACCAGAAACCUUGAUAUUUCGUCUUUACUAGUUGUCUUUAUCGCUGUGUAUAUUCUUACAUAGUUUUUCAUUUGAUUUUUUAAAUAUGAAAUCAAGUCAAAUUAGAAUACUUGGAUUUUAUAAAUGUUAUUUGUUUUAUGAUCCUAACAAACACAUGAAUUAUUGAAUUCUCAUUUGAAUUUAUUCUCGUAGUGAUUUGAAACUGGUACACACAUGAGGGUGAAUUAAUAGUAAUUAAUAAAAGUUCAUUUUCAAGUAUCCAAUUGGACAUUGACUUUGACUUUUCUCCUUGGGCGAUGUAGGUCCCCUAGUAGUAGCAAUCCUCGACCGCGUUGACACAUUCGGAAGUGAGUAAACUUGUUUCUUUCGUGUGCAAAAAAACCAUUCUUAAUCAGUCGGAUUCUUUCUAAUUCCGUAUUUCCAUUAUAACCUUUUUUCUUUCAUUACGGCAAAAAGUGUCCUUGGCAUUGCCAUCUUGUCUGCGUUCCUGCUUUAUAGGUGGCAUCGGAGGCAUUUAUCGAGGUAUGAUAUAAUAGAAGAUUUCCUACAAACAAACAGCAGACUCAUGCCCAUUAGGUACUCAUAUAGAGAAAUCAGGACAAUGACGAAAAAUUUUAAAGAAAAACUAGGCGAAGGAGGCUACGGCAUGGUUUACAAAGGCAAAUUGCGCAGUGGAGAUGAUGUUGCUGUCAAAAUGUUGAACAAGUCAAAAGCUACUGGUCAAGAGUUCAUCAAUGAAGUUGCAACUAUUGGAAGAAUACACCAUGUGAACGUGGUUCGGUUAGUGGGAUUUUGUGUUACUGCCUCAAAACAUGCUCUAGUGUAUGAUUACAUGCCAAAUGGCUCUCUGGAUAAGUUAAUUUUCUCAGACUAUCAAAAUAGUUCUCCAUUGAGUUGGAAACAAGUUUGUGAGAUUGCAAAGGGGGUUGCUCGUGGCAUUGAAUACUUGCAUCAGGGGUGUGAUAUGCAAAUUCUGCAUUUUGAUAUUAAACCGCAUAACGUCUUACUUGAUGAGAACUUUGUUCCAAAAGUUUCAGACUUUGGACUUGCAAAACUUUACCCGAUGCAAAGGAGUAUUGCAACUCUUACUGCUGUGAGAGGAACUUUAGGUUACAUGGCCCCGGAGUUGUUCUACAAAAGGAUUGGAAGAGUCUCACACAAGGCAGACGUUUACAGCUAUGGAAUGUUACUAAUGGAGAUGCCUGGGAGGAGGAGAAAUGUGGAUGCACAUGCUGAGCAUUCAAGUCAAAUAUACUUCCCAUCAUGGAUAUAUGACAAAUUCGAUCAGGUGGAGGAAAUGGAAAUUGGAGAUCAUGCAACUGAAGAAGAAAAGACAAUUACACGAAAUUAAUUUUGAUUGCCUUGUGGUGCAUGCAGAUGACACCUGAGGAUCGUCCUUCAAUGAGAGAAGUCUUAGAAAUGCUUGAAGGUGAUGCUAGUGGUCUAAGAUUGCCUCCUAAACCGUCGUUUUACCCUCCAGAUUCACCCAUAUCCAUGCAAAGAAGCAGCGAUAGUAGUUCUUCUGACGAGUCAACGGCACCCCUCUGUAGCUCUGUUGCUUUAGAAAUAGAGCAGAUGGAUGACUAAGUAGUACUUUCAGUGAAAGCUGUGUGGUGGAUUUGUCCUUCAGUUUAACUUAAUAAUUUCUACAAUUGAGCUCCAGUACAUAUUUUUUUUUCUUAAACUAUUAUGUUAUCUAACACAGCGAGCAGUAUAUCUAAGUAUUUCUGGCAAAUUCAUGAGAUCGAUCUUUUGCAGUGGUGUUGCUAUUACUAGUCAAAUUGUUAGUUUAACAUAGCCUUGUAGCCGUUUGUCUUUGUCCUUGGAUUUUUCCUUCGAAACGUGUCUUUCCUUUUCAUCAACAUGGUGAAUUUGAGCUGGUCCAAGUUCACUUAUGCUUUACAAUCGUUAAAUUUGAAAUUUCAUUAAUUUUAUGGAUUUAACAAGCAAUCUCUCAUAAUUUCAAUGAUGCAAUGAGAAAAUAUAGUAUUUACUCUAAUUGAUCUACUAAUGGAUUAAAAUACAUCACUAAAUGAAAAGCUUUAAAUAAAAUUUUUUAUUACAAUUGGCCUGAUUAAAUUUUUUUUUUAAGUGUAAGUGGAAUGUAUCGAAUUCGAAAUCUCUCACUUACACUCACUCCUCCAGCUAUAUUAAGUUGAAUUUUAUAUGACUAUCUUACAUUGAUAUAUGUCCUUUAUGUGCUACCUUACCGCCUAUAGAUGUACAAAUUACUAUAGGAUUUAGCUAAAGAAAUGCAUACAUCAACAAAAUGUUGAACAUAUCAAAGUGGGCCGAGACUAGACAUGGCUGAACCUUUCAUAGCCUAAACUUGGCUCACUUUGAAAACUUUUAGAUUUCUUAACCCGCCAAGCUGAUAUGGCUGGGCUUGGAUUGCCUAAGAUCAACUCACUACAGGGAGGGGGAGCCUAAGGAGACUUGUGUGUCAGAGACUAGUAGGUAUGCAGAUCUGACUAGACCAAGAGGGUGCUAUGGCACUCCCUUGGAUUUUUUUUUUUUUUUUUGCUGCAGGUAAAGUUUGAACUCUCCACCUAUAGCCCAAGGAGUCCCUCCCUGUUGACCACCGAGCUAAGCUCAGUGGUUUGAUUCGGCACUAUUGACACUCCUAGUGCUAUGGCAAGUGAAAUAUAAUAUCAUCGUAAUACCAGCUCAUAGCUCUCAGCCAUUUAUUGUUGAUUGUAAAUCUCCCUCCGUAAUGAACUUUUUUUUGCAAAUUUAAUUGGCAAAGAACCUUAACUGCGGUAGGCAGUAAUAGACUCUAUUACUUAUGAAAAAUUUUAUUAUAGUCUAGACUAACUACUUGAAUAACUGCUUAAUAAAUCUAGUAGUUGAGGGUUAUUAUCACUUUACCCCUUAAUGUUUGGUGCUACUAUGAAUUUUUCUCUGAACAUUACUUUUUAGUCACUUUAUUCUCAAAACUAAUGGUCAAACUUAAUGGAGUCUGUUAAUUGAAGUGAAAAUACAUGUUUAGCCCUUAAAAUUAUUAUCACUUUACCCCCCAUAAAACUAUAGCCUCAAUAUCAAUCUACCCGCUAAAGUUAUUUUUCAGAUAAUUUAUUCCGCUAUUAAACCAAUUUAGGAAGUUAAAAUUUUUAGAAGAAAGUAGCCUCCUCUUUGUAUAAUAAAAAUAAUAAAAAAUUUAGAGUGCCUCUUCAUCUUUUUAGUAUCAAGAAAAAAAAAGUUAAAACAUUAAUUUCUUUCGUCUUGGCAAUCUUGUUAAUAUUGAAAAAAAAUUAGAAAGAUAGGGGGCAGAGAAAGGGAGAGAACUCAAUUCUUUUUUUUUUUUAAAUACAAAUAAGAAAGAAUUCAAUGUUUUUAUUAUUUUAAAAUUACUUUGCUUUUUAGUCUACCACCCAAUUCCAAUCCUAAUCCCGAUGAUGUUAAAGUAAUAUGAUAAUAUUAGAUUCUUCCUUAUUUUGUUUCUUUGCAAAAUCUAAUUUUUUUUGUUUCUUUCCCUCCUAUCUCUUUUUUUUUCCUAGUAUGAAUAAGUGUGAAAAAAGAAAUUUAAGAAAACUCUUUAAUUUUUGUGUUUUUUAAACUCUUAGAGUGAAAAAAAGGAAGAAUAACCAUUCCAACUUUUUUUAUUUUUAAUUAUAUACAAAAAAGUGGUAAAUACAUUUAAAAAUUUUUGAACAUACUGGUUAGAUUAACGAUGGGGUAAAACGUUUAGAAAAUAAUAUUAGGGAGUAAAGCGAUUGUAUCACUAUAAUUAAAGGGAUAAAGUGAUAAUAACAAUGUAGUAAAGUGAUUGUAUCACUAUAAUUCAGGUUUGAUGGAAAGAGCAAUUUUCUUUGUAUAGAUAAAUAGUGUGGAGUCAAGUCUACGCCUGACUCUGUUUUCCAUAAGUUGUGUUUUGAAUCUGUCAGGAAAUUGCUUUGAGAAUGACUUGUAAUGGUGGGCUAAGGAGAAAAAAAGAGAGAGCUGGUCUUGUGUGAAUUGCAACAGUCGACCAUUGACUGACCUUAGCUCAUAUUCUACUUUGACGAGUUUUUUUUUUUCUGCACUUCCUUCAUUUCCUUUAGAGUAGGAUUAGCUGUUUUGGAGGGUGUUUUUAAAAAAUUUUACUAUAGCAAUGUAUAUGAAAAAUUUUUACUAUAAAAUUUUUUUGAAAUAUUUGAUAUAUUGUAUGAAUGAGAUGUUUUUUGAGUUAUUAUGUAUUAUCGUAACAUUAUAUUUGAAAAACUUGUUUUUGAAAAAAUGGUCAAUCCAAACGGAGUUAUAAUACAUCACAAAGUAACUAGUGCAACAAUAGUUUCUAGUUAUUAUCGAGUUAGCAUUUGGAAGUAAACAUUCACAACAGUUUCUGUUGAUUAGACCUUUUUUCUUUUAAAUUUAUAACUACGACUGGUUAGGGAAGGAUUUGACUUGGUAAUUGGAAUUGAUUUAUAAAAGUUGAUGACAGUCAAUUUUUGUUAACCAGCUUCUUCAAAGCAAAGUCCAAGGGACUUGUCUUUUAGGGACCAUGGAACUAUAGUAACAGAUUAUGCUUGAUUUCUCAAACCAUUUACAGACAGUGGACAUGGACACAAUACAGAAUUACAUUGUACAAUCUUGGAAGACACCACGAAAGUUGGUAGAACUCACAGAUAAAUUAUACCCAAUUUGUACAUGUAAGAGUUUGGAGUUUGUGUUUAUGACUCGACGAAGCCACUAUAAAUAUGGAUCUGUUGGUAUAGCAAUAGACUAAAUUCACUGUAAAUAUGUUAAUUUCACUGUUGGUAUACUAGCCCUGAACUUAGCACAUUGUCCAUUCGUAAGACAGGCAAUUCAACUUAUGCAAAAAUGUUUUAUUUGCCCUUGUCGGAAUCAAUUAGUUUCAGAAGUCUGUUGUUUAUGUUUAAUGAACUCAUUAAUGAGUUCAGUGGCAAGUUUUCCGGAUAGGUUAAAGUAUCAAAUUAAAGAAGAAAAUUAUAAUUAAUCAUCAAAUGAUGGCUGUACAUUAAUAUAUAUGUUGAACCGUGUUAAUGUGAGUUCCUGCUCUGGUGCCAAAUCGCUUUAGUUAAUCCCUUUUUUUUUCCACGAAAAAUGUUUUGAAUAUAUCAAUCUGGGCCAUGUAAUAACAUGCCAAUUGGUGAAGUCCACUCCAUGAGUCUUCGUCUCUUCAGGACCACAUGCUGCUGAUCAGGCCUAGUUCUGAAAGAGAUAUUCAGUAAAUUAAUAAGGCCUAUUUGAGACCUCAGGUCCUAUUCUCUUUGCCAAGUAAAGAGCCCCUUCUCCGUUUCCGGCAUCUUUUUUUUUUUAAUUCACUCGGCCGGUGUUUAAGAAGUAUGCUUCAACUUCAGAUUUUGGUAGUUUUGUCGUCUCUAAUCUCGAUUUGCUACUUGGUGCUGGAUAACACACCUGGUGCUGAUUUUUUAUAUACCCAUUGUCGGAGAUAUGGUAGUUUUUACCAUUCCAAAGACACCAGCAGUGACCGGAGCCCAUCCACUUGCGGGGGCACCGCCAUCAAUUUAAAGUGCCCGUUUCAAUUUAGUGGUGAUGAUCCAGAUUUGUGCCCUAAACGUCGUGUUAUUGAAUUCUCUUGUGAAAAUAAUCGCACUGUUCUAUCCUUGAGUGUUGGUUCCAGUCCGGAGAUACAACAGUAUAACUUUUCUGUGGAGCUAAGCAGUAUUGAUUAUGAGAAACGGACACUUCGUAUAUUUGAUCCUGGGGUGCAAAAGAACAACUGUUCUACUCUGCCACUCUACCCAUUGAGCCCAUACCACUAUUACUAUCAAAAUCCAUACAACCACUUUCCUGUGGAGAUUGCUCCCGAUAGUGGUUCGUUGGUCUUUGUGAGCUGUAAAAAUCCGGUGAAAUCGAAAUAUGCCCCUCUUUAUGUAGACACUGCUUCCUGUAAUAUCACUGCAAAUCAUUUUUCAAAAACGAAAGCUCCGUCCAAUUAUUACAGCUAUGUUGUGGUGGGUGAAAGUGUGGUGGCAUCUGACAUUGAAGAGUCGUGCACUGUCUAUAAGAUACUUCCAGUAGACCUGCAGCAUCUCCCUAAUGUAACAGCAGGAGAUAUUUCGUUUCAAGACAUCCACAAUCUUCUGUCUAAUGGCCUUGAGCUCAGUUGGUGGUACGGAGGUGGUACGAGGAGUAGAUCCUUUUUAUGUAAGUACACUGAUUUGAAGAUUUAUUAACAUUGUAAUUGAUGAUUGAUUAUGGUGAUCUUUUAAAAAGUACUUAUUCAGUACUACUGCUUGAAACGAUGUUUUUGGGAAAUUAAUUGCAAAUUACCGUAUAUUGGAAGAUUUUAAGUUAAGAUGUGAAGUGGUACAUUUGGGGCUAAAUAAAUUAUGUUCAUCUUUCUUUCUUUCUUUUUUUUUAAAAAAAUUAUAGAACAACCAAAUAAAUGCUUAUCCUGGAUUUCUUUAGUUGGUAAAGUUCCUUUCAUUUUCCAGCUUCAAGUAGAUUUCUUAAUUUGUAUUUGAUACAUCAUUCAUGUAACGAAUUGCAUCACCAAAUAUCAGUACUUUGAGUAAGAUUCCUUGUUCUCUAAUAAAUGCUUAUCCUUGAUUUCUUUACAUAUGGCUUUAACUGAAAAGAAUUAGGGCACUUUUAUUAAGAUCUUAUUUUCUUGUUAAGUCGAACGUGGGGCAGGCACUUUUUUGUUUAGUUCUUAUAACAUUUGAUGUCCCAAUCAAUAGCAACUAAUAAAAUACAGUAUGUAAAUGUACAGCAAAAUAUGGAAGAAAUACAAUAACAGUACACAACCGCAUCAUUCCCUGUAGAUCAUCUGUUUAAUUCAGAAACUGAUGAUGUGACUUUUUUUGUUUUGGGGAAUCAGAAUACCAGAAACUGCUAUUUUGUCUUUAUCUGUUGCUGCAAAUCUUUUUUAGCAAACAAAAAUAUAUAGGAACAUAGUCAAAUUAGAAUAGUGGGAUUUUAGACAGGAGGAUGGGUUGACUUUUUGAAAAAGCUUAUUUGUUUUAUGAUCCCAACAAACAUAUCAAUUAUUGAAUUUUCACUUUGAACCAUGCAAAACAAACAUACUUUGAAUUUAUUUGAAACUAUUUUUUUUUUAAUUGUCGUGGUAAUUUGAAACUUGUACGCACAUGAGUGUGAAAUAGCUGCAAUUAAUAAAAGUUGAUUUUCAAGCAUCCAAUUGGACAUUAAUGUUGACUUUUGUACUUAGGCGAUGUGCUUCUCAUAUGGACAGAAAUCUCCGAAUUCGUCUACGGACAUGUCAUCGGCCCAUAUGUAUGUAAAAGUGAGUAACCUGGUUUCUUUGAUUUACAGAAAAAUCAUUCUUUAAUCAAUCUGAUUCUUUCUAUUUCAAUAUUUCCAUUAUAAUCCUUUAAGUUUUCUUUUAUAAGCAGAUUGCUUUGGAAUUGGCUUAGUUUCGGGUAAGGCAUCUGAUUUGUAGUUGAAAACUCUGUCUAUUGGAAUAUACACUAGAAGUCAGUCAAUCACUGUUUUGUUCUUCUAUUUCAGUUGUGCUUAUUGCAGCAAAACAUGUCUUUGGCAUUAUCCUCUUGUCUGCUUUCCUCCUUUAUCGGUAUCGUCGGAGGCAUUUAUCGAGGUAUGAUACAAUAGAAGAUUUCCUACAAGCAAACAACAGCCUCAUGCCCAUUAGGUACUCAUACAAAGAAAUCAAGACAAUGACAAAAAAUUUUGAGGAGAAACUAGGUGAAGGAGGCUAUGGUUUGGUUUACAAAGGAAAACUGCGCAGUGGAGGUGCAGUUGCUGUCAAGAUGCUGAGGAAAUCAAAAGCUAAUGGGCAAGAGUUCAUCAAUGAAGUUGCGACUAUUGGAAGAAUACACCAUGUGAACGUGGUUCGGUUAGUGGGAUUUUGUGUUACUGCCUCAAAACAUGCUCUAGUGUAUGAUUACAUGCUAAAUGGCUCUCUGGAUAAGUUAAUUUUCUCAAAUUGUCAGAAUGGUUCUCCAUUAAGUUGGAAGCAAGUUUGCGAGAUUGCAAAGGGGGUUGCUCGUGGGAUAGAGUACUUGCAUCAGGGGUGUGAUAUGCAAAUUCUGCAUUUUGAUAUUAAACCGCAUAACGUCUUACUUGAUGAGAAUUUUGUUCCAAAAGUUUCGGACUUUGGACUUGCAAAACUUUACCCGAUGCAAAAGAGUAUUGCAACUCUUACUGCUGUGAGAGGAACUUUAGGUUACAUGGCCCCGGAGUUGUUCUAUAAAAAGAUUGGAAGAGUCUCACAUAAGACAGACGUUUACAGCUAUGGAAAGUUACUAAUGGAGAUGGCAGGAAGGAGGAGAAAUGUGGAUGCUCAUGCUGAGCAUUCUAGUCAAAUAUACUUCCCUUCAUGGAUAUAUGACAAAUUCGAUCAGGUGGAGGAAAUGGAAAUCGGAGAUCAUGCAACUGAAGAAGAAAAGAUGUUUACAAGAAAAUUGAUUUUGAUUGCUUUGUGGUGCAUACAGAUGACACCUGAGGAUCGUCCUUCAAUGAGAGAAGUCUUAGAAAUGCUUGAAGGUGAUGCUAGUGGCCUAAAGUUGCCUCCUAAACCGUCGUUUUACUCUCCAGAUUCACCCAUAUCCAUGCAAAGAAGCAGCAAUAGUAGUUCUUCUGACGAGUCAACGGCACCCCUAUGUAGCUCUGUUGCUUUAGAAAUAGAGCAGAUGGAUGACUAAGUAGAACUCGUGCUUUCAGUGAAAUCUUUGUCUCGUGGAUUUGUCUUUCAAACUCUUAAAAUAUGCCACCUAGUACUAGAUAACAUGGCAAACUGAAAUAUCAGUUUGGUAUCAAUAAACUGAAGGGUAGCACCUUGAUAUAUGCUUCGUAUGUAAUAGUAAUACCAGCAUCAAUCUUUGAGUUUAACAUAAUAAUUUCUACAAUUGAGCUCCAACACAUAUUUUUUUCUUAAACUAUUAUGUUAUCUAAAAAAGCGAGCAACAUAUCUAAAUAUUUCCUCCAAAUUUGUAAGAUCAAUCCUUUCCAAUAGUGUUGCUGCUACUAGUCAAAUUGUUAGUUUAUAGCGUUGUAGCCAUUUUUCCUUAUCCUUGGAUUUUUCCUCUGAAACAUGUCAUUCCUUUUCAUCAACGUGGAGAAUAAGACAUUUCCUGGAGACUGCCUGCUUGAGUAAGUGGAGGCGAAUGCUUCACGGUCUAGCUGAUAUACAUUUCAAAUAAUCAUGAAGAAGAGAACUAGUAUUUCUUCUUGUACCUCCUUCUUGAUGGUUCAGUAACUUAGGUUGAGGUUUUGUCGUGUUGAAGAAUUCAAGUACGUAAGAAGCAUCACGACAUUAAGCACAACCAUUGGCACCUUCUCUUGAAUUAUGGAUAGGUUAACUGUUAUUGAUUGCUACUGUCAUUGUCUCUGAGUUCAUAUGAUUUGAUUACAAAAGUCAGUCAUUGCUUUCAAGGGGAGUGGAGAGGAAAAUGGAAUUGCUGGCCAUAGGGAGCUACUUUGUGUCAUAAUGAUAAACUGUUCUGAAAAGAUCUAAACUUCAAUUUUUCAAUAAACGCGUCUGAACAUGUUAAAAUCUAAAUCUAUUAAAUUUCAGUACUGAAUGAGAUUAUCAAACAGAGCCUAAGUAACAACCAUUGGCACCUUCUCUUGAAUUAUGGAUAUGUUAACUGUUAUUGAUUGCUACUAUCAUUGUUUCAGUGUUCAUAUGAUUUGAUUACAAAAUGUCAGUCAUUGUGCCUAAGCUUUGGAGACGAAACUCGAUUUGUUGGGGAUAGGAAACUACUUGUGUUGUAAUGAUAAACCGUUCUAAAAGGAUCGAAACUUCAGUUGUUCUGAUAAACUUUCUUGAUAUUAAGAAAGUUUUGACCUUAGAGAAAGAGGUGACAUAUUAGGGUUGAAAAUGAAGGGCUUAGGAGUACUCUUAAAACAAAUGUCUCAGCUCAGGAGCAAAGGACAUUAAGCACUUGUUGCCCUCACGAAGUACCUUGUGAUCAUGACAUUUUGUUACCCUAUAGCGAGGCCAGCAUUUCCCGCUAGGUAGAUCAGACAGACAAAAAUAUAGAACUAAUUAGUUCUAAUGACAGUAAACAAGAAAUCAUGAGUUCAAAGUGCGAAACAAAUGUAGCAUCUAAAUUCCAUAAAUAUUCAUAUACAUUCUUAUCUCUACUCAUGCUGAAUUUCAUAUUAACAUAGGCAUUUAAAACUAUUUUAUUCAUUAAAGAGUGUUAAAACUGCUUACCUUAGUGAAAAUGAAUCAAUACCUAACUUAGCUUAGGUAAUUCCUGUAAUACACGUCUUUCGUGCCUAUGAAAGCGAGAGCCUAAUUUAAUUUCUAAUUGUUAAUAAUGGAGUAAAUUAUCAAUAUUUCAAUUACAAUUCAGUCCCGUACUGACAAGAGCACGAGAAAUAUUUUCGGACCUAGAACAGGGAAAUGAAGAAAUUGGAACUAGGAACGAAUCGGCCUGACACUGGAGCCCAUCACCAAGCUCCAAACUGUGGGACUUACAUACUCAAAGCCGCCAUCUCAAAAUAUUAAUAAGAAUUGAUCCAAAUUUCAAGAUUUUCACUCAUUUUCCCAUUUCACUUUUGAUUAAGAUUCCAAGUCUAAAAUAAGAUCAUAGUAUUUUAUCAACUAAUCAUUUCCUCGCAAAAUUUCUAAAAUCAUCUCAUGGUCCCACUAAAACAACCAACAAAAUAACAAAUAAGCAAAAGACCCAUUAGAGACGUCAAGAACGGUUAUUUGGUAAGAAGGUUUUACACCGUUCAAGAACGGUUAUACCACUAGCCGGUCCCCCCCUUCUCUCUCUUCUCCUUCCACUUUCCUCCUCCUGCCUCCCUCCCUCUCUCUUCCUCCUCUCCCCUCCCCCCUCCCCCCUUCCCCGCAACCCACCCUCCUCCCUCCUAGAACCACUAGGGGAGGGGAUUUUUAAUUUUCAUAAACUGCAAGUUUUAAUUGUCAUCAAAAGUAUUAAUGAUAAUAACUACCAAGUAAGUGCUGAAGUCUAGAUUGGACUGCCUUCCACAUAACAGAAGCUUAGAUUGGACUCCCUUAACAAAGACUGAAAAAAGAAAAUGAAAGAAUGAAAAGUCUAAAUUGUGGUGGCUAGUCCAAAGUCCAUUGAGGUUAAUGGAAAAGUUUUUCUUAAUAAACAACUGCAGCAGUCAAGUUUAGAUUGGAUUCCCUUAAAUCUUUACCGGGAAAGGAGGUUAAAAUUUAGUUAAAGUGCAUUCAUUUGCUCUAAAACCUUACUUGCCAAGCAGCACCUUCUGCAUAUCCGGCUAUUUUCAGUCAACCCAUUAAUAGCAUGUUGCAAGUUCAGAUUUUGGUAGUUUUGUUGUCCCUGAUCUUGAUUUACUUUUUGGUAUCCCGAUUCAGAUUUGAUACUAUUGUCGAUAGCCAUUGUUACGCAAAUGGUUAUCAUACCUUCAAUUCCAAACACACCGGUUGUGACCAUAGCCCAUCUUCUUGCAGAGACACUGAUGUCAGUUUAAAGUGCCCGUUUCAGUUCAAAGGUGAUCAUGCAGAUUUGUGCCCUGAUGCUUUGGAGUUCUCUUGUGACCAUAAUCGCACAGUACUUCCCUUAACAACGGAUGUUGAUGGGGAGGAACAGCGCUUUUAUGCAGAUAUAGACAGCAUUGACUCCAGGAAACAAACACUUCGUAUAUUUGAUCCUGGAGUGCAAAAGGACAACUGUUCUACUCUUCCAAUUUACUCAUUUGAUGAAUACACCUAUGAAAAGCAAGUUGGGGAUAUCCGUUAUGGACGAUUCGUGGAUAUUGAUCCCGACACCAGUGAAUUGGUCUUUCUCAGCUGUAAAAAUCCAGUGGAAUCGAAAUCUCCUCUUUAUAUAGACACUGCUUCUUGUAAUAUCACUGCAAAUCAUUUGUCAAAAAUGAAUGCUCAAUCUGAUUAUUACAGUUAUGUUGUGAUUGGUAAAAAUGUGGUCGCAUCCGAUAUUGAAGAGUCGUGCACAAUCCAUAAAAUAGUUCGUGCAGACCUUCGGUGUCUACCUAAGGUAACAGGAGAUAUUUCGUUUCAAGACAUCCACAAUGCUCUGGCUAAUGGGUUUGAGCUCAGUUUGUCAACAAGGUCGACACUGCGGAGAUCAAUUCUUUAUAAGUACACUAACUUUGCAGACCUGCCUUGUAUGUUACUUUCUUCUUGGGUAUUAAUAAAUUCUUACUUACCCAGAAAGGUUGAAGGUUGUCCAUUUCGGUGAUUGAUAAUUGGUUACGAUGAUCUCUUGGAAAGUAUUAAAUUCUACUGAAUGAAACUAUGUUUUUGGGAAUUUAAUGACAAGUUACCGUAUCUUGAAAGAUUUAAGUUAGGAAAUGGAGUGGUAUAUUUGUAGGCUAACAAGUACAGUAGUUCUGCUGUUGAUCUCAAAAGCCAAAUCCAAACUUCUCUAUCUUUCUCACUUUAUACAAGUCUUACUAUCAUAGUGCACUUGAUUAAUGCAUUGACGGUGUUGAUUUAGAUUGUGAAGGUGUAAAUUUAGGAUCUCUGAGAUUUUGCUCUCGAUUUGAAAAUUGUACAAUUGAUUAAUGUGCAUUGAAUUUUUUCUUCUAGCAUUUGAAGCUCUGUUAAAAGUUGAAGUUCAAGAAUGCAAUUGGACAUUAAUCUUGAUCUUUGUUCCUGGACAAUGCAGGUCUUCUGGUAGCACCAUUCUACAAUCAUGUCAAGUUUGGGAGUGAGUCACUUAUUCUUAAAAUAUACAGAAAUGAUUUUUUCAGCCAGUCUCAUCCUUUCCGUUUCAAUUUUUCCUUAAUAAUCCUUUGAAUUUUUGUAAUAAGCAACUGGCGUGGGUUUUGCUGUCAAAUUUUUUGGUAAGGUAUUUGAUUUAUAGUUGAUAACUCACUAUUGGGUGUAUGAUACAGAGUAAAUCACUGAUAAAUGUUUCUUUCUUCUAUUUCAGUUCUGCUCAUUGCAGCAAAAAGUGUCAUUGGCAUUGCCCUCUUGUGUGUUUUUCUCCUUUAUAGGUGUCAUCGGAGGCAUUUAUCCAGGUAUGAUACAAUAGAAGAUUUCCUACAAACAAACAACGGCCUCAUACCCAUUAGGUAUUCAUACAAACACAUAAGGGCAAUGACAAACAACUUUAAGGAGAAAUUAGGUGGAGGAGGCUAUGGUUUGGUUUACAAAGGAAAACUGCGGAGUGGAGAUGUAGUUGCUGUCAAGAUGCUGAACAAAUCAAAAGCUAAUGGGCAAGAGUUCAUUAAUGAAGUCGCAACUAUUGGACAAAUUCACCAUGUGAACGUGGUUCGGUUGGUAGGAUUUUGUGUUGCUCCCUCGAAACAUGCCCUAGUAUAUGAUUACAUGCCGAAUGGCUCUCUGGAUAAGUUAAUUUUCUCAGAUAGUCAAAAUGGUCAUCCAUUGAGUUGGAAGCAAACUUGUGAGAUUGCGAAAGGAGUUGCUCAUGGGAUUGAAUACUUGCAUCAGGGGUGCAAUAUGCAAAUUCUGCAUUUUGAUAUUAAGCCACAUAACAUCUUACUUGAUGAGAACUUUGUUCCAAAAGUUGCAGACUUUGGACUCGCAAAACUUUACCCGAUGCAAAAGAGUGUUUCAAGUCUUACAAUUGUCAGAGGAACAUUAGGUUACAUGGCUCCAGAAUUGUUCUACAAAAAUAUUUGAAGAGUCUCAGACAAGGCAGACGUUUACAGCUAUGGAAUGUUGCUAAUGGAGAUGGCAGGAAGGAAAAGAAAUGGUAAUGGACAUGUAGAACAUUCGAGUCAAAUAUACUUCCCGUCCUGGAUAUACGAUAAAUUUGAUUGAGGGGAGGAAUUGGAAAUUGGAGAUCAUGCAACUGAAGAAGAAAAAUCAAUUAGUAGAAGAUUGAUUUUGAUUGCAUUAUGGUGCACACAAAUGACACCUGAGGAUCGUUCUUCAAUGCGAGAAGUCUUAAAAAUGCUUGAAGGUGAUCUUAGUGGCCUAAAGUUGCCCCACAGACCGUUGUUUUACCCUCCGGAUUCACCCAUAUCCAUGCAAGGAAGCAGUAAUAUUAGCUCUUCUGAUGAGUCAACAGCAACGCUGUGUAGUUGUAUUGCUUUAGAAAUAGAGCAGAUGGAUGACUAAGAAGUACUCCUAACUUUUAGUGGAAGCUUUGUAUUUCAGAUUCGUUUUUUAAACUCUUAAAUCUGCCACCUAGUACCAGUUGAAAAGGCAAAUUGAAAACUCAUUUGGUACCAGUAAAACUGAAAGUUAGCACCUUCAGAGAUGCAUCAUAUGUAAACUCAUUUGUAUCCACUGAGCUUCAAUGUGUAAUAUAUAUGAGCAGACAAUGAGCAGUAUGGUCUUAUAUAGCCUUGUUGGUGUUACUGGCCAAAUUGUAGGUUUCUUUAAACUGUGUCUUUCCUUUUUAUCAAUGGGCCCAAUAAGACAUUUCCUAGAUGCUGCCUGCCUGGAUAAUUGGAGUUGAAUGCCCAAUGGUCUAACUCAAAGACGAAUCAAAUAAUCAUGAAGACGGAGUAGUAUUUCUUCUGGUUCCUUCUUUCUUAUGGUUCAGUUAUUUAACCUAUGGUUUUGCCUUGUGUUGAAGAAUUCAACUGUUUAAGAGGCAUCAUGGCAUUUAGUAACAACUAUUAUCCCACAUAAGAAGAGGUAGUAACAAGAGAAGGAAUGGCUAAACAAGAGUAGGAAUCAGAUCUAAAUAUAUUCAUACAGUUUGAUAAUAAAAAAUUAAACGUUUGAAUUAAUUAAGUGACACUGAAUUUUCUAGAUAAAACUUACUUCCAAAAUUAAGUGAUAAGCUAUUCACUUAUUGUUGAAUAUGAUAUGUAUUCAAGUGUAUUAGAUUUAAUAUUUAACAAUUCAAUAAUUUAAUGGAUUUAGAUUUCAGAUUUUAGACUUUAGUUUUAUCAAAUGCACCCUGAGUCAAUAAUAGUUUAAGUAGCAUACUCAUCAGCCAUAAUACAGUACACAUGUAAAAAAUAUCAUUGAUUACCUCUACUUUAUUCAUCCAUUUCUUCUUUUUGUUUCUUGUAUUUGCAGAACAUUGGGAGCUAUUAAUACACAAGACUUUCAGUUGAAAUUAACCUUUAGCAUCUUAUUCUACCUCAGAUAUCACUGCCAAUCCUGAAGCCAAAUGUCUUCUAUGCAAGCUUGGAUUCAUGGGAUCUGUUGAGGUAAAAGGACUUGGGGGAAGACUCGGACUUUCUCCAUUUCCUUCAAGCAUCUGAAGAACGAAGGUUAUUGAAGGACGAUCCACAGGAUUCCACUGAAUGCACCAAAGUCCCACAAGUGCCAAUUUUUUGGCAAUGACAUCCUCUCCAUCUUCCUCAACUUGGAUUCUCAAGUCUUCCCCUUGAACCAACCGUCCGUAAACCCAUUCGGGAUAGUACACUUGGCUAACAUUUUGCACAUUGGCAUCAAUGUUCUUCCGUCGUCCAACCAUUUCAAGCAACAGCAUCCCAAAACUAGAGAUAUCUGAUUUGUAAGACACAUUGCCAAAGUGCCUUGAGAAGACUUCAGGGGCAAUGUAGCCCAUGGUUCCUCUUGCAGCAGUCAUUGAAACUGCACUUCUUCCCUUUUCACAAAGCUUGGCUAACCAAAAAUCAGAUAUUUUCGGGUUAAAGUUGUUGUCAAGCAAGAAGUUAUGUGGUUUGAUAUCAAAAUGGAGGAUCCUCUGCUCGCAUCCUUGGUGAAGGUACUCGAUACCUCGCGCAAUGCCAAAUGCAAUGUUUUGUAACUUCUUCAUUCCAAGGUUAUGAUGCUCGACCUUCCGGAAAUAUGAACUUGUCCAGGGAACCGUUUGGUAAAAAUUCAUAAACAAGAGCUCUUGUGAAUCCAUCAGCACAGAAGCCUACCAAGCGGACAACAUUUACAUGGUGGAUUGUGCCCAUUGUUCCUACUUCAUUGAUAAACUCUUCCCCAUUUCCUGUGGAAUUGUGCAGCAGCUUCACGGCUACAAAUAUUUCAUUUGAAAUUUUGCCGUUGAACACAUUUCUAUACCCUCCUUCACCUAAUUUAUCCUUGAAGUCAUUUGUGAUCCUCUUGAUAUCAGCAUAGGAAUAUCGAGUAGGCUUCAUGGCAGCGUAGUCCUCCAAAAAUGUUCUGAUUCUCUUCUGAUUUUCUCUGUCUAUUUUCUUUGUUUUAUAGACAUUGUAAAGGGCGCUUGUUGCUAAUAUGAGAAAGAAACACCCGCGAUUGGACCUGUUGUUAAAGGCACAUGUCAAUUUUACUUUUUCUUUUCUCUAUACUGGAAAAAUUAACUGAGAAAAAUGUACAGCAAGAUUCUCACCUGAAAUGAAUAAUUUCUUCGAUACACCUGUCACAUACUAGCAAAUGUCAAAAGGACAUCUAUGUACAACAGUCAAGGUUAACUAGAAAUGUGAAUUUCUCUCUGACAGAUGUUCCUAGUAUUGUUCGUGCUCUUGGUCCAUUUUAUCAAUACACAGUCACCAAAUUGGGUGAGUUCAGAAAACAGGGAGGGGUAUAGCAACAUGGUACCUUUCUUUAAAUUUAUCCUUUUCAAGAUGUAAACGUUCAAAUUUCGGGUGUAGAUUCAUCUAAAGACUUCUUCUAGACAAUCAAAUAUCUCUCAUUCUGUUUGUGGUCUGAAUCUUUAGUCAAUUAGUCUAUCUGAAGUACUUCGAUGAGAAACAUCAAGAAAUGGACUAGGAAGGAGCAGUAAAUGGUACGUACCAGAGUCAGGCUUCUUUCCUCCAGUGCAGUCAAAUUUAUUGUUAGUUCCAUUCUUCCAUCUGCAAAUUCCACCUUCUUGUACCUCACAUUUUUUGCAUGCAGGCAAGGACCAGGCCAGGUUCAGUAAGUCUCGCAUUCCAAAUAGUUCCUCCGAAACCAAUUUGUGUCCUACAUCUUUGUGCAUAAUUCCACAGACAAAAGCCAAAUUUCAGUAACAGAACGCGUUGCACGCACCCUGUAUCUAGGGGUGUCUAGACAACGAAAGUCAUAUCCAUCAUCGGAAGACCAAUUAUCACCAUUUGCCAAUGAGCAAUUGAACAAAGUAUACCGAUCUAUCAUGUAGUCUGGUGCAGAAAACUGAAACGUGGUAGAAUUCAAAUCAAGAUUUCUCAGAUACUUGAGUUGGCAGCCUUCAGCAAACUGGACUUGGAUCAUUUGAGUCUUAUAGUUGAUGUUCUUGACCACAAAUUUCAUUGAUGAAGUGGGAAACUCAAGUAAGGUAUGGUUCCCGUUGUCACAAUAAAGAUUGUAGCCUGGAUUAUUGUAACCACACUCUUCAGGCUGCUUUCCUCGUAGCAGAAAUGGGAAUCUUACGACCGGACCGUAGGGGCUACAUCUUUUCACUGCACAGACAUCGACAGGCGGUACUGCUGCUGGUGCAAUUGAGACGUUGUCCGCAAAGAUUGCAGGGUUAGUAGAGAAGAAAAGCUAAUGGCCACUAUGAUCAAUCUCCAGAUUUCCAUUUUUUUUUUCCAUUUCUUCUAAUGAGUUUUCAGGUUUGAUGGAAGAGCAGUUUUCUCCGUAUAGAUAAAUGGUUUUGAGUCAAGUCUACGCCUGCCUGAGUUUUAGCAUGAGUUGUGUUUUGAAUCUGUCAGGAAAUUGCUCUGAGAAUGACACAUAAUGGUGGGAUAAGGAGAAAAAUGGUGAAAGGCAGUACUGUGAGAAUUGCAACAGUCGACCAUUGACUGACCUGAGCUCAUGUUCUACCUUGACGAGUUUUUUUUCUGCACUUUCUUCAUUUCCUCUAGAAUAAUAAAAUACAUCAUAAAGUAAACAGUGAAACCGUAGUUUCUGCCUUUCUGGUUGUUAUCAAGCUAGCAUUUGGAAGUAAACGUUCACAACAGUUUCUGUUGAUUAGGCCUCCCAUUUUUUGUGGAAUUUAUAACUAUGGCUGAUUAGGGGAGGAUUUGACUUGGUAAUUGGAAUUGAUUUGUAAAAGUUGAAGAUAAUCAAUUUUCUUUAACCAGCUUCUGCAAAGCUAAAGUCAAAGGACUAAUUAAGGAGAUCCGAACCUUGAACAUCUUACUAUAAUUUCUUCAACUUAUUUUACUACCAGAACAAUGCCCUUAUUAACAUCAUAGCCAUUGUCAUGCCAUAUAAUUUGAUUUUAAAUGAACAAGAGAUUGCUCCAUUGGUCAAAUGGCCAAAUUGGAUCCAAGAAAUUGCACUAUUGGUUUCAAGGUAAGCACAAAUUUGAUGAACCGUGUUGAAACAAGUUCCUGCUCUGUGGCAAAAGCUCUUUAGUUGAUCCUUCGCCAUUUAUCAAGCAGCCUAGAGCUGGGCCAUGUUGAGCAGCUAAUUGAAGUAUGUGGCUCCUCUUGCAACGGCAGAGAUUUGAUAAACAUAAGGGUAAAUUACCCCUUGUGAUUUCAUCUAUUGUUACAUGAUCCUCCUCACGUUUCAAAAUGUCCACUUCACCUCCCUAUAGUUUUGCAUAAAGUGGAAAUUUAACGAAAAUAACCUAUGUAAUGUCUUUAAUUAAAGGGUUAAUCACAUUUUAUCCCCUUAAAGAAUACCUCAUUUCUCAGUUUACCCCCUAAUCUUUAAUUUUGUUCACUUAACCCCCUUUAGGACAAAAUUGCCCUUGCAUUAUUUUGACUUUUCAUUUACCUUGUUUUCCUUUCUUUUAUUUCUUUUUCUCUUUCUUCUUUAUUUAAUUCUUCCUCUUUCCCACAAAAAUCUUCACCUUAAUGAUUGAAAUUAAAAAAGAGGAAUUGCAGAGAUCUAUUUUCUCCUUAAAUGAUGAAAAAAAUAUUCAAAUCACGUUCCUAAAAUACAAUAUUUUUAGCCUUUCAAUUCUUUUAAUUUCGGGUUUUCCUCUUUCCUUUCUAGUUUCUCAUUUUAUUCUCAAGAAAACAUCAUAAGAUGAAAUUGUUUUCCUUUCUUUUAUUUCUUUUUCUCUUUCUUCUCUCUUUCAUCCUUCCCAAUAGAAAUUCCAUUUCAACGAAAAUUUUUGUUUUGAAUUUGUAAUUGCAUAUUUCUGGAUGAAGGUUUAAAAGGGAUCAAAAACUAAUUUUGAUUUUUUGUAUGAUGCCACGUGUCACAAAUUUCAAUUGAUGAUUAUUAAUCAGGUCACAAUUUCAUCUUAAGAUAUUUUCUUGAGAAUAAAAUGAGAAACUAGAAAGGAAAGAGGAAAACCCAAAAUUAAAAGAAUUGAAAGGCUAAAAAAAUUGUAUUUUAGGAAAGUGAUUUGAAUAUUUUUUUUAAUCAUUUAAGGAGAAGAUAGAUCUCUGCAAUUCCUCUUUUUUAAUUUCAAUCAUUAAGGUGAAGAUUUUUGUAGGAAAGAGGAAGAAUUAAAUAAAGAAGAAAGAGAAAAAGAAAUAAACGAAAGGAAAACAAGGUAAAUGAAAAGUCAAAAUAAUACAAGGGCAAUUUUGUCCUAAAGGGGGUUAAGUAAGCAAAAUUAAAGGUUAGGGGGUAAACUGAGAAAUGGGGUAUUCUUUAAGGGGAUAAAGUGCGAUUAACCAUUUCUCACUUUAUCCCCUUUACGUAUGGGCCAUUGCUCAAUUUAUCCCCUAAUGUUUGUUUUUCCACGGUUUACCCCAAAGACUAAUGGUCAACCCUAAUAGAAGUAAACAAAAUAAUGAAAAGACAGUAAUACCCUUAAGAAAAUAAUGAACAAUUCAAAAUAACCAUAUUUCUAGGUUUAUGAAAGGGAUAAAGAAAAGUUUCCAAAAUUACUCGGGAAUAAUGGAGAAGGAAAAUUUCCCUCCAUUUAGCACAUGGGACAAAAAAAAAAAGAAAUUCAGAAGACAAAAGGUAGGGAACCUUUUGUCAUUGUCGGUCAUCUUUAAUCUCUCCUCUAUCAGCCACUUUUCCCUCCAUCUUUUCUCUUUCCUCUAUCUACCCAUGAAAAGUGCCCACAUGUAUGCCGGUUCUGAAUAAAAAGAAAAUAUAACUGUUUAAAACUCUUUUUGACUUAUUCAUGUAUAGAGCAAAAUUAAAGACAAUAAUAACAGAUUAUUAAUGAAAAAUUUUUACAUUGUAAUUUGAACAGCAGUGAAAUCUUCUUCCCGAAUUUUCAAGUGUCCAAGAGGUGCACAAUGGUGCCUCUUUAUCACAUCCACACAUUUUUUUGGGCGAUCUUUCAAUGUUAUUUGAAACACUUUGUGACAUUUUUAUGAUACUUUUGGUUGAUAAAGAAAAAUUUUAGGAGCUAUUGGAUCUGUUGAAAUGAAAGAGAAAAAAUAGGCUGCAAUUGGAUGGAAGCAUGAAAGAGAAAAAAUAAGCUAAAUAGCAUUAGAUAUCGCUUUUUAUAACUCAUUGAGAGACAUUUUAGUCAGCCGAAACAAACGGCUCUCUUCCAAUGGCAAUUUUGGCAUCUUGAAGUUUUUAACAGUGCAAUUGCUUAGCUGGAUUGACGGAGGGUAUAAACUGUGGAAAAACAAACGUUGGAUGGUAAAUUGAGAAAUGACUCAUACUUAAAGGGGAUAAAGUGCGAUUAACCCUAAUUAAAAUAUCAAUAGUGCCCUUACUUAAAUAUUAAAUCGAUCGAUAGUUUAACCAGCUUGUAUAAAAGUAUAGGGGAUUACGUGGAUAAAUAUAAAAAUCAGAGGGAUAAAGUUGAUAUCUAUACAGACCAUAAGGGGGUUACAUCAUAAUUGAUUGUGCAUUCCGUCCAUUUUUCGCUUUACAUAAAAUUAUAGGGGGUUAUGUGACUAUUUUAAAAUCUCAGGGGGUCAUCUGGCAUUAUGUGAAAUCAAAGAACGGAUAUAAAUAAUUUAUCCUAAAUACAAUUGACUAUGAAAGGCCAACUAGUCAAGUCCACCCCAUGAGUCUUCGACUCUUCUGGGACCAUUCUGAUCAUGAACUAAACCAUCCACAUCUACAUAUAUAGUUAAUCAAUUACUCGGUUAUUAAUAUGUUACGAGUGCAGAUUUUGGUAGUUUUAGUCUCCCUUGCCUUAAUUUACGUUUUGUUGUCCGGGUUCAUUAUGGGUGAUUUUGUCAUUAACAACUGCUACAUGCCUGGUGAUCAUCACUGGACUUCAAUAAAAAGAACCUGUGAUCAUAUUCACACCCCAUCCUCUUGCUAGAAUUCAAGUGCCUUCAAUAUAAAGUGUCAUUUUUAAAAAAAAAAAAAAAAGGACACCAAAUGGAUUGAUAUUUUUGAGCUGUAAAAAUCCUGUGAAUUCCAAAUAUCCUGUCUACGUGCAGACCGCUUCCUGUAAUAUCACUCAAAACCAGUAUCCCGACAAUCACAACUUUAUCUUCUCAAGUGGGAUUUGAUGAUUCCUGCACCAUUCUUAAAUAGUUCCCUAAGAGCUGCUGUGUCUCCCCAGCAUAACAGAGGACAUUUCAUUUCAAGAAAUCCAUAAUUCGCUGGCAAAUGGCUUUGAACUUACAUUAGGGGGGGGUGUAUCGAUCUGACUCUUUGAAGCAAUCAUUGCAGCAAGAAGCGCCAUUGGUGGUGUACUUUUAUUUGCUUUUCUAAUCUUUAGAUGUCACAGAAGGCAUUUGUCGAUGCAGUAGAAGAGUUUCUACAAACAAACAAGGGACUCAUGCGUAAUGGCUAAUACUGUAAAGGCUAAACUACGAUUCUGGGAAUAAAAGCAAAAACGGACGAAAGUUAAACUAAUCAAUGGCUGUUCCUCUUUCCAAACUCCAACAUCAGAAUAAAAGCUAAGAUAAUGCUCUGAAGGCCUCACUGUGAAUGUAUAUUUUUGCCUCCAAUAGCGCUCACAUAACCACAAUUGGAACUGAAGGACUUUUGCUUUUCCUUGACACACACACACACACACAUACCAAUUAAUGUUUCAACAGCUCGGAAAGUGUCAUAAAUAUUCUGGUACAAAAAUAUUUUCAAGUAGUAGUAAUUGACUUAGUUGAUUGGAUUGGCUGAUGAAGGAAGGAUUGUUGUCAUGCUAAUCUAACAACUAAAAUUGUGAUAUAUCAUAGCUAGUAGCUUCCAAUAUUAAUAAAAAUUAAUUCUAAUAUUUUCGAAAUAUGAGCAGUUCGUUCAAAAGCUUUCAAUGGACCCCCUUUUUGUGAUAAUUUAUAUAGUGUGAGAAUUCCCAAGUAGCAGUUGUAGUCAUUGUCUUCUAAAUCUCCAUAGUUGUAUCCCCAGAAUUCGUCCACACUAAAGUGAUUUUAACUACCCAUCCUUAUUGUGGGACCUUGUUAUUACAACCUUUGGUUUCAAGAAAAUGAUGGUUCUUUGUGAAGCCAAAGAAAAUGUUGAUGAUAAGUAUUGGCAGAUUCAGGAUUUCCCAGGGGGAGGGCGUAUCUUUACUGGACGCGGGGCUGGAGCGGUUGUCAGAACAACCGCUCCGGAAGGUGUAACACCAUUUGUACAUGGUGUAACAUCAUCUGUACAAGGUGUAACAAUUGAACAACAGCGAGUAAAAUAAAACAACAUUUUUGUGGGUCCCACACGGCGUGAAAAUCGAGUUACAAGACGUGAUCUGAGCCGCACAAAUUUUUGAGGCUUCAUCCAAGCCGUGAACUGCUUGGGACGGUUGUCAGAGACAACCGUCCAGGCCCCUCGUCCAUCUUUACUAUACUAAAAGUGGGAUACGGGGCAGGAGCGGUCGGCCUGACGACCGCUCCUGAACGGUCUCCUCACAAGACCCAAAUGUGAGGCGAGAAAUAUUCCACGUCAGGAAGCCUUCAGUUGAGGAGAAAUGGAAAAAACAAAAAGAAAAAGAGUUGAUGGACCGUUUCAUGAAGCGCUGGUCCGUUACCGCCCAAAUGAAUCCUUAAAACGAAAAGUUAAGUCACACUCCCUCCAAAAUAAUUGCCCAUAUUCAUUAAUGCAAAAUUCUACAAAGCAGAGCAAGAAAGAAAAGCAAAAGGAAAACAACAUUGCAGAAUUAUACAUGGAAUAGCAAGAAGUAGUAGAAAUAGAGUGGCUGUGAAGGAAAAUCACGGCGAGGAGAAGCAAUAAGUAGUGGCAGAAGGAGAGAGUUUAGGAUUGGCACUCAAAUAUCAAAAGACUUGAGAAGGUGAACGGAAAUUGUGGAGUACAAGGUUGGGAGAUCCGAAGAAGAAAUAAAGUAAAAGAAACACAGGUAAGAAAACAUCAAUGGUAUCAGAUAAAUUAUGGAUCAAUUUGACUUGUAGUUAUCUUUUGUUGUAUACAUUGUUGUGAACAAAUGAGAUGAUUGUACUUGUUGUAGUUUUGGUUAAAGUAAUUGUUUAAUACAGUGAAAAAUAGCUAAUACACUGGAACCUUCGGUUGCACAUAAUAGAUAUUAUAAUUACCAACACGGGAAAAGAAAGGUAUUGAAAAUUUUGCACACCAAGUGCUUGCAAAAUUGCGUGCAUGGGUUAGGGAUUGUUAUGGUUAUUGUGCAUGAAGUUGGUGUAGGUUUUAUUACAUAACAGUGGCUGAGUGGAGAUUAAAUAAGAUAUGGAUUUCUAAGAUGGUACAUACUGUUGAGGGAGACAUACAAAGUGAAGUGAUUGGGAGUGCAACCACCUUUCGAGGGCAAAUGUCACAACCUGUCGAAGAAAGUCAAUCUACGGUGCAACCAUCUUUGAUUGGGAGUGCAUCGAUGUCACAGCUGCAUGACCCAGAAACACCACAUAGAUUGCGGUCAUAUGGUCGAAAGAGGAAAGGUUGGUACUGCUGUAUUAUUCAAAAUGUUGUAAUUCAAGUAACAUGACUGUAAAAGGUAGACACAUACGUUAACUGUGUUUAUACCAUAAUGAUGAUACCUAUAUAGAAUAUAAUUUCAUUUCUUAGUCAUGAUAAAAAACUUGUAGGGAGGGAUGUCAUAACACACCAAUUUGUUUGCUGCAUAAAGUACACACUAGACAAACUUCAUUUAAAUCGAUAAUAAUCACAUGUGAUUUCAUUUAAAACUGUUUGAAUAAUAGCAGUUACAGUGUGUAUGAAGAUAGUUACAAAUUAGUUCUCGUUUUUUUACAGUGUGUUUGAAGAGUGUUACAUGAUAGUUAUUGGGAAGUUACAGUGUGUUUGAAGAGUGUUACAAAAUAGUUAUUGGAAAGUUACAGUGUUUGAAAAUUAAUACAAAACUAUUUAAAGACUAUUAGUUGCAGUGUGUUUGAAAUUAUGUUACAAAAUAGUUAUUGAAAAGUUACACUGUAUUUGAAGAGUGUUACAAAACUGUUAGUUAUAGUGUGUUUGAAGAGUAUUACAAAAUAGUUAUUGGAAAGUUACGAUGUGUUUGAAGAGUGUUACAAAAUAGUUAUUGUAGUGUUACAGUGUUUGAAAAUUAAUACAAAACUAUUAUUAUAACUGUUAGUUACAGUGUGUUUAAAGAGUGUUACAAAAUAGUUAUUGGUAAGUUACAGUGUAUUUGAAGACUAUUACAAAAUAGUUAAUUGAAUGUUAAAGUGUGUUCGAAAAUUAAUACAGUGGUAUUUGAAGACUGUUAGUUACAAUGUGUUUGAAAACUAUUACAAAUUGAUUUACAAUUUGUUACACAACGAUAGAUAUGAAAUCAUAUGAAAUGCAUGUUCUUCGCUUUUUAGGAGGCCUUGACAUUGAGAUAAAGUAAGUCUACACGUGCAACAAAUAAGAGCACCGUUCUGCGAUCAGCCGAGUACAUUCUACCAGCACAUGUGACAGUAAGCCUGUAUGAUAAAAAUGUAGCUGCAUACGAGAUUGUAACAUCGGAGCCUUGUAACAUAAUCACCUUGCUACUUCCAAAUGUUAUGUUUAUUAAGCUUAACGAGAUUGUAUGGUUACCUUAAUACACGAACUUCAUAUUUCAUAGUGGAACAACAACAACUCAUUAUAAUGGUCAACACCAAAGUGCAUAUCUAGUUAUAAUUCGUGCGUUUUUACUUACAGUUUUGUUCGUUUUUAGUUACAACAAUGAAAAUUAAUUAAGUGUUUGAGACAACCCUAAUUACUAGAGCAUUUAAUAAAGUGUCUAAGAAAUUUAAUGUGUCGGGGGAGGAAGGGAAUUAUUAUUUGUGCUAAGAGCAAUUGCACAAACAAGAGAAGAUGAAAGGUUCAUCGGACGUUAACUAAUUAUAGUAUCACUCGUUGUAACAUCGUGGAAUAUCAUUAGUUGUAAAAUUACUAGUUGUAAUAUCACUAAUUUUAAUUAGAGAAGAUAAAAAGCUGCCGAUUGCUAAUUCAUUAGUUGUAAUGAAUUAUAACAUACACCUAACUCAUUGUAACUCAAUCUGUACAUCUCGUUAUGAUUAUUUGUUGUAUUUUAAAUAUUAGUUACCCCACUUUCAAAUUAGUUGCUCCAACGAAGUAUCAUGUUCUUUUGCGAAACGGUUACUUGGCAUGUGGUCGUGUGGAACCAAUCCGAGACGCCAAUUAUAACUUCAUUUCCAUACUAAAGGAGUAAUACCCAUUAAAGUGCCUGUAAUACUAUAUGUAAUAUUCAUCGUUAAUACAAUUGUAAACCACAUGUCUAAGUUUUAACAUAGAUGAACAUAACAAGGUGCCUGUACAAGCACUCAAUUGUUCGGAACAAUCAAUUAUUUUGUAUUCAUAAAAAUUAUAGAUAAAUAUCAUUCAUCAACCUGCAACUGAGAGGAAUUGACGUCAACAGUUAGUCGCAAUCCCUGGGUGUUAUUUCUUUCCUAUAGUGUGUAACGAUGGCAAAUCAGCCAAUGCAGUUAAUGAAACAUACAGUUAAUGAUAUACGUUGUCGAAGUAUCCAAUUAACAAAACACCAUAAAUAUGUGGGGUAAUGAUAAAAGCUUGUCACCUGGGGUGAUGGUGAAAAUACACGAUAUGCAUCAUUAUCACAGUGUUCUAAAAUUGCCGCACGCUCCGCAUACAUUGUAUAAUAUAACUAUUUAACUGUCAACAACUCAUUAGCAAUGCCUAUAUUGCUCAGUUACAAAACUAAAUUGGAUUAGACAUUAUAACAAAAAUGAUAUUUCAGACCAUUAAGAUAUCUCUGACGGAGUUAUGGUUAGAAAAUAUAGAAAAUUUGGGGUGCAUCCAUUCUAUAGGGAUACUUCCAUGAGGCUCCUGAUUAGCCAAUCUGUGGACCUUCGGAUAAUACAAAACAAUAUGUCAUUAAAGCAUUAUAUGUUAACUACAAAAUAUGCAUGCUUCGACAGCGUUCGGGUGCCCACCAUUACAAUUAAAGAAAAAAUAGCUCUACGAUACGAAAAAAGAAUCAAAUUUUAUCUACUAAAUGUAUAUAUACCGUUGAACUUUCCUUGAUUUCGGGAGCAACAACGUUUGGAGGGUCAUUCACUGACAGGAUCAUUGAAUGCUUCUACGAGUUUUGUAUGGACCAAAUAAUUGUAUAAAACAGACAAAAAGGGUAUAUCAGGAGGGAUGUCAGCUGUAACAAAAUCAUCACACAAUGUAACAUCAUCAUAACUAAUUGUGCUAUAAGAAACAUCCAAAUAAAAGUUAAAGUCAUGCCCAUUUUAUACUAACCGAAACUGAAUCAGUUGAUGAACAGCAUCCCAUAAACAUGUGUUCAUAAAAUGAAACCGAUGUCGGCUCCGAUUCUGAAACCUGUAUUAUUGACACGACAAUAAUGUUAUUUUAUAGUGAAUGGUACUUAUGGAUUAGUUAACUGUAUAACGAUAACAUUGUUGUAGCAUAAAUAUUUACCAUCCCAUGUAUAUCCCACAUUACUCAUCCAAAAUCUGUCUCUUUUUCCAUAAGCGCAUGGCUCUGUUUCAAUGAAAAUCCAGCAUCCUUGCUUAUUUCAGGUUGGAAUCCUUGAACCUCACUCACUUUUCUUUGUGAUGACAUCAUGUGCAAACAUUGAGUAAUGUGCAACUCAUGGUUAUGUUCUAAGACAAGGUCAUGCAUACGGUACUUCAUUGUCCCUCUAAACAACACGAUAAUCAUUUUAGCUCCACACCCCAUUUUCGUCGGCCCUCGUGUCCUCUUUGGCAUCGCAUCACCUUCGUAUUUGCACUUCACACCUUUCUUGCAGCAACUAUAUCUCCUAAACGUAAUCACACCAUCUUUGUCUUUAUUCAGAUAGUCUUUGCGUACACUAAAACUCAUUUUAAAGGAAUAUUUGUUGUAAAACUUGUACGCAUCCUCUUCACUGUUGAACUCCAUUCCUAACUCAGGGAUCUUAUCUUCUGUCAAUUUGCUGCAAUCCAUUACUUCUGCUUCUAUCAAUUAUGCAUCAAACACCAUAAUUUGCAACAUUUCAUGAAUUGUAUAUACAUAAACGACAAGAUGAAUGUAUAUUACUAUUCAAAAUGUGUCAUGAAUCACAUAUUACUCAUAUACCAAAUUCUAUUAUUAUGCUUAUCAAUACGAUUAAUGAAUCACAUCACCUUACUUUUACUCUAAGACAACGGCAUUAUCUAUGUACUAAUAGAACUCCAUGUACACUAAGUUAUACGGAUUGUAAUGUAUUGGUCACACGAUGUAAGUCUAUUUUAACUGUAUAUACAUCCACUCUACUGAUUAUAUUUAGGUCCUAAAUUCUUUAGUUCACUGGACCUUAUGUCAUUCAUUAAUGACAACCGCCUAAACCAACUGCGCAUUUUCUACUAUUUCUACAUUUUGAGGACCAAACAAGUAUUUUCUACUCAUUGUACUAUAUUUCUUACAUCAUGUAAUUAACUUGCAACACCAGGUACAUCCUUUUAUUAUUCACAUAUAUGUCUUUUCCUCUACUUCACCUCAAUCAACCCUACGCCUCCAUUUUAUACACAUUGCAUGGUCAGGAGAGGGGCAAACUAAGAUUGUAUGAUGAGUAUGGACCAACUACAUAUUACUCAUUUAACACACUAUAUUCAAUCACGUUACCUUGGUCUUAACCAUAUGCUUUAUGUUUCACCGAAUUCGGAGAGCGCAGUUGCUUCUGCUAUUAAGUUGCACGACAAAAUCUGGCUUCAUGAGAUGAUGAAUUUCCUCUGUUUGCUUCUACCUUGCUGCCUGCCUUGCACACAUUCAAAAAGGAUACAACACCCUCAUACCCAGCUUCAAAAUGCAUACAACACUCUCACUGCACUGUUUGCUUUCUUCCUUAUUCACUCAACAUCAUACCCCAGCUCUCUCCACCCACUUUUCUGUCAAUUGCUACCUUCAGCAAGAUGCCUCCUCUCUUCCCUCAGCUUUGUUUUGUGCGACUCUCUACUUUUCUAUUUGCUUUCUUCCUUAUUCACUCAACAUCAUACCCCGGCUCGCUCCACCCACUUUUCUGUCAAUUUACUGCCUUCAACAGGAUGCCUCCUCUCUUCCCUUAAUUUUGUUUUGUGCGGCUCUCUACUUUUCUGUUUACUUUCUUCCUUAUUCACUCAACACCAUACCCCAGCUCUCUCCACCCACUUUUCGGUCAAUUGCUACUUUUAGCAGGAUGCCUCCUCUCUUCUCUCAGUUUUAUUUUGUGCGGCUGAUUCAAAUUUUCAACUUGAUUUUCAAAAUUAAAACUCUUCCGUUUGGUCCGUCAUGUUCCCGUUUUGGCUAAACAUUUUUUUUUGGAACGGCAUCGUUUUUGGGGCCUGUUGAAGGCUUCCUGACGUGAAAUAUUUCUCGCCUCACAUUUGGGUCUUGUGAGGAGACCGUUCAGGAGCGGUCGGCCUGACGACCGCUCCUGCCCCGUAUCCGUUCUUAGCCAAUUAAAUUUGCAAUCAACAAUAAAUGAUUGAAAGCUAUGAGCUGGUAUUAGAAUGAUAUUAUUUUUUAUUUGCCAUAGCAUUAGGACUGUCAAUAAAGUUGAAUUGAUUUGUCCCACCCAAAUUAGGGCUCAGCUUAAUAAGUGAUCAAGUAGGGUUCAAUUGUUGGGCCUAAUACUGACGCUCAAUUUUAAAGUGAGUUGUUGAUCUUAGGCAAUCCAACUAUCCAAGUCCAGCCAUAUCAAAGCUGGGCGGGUUAAGCAAUCUAAAAGUUUUCAAAGUGAGCCAAGUUUAGGCUAUGAAAGGCUCAACCAUAUCUAGUCUCGGCCCACUUUGAUAUGUUCAAUAUUUUGUGAUGUAUACAUUUCUUUAGCUAAAUCCUAUAGUAAUUUGUAUAUCUGUAAGUUUUAAGGUAACACUAAAAGAACACUAAAAUAUCAAUAUCAAUGUAGAUUAUUUUUGCUGAAACCCACAAUUUUAUAAUCUAAUUUGCAAGUCAUAUAAAAUUCAACGUAAUAUAAUCAGAGAAGGGAGUGUAAAUGAGAGGUUUCGAGUUCGAGACCUCCCACUUAUAAUUAAAAAAAGAAAAAACCUAAUCUAGCCAAUUAUCAUAAAAUUUUUAUUUAAAGCUUUUCAUUUAAUGAUUAUUUUACAUCUAUUAGUAGAACAAUUAGAGUAAAUACAAUAUUUUCUCAUUGCAUCAUUGAAAUUAUGAGAGAUUGCUUGUCAAAUCCAUAAAAUUAAUGUAAAGAUUGUACAGCAUAAGUGAACUUGGGCUAUCCCAAAUUCAUCAUGUUGAUGAAAAGGAAAGACACGUUCCCAAGGAAAAAUCCAAGGACAAAUAAAAAAGGCUACAAGGCUAUGUUAAACUAACAAUUUGACCAGUAAUAGCAACACCACCGCAAAAAGAUCGAUCUCAUGAAUUUGUAGGAAAUAUUUAGAUAUACUGUUCAUUGUUUAGAUAACAUAAUAGUUUAAGAAAAAAAUAUGUACUGGAAUUAAUAUAAUGAAUAAAAUUUGGAGUUAUAUAAAAAUUAAGCUAUAAUAUAGAUAUUUUAAUUUUAAUAAUGAUUUAGUGGAUAAAAAGUAAAAAUUUUAGUAAGAAAUUUUGAAAUAUCUAGACAAUUUGAAGCUAAACUGUAAUUUUUGAAAAGUACAAUGACACAAAAAUAUUAUUGAACGAUAAUGAGGUAACUUUGAAACUUAAAAGAAAGAAUGAGAGUUGGAUGGCAAAAAAAGGCAAAAAUUAGUAGUACCGGCGGCUAGCUUCAUUGUCAAAAAUUGUCGGCCGCAACUUUUAAAAGAAAUACAAGACCGGAGCGGUUUGGGAAGAACCAUUCUGGUUCGACGGUUCAUUACAGUUUAACUGGUUUUCAAGAUAUAGAAUGGUUUUUUAAGUUUCUAAGUUUUAACUUAACCCAACUUGAAAAACAAUCCAAUUGAUGGUUCAAUCGAUUCAACCAGAUAGUUCGAACUUGAUUUUAAAACAUUGGUUGUGGUGUAUUGAGAGCCACAGGACCACUGGUGAUCUACGUCUUGGUUAGGAGUAAAUUUUGAGUGGUGAUGAUCUUCGGAAAGAGCUCUCAAAUAGUAAGAUUUUUGUCAAAAAAAUAUAUUCAAUGAAUUAAAAAAACAUAUUUCGUGAAUGCAACUUUUGAUGACUAAUUGCCUAGAAAACCAAAGAACGCAUUUUGUUGAUACAACAUUUAAAGAAAUAUUGCAUUCAAUGAAUAUUUUUUUACUCUUCCGGAAGAGGUUUGAACACUUUUACCAUUUGAAAUUUUUUUUUAAACAUUCACACUCUUCGACUCUUCUGAUUAGUGGGGAGUAGAGGUGAUAGAACGGUUAUUUGGCGUAUUUUGAACUAUUAUCUUGGCCUAAUUUUGGCUAUUCACGGUACUAAGAAUUGGAAUUUCACUCAUAUUCGAUAUUUGUGUGAAUUAUAGGUGGUAGGCAUGAAAAAUGAUCUCGCGGGGUGAAUUUCCAGAAGACUUCCCGUUCCAAGGCGUGGCCACGCCUUAGAAGGCGGACGAAACCGAAAGCCGGACCCUGGUCCACGUGAACCGCGAGGAGCACAGGAUUAAAACUCCAAAGGCUUCAAUUGAAAAGCAAAGAAAGGGCCAGACGUCCGUGGGCUUCUGCUUGACUUUCUUGGGCGGCGGAUAUAAAAAAGGGAAACAAGGAAGAUUCAAGGGGCAUCUACUUUUUUAGGCUUAGUUUUCUUUUCCAAGGUUUGUCAGCGGUCAGACGUUUUUGACUGGGGUUUGUGGCUUUCUUCAGCCGCAACUCAGACUAGCUUAGGAGUUGACCUUUUCAAUCUUUUGCUGUAAACGCCUUUGACGUUCGCUUUUGAUUUGCUGCAAUUUUCCAUCGCUGUUUGAUAGGGUAUAAUUUGUUAGUAAAUUUAUUAUUGAUUUCCCCUUCUAUCCCUGACAAAUAUUGUGUUAAUUGCUGAUAUUUACUCAUAUUUGGUAUUUGGAAUCAAUUUCAGGAGUGAAGCAGAAAAUUACCAAAAAGGAGGGACUUGUAUGGAAAAAUGCAGACUUCUAAGGGCUUCAACCUUUAGGUCCUUGAGUUGGUGGGGACCACAAGCUAGUGCAAGGCAUUUAGUCAUUUGGGCUUUUCAAAGAAAGCAACGUAGAGAGACUUGGAACAACAAGUACUUGGGAGGUUUUGUCCACAUGUGCGGGGACCACGGAUAAGAAGCAUGAGUCAUCUGGACUCUAGGAAAAGAAACGUACAAGACUUUGAAUUUGGUGUGGGGACCACUAGAGAUAGCAUUAGACUUCCUUUUGGCUUUAAAAAGGGAGACAAACAUACAAAGAACUCUGAUCAAUCAAUAGUUUUAGUUUAGACAGUUUUUAGCAUAGUUUUAGUUUUAUUCUUUCUUGCCUCUUUUGAUGGCCUGGAUCUCAGUGAAAUUACUUGAAGAUUUUCUCAUGAGGCGUGGCUAAGUUUGUCUAGUCAAGAACGACGAAGGAUUUGGUUCUACUAAAUUUGUGAGAUCGAAUUAGUUUUUAUUUAUUUCCAUUAUUCACUGGUAUUUGUCUAUCUUCUGCUUUAUAUUCAUAUGGUUGUUUUAUUAUUCGAUUAUCCAGGGCCCGGAUUCUAGAUUAAUUCAAUAACCUGAAGCCAAUUAGGAUAGUUAAAUCCGUAAUUGUUUAAUUAUUCUAAACUGGUGGCAACUGGCAUGAUUGGGUUUGUGUCAGGGAGAUAGACAGGCUAACUUAAAGAGACCCUCGUAGCGUGUUGAUUGGUUAGAAUUAGGCUCUUCUAAUUAUUCAUGCAAUUAGGGAAUUGAACUUCUAUGGUCGUACCUAGGGUUAUUUCCUGAUUAGAGAAAUAGUCAACGGUCGUACCUUGGCUAUCGACAAAUUGAGGAAGAGUUGGUUGUUUAUCGCGUGAAUGACAACUAUAACUAAUUUAUCAGAUAGUAACUGGAAUAAUCCUUGCAUCUGUGAUCGAAUUAAGUGAACCAUCUCCGAAGUUGUCUCUUGGCUAGAGUUCGUCCAUUAUUAUUUUUAUUGUGAUAAUUAGUUAUUUGAGUUGUAGUUAUUUUAUUUUAAUUAAUUUAUUCCAAGUAAUUUAGUUACUAUCAUUUUCAAAACCCCCCAUAUCUGGAACUUGAGAAGAAAUUAAAUUAUCCCCAGUCCCUGUGGAUUCGACCCUGCUUACCGCUAUAUACAGAAUUUGUAUUUUAUUUAAGCAGGUAUUUAUUAUUGCACAGGAUUGACGCCUGUCACUGUUAUCCCUUUUCUUGACUCUGCUCCAGGAGCGACUGAAUAUAAGAAAAUGAACCAAGGGAAUUUCCCAUUUGUUCCUUAGUUAAUUCGCAUCGCUCCGCUCCUUGGAAUUAAUUGUUUGGAUGUUUGCGUGGAUGAAAUCAAUUAAAUCGCGUGAGCUUGCCAUGAUGAGGAGCGGCUAAUUUUCUCCUCUGCCCAAAGGGUGACGCGAGGGCGCGGUCCAUCACACCUGUGAGAUCUAAUCAAUCUUUCAUUAUUUCUUCCAAUUUAUUACUAUUCGUGCAUUUCCUGAAUUAACUGUUCAUGGGUAUUUGAUUAAUUGAAUAUCAACGGCCGGGUAUUUGAUUUAAUUUAAUAGCCUACUGCCACGUUAAUUAAAUAGAAUCCGUAAUUGUUCAUUUAGUUGACACCCCGUGGCAACCACCAUAAUUGGCUUUAUGAUGGGGAAAUGCAAGAUCUAAUUUAAAUAAACCCUCUUAGCGUGUUUAUUGGUUAGGGUUGGGUUCUUCUAGCUUUAAUGCAAUUGGGUAAUUAAAUUCCUACGGUCGUACCUAGGGUUGUUAUCCGGUUAGAGAAGCAGCCAAUGGUCGUACCUUGACUGUCGAAAAAGUAAGGAAGAGCUGGUUGUCAGAGCUUAUUGAUGGCUAUAACCAAUCUAGUGAUAAAUGGAUGAAAUAUCUUUGCAUCGAUGAUCAUUUAAUUGGACCGUGCCUGAGCAGUUGAUCCUUUUGGUGGAAUUUUGUUAAUUGCUAUUUUUAGUGAAUUGUGCUUUGUGAGUUAGUUUUGAAUUUUGUUUGUUUUAUUUGAUUUUAUUUUCAUUUGCCUCCCAUUGAAAAUCCCCCAAUUUUGUUCUACUGAUUUGGAAAGAAAUAAUUUCCUACCUGCUCCCUGUGGAAUCGACCCUACUUGCCAUUGUACGCAAAAUUAGUAUUUUUAUAGACAAACCCGGUAUAUCGGAUCAAGCAAACUCUUCGGGAAUAGGGUGAAUCAAGUAACCCAUUGCACACCUAGAGUCCCUGCUCCAGUACUUGGAUUUGUUCUAUAAUUAUUUAAUUGAGGUGGUAAUUAGGACUUUUUAGUAAUUAUUAUUGCACAGGUUCGACACCUGUCAAGAGGUGGCAAAUCAACCCACUUAAUUAAAUUUACCCAUACCCGCCCAUGAAAAGAUGGGUAUGGGUAUCUUAAAUUUUUAUAUAUGGGUAUAAAUGGGUUACCCAAUAAUACCCAUUUAAUAAAUGGGUAUUAUUGGGUAACCCAUCAAACCCAAUUAACCCAUUUAGAAUUCUCUUCCCCCCAAUCUCUUCUUUUCCCCCACCCAUUUUUGUUUCAAAUUUUUCAUUUUGUCAUGAUGUUAACUACUUUUUUUUCAUUAUUUUCAUUAUUAUUAUUAUUAUUAUUUGUUGGUUUUAUCUUGUUAUUUUAUUUUCUCUUAGUUUGUUAACUUGCUCAUUUUUCAGCAUUACUCAUUUAUGAUAAAUUUUAGCCUAUUUUCUUAUCUUUCUAAAAUGAAAUUUUAAAUUUAUAUAUGAAAAAAAUGUUAGGGGUUCAAAAUUUUUGGAUUAAGUUUUUAUAUUAAUUUUUAUAGUACUUAGUUCAAAUUUUUAUAUUCUUAUUAUUCAAUUAUUAAAUAAUAGGUAAUUUUGUGACAUAGAGUAUAAAUGAAAAAAAAUUGGUAAUUAAGUUUAUUGAACAUUAUAAAUAAAUAUUUAAAACUAAUGAUGGGUACAAAGAGUGGUAUAAAUUGAUAACUUAGUUUGAAAAAAUGAAUUUAAAUGAGUUUACAAAAAGUUAAAAUAAAUGAGUUAUAAAUGGGUAAUUGGGUUACCCAAUUCAUUUUUUGACUUACCCAUUUAUACCCAUCUAAUUAAAUGGGUAUAAAUGAGUUGACUCACAUAUACCCAUUACCCAUUUUACCCAACCCAAACCCGCCCAAGUCACUCAUUUUGACACCUCUAGUGGGGAGUGAAUUCUCGAAUGACGAUGGCUUUUAGAAAGAGUUCCUAAAUUGUGAGACAUAUUAAAAGAGUAUAAUGCGGUGAAUAGGCUCCUUAAAAAAUGUAUUCAGUUAAUACAACUUCUGAGGAAUAAAUAUCUUGAAAAAUUAAAGACAUAUUAUGUGAAUCAAAUUGAGGAGACAUUAAAUUCAGUCAAAAAUCACUCUUUUGGGGAGAGGUAUCAUAACUAUCACCUUUUGGAAAAUUCGUUUGAAAAUUGACAUUCUUUAGGAAUUUACAGGGUUAGUGGGGCUUGGCAAAAUUCCAAGUCCAGCUAUAGAAUUUUAAAAAUUCUUUGUUUUUCCCCCACUAACUUGUCAAUGCUCCCCUGUUGAUCGAGAAAAGUAUCGAUCACCGGUAUUGGAUAGUAGAAAAUUUUCAAUUCAAUGUCAAGAGAGUCAAUACCCCAAACGGAACACUUGAAUACGAUGGCCCCAAAAGGUACAAUGACUUUUUCAAACUUGAUCUUAGGGGGCGUUUGGUAAAAGGGUAUCGGAAUGAGGGAAUGGAAUGAACUGCAUAAUUGGUGUUUGAUUCACUGGAAUGGGAAUUGAAAUCUUGGAAUGAUUUCUAAAAAUUUGGUGUCUCUUCAUUCCUUAGUAGAAGGGUGGGUUUUGUCCAAAACCCAAGUGUGAUUCCAAGAUUUCUUUACCGAUUACAUAUUAUUUAGUAUAAUUAAUAUUAAUAUAUAUUAUAUAUUAUAAUAUAUACAUAUAUAUAUAAUAUUUUAUUAUUAUAAUAUUUUAUUAUAAUACUAGUAUAUUAUAUAAAUAUAUAUUAUAAUUAUUUAGUUAAAUAUAAUUAUAUUUAUAUAAUAUAUAUUAUAAUUUUAUUAAUAUUAUAUAAUAAUAUAUUUAUAAUAUAUAUGUAUAUUUAUAAAUGCUUAUUAUAUUGGCAUAUAAUUAUAAUAUAUACAUGUAUAUAAUAUUAAUAAAUUAUAUAAUUAUAAUUGUAUUUAUUAUUUUAAAUAUAAUAAUAUAUAAUAAUAACUAUAUCUAAUAUUAAUAUGCAUUAUAUUUAUAUAAAAUAUUAGUAAAAUUAAUAUUUAUAUAUUAUAUAAUUAUAUAAUUAUAUUUAUAUUAUAAUAUUUGUAUAAUUAUAAUUAAUUAUAUAUUUAAUAUUUAAUUAGUUACAAACUUAUAAUAAUGAUGUUAUUAUAUUAUAUAAUUAUAUAUUAUAAUUAUUUAGUUAAAUAUAAUAAUACUUAUAUAAUAUAUAUUAUAAAUUUAUUAAUAUUAUAUAAUAUUAUAUUUAUAAUAUAUGUGUAUAUUUAUAAAUGUAUAUUAUAUGUACAUAUAAUUAUAAUAUAUACGUGUAUGUAGUAUUAAUAAGUUAUAUAAUUAUAAUUAUAAUUAUUAUUUUAAAUAUAAUAAUAUAUAACAAUAACUAUAUUUAAUAUGUAAUAUAUAUUAUAUUUAUAUAAAAUAUUUGUAUAUAUUAUAUAAUUAUAUAUUUAUAUUUAUAUUAUAACAUUUGUAUAUUUAUAUUUAAUUAUAUAUAUAAUAUUUAAUUUAAUUAGUUACAAACUUAUAAUAAUAAUAUUAUUAUUUGUAUGUAUUAUAUAAUGUAUAUUAAUUUAUGUAAUAUAAUUAAUAUUAUCAAUUAUACUAAUAAUUAUACAUGUUUACUAAUAGAAAUUAUUAAUUAGUUAGACUAAAUUUACUAAUACAUUUAUACUAAUAUAUUUAAUUAGUGAAAAUUUCUUAUAUCUCAUUUACAAAGAGCCAAUAACUAUCAUUUACGAUGGGGUUUAUAAUAUAUUUAUUAUAUUCCAUUCCGAAAGAGUCGACGAACCAAACAUCAACUAUAGUAAUGAUACACAUUCCAGGUACUUGAACCAAACAAAUGUAUUAGAAUGAAUGACCUCAUUUCAAACCCAAGAUAUCCGAUUCCGAAUCCGAAUCCGAUACCGAUGUGCGAACCAAACGCGACCUUAAUAAUUAAUAUUCCAAAUUCAACUGUGAUAUAGGACAAUAGCAAUUAGUGCAUCUCAAUACAAGGGCCCCAAAAGUUACGACAUUUUCUAGAUUCAACUGUAACAUAGGACAAUAAUGAUAUAGACCUAAUUCUCUAUAACUCAUCAAAGUACGAUUAGCUUCUGGGGUUUGUCUAAUGAUCUAUAGGGUCCUCCUAACUAUUAAAUUUAAGUUUAAAUCUUGUAUCAAGCAGUUGAGAGUAAAAAAGGUAGGAAAAGGGACAGGAGAAUUAGAAAAAAAGCGCAAUUAUAUUGAUUUUGUACUUAAGGUUUGGGAUGCUGUUGCUUGAAAUGGUUGGACGGCGGAAGAACAUUGAUGCUAAUGUGCAAAAUGUUAGCCAAGUGUACUAUCCCAAAUGGGUUUACGGACGGUUAGUUCAAGGGGAAGACUUGAGAAUCCAAGUUGAGGAAGAUGGAGAGGGUGUCAGUGCCAAAAAAUUGGCAAUUGUGGGACUUUGGUGCAUUCAGUGGAACCCUGUGGAUCGUCCUUCAAUAACCUUCGUUCUUUAGAUGCUUGAAGGAAAUGGAGAAAGUCCGAGUCUUCCACCAAGUCCUUUUACCUCAACAGAUUCCAUGAAUCCAAGUAAUCCAAGCUUGCAUAGAAGACAUUUGGCUUCAGGAUUGGCAGUGAUCUCUGAGUUAGAAUAAGAUGCUAAAGGUUAAUUUCAACUGAACGUCUUGUGUGUUAAUAGCUCCCAAUGUUCUGCAAAUACAAGAAACAAAAAGAAGAAAUUGAUGAAUAAAAUAGAGGUAAAUGAAGAGUAGAACAGUAGUUCUUUUGCACUCCAGGAUCAAAUAUACGACGUAGAACAGUAGUUCUUUUGCACUCCAGGAUCAAAUAUACGAAGUGUUCAUUUCCUGUAGUCAAUGCUGUCUAGAUCUGCAUAAAAGUGCUGUUCCUCCCCAUCAAUAACUGUUGUUAAGGGAAGUACUGUGCGAUUAUGGUCACAAGUGAACACCAAAGCAUAAGGGCACAAAUCUGCAUGAUCACCUUUGAACUGAAAGGGGCACUUUAAACAGACAUCAGUGCCUCUGCAAGAAGAUGGGCUAUGGUCAAAGCUGGUGUGUUUGGAAUAGAAGGUAUGAUAACCAAGUUCGUAAAAAUGGCUAACGUGUGAAGACCCGGAAAAAAAAAAAUUAUGUAUGCCCUGAAUUUAUUUCAUUUCUUUACUUUGAUAUUGGGAAUAUUAUGUAUAACGAAUAAAUGAUUAAAUUAACGGCCUAAUUGAAUCUCUAUAGAAUUGAGAAUUUAGAAAAGAUUCUAGGAUAGUAUAGAAAAAUUUUAUGAAUUAAAUACAUAUAUGGCAUGCAUAUUGUAAUUUAUGUUAUUUGCAAACAAAUACAACUACACACGUAAACUAUACUAGAAGUUCAAUCGGUACAUGUCUAAUAAUUUUCUUAGAGCUAAAGGUGUCAAAAUUUUUCCACGAAAAUACAAAUGAAGUUAUGAGUCCAUGCAUGAAUUCAUAAAAAAAAAAAUAAAUAAAUCAGGCCAUAGUGAGCAAAUAAGCUACAAUUAAAAGACCAAACUAACCUUAAAUUUUAGACUAACUACCAGGUGGCCAAGGCAUAAGCUAUCAGAAUUCAGAAGACCAAAACCGAGAGAGGAAUAAAAAUUUAAUUGAUAGGAACCGAAUAGAAGCCAGCAACCAUCUACUUGUCUAAGCGGUGAAGUGUAGAAAUUAACUGAGAUUGGGGCGGUGAGUUGAGACAGCUGCCAGGAAGGAAUGCAUCACCAAAUUUGCUGAAUAAGUAGUGACCGAAAGAGAGACAAUAAAGAGAAAUUAUCUGCUAAGUCCAAGCGGUGGAAGGGAGAAAACCAGUAGGAAUUGGCUUCUAGAUUGUGCGGUACCUGUUAAGACAGCUGCCCAUUUAUUUGCUACGUGAGGUGAUGACCGAAUGAGAGGAGCUAAGAAAUUCAUUUGUGCACUAGUUGGGCGGUGACCGAGAGGGUUCCAUUCACUUCCCCUGUUCCCUAAAAUCGAGAAACAACAAGAAGGAAAAACAGAGACCUCUCUUACCUUCUCCAACCAUGAACACCAGCCAAGAAACAAGAGAAACUCCAGCUCAUUUAACCAAGGAAUCGAGAGAGGGAAACAAAAGAAAACCAGAAAUCUUGUUCCAGUCUAAACCGUGAAGAGACAAUAUGUAAUUAAUUAAGCUCUUCUUCAUUUUCCUGCUAUGCCUGGUUAAUAAUUCCUUGGGAUGAACUAGAACUGAGAAAGGAAGGAAUUCACCGAUAAAAGUUCUUCAAAGAUGGAAAAUUCUGUUCAAAGUUAUUGCAUGCCACCCGAUGAUAAAAAGCUGCAAUUUUUUAGUCAUUUCUCCUUCAAAAUGUGUUAGAUUAUGUCUUCAUGCAUUAUAUAUAUUCCAUAGUAUACAUAUCUUGACAUGGGUGCAGUACUUGAUCUGAACUCAAGUGGAAUGAGUGUAAAAUAUGAAGAAACUUUGCUGAAUUUCUGUUUGGACACUACAUGAAGGAUCAUAAGAUGAAGCUGGAAAUUUCCAGCUUUAUCUCUAGAAAAUUUUGUUAGUUUAGUCAAAAACUCACUUCAUACAACUGCCAUCUUCCUAAUCCAGUCAUCCAUGUGUUAUUUGAGGAGCUAAAAGCAAGAAAGGAUUGACUUUAAAGCAAUCUCAAAAGCUGGAAUUUUCUGCACAGCAAAUCGAGAGGGAAAAGCUGCAAUUUUGGUUAUUUCUCUAAAAGGUUUGCUAAAUUGUGACUGGAACUCACGUAUUAUGAUCUGUCUAAUGUUUAAUAUGAUUGCAAGUUAGAUUUGAGAGCAUAAUGGAAAAACUAAUGGCGAAAUUUUGAUUAAAGCUGAUGGAACCUGCUAGGAAGGUCGAGAGAGAGAGAAAAGGACUUUAAUCAAUCUUCCUUCGAAUUUUAGUUGUAAACCUCAUAUGUUCUGUUUAAGGCUACUUUGUAGCUUGAUAAGAUAUGUUUUAUACUUCUAGUUGGAGCAUGAACCUGAAAGGAAAUAUUUGAGAAAACAUCAAAGUUGAACUGUUAUACUGCUGGAAAACUUCGUUGAAUGAUGCAACAGCUGAUGACAGAUUUUGUGUGUGAUUUUGGCCGAACAACAUGCUGAAAUUAUGAGUUACUCACCUUGUAUAUGCUGGACUGAAUAUACCUUAAGUAUUUAGAGCUUUAAGCAAGUGAAAGAAUAGAGUUUUUGACAAAAGUUGAAGUAACGGUACUGGAUUAAUUUUGUGGUUGCUGUCCGAGAGAGUGAAGCAGGAUGUGUUUCUGUCCGGCCAUUUUUUACCCUGAAAAUAUGAGAACUGGGUGUUGGUGUCUUCAUAAGAAAUGUAGGUCUAUAUCUUAACUUCGAAACGCUAUAAAGUUUGCCUCAAUCUGAUAAGUAUAGCUCUAUUUAUGAUUGAAAUACCAGAGGAUGGCAAAGCUGACUUCCUCGUUGCCUUUCCUUUUGUUUCACAUGCAUGCAGCUUUGAUGAUGGCCGUGAGGAAACCAACUUUUAACUAACAUUUCUUCUAAUUUCCAAUCUUGCAAGCUUUCAUAAAUGAUAGCUACGAUUGUUCUCAGAUUUAAUGGAUAUACCUAAUUCCACGAGUAGGGUUACACUAACGCGAUUGAGUGGAAAGUUACGAUAGUUAUAUACGUAAAGUGGCUUCUAAUGAUUUAAUAUUGUGUUCAUUACUAUUUUAAAGACUAUUAAUGUGAGGGGCUGGUGUAGUGGAACAAAACCCAAACUACAAACAACUUAGAAUCUGGUUUAGCUUAAAUGGAACAAAUGAAGAGUUCAUUUGCCUUAAUCCUUGAAUAUUGGAUAGAAAAUGAUUUAAUCUUAGUCUAAACAUCUUACAAGACUUUAAACUUGGAAUAUAUGUAUAUUUCUUUGGUUUCUAUUGAAAUUUGAUGCUUAAAUUAUGUUAAAAUUGCUGGUAUGAAUGUCAUACUUAACUAUAUGGGUGGUUUGAAUAAAAGUCUUGUGGUUUUAAAAGAGAAAAAGGAGUUUUUCACAAGUGAAAAAUGAGUUUCCAGAUUUUCGGAUUUCACUAACUAGUCUCAAUAAAAUGCUUAUAUCUUGGUGUAGGAAAAUCCGAUUAAGGUGCCGUCAGUGGCAUUUGAAACUAGAAUCAUGGGCCUUUGUUCUGUAAAAAUUUCAUAUUUUUCCUCCAUGUGUACUGCUGUCCGUGACUCCUCAAAGUAGGCUGUCCUGCUUGAAUGUCCUGUUUCUUCAGGAAAAUGACUUUUUGACUUGGAUCGAAUAUUUGGCCUAUUUGUGAUUUGAAUCUCUGAAAAGUGUCUUCUGGGAUGUGAUAGUACUAAAAAUCUAUUUUACAACAGUAUAACUUUCAUAAUUGUUUGAUAUGUGGAACUUGAGUUGCGAAUUUUUAAAGUUUACUGUUACUAUUCAUCUCCGUAGAUUCCUGAAGCAUAGAAACAAGCUUCUUGACUUUAAAACCUCAGACGGCCUACUUCCAACCUCGCACCUUAAUUUUUCCACUUCCUUGACAUCAAAUAUAUCCCUAUUGAACUUCUCUCGCUAAUGUAUCUCUCAUUUCCUCAAAGUUUUACUCUUUUAACAAGUUACCUUAAUUAAAGCGGUCAAGACUUGUACUUAGCUUUUAGCCACCAUUUCUGAAUUUUCAAGUGAAGCUUACAUGCUAAAAUUGUCUUGUGUGUGGAUGACAUUGAGCCUAGUGAAAGGCUAUUGUGGUAAGAUUAUUUGUGUGAUUUUAGGGCUGAAUUGAGAAAAAUAAUGAAGCCAUAAAUGACUGGAAAAUAGCUAAAUACAAAGGGGUAUGCUGUCCAAAUUUUCACUCGAAGGUGAGACGUGUAUACUCGCAGUUUGACCAAAGAUUUGAGGUCAAAUUGAACUCGAAUCGUCUAGGGUAUUCAAGUUUUCGCUCAUAGAGGUAUAUAAAUUAGAAUUCGGCCAAACCUUGUAACCUUGGAAAAAUGAAAGUAACGACUAAUAGAAAUACGUUUUCCUCCUCUCUUCGACUGAAAUGGGAAUUUCAAAGUUUAAUCGCUUCAAAGUUUCAAAGUUUUAAGAGCGAGCAUGAGUUUUACGAAUAUUCCCCAAAUGAGUUUCAAUUACUUGAUUUUCUUUAAAAAAAACUUGAACCCUAAUUGAUUUCAAGUUCUUAAAUGACGUUUUAUUGCAGAGUUGAACUCCACACAAGGAGUAAUACCUGACCGUGAUCCGUAAAGGCACUACAUCUUUGGUGAGUGUUCCACUACCUACUACCCGUUAUGUGAAAUAUCUGAAUAUCGGAAAUACUUGAUCUAUGACUGUUGGAGCCAAAUACUGUUUUGAUAAAAUGGAGGCGAGCGUGUACUUUAUCGCACUCGACCUCCCUUGUUUUCCAAUGAGCCUCUGUAUACUGUUAUUAUGAGAUGAGAUUUCGUUAUACACAUGACUGUGUUUGAGUUGUUUGGGUGAUAUCCCAUCAACUACUGCUACUGUUUGGGUACCCAAUCUCUUAGGUGAGUCGGUUGUAUCGAGCCAGCAAGGGUUUGGUCGAGAAGGCCGAUAAACCUUGGGGACUGAUGUUUGGAGGUCUCUGGUGAAGUAUAGCCGUUGAGCUUGCUUGUUGUGUUGCCCAGUACCACCAGUGGUAAAAUCCUCGACUUGAUCCUGUUUCUUUGGAAUCUUGGAUUCCUGGUAUACUCGAGUAUUACCAAACUACUGUUUGUAGCGUGCGGGCCCGGUAGGGGGUUGAUUGGUGGACGGAGAUUGGUGAAAGCGGUGUUCUACGGACUUGCAUUUUAUGAAUACAAACGCUGACGGAGAGUCAAUGGAUCCAGUUAUGAUCAAGCUCCAGUGGUUACUGGCUUUUGAAAGCUACCGUAUCCUUUAAUUGAACUGUGAUUAAAUUACUGUCUUAUUGUACGGAGUUUAUUUGAUUAUUUUGUGACCUUAUUUGGCUAUGUGUUUAAUCGUUUUACUUGGAACCUCACUGGGCGUUAGCUCACCCCACUCCCUUUGUUUUCCUUAACAGAUCGGGGAUGGAUUUGAUCAAGAGGUUUCUUAGCUUUACAUUGUUUUGGACUUGUAUUUGAGAGUGUAACCUUUUACUUAAGUAGACCUUACUUUUGACUCCUGUAAGCUUAAACCUAUAAGUUCAACUCUUGUUAUGUAAGUUGACUUUUGGCUAUAUGUAUACUAAGUUUUUUGGAGAAUUGGUGAAGUGAUUAUAUUUUAUUUUGGGUUACACUCCCUUGCAUGAAAGAUGUUUCGUCCGCUUCAAUUGAGUUAUUAGUACUUUGAUUGACUGAACUCCAGCGAGAGUUGGGCAGGCAGUCCGCUGAUACCCUAGGGUUCACCCUAAGGAGAGGUGGGGCUGUCACAUAACGACAAUAGUAUCAAAUCUGAAUCCGGAUACCAAAAAGUAAAUCAAGAUUAGGGACAACAAAACUACCAAAAUCUGAACUUGCAACAUGCUAUUAAUGAUUAACUAAAAACAGCCGGAUAUGCAGAGGAGAAGGCGUUGCUUGGUAAGGUUUUAAAGCAAAUGAAUGCACUUUAACUAGUAAAUUUUAACCUCCUUUCCUGGGAAAGGUUUAUGGGAAUCCAAUCUAAACUUGACUAUUGGAGUUGUUUAUUAAGAAAAAUUUUUCCAUUAAUCUCAGUUGACUUUUGACUAGCCACCCAAUUUAGACUUUUCAUUCUUUCAUUUUCUUUAUUCAUUCUUUGUUAAGGGAGUCCAAUCUAAACUUCUGUUAUGUGGAAGGCAGUCCAAUCUACACUUUAGCACUUACUUGGUAGUUAUUAUCAUUAAUAUUUUUUAUGACAAUUAAAAUUUGCAGUUUAUGAAAAUUAAAAAUCCCUUCCCCUGCUAGUUCCAGGAGGGAAGAGAGGGGCUGCGGGGGAAUGGGGGAGGGGAGAGGAGGAAGAGGGAGGGAGGGAGGGAUGGAGGAGGAAGAAAGUGGGAGGAGAAGAGAGGGGGGGAAUCGGCACUGCCGGGAAGAGUUAGGUGUGGCAGUGGGGAGGGAGGAAGGAAGGGAGAGGGAGGGAAAAAGAAAAGGAAAAGGAAAAAGAAACAAAAAGGAAAAGGAAAAUAAAAAGAAAAAAGAAAGUUUGUUUUUUCAACUCUCAAAUACACAAAAAUUAAAAUUUUCUAGUGUAGAAUUGUAAGUUACAGUAGAAUUUUAUAUAAACAUCCAAAAAUACACUAUCCAAACACACCCUAACAUGCUCAUAUGUCUAUCAGGUUUUUCUUAUCAAGAGUAUAACUAGUUAAGCGUUUGUGGUAUUUAUAAUCGUUUCUAAAUAAUGUAAAACCAUCUUACCAACUAAUUAUCAUUAUAGGUUAUUUGUAUAAUUUUGUAACAAAGAUACAAAACUCCAAUGGUGUUCAUUUUGGAAAUACAUGCUAGUGGUAUUAGAAUUAGGUGGUGUUACUUGGUUUGUACAUUUUAAAUUUCAUCUUAUUGACAAAAAUAAGAAUAAAAUAAAAAAAUUAAAAAUUAAAAGAAAGUAGAAGAUGCAUAAAGUGUGUCUGGAUAGUUUAUUAUUUAAAAUAUUAUUUGAAAUAAUUAUUAUAAUAUUUUUUAUGAUGUUGAUGUACAUAAAAUAAAAACAUGGAUGAAAAUAUUGAAAAAAAAACUAGUUGGAAAACAUGUUUAUGAGCAAACAAAAUAAUAUUUAAAAAAUAAACAGAAAUAACUUCCAUAGCUAUAAAAAUUGGAAAGUUUUUAAAAAAUCUAAAAAAUAAGAAUGAGAAAGUUAAGUAGCGCACCAUUUUCUAAAGCAAUACAGUCACAAUAACCCUUCAUGUCAAUAGCUCCUUCAUGUGUCGAAGAAUAUGGCAGCUGGUGUUACCCUUGAAAAUCUCAUUCUUCUUAUUACGACUAUUACGGGGUCGUUUGCCGGUGGAUUGCUGCCUAUGGAAAUUUGGGGUUCAUGGGCCUUCCAGGUGUGGGUGUUGCCUAUCCCCGGAUAUCGAGACGGUAGAGCAUGUCUUUGCUGAGGGUGAUAUGGCGUCACGCGUUUGGCAUUUUUUCGAGGAUCCAGUGGACAUAUCUUGGAUUGGUUCAUCGUUUCGUGUAUGUUUGGCAUCCUGGUGGUAUGGAAAGAGGGGCAAUAGGUAUCUGGCCUUUGUGCAUCAUAUUCUUCCAUUUCUGAUUUGUUGGCACCUGUGGAAAUUCAAAAACUCCAUAAGAUAUGAGGGGAUCCAAUUAGGGUUUGACAGGUUGUGCAACUUAGUCUUGUCCGACCUCCUAGAGCUGUUUGCAUUGUACUUUCAGCAGCAUAGGUCCUUCCCCGCGGCUUGGGUGCAUUUUUAUGCAGAGAUUUCAAGGUGGGCUCCACGGGUGUCCUAUACGCUAGUGAGGUGGUCUCGGCCUUCAGGUGAUGCUCUCAAACUCAAUACUGAUGGGUGUUCCAAGAGUAACCCCGGUGUUAGUGGGAGGGGGGGGAGGGAUUCUUCGGGAUGGAGGUGGCAGGCUGCUCUUGGCAUUUUCCUGCCAUCUUGGUCAUGCUACUAGUCUUCAGGCCGAAGUUCGAGCUCUACUUUUUGGGGUUAAGCUGUGCGUUCAACGAGGGUUUGGCAGAUUGGACGUCGAGUUAGAUUUUACUCGUUUUAGUCCACAUUCUACUUGGUAAGACUAGUUGUCCUUGGGGUGUUUAUCAGGAGAUUCAGCAGUUGUUGGCGUUGCAGGAUCACUUUUUACGGGUUAGCCACUGUCUCUGCCAGGCAAACCAAGUUGCUGAUGUUUUAUCGAAUGUUGGGUGUGCUCAGGGGGGAGAGGAGAUUUACACUUUCACGUCAGCGUUACCUCCGGAGGCUAGAGGAGCCAUGCGCCUAGAUAGGAUAGGGGUGCCAUCUGUUAGAUAGGGGUCCGUGACCAGGUAGGUUAGUAGAGGCCGGUCUGUUUGGUGGUGUCACCUAAUUUUAUCAAUAAAUUAUAGGGGGUGGCGUCCCUCCCCGUGUUUGGGGUUAGCCAAUUUGAAAAAAAAAAAAAACAAAGUCACAAUAGAAGAAUUAUUACUGCAUCCAGAACCCAAAAAAAAAAAUUAAAGAAAGGAUGAAAUCUGAGGCAAGUGACGAUGCCGAACCUGUGCAAUAAUAAUAAUAAAACCUAACUACCAUCAAAAGUAGUCAAUAAUCAAUUCUAGGUACUGGAGCAGGGAUUCUAGGUGUGCAAUGAGUUACUUGAUCAUCCUGUUCCUGAAGAGUUUGCUUAAUCCGAUAUACCAGAAUUAAUUAGCUGACUAAAUUUACUAACUAGUAGACAGUGGCAAGCAGGGUCAUCUCCUCAGGGACUGGGGAGAGAUUUGUUUCCUUUCGAGUCAAGACAAAUGGGGGGUUUUAGGAUCAAAUGCUAAUGAAUUGACAACUAAAUAAAUCAAAUGCGAAAAAUAAUUAAUUAACAGAAAUAAUUGGGGAAACUCUAGCCAAGGAUACACUUCAGAAAUGGUUCAUGCACUGAUCAUCGAUGCAAAAAUAAUUGCAACAUUUACUAAUAGAUUAGUUAUAGUUAUCAUACACGUGAUAAACAACCAACUCUUCCUUACUUUUUUGAUAGUCAAGGUACGACCGUUAACUAUUUCUCUAAUCAGGAAAUAACCCUAGGUACGACCGUAGGAUUUAAUUUCUAGAUUGCAUUAAGCAUUAGAAAAGUCCAACCCUAACUAACAAACACGCUAUGAGGGUUUGUUUAAAUUAGAUCGUAUGUUUUCCUGACAUAAAUCCAAUUAUGUCAAUUGCUACCGGGACGGAAGUAAUCGAACAAUUACGGAAUUAACUGCCCCCAAUUAGCAAAUAACCUACGUGAAUAAUUAAAUAUUGCGCACCUACUCAAUCAUACACAAUAGCUAUAACAACAAUUAAAAAUAGAAAACAUACAAAUACCAAUAAAUAAAGGAAAUAAUUAAAAUAAUUUAGAUCUCACAGUUAUUGUUGAACCAAAUCUUCAGUUGUCCCCUUGACUAGAAAACGGAGAUUUAGUUACACAUCCUCAAGGGAAAUCCGCAGGACUCCCUUGAUAACCAUUGGUUCCUCUCAAAAAACUAACGAAAAAAGAUAAAGAAAAGAGACCAAUCACGGCCGUCCUCUCAAUUCCUAUUUUGUAACUUCUUAAGGAAAACAGAACUCCUCCUGAAUUUGUUGCUGGCCGAACUCUUAAUCACGCCGGAUCCGGCUUGUUGUUCCUAUUUUCUCGUUUUCUAAGGGAAACAAACUCCCAAUUGAAAAAAGGAAACAUUCUAAAGAGAAUAUACUUAAUUAUUUCCUAAUUCAACUCUACAACUAACAAAGAUAAUUAAAAUCUUCCAAAUUCACCAAAGAUGUCCAUAUUUGAUUCGAACUAGGAAAUCUCCAUGCGCGACAAAUUCUCGAGCCUUUUGGACUUGAAUGUAGGUCCCGAACGUAUCACCACCAAAUUAGAUGGAAACUGCCCCUUUUAAUCAUGUUUUGCUUAUUUCCCUACAAUUUAACACCAUUAACCAAAUAUAAGUAGAAUCAAUCAAUUAAAAUAAUAUUUGGAUAAAAUCAAGGGGGAAAUAGUUAUAAAUUUAGCAACAAAUUAUGAUCUAUUAAUUCCCACUCACCUAAACCAUGCUUGUUCUCAAACAUGAGAGCAACAAAUCAAGCAAUCAAAUCCAAACAAUGGCUAUUGCUCAAAUAUUCUAUUGCCAAGAUACAAUUAAAACAUAUGUCAAGCAUUAGUGACAAUUUUCAAGAAAUAGCUCUCCAGUUAGCUUUCAAGAUCAAGGACUUUUUCAAUUUAUAACUAACUAAUCUAAGAAUAUAAAAUAUUCAACCAGCAUUCAUAAGCAAAUAGUUCGAUUAUUAAGCAAAAUAUCAACAUUAAAAUUCAUGAAUCAGCAGGCUAACAAUUCAUCCAAAUACUUCCACAUUUUUCACUAUUGACAUAUAUUUUUUUUAAAAUAUCCCCACACUUGAUUGAUUUUUUUUUUUAGGGGGAAUGCUUAGUCUUUAGUCAUUUAAGCGUUUUGACGCGAACUCCGAUAUUGGCCAAAUGAAGGAGCCUGGUUACUCAGCUCUCAUCGCUUAAAAACCACAUACUCUGAUAGGUCAUAAUUUGUUGCUAAAUUUAUAAUUAUUUUUCGGGAUAAUUUCAGAAACCUCCCCUGAGGUUUCUGACACUUUCACUGGCACCCCCUGAGGUUCUCAAAAUUUCACUGACCUCCCUUGCUUUUAAAUUGGGCCCCUUUGCUGACAUCAUGAAGGCCAAAAUUACAAAUAUAUCCUAUGAAGUUGGGGUUUAUUACUAUCGUUUAGUUGGAGAAAAAGGCAUCUAAAGUGAUUAAUUAAACUUAACAACAAUAACACAAACUUGAUGGUUAAUACAUGAAUUAAAGCUGGAUUAGGGAGUAAGGCGCCAUUUUUGUGCCAUUCUUGUGCCUGCUGUGAAUAUAUAAAUGUUUUUAAGUAAAAUUCAAAAAGUGUUACAGUAAUUUCUUACGAAAAAAAACUAGUAGGUUAUCUAUUUAACAUAAAUUAAAUAUUUUUAAAAAAAGAAAUAUCCCAUAAAGUACCAAUUCUUUAUGGCUUUUCUCUAUUACAUGAAUCAAGUACCAGGUUUUUAUGGACAUUUUAUUCUGAAUUAUUUAAUUUAUGUUAAAUACAUAAAUAUUUGCAAAUAAAAUUCAAAAGCCGUUACACAAAUAUUUUUACGAAAGAAAAACUCGCAUGUUUUGUAUUUAAUAUAAAUGAAAUAUUUGAAAGUAAAAAAAAUUGUCCAUAACAUACCAGUUCUUUACGAGUUUUUUUCAUUAUAUGAAUAAAGUACUAGCUAUUUAUGAGUAUUUUACCUCCAAAUAAAAACACAAUUUUCAAAUACGUUAUUUUAGUUUUCAUAAAUUUGUUUAAAUAUGAAAAAUUGGUUAAAUAGCGCAUUAAAUACAAAACCGCUUUAUAGUAUGUUAUGGGCAAUUUCUUUUUUUUUUUUAAACUUUCACAUAUUUAAUUUAUGUUACAUACAAAACAUAGUAGUUUUCCUUUGGCCACUAUUUAACCAUUUUUUCCUAUAAAGAGCUGGUAUGUUAUGCGCUAUUUUUUUUUUUAACUUUCACAUAUUUAAUUUAUGUUAAAUACAAAACAUACUAGUUUUCCUUUGGUCGCUAUUUAACCAAUUUUUCCUAUAAAGAGCUGGUAUGUUUCCCAUAAAUAACUGGUACAAAACAUACUAGAAAACCUACCAGUUUCCCAUAAAGAGCUGGUAUGUUAUGCGCUAUUUCUUUUUUUUUUUUAAAUACAUAAAUUUAACUUUCAGAAAUUGGCGUCAAAUUACUUCUUCUAUUGCUGCCUAGGAGUAAUGAUUUUUUAAUCACCUUUAUUAGAUAUUAAAUUUAUGUUAUUCUAGUUAAAUGUAAUUACCAACCAGCAGAUACAUUUGUCAAUUACUUAAUGUAAGUAAAAUUUAAAAGGUGAUAUACUAAUAUUUUUACGAAAGGAAAACUAGUAGGUUUUAUAUUUAACAUAAAUUAAAUACGUGAAAGUAAAAAAAAAAAAAGUAAUUGCCCAUAACAUAUCAGUUCUUUAUGGGUUUCCUCUAUUACGAGUUUCUCCCAUUUAAUUAGUUUAAUUAGUUACUUACUUUAUGUUAAAUAGAUAACUUACUAGUUGACUUAAAAUUUAUGAAAACCGACAUUUUUCCUGGCAUAUCUGGUGCUUACAUUUUUUUGUAUUGUAUUUAUUCCCCCUCAAUUUUAGUAAUCAUUCUAAUAAUUUAUUCUUCUUUCAAUCUUCUACUAAUACAAGGAGCAAAGGGGCAGCCAUGGAAUAAAAAUACCUUCUCACACAUGAAAAUAAUAUUGCAAUCAGAUUUGGACUGCAAUGUUACCAAAAACUCAAAAGCAAGGGAGGUCAGUGAAAUUUUGAGAACCUCAGGGGGUGCCAGUGAAAGUGUCAGAAACCUCAGGGGAGGUUUCUGAAAUUAUCCCUUAUUUUUCCCUUGAUUUUAGCCAAAUAUUAUUUUAAUUGAUUUAUUCUACUUAUAUUUGGUAUAAUGGUGCCAAUUGUAGGAAAAUUAGCAACAUGUGAUACAAGGGGUAAUUUUUCAAGAAUUACUGUCAAAUCUAGAGAUAACGGGAUUCACGCAUGUCAAUUUCCUAAUUCAAGUCGAAGACUUACGAAGCAUGUUUUCAAAUACAGUUGGGAAACGUCUUAGAUUAGGAGGAAAUAUCUUCUUCUUAGGAAAAUUAGGAAGUUCAAUGUAUUUGGGAAACUAGAAAAUAGGAAAAGAAAAGGCCGGCUCCCAUUUGAUUCUUAGGAAAGAAAAAAGAGGCUAGUCUAUUUUUAUUCCUUCUUUCACAUUUGGAAAGGAACAGUGAGUAGUAGAAGCUGAAUAGGAAACAAAAGGAGAGGAGAAAAGCCGGAUCCCGCGUGAUUAAGAGUUAGCUGGCAACAUUGACUGAGGGGAGAUUAAUUCAUCAUGAUCUGCUCCGCAAGCUUCCUCUUAGGGAGGCUUUUACUUGUUAGGCUUUCGAUAUUUUCUUUUUUUCAAUCAAUUGUGGAAGUCAAGUCUUAGGGGCCUCUUUCUCUAACCAUUCGCAUGGAUGGUUCUCCAUUAAUGGAGAACUAAUUCUCCAAUUCUAGUUAAGGAGACAACUGAAGAUUUGGUUCGACAAUUACUGUGAGAUCGAAUUUAUUUUAACUGCUUCCUCCAUUUAUUGGUAUUUGUAUGUUUUCUGCUUUUAAUCGUUAUAGCUUUUGUGUAUGAUUGAAUAGUGCGUAAUAUUUAAUUAUUCACAUGAGCUAUUUUGCUAAUUACGGGUAGUAGGAUCCGUAAUUGUUCAAUUAUCUCUGUCCCGGUAGCAACUAGCAUAAUUGGAUUUAUGUCAGGGAAACAUACGAUCUAAGUUAAACAAACCCUCGUAGCGUGUUGGUUAGUUAGGAUUGGGCUUUUCUAAACCUUAAUGCAAUCUAGAAAUUAAAUCCUAUAGCCGUACCUAGAAUUGUUUCCGGAUUAGAGAAAUAGUCAACGGUCAUACCUUGACUAUCGAUAAAUUAAGGAAAAGUUGGUUGUUUAUCACGUGCAUGACAGCUAUAACCAAUCUAUUAAUAAAUGUUGAAAUUAUGUGUGAAUCAAUGAUCAGUGCCUGAAUUAUUUCUGAAGUGCACCAUUGGCUAAAGUUUUCCCAAUUAUUUCUAUCAAUUUAUUAUUUUUCGCAUUUGAUUUAUUUAGUUCAUUAGCAUUUAAUCCCAAAACCCCCCAUUAUUCUUGACUCGAAAGGAAACAAAUUUCUUUCUAGUCCCUGAGGAGACGACCCUACUUGCCACUGUCUACUAGUUAGUGAAUUUAGUCAGAUAAUUAAUUCUGGUAUAUCGGAUGAAGCAAACUCUUCGGAAACAGGGUAAAUCAAGUAACCCAUUGCACACCUAGAGUCCAUGUUCCAGUACUUAGAAUUGAUUAUUGAUUGCUUUUGGUGGUAGUUAGGUUUUAUUUAUUAUUAUUGCACAGGUUCGGCACCUGUUAAAUUUUGGCGCCGUUGCCGGGGACUGGUGCCUGAUUAAUUUGUUUCUUUUUUAGUUCAUCUUGUUUUUUCUCUUUGUCACGCCCCAUUUUUUUUGAAAAUGAAAAUCAAAGUGUUUUAGAAAAAAUGGAAUUUUGGUUUAUUUUUGAUUAAAAAUGAGUUUUUGAUUUUUGAUGAAAAUGAAUAAAGAAAAAUGAAAAGGACCUAAAUGGGAAUUAAAAAUGCGACGAUUUGGCCUCAAAUUAUAGUUUAAAAAGGGUUUUUGAAUAAAAUCAGAGUUGCCACUUGGUAUUGAGUUAAGGUGUACCAAGUCACCUAAAAAUAAAAUUUCUAAAGAAAAAAUAGAAAAAUCCUUUUUAAACGACUCCAAGUCUACGUAAAUCAAAGAAAAUGGUUCGGGAGUCACAUUUAAAAAAGGGAAGGUAAGGAUAAAAAUUCAAAGCACCCUUUCGAUCUAACCAAGGUUAGUUGCGUAAUUUAGUCAAAAAUUUUCUUAUUUAACCUAAAGAUUUAUUACAUUUGAAUGUAUUAUAUGAGUGCAAACCUUAGACCUAAUAGGGUAUCGGGGGGUCGAAAUUUCUCUUCAAGGCUCAAUUGGUGCCAAUCACAUUAAUUGUGAUGCCCAAUAAAGACUCUUUGAGGAGGUCACGAAUAAUGUAAAAAUAUGAGACUCUAAGAAAAGAAAAGGAAACUAAUAAAGAUAAUUAUAAUUAUACAAAUUUACAUGACCUAAAGGAAUGCACCAUAUUGGGUACGGGGGACUAAUGUUCGUGACUCAAUUUUUCCUUUAAUAGAGGGAAUACGAGCGUGUUAAGAUUAGAAAGAUAAACUCGUUCAUAUCCCAUACUCAAGGGGUGUUUCUUUAUCUAAUUAAGCAAGUGCACUACCUUAAUUCUAAUUCUUAAAUGAAAUUCAAGUCUAAUGUUAUGUAUCACACAUAGAGAUAUAUAUAUAUAUAUAUAGAAAAAUUUGGGAUAAGGGGUAUACAUAUAAGGGGAAUAUGGGGGGAAAAUACACAUAUAGGGGAAGUAUGGGAUAAGGGUUAUAUGUAUAAGGGGAACAUGCAAAAAAUGAUAAAAGACCCUAGAAAGUAAAAAAUAUGCAUGAAAUUGAUAGAGCAAUUAGUGGGCACCUUUUGCAUUAUUAUUCUAUCAUAAUUGUGGCUAUUGACUGUGCUAAGUAUUGAGAUUUUGCUCGUAUUUCAUAUUUGUGUAAAUUGUAGGUGGCUAGCGUUAAAAGUAUAUUUGUGUAUUUGUGUAAAUUGUAUAUUUGUGUGAGAUCCAAUCGAACUUUCAUUAUUUAUUCUAAUUUGUUACUAUUCGUGCGUUUUUUGGAUUAAUUGUUUAUGGUUAUUUUAUUAAUUGAGUAUCAACGGCCGGAUAUUUAAUUUAAUCUAAUAACCUACUGCCACGUUAAUUAAAUUGAAUCCGUAAUUGUUCGUUUAGUUGACAACUAGUGGCAACCACCAUAAUUGGUUUUGUGUUGGGAGACGUAAGAUCUAAUUCAAAUAAACCCUCUUAGCGUGUUUAUUGAUUAGGAUUGGGUUCUUUUAACUUUAAUGCAACUGGAUAAUUAAAUUCCUACGGUCGUACCUAGGGUUGUUUUCUGGUUAGAAAAACAAUCAAUGGUCGUAUCUUGACUGUCGAAAAAGUAAGGAGGAACUGGUUGUCAGAAUUUGUUGAUAACUAUAACUAACCUAGUGACGGAUGGAUGAAAUAUCUUUGCAUCGAUGAUCAUUUAAUUGGACCGUGCCUGAAAAGUUGAUCCUUUGGGUAGAAUUUUAUUAAUUGCUAUUUUUAGUAAAUUGUACUUGUGGAGUUAUCUUUUGAAUUUUAUUUAUUUUAUUUUCAUUUUCAUCCCAUUAAUCAUCCCCCAAUUUUAUUCUAUUGACUUGGAAAGAAACAACUUCCUACCCGUUCCCUGUGGAAUCGACCCUACUUGCCAUUGUAUGCAAAUUUAAUAUUUUUAUAGACAAUUCUGCUAUCUCGGAUCAAACAAACUGUUCGGGAACAGGGUGAAUCAAGUAACCCAUUGCACACCUAGGGUCCCUGCUCCAGUACUUGGAUUUGUUCUAUAAUUAAUUGUGGUGGUAAUUAGAACUUUUUAGUAAUUAUUAUUGCACAGGCUCGACAACCUGUCAGAAAUGAAGUGAUUUUAUCACACAAUCAUGAUCUAAUGCUCGAAAGGUUUCUAAGGGUCUAGCAUUGGACUAACCCAUAUCUAUGAAUUCUCACUAGCAUUGGACUAGUGAGAAAAGUAGGAAACAAAGGGUCACAACUAGCAUUAGAUUAGUGUGGAUUCGGAAAAUGGACCACAACUAGCGUUGGAUUAGUGUGGUGACGUCACACAUUGAUUAUAAUUAACAAAUAAUAUAAAGCAUAAUAAAGCAAGUAAAGACAUGAUAUCUCAUUGACAGGUUGUCAGCCUGUGCAAUAAUAAAAAUCUGUUCAAACUAAAAGUAAUUUCUGUAGAUAGCGGUGAGCAUGAUCGAAUCCACAGGGACUGGAAGUAAUUGUUUCUUUUCAAAUCCACAGUGACAAGGGGGGUGUUUUUAUAUCAAGGGUGAUAAUUUAAGCAAUUCAACUAAAAGUAAAACAAUAAAAAUAAAAUAGCCAACUAGAAAUUAAAUAACAAUUUACUAAAAUCAAAUGGAUGAUAAUUAAAGAUCUAGCCAAGGAAUAACUUCAGCAAUGGUUCACCUAAUUGAUCAUUGAAACAAAGGCAAUUCCAAUGAUUUACCAAUAAAUAGGUUAUAACUGCCAAAUAAGCGAUGACAGUCAACCCCUCCUUACUGUGUCGGUGAUUAAGGUACGCCCGUUAAUCACUACUUUAAUUGAGGAAUAAUCUUAGGUACGCCCGUAAGAUUUAAUUCUCCAAUUGCCUUUCGUAUUAGAGGAACCCUAUUCUAACCAAAUAACGCACUACCAGGGUUAUUUUAGAUUAGCCCGCGUAUCCCCCUGACACAAAUCUAAUUAUGCCAGUUAUCACUAAUCCAAGGCAAUUAAACAAUUACGGAUUUAAUGCCCUAAUUGACAAUAGAUUAUCAAACUAACCAAUUAUCCGGAUCCAAGAUAAUCAAUUGAUUAAAUAAUCAUAAAUACUACAACCAAGGGAUAUGCGAAUACCAAUAAAUAAAAAGAUAAGAUAAGAUUAAAUCGAUCUCACAAUUUUUAGAUAAUCCAAAGCAUCCGUUAUUCCUUGACUAGAGCGAUUGAAAUUAGUUCAUAUUUGAUGAACAAAAUCCACGUAAAAUGGAAGAGAAAACCGCGGCCAUCAAAUGUAAAAAAUGGGUAAACUUAAUCCGAUGGGAUGUUGACUAAAGAGAAAAGCUACAGGAAGUACUUGAUUGUUUUUGCUUCUCCUAACAUACGGAGCAAAGGAAAAGCUACAUUUAAAAGCUAAAAGAGACAAGUCAAAAGCUAAACUAAAGGACAAAAGAAAACUAAGAAGAAAAGUCAGUCCCAGUUUCCUCCUAUCGAUUCCUAAUUAAUUUUUCUCAUGUGCGGCGCUCCCAUUCUUUGAGAGGAAGACUUCGGUCGAAAAUGACCAAAAAGGGCUCGCCUCCCUUUUUCCCAAGUUGCCCUUGCAUGCCUUCUAUUUGAGUUCUAUUCCAAUGGCUGUCAAAUUGGUAUUGGUUGAGGUAUUUUCGAUCUACUCCCUGAAAUAACUGUAAAUUAUGAAAAGUGAGUAGAAUCUAAUAAUAAAUCCACAUCAGGUCAGGUAAUAGGGGAAAUUAAUAAUAAAAUAAAUGAUAAAAUUGCAACCUAUCACUCAUAAACACAUAACACAUAAUCAUGAUAUCUAGAUGCAAGAUUCUAAGAAAGCGGAUAACACAUAACACAUAAGCAUGCAAGACAUACCAAGCAAAUAAAGCAAACAAGCUCUAACUAUUACAUUAGGGGGUCCUACUACAAUCUAAGGGGAAAAAACGAAAUAGAUAAAAUAAAUACCUAACUAUUACAUAUACUAUCUAAAUACAGAUCUUGAACCCCCUAACUAUUACAACUUAGCAUUUAAAUGCCUUCCAAAUCACCAAACCUAAAUUAAAAUAAAUAUAUUAAAUUAAAACAAAUAAAGUGACUAAAUAAAUAAAUAAAAUGAGAAUAUUCAAAAAAUAUGCACUUUCACACAUAAGCUCAUAUAGGGGCACAUAAGGUCAAGUAAAAAUCUAAAUAAGGGGUAGAGUGUAUCUCCCUUGAAUUAGUGCCCUAAUGAAGUGAAAUUUUCUUAUUUACCCUCCAAAAUCAAAUAAAAGGUCAAGGCAUCACUUUAAUUAACAAAUAAUCACAAGAAAUGGAAAUAGACAGGAAAUUGAAUCACUCAAAGCAUUCGAAUAAAAGUAAACAACACAUAUUUGACAAAUUAAAACAAAAGGACCCAAACGAAAGAAAUAAGGAGAUUUUAGGGAUCAAUUUAUUAUUACAAAUAUUAGGGGGUCUCAAUUAUAAUAAGGUGAAACCUACCAAUCAAAAGAUAAAAUUUGCAAAAAUAAAUGAAAACCAAUUUGUUACGAUUAAACAACAAACUUUCCCAAAAUUCCACAAAAAUUCUAAUCAAAACUAUUAAAUAGAAAAAUUUAUUAAAACCCUUCAAAUUCAUCCUAAAACUCCUUACAAAUCUAUCCAAGAAUCAUAUUAAAGCAUACCAAAAGCAAUUAAGAUUCUAGAGUGACAAAAUUGACUAAAUUAUUCAAUUAACUGGGCCAUAGUAGUAUUAGAUAAAAAUUAAAGGAUUAAAGUUUAAUUUUUGGAACUUGAUUCAUGCAUGCAAUCGCAGAAGCUAUUCUUCUUCUUCGUGAUUAUAGGUUCGUCCGAAACAAGCUUGGGAAACUCAUACCAAGCUUAUCAAUAGCGCAACAACAUUACAAAGUAUAAUCACAGUCAUUGUCAACCACAGUCAUGAUCAUUCAUUCGAAAAAAAUGCAGCCUAGACGAAGCUUUUUCUGCUGCAAUUUUUCUGUUGCAAGCUGCUGCAAUUGCAUGUAAACUCUCGGCAAAUAAGAUUCACACAACAACUUUGAACCAAAUCCAACUAAAACCAUUGCUCAACACCUCCUAACAAAACUGAACACUUCGAACUAACAAAUGGAACCCAAGCUAUUACCUAUAAAUAAACAUUUCAGCUCUUCAAGACAUCAACCCAAACAAGCAAAAGAAUACCAAAUGUGUGGUUCAUUCUCCCUCCCAGUAUCAAACUAUCACCUUUUCUUUUUACCUACAGCCUUUUGAUAGCAGAUACGUUUAUGACCUUCCAGUCAAGUAUCGAACGAAAGCAAGCAUGUCAAUCGAGCCACAACUUCAGCAAACAAAGAAAGAGAAAACUGAUAUGCCCGAACUGCUGCAACAAGUCGAAAGAUUCAAUCUUGUUGCAGCAAACUCUCAAUCUAAAGAUCCUAGCAGGCGACUUACUUAGUAUGAUGGAUCUAGGGACAAGGACAAGAGGCCAAUCAGUUCCAAGCCAAAAAAAAAAAACGCAUCUUACACCUAUUACUGCUGAAAAAUCAACGCAAAUAAACAAAAGGGGGGACAACAAUGGAUAAUGCAUCAGAAAAUAGGCUUUCUUUUCUUCUUCGCUACUGAUUUCUGGUUUCUGCAAAUUCAUGGGUUUACGGUGCCAACUUCCCUUUUCUAAACAUAACUAGAGUCCCACCCAAACUUCAAACUUUGAUUUCAAACAACAAAAAUAUGCUGCAAUUCAUCAUCCAAACCAUUUCAUUCAACUUACGUAUGCUUCAUAUGAAAUUCAUGCCAGACGCAAGCAACCAAAAUCCAGUCAAAUAUCAUAAAUCCAAUCAAACAUCAAACACUCAAACCAAAGCAACAAGACCUUGCGACUCCAAUCAUCAAAAUUUAACCAGAAAGCAAACUAAAGUGACCCAUCAAAAAGAUGCAAAAACAAGAACGAAUGCAGCAAAAUUUUUUGGCCAUUUGGACAAAGAAUUGAACACAAUAUAGCGAGAAAUGGAUGAACCCAGUUACUUCUCAACGCUUUCUUAAGUCUAAUGAACGUGGAAAUCUGAAGAAACGCGUCCAGACAGAGAACUUUGUAGACAAAGAAAAUUUAUUUAAUUUAUUUUAGUCAAGAUUUAUUUAAAUUAAAUCGAUCUUGAUGAAAUUAAAUUAAAUUAUAGAAGUCCAUUAUGUUUUGGACUGGAAAAUUGGGCCAAUAUUAUAUGGGCUAUUAAAUCAAAUUAAAUUCAUAGUGUCCAUUUAAGUUAUAGUGAAUUGAUUGCUUUAUUAAUUCACCAUGGACCAUUUGGGUUGGCCCACUAGUUAAGCCCAAAUUAAAUGGGUUUCUUGAGUUAUAAGUUACCCAAAAUGCAGGAAGAUAUCUGGAAGGUUUUCUUGAAGACCUAGCCUACAUAAUUUGGCUAUAAAUAAAGGUCUUCCCUCAAGGCAAAGAUACAGAAAAAUCCCUAACAUUCGGAGAAACUCUGUCAAAUUCCCUCAAGAGCUUUCUUCCUCAAAUCCAAGUCCAAAUCAAGUCAAACAAAUUCUCCUGCUAUCGGUGUUGAAGACUCGAAGUUCCAAGUGUUUGACGCCAUCAUCAAAUCAACCGUUUUCUACGUCGAAAUUGUAGGAAACACCAUUUCGAUUGGAGAACAAGUCUUUUCGACCCUUCAAUUGAAGCUAUUCGAAGAAAAGAAUCAGGGGAUUAAUUUCUUUGAUUCAAGAAUUUUCAGAGAUUGUAACCCGCUUAUUAUUUAAUUUAAUACAUUUGAUAUUUGUGCAAGUUUUCUUGUCUUUUAUUUUAGGCAACAAAAUUUGUGCUUACAAAUUUCUGGCAUGCCCAGUGGGACCAUCUCUGCCUCUCAUCUCUUUUCUUCCAACAACUUAUCAGUUCCAAAAUUCAAUGGAGUUCAAGAAGGUGAACUUUUCUCUUGAAGGCUUAGUUGCUGAUGUCUCAACCACUCAAGGGACGCAGUAUACUGCACCUCUGACAAGGAGUAAGGCCAAGAAGUUAGCAGGGAAGGCUAAGGCGAACGUUGUGACUAAAGAAGCAAAUCUCGAGAUGGUUCCUAGCAAGAAAGGAGCCCAUGAUGAAUCUAUUGGUAGCCCAAGUGAUUCGGCUGCCUCUGUGGUGAUGCCCGUCAUGAUGACCAAUACCACAACUGUGGAAGACCAGAUCUCGAAUCUAGCCAAAAUUGUCGAAGGGCUAGUAGUGCAUGCGCAAAGUCAAGAUGCCAAGAUAGUCAAGUUAAUGGAUAUGGUGGAAAAUAUAGGCGAAAAUAGCCUUAGUAUGUCCAAACAGAAAUUCAAAAUGCAAGAUGAAGGGGACUCGUCAUCAAGGGAGAAGGAAAAAGAGGAUGCGAAGUCACAAGCCGCGAAGGAAUUUUCAAUUUCCCCUGAUGGCACCAUUCAUGUUGACAAUCUAAAGGAAUUUAUCGAAGGCACAAUCAAGGAUAAGAUUGGUGGAAGCGCCAAGUCAUAUAGCGGUUACACUAAACCUUACACCGCUAGAGUGGAAGGUUUGAAGAUGCCUGUAGGAUAUCAACCUCCAAAAUUUCAACAAUUUGAUGGCAAGGGCAACCCUAAGCAACAUAUAGCACACUUCGUGGAAACUUGUAACAAUGCGGGCACUGAUGGUGACUUGCUCGUUAAGCAGUUUGUUCGCUCGCUGAAGGGUAAUGCCUUUGAUUGGUACACGGAUCUGGAGUCUGGAACCAUUGAUAGUUGGGAACAGCUAGAGCAUGAAUUCCUUAGUCGCUUCUAUAGCACAAAGAGAACUGUCAGCAUGACUGAACUCUCUAAUACACGUCAAUGGAAGAGUGAACCUGUCAUUGAUUUUAUCGACCGUUGGAGGAAUCUAAGCUUAAAUUGCAAAGAUCGAAUUUCUGAAUCUUCCGCGAUCGAGAUGUGCAUUCAAGGUAUGCACUGGGGACUCAGAUACAUCUUACAAGGUGUACAACCAGAAACAUUUGAUGAAUUGUCCACAAAAGCCCAUAAGUUGGAGAUUAAUCUUGAUGGACAAGAACCGCCAGUUCCUGACCCUUACAAGGCUAACGAGAGACAAGAAGCGAGGAAAGGGGGCAAGCCACCAUUUAAAAAUGAAAAGAAGGAGGCUAUGGCUACAAGUGUAACGCCCUUUAAGAUUGUUCCCAAAACUGCCAGGAGAGAAGACAGCAAGAUCAAUGCACAUCAAGAAUAAGGAAAGAGGAAACCAACUCUCAAGGAGAUGCAGGAUAAGGAGUACCCUUUCCUUGAUUCUGAUGUCCCUGGUAUGUUUGACGAUCUGUUAAGUAUAAACUUGAUCACGCUUCCUGAGAUGAAGCGACCUGAUGAGGCCAGGAACACUGACGAUCCAAACUACUGUAAGUAUCACCGAUUGGUUGGGCAUCCCAUUCAAAAAUGCUUUGUCUUCAAAGACAAAGUAAUGGAGUUGGCAAGACAAGGAAAAAUUCUCCUUGAGGAAGACAAGGCGAGUGUGAAUCAAACGUCCAUUGGUUCCUUGCAGUCCAUGGAGGAUAAAAGGGUCAUGGCGCCUGUAUUGCCAAUAAUUCAAUUUGGGUCACUUGAUCCUAUAGAAAUCAAACAAGAAGGUGCUCCUUCAACUCUUCAGGAACAUGUAUAUGAAGAUGAAAAGGCGCUACAGUCUGAUGUGGAUGAUGAAGGAUGGACUCUAGUCACGCGAAGAAGGAGGGGGAAGUCUUGUCCAUCUAGUAGGGCGAGCAAGGUCUUAACAAGAAGUAUGGUGAUUUGGAAGGGGAAAGAGAAAGACGUAAAGAAAACUAAUGAUUGUCAUAAUCUUCAAGGAGGCCGAAUCUUCAAGCAAAAGUCACGAACUCCUAUCACUUUAAAAGAAUUUUUGCCAAAGGAAUUCUUUGAUGUUGAUGUGGUCGCAAGUCACACAACGCGAGUAGAUCAUAUCGAGGAACAAAAAGAUAAUACUUGCGAAUCUCUCUGUGAGAUGGCCCGUGCGUCUACCGGCAAUGAAGAAGGUCGUGUGCCUACCAGCAAUGAAGAGGUGAACGUCACAAGUAUCACUUUUACUAGUGAAGACUUGUUGCUUGGGUCAACACCGCAUAACCGUCCUUUGUUUGUGACUGGUUAUGCAAAAGUGCAAAAAGUGAAUAGAAUGUUGAUAGAUGAAGGUUUCGCAGUCAAUAUUCUCCCUUUAAAAACUCUGAAGGAGCUUGGUAUCCCGGUGUAGACACCAAAUUUUUGGUGUAAUUUCUUUUACUUUUUAUUUUCAUUUGUCAUGGUUGCUUUUAGUUUUUUUUAGUUUCUAGUUUUUAUUUUAUUUUUAGGUUUUAGCGUAGAAAAAUCAUGAAAAAGGAAAAAUCAUGAAAAAAGAGAAAAAGGAAAAUUGUUCACAAAAAUACGUUCAAAUUCAAUCUUUUGGCAUUUUGGUUUAUUUUCGUUAAUUUAUUUUGGGAAAAAGGAAAAAAGAAGAGAAAUGAUGAAAAAUGAUGAAAAAUGAAAGAAAAGAUCGAAAAUGGUAAUUUUGUUAUUUUUUAGUUUGUUUAUUUUGAUUAAAAUUGUUGUUUUAUUAUUAUUUAGUUUUAUUAUUUUUGUUAAAUUAUUAAGUUUAAAUUAAUUUAUAAAAAAAAAAAAAAAAAAAAGAGGGGAAAAAAGAGUCACGCAUGCCAAAAGCUGCGUGUUGCCGCAGCUUGCAAACAAGAGGACCAGGCAGCCCUUCAGCUGCAAUUUGAGGAAAGAUGUUUAGGGUUGGGGCUCCCAUAUAAAUAGAAAAAGAAAGGAGAGCCGCAGGAGAGGUUUUUUGGAGAGGGAGUAAACGGAAAAAACACAAGCAAAAGGAAAAGAAAGAAAAGCUGCGGGGGUUUCUGAAAGGGGAAGCCGCGAGCAAAAGGAGGAUUUUUUCGAGCGAGGGUUUCUGGCUAAACCAAAAAGAAGAAAAAGAAAAGGGCAGCCGCAAAAGAGGGAGCUUCAUCGAGGAAAGAAAAAACAGCAAAAGAAAAGCUAAGGGUAACGGCUGAGGGAUAGAAAGAAAACCAGAGAGAGCAGGGAGAGUUUGAGAGUUCCUGAACGGCAAAAGAAAAACCAGAAAAGGCUAGGUAGCGACUAGGAUACGAGAGUUGGCGGCUGGGCUAGGUAGAAGGAGAACAGAGGAAAGAAACGAGCGCGGAGGGGUUUCCAUUGGAGAGUUUGAGAAAGCUAAAGGAGAAAGAAAAAACUGAAAAGGGGAGCACUGGAAAAGGCGAGGAAGACGCAAGGGAGGAUCUGGAAUCGCAAAAAGGUGACGGGCUGAAAGAAAGGAAGAAGGGACUGCAACGGGAAGGAAGAGUAGCAGAAAAUUUUUCCAGAAAAUUCGCUAAAAGGCUGAUUGUUCAGCCAUCUUCGGGAAGGGUUUUCUCCUUUGUUACGGGUUCUUUUGAGGACCUUUUGAUUGCUGCAUCUUUUCUACUAUUAGGAGAGCAAUUUUGGUUUUGAACCUUUUGGGAAAGAACGAUGAAAUAGCCUUCAAAUUCGGGUCUAAAGUUCGAGUCUUCACAGUUCUUCAUCAAAAAUUGCGACCUGGAUUUUGAUGUUUUGCGAAUCUGGUUCAUCUGCGGAUGUUCACGGUGAUUUGACCACCCAAAGCAGCGAAGGAAGGUUAGAAAUGGCUCUAACUUGGUUUACUUUCCUUGACCAGUUUCUUCUUUGUUUUGUUCAUGGAUCUUGUGGCUGCAACUUCUUUGCUCUUCCUCAGUUUCUUUGCGGUUGUUUUGUUUCAUGUUUUACUGGUGUUAGGUUCCUUUCCUUUUUUGUGUUUCUUUUGUGUUGGGUUAUAAAAUGCAUAAAUUAUGAGAUCUUGCUUGGUUGGAAUGGUAUUUUCUGGUGGUUUCUGGGAAUGAAAGCUCAAAUGGCCGAAAAAUUUCCAAAUUGCCGCACGCUUUCUCUUUCCAAAUUUCGGUUUCUGGAAAUGUUUUUUUUUAGUUUUUGCGAAUCUGUUGAGGAGAAAGGAUUUUGAUCUUGUGUCAUUGUAUGAUUCGCAGCCGGCAUUCUAGCUGCAGAAAGCUUUAAAAUGCAGAAAUGAUUUCGAUGUUUGCAAUUGGUCUUUCUCUUGUUCGUUCAUAUGCUGUUUUCCAGUUGAGCUAUGAUUUUUGCCAAAACACUUUGAACAUUUUGGGGGGGGUUUUGAAAUAUGAAAUCCAAGUUUGGAAGUAAAAUGCAGCGCACAUUCACGUUGUUUGUAGAAGUUUUCAGCUGCAGAAAUUGUCUUCCUACGUUGUUUGCAUGAGUUUGCAUGAAAAUGAUUUCCAAAAACUGCACUUUGCUCCCUCUAGUCUCUAGUAAUACUACAAAGGCCCAACUACAUUCCAUGAUCUUGCAAUUAGGUCCUAAAACACUUGCAUCGUAACCCCCUAAGUUCCCCCCUUGCCUUGUUAUGGUCCAAUUAGUCGAAUAAUUUAAUCACUUUUGUCAUUCUAGAAUCUUAAUUGAUUUUGGUUUGCUUUGACAUGAUUUUGGGUAAGAUGUUUAGUGAGUUUUAGGAUGCAUUUUGAGGUUCAUUAAUAGAAUUUUUAGCUUGGAUUUGUGUUCUAAACACAUUUUUGCAUUUGAUUUUUAUGGGUCUCAUCUUAAGUCAUCAAUUUUGGUAUUUUAUUUUACUCUCUUUUAGGAAUUUUCAUGUCCUUCUAAUUAUGUCCUUCUUGCAAUAAUUGCUUUGUACAUAGUUGGUUUGUCCAUGUAAAUACUUUAAUUGACUCAAUUUGGUGUUUAACUUUCGUUUUUCAUAUUUAAUUUUUGUUUCAUGUGAUUAUUUGAUAAUUUAAGUGGUACCUUGACCUUUUUAUUAUUUUGGAGGGUAAAUUAGUAAUUUCACUACGUUAGGGCGUCGCUUCAAGGGAGGUACACUCUAUCCCUCAUUUUGCACUUCAUUUGACCCUAUGUGCUCUUACGUGUUAUGUGAAUAUGCAUGCCUACUUCGCUUUCAUUACCUCCUUGCAUGUAUUUACUUGCUUUUACCUUUAUUUAAGUUUUAUGGGGUAUGUGUACACCUCUUGGCUUGUAAUAGAUAGGGCUCGGAGAGCAUCUGGUCCAUUUCCCUUUCCCCUUUAUGCUUUUAUGGGGUAUGUGUACACCUCUUGGCUUGUAAUAGAUAGGGCUCGGAGAGCAUCUGGUCCACUUCCCCUUCCCCUUGCUUGCUUGUUUUUGUUGCUACAUGUUUAAUUGCUUUAUUAGGCUCUUGCAUCUAGUCGAGCAUGCUAAAUGCUAUGUGCUAUGUGUUUACGAGUAUUUUGGCAUGUCUACUUGCUUUCAUUGCCAUGAAUGAAUGGAAUGGAUGAAUGUACGUUUCCGCUAGUCCAACGCUAGUCGGAAUUCAUAGAAUGGGCUAGUUCAACGCUAGACCCUUAGGGAUUUCCCCUCAUUAGCAUAUCAUUUGCUUGUUCACUACAUAUCAUGCAUUUUUCUUAGUUUUAUCACUUGGCAUGCUCCUCGAACCCCUUUCCCUUCAUUUUAGGAUUUUUGCAUAUCAUGAUAGUUGUAGGGUUCAUUUGCUUGAGAGUCCCCUUAAAUAUGGGAUAUAGACGAGUGUGGCUUUUUCUAAGCCUUAGCACGCUUGUAUCCUCUCUAUAAAAGGGCAAAUUGAGUCACGAUUUAGGUCUCCCCGUACCCAAUAUGCAUGAAUUCCCUAGGCUCAUGCAUUCUCAAUCCACUCUAUCAUUACACUUUCACUUUUGUCUCAUUUGCACACAUGCACCUUUUUAUCACUUUCACUCGCACACGAGUACUUUCAUCUACAUUUGCACACCUUCACUCUUAUCUUAUUACUUUUAUCAUUUUUCUCACUUCACACAAACUCACACUUUCACAUGGCAUGCAUUCCACUCAUUUUUCACGUCAUUUAGGUUUAGGUGUGACCUCUCCAAAAGGAUCAUUAUUGGGCUUCACAAUUAAUGUGAUUGGCACCACUCAACCUUUGAAGAGAAAUUUCCCCCAAUCCCCCUAGGUCUAGGUUUUUGCAGACAUAUCCAAUACGCGUAGAAAAAUUAGGAAAAAUUGGUUUAAGUCACGCAACUAGCCUUGGCUAGGUCGAAGGGGUGCCUUGGAUUUUUAUCCUUGCCUUCCCCUUCGUCAAAUGUGACCCCCGAUCCCUCUUUUGGUUACGUAGACCCAAAAGUUCUCAAAAAGGGUUUAUUUACUUUUUAUUCAAAAACAAAAAUCAUUUUUGGGUGACUUGGUACACCCUAACUCUAUACCAAGUGGCGACUCCAUUUUUGAUACAAAAAACCCUUUUGAACUUCACUUGGCCAAAUCGUCGCAUUCUAAGUCCCAUGGCCUUUUACUUUUCAUUUUGCACACGUUCACACAUUACACAUCACACACAUUCACCAUUCAUUCGAAAAGUGGGGCGCGACAGUUGGCGACUCCACUGGGGACUUCCUAAGUGGGUCCAAGCAUUUGACUUAGCCAUUCGUUUCCUUUUUCUACCCUUUUUAUGCAUUGCAUUUGGAUAUUAGGGUUGCAUUUUCUAUUUUAAGGCCUUUUGCCUCGCGCGCGUAUCCAACUAUUCCCUCACUCACGUACGUGUGAUUGGUUGAUUGGAUGUAUGUUUACUUGUUUAUCUCGCGCUUGCAUUGCAUUUGGGGGGGUGUGUGUCACCUUUAGAGCCUCGCGUGGUUCUCACCCCUUCCCUCAAAAUAGGGGAACACUUCAUACGUGCACGUUUACUUGCUUUUAUCCCAUUUUAUUUUGUUUUUCGUGGGCGUUUCCCACACCGCCUUGUAGGAUUAGGAUCGAUUGCCUUGGGUAGGCGGCUGGUGUGCUCUGCGCCCAUAGCGCUACCUAAGGGAUCACUCGAGCCACCGAUCAAAGGCCCUGGGAGUGAUGACCCUUCGCCUUUAGGUCUGAAGGCUUGGGAGCCGAAGCUUUAUCGAGUCUAGGCAUUAAUGAACCAAACCUCAUGCAUCCAUGUUAGCAUUUGCCUAGGGUAGAGUCAGCCUCACCCUUUUUAAGCACGAUUAGGCACGAGGGAAGGGGUUCCACCCCUUUUAUUGGCUUUUAUCGUAUUUCUUUUCUUAAUUGCUCCCAAUGUGUUAUGUGUGCUAUCAACUGCACUAACCAUUUUUUGUUUUCUUGGCCUGCAUUCAUGUGCCAUAGCAAUAAGAGGCCUCUUUGGCACUCUUUUAGUGACUCACCCACUAGAUAGCUCACAUGUCUAAAUUUCAUUCUUUGCACUUAAUUUUCGAUAAGUACAUUUCAUUUUAGACCUUUUUCUCCUCGAUGCAUUAUUUAUGUCCCUUAGGCCAUAUUUGUCACAUAUUUACAUCGCUUUAAUAAAUGGCAUCAUGCAUAAACCCUAGAAAGGGAAUGCCAUUUAGGGGAUCCCGUGUUAGGAAUGAACCACCCCAUGUCUCGGAUAUAUAAUCCAAAUGAGACUUGCACGUUUACCUUUCUCGUACCAUCCGAAGGGGUAGUGCACAAGGUAAGGUAAAGAUCCGAUCAUUUUCAUAGAGUGAUCUUUGGAAUAUGAGCAUCUAAUAAUCACUUUUUGGCCAUUUUAUCAAAAAUUGGUAAAAAUCCCUUGCGUGAAGGACAUUAAUUUGAAGAAAUUCACAAAUGAUUCCUCCUAUUGAGGUGAUAAAUAAAUUGAGGCCAAAUUGUGAUUUUUAGAAGGCUCAUAGACUGAUUUUCUGAAACCACCAAUGGCCGGCCGAUUCGAUCAAUCCAUUUUGUCAAUUCAUAAUCGAUUUUAAAUAAACCAUUCCUUUGUCCAAUUUACCCUUUUUAGGGUCAUUCGGUCGAUUUUGAAUAAAUCAUCAAAUCAUUUGACCAAUUACCCUUUUUAGGGUCUUACCCUUUUUAGGGUCAUUCGGCCGAUUUUUGAAUAAAUCCCUAAUUCAAUUUCAUUCAUUUGACCAAUUUACCCAUUUUUAGGGCAACCGAGCCGAUUUUGAAUAAAUCAAGUUUCGUUCAAUCUAUUUGGUCAAUUUACCCUUUUUAGGGUGAUCUGAUUAAAUUUUGGAUAAAUUAAAUUUCAUUCAAUUCAUUUGACCUGUUUCCCUUUUUAGGGUAAUCCGGUCGAUUUUUAAUAAAUUGUCAAUUUCAUUUGACCAAUUAGGAUUUCAAUGUCGAAUUUCAAAAUGGAAAACCUGGUCGAUUUUGAGAAAAGCAUCCAUUGCAUCCAGCCAUUUGAUCAGAUGGAGUUUUUGACCUGUGCUUCACUGAGAAAAGUUGUCAAAACGAAUUCCAAUCUCUUCGAUAGGAAGUUCGUCAAUGUCAAACCCGUGCGUUUUGCAAGUUCUUGUAUCGAUCAAAAGUGAUCAACCCCUUCGGACGAGAUCCUCAUUUUGACAAACGUCCCUUCUCACUCCAAAUUGGCCAAUUCUUUCAAAAUUAUUUCUCACUCAAUGAGUUGAUCAGAUCCAUCAGGUAUGGUAUGGUGCCUACCCUAGAGGACUGCAUUUUCAUGAUAGGCCUACCCUUGGCACAAAAAGGGUUCCCCCAUAGGACAUGCAUCCGAAUUUCCUGGAUAUCUACUAACUCUUGUUUUUUUUUUCUCUUUCUUUUCUUUAUUUUUAUUGGAAUAACUAAGCAAGGGUUAAAUCUAAAGACAAUUCCUUUCAAAAUUCUCAGGUAAUAUUUAAAUAUAGCUUCUCGUCGAAGCCCCAUCAUAACGUGAUCCCGUAGUCAAGCCCAGAGGAAUCGUGUAAACAUGAGUUCACAACCGGAAGCCGCAAGUUCGGGGGUUCAAUUGACCGAAUUACUCACCAAAUUUGGGGAGAUGGCAUCUGAAAUGACCGCCCAAAAGAAAUUAAUCGAUGAGCUAAUCAGUAGCGGAGUUCGACCCGAGCCUGUACUCGUUAGUCAAUCGGGGCCAGAAUCAUUGAUCAUGCCUACAACCCAAACCACUUUUGCUCCACCCUUCAUCAUUCCACCCGAAGGAACUUUCACCAAUCCUACCAUACAUUUGCCAUACACUUACCCUCCUAACCCUUCGUUCUUUCCUACUCACGUGCAAGGUCCCCAACUACAAAUCACUUCAAACAUACCACCUGAGCCACAUACCUUUUAUCACACUGCUGCUGAGCCAUUCCUACCAGACUCUACUGUUCAAGCCAAGCCAGAAAUGGGGGAACCUUCCGCUCCCGUUGAUACGAAGCUGCUCAAACGCCUUGACCGUUUUGAUGAAUUCAUGAGAAAGAGUCAGGGUUUGAGCAAGCAAGGAGUGCUGGACUAUGACGAGCUGUGUCUCUUUCCAAAUGUUCAAUUGCCUGAGGGAUUCAAAACUCCGAAGUUCAACAAAUACGAUGGCACGGGCAAUCCCAAGACACAUCUCCGAUUGUUCGCCAAUAAAUUGGGAAGGCCGGUGGAUGAUGAAAAUUUACCUUUAAGGCUAUUCCCAAAAAGUCUGGAAGGCGACGCACUUGAUUGGUAUUCGAAUUUGAAGCCGGAGGAGGUGAAGACCUGGUUUGAUCUGUCCAAUGCUUUCAUCAGACAAUACGAGUACAACUGCGAGCUGGCUCCGACGCGAACCACGUUGGAGGGAACAAAAAGAAAACCCUCUGAGGACCACAAGACUUAUGCCAUGAGGUGGAGGAAGAUAGCUGCAAAGGUUGAGCCACCGAUGACUGAAGACGAAAUCAUUCGCACUUUCAUUAAGGCACAUGAUCCGCCGCACUUUGAAGAAAUUUUCCGCAUGACUGGAUGCUCAUUUGCUGCUAUUGUCAAUAAACUGGAAGAAUAUGAUGACUUCGUGAAGGCUGGAAAGAUUGUUAAUGUGUCUGCCCUGAAAACUCAAGUGGAAGUUUUGCAAAGUCAAAGUGGCAAUGGGAAGAAGCAACAAUUCAAGAAGCAAGAGGGGGAAACUGCCUUCACUUGGAAUCAAAACCCUACCCCAAAACCCAGAUUUCGACAAUACCCUACCUACUCCAACCCUUACCCCCAUUAUCCAAACUCUCAUCCUGUUUAUCACGCCAGUAUCCACCACCCUCGACCUCGCCCAACCUAUCCUAAUCCACCCGUAGUCUCUUUUCAAAUAACUCAACCUAAUUUUCAACAAAUUCGACCCCGGCCCCCUUACAAUCAACAACUUCCUCCACCAAAUAGACUCACCUACAACUACCCUCAACCCACUGAACCUCAAAGGCAAAACCGCAAUCGCACUUUUACUAAUCUAGGCAGGCCGUUGGACCAGUUGUAUGAGCAAUUGAAGGCUGCCGGUAAAAUAGAUGACAUACCUCCUCCAAACUACUCUCGUCGAGGUCUCUCUUCUGGGUACGACCCUCAAGCCGCGUGUGCCUACCAUUCUGGAGCGCCCGGUCAUUCGACCAGUAAAUGUUGGGUACUAAAACAUAAGAUCCAGGACAUGAUCGAGGCAGGAAAUGUAGUGUUAAGGAAAAGGGAAGAACAAGGACUGAACAUAAGUACGAAUCCUUUUUCUGAACACAAGGACAGCUUUGAGGCACCCACUUCCAAUGACGAAACUUGAAAAUCCGGAAGGAGUUCUGCACAAUUUGGAUGGCCGUGUAUCUUCCCUCUCGAAGGGAAUUUUGAUAAACCAUGGGGGUUGUCAUUUGCUAAAAUUCAGGAAAACUUUUUCUUGCAUAUGUACAUAGUUUAAUGAAAGCAUCUUUUGCAAUUUGAUUAUUUGUUUAUUUGAUUAUUGUUUUGAUUUUUUGUUAAUUCUUUGAGAUGGCCAAAGGUGAAGUUAUUUGACUCUUUGAAUAUCACUGUUUUGGAAUUUGAUAAAACCCCUUAUUGAAAAUCCCUCCAUUAAAAAGCCCUCAUUGAGAAAUUCCUUCAUUGAGAAAGCUUUCAUUGAGAAAAACCAUUGAAAAAUCCCUUCAUUGAUAAAUCCCUUCACUAGAAAAAUCCCUUCAUUUGGAAAUUCCUUCGUUGAUAAAUCCCUUCAUUUGAGAAAAAUCCCUUCCCAGCCAGGUUGAAAGUUGAUUGGUUAAAGCAGUAUCAUUAAUGAUUGUUUCUAAUUGAUGAAAAACAGCUGAAUGUCAUAAAGCAUGACCUAUGUCCGCCACCGGUCCUUUAGAGAAGGAGGGCAAAGAGUUAAAGUGAGUUUAAGCCAAAGGCGAAUUCACUCCAAGUUGGCCAGGGCCAUUCGUUGUUCAAAGGUGUUACCUGGCAAGGCAUUCAUUUUGGUAGAGAUGGAAGGACAGACAUUCCCUCGACCUAUCAACUCGGACGUGUGUAAGAAGUUCUUUAUUUGAUUAUGCAAAUUUCUUUUUGGAAAUCAUGCAAGGGGCGAAACAAAAGUCAGGCCAUCUUCCUUUCCAGUCAAAACAUUUAUCCCUAGUCAUCCCUUUUGAGCUAUCAGAACAAUAAUUUUCGUUUGGCAACCCCUGAGAACUGCAAACCCCACACUGGGGCAAAUUCAUUUUGAAAAUGAUCAGAAAGGAAAGGAAAACCCCACACUGGGGCAAAUUUAUUUUGGAAAAGAGAUGAAAAGGGAAAAAGAACCCCACACUGGGGCAAAUUUAGUUUUGAAGAAAAAUGCAAAAAGUAAGAAGAAUGCAAUGAAGAAAAUGCAAAGAAAGAAAAUCCAAUCAAACUGGGGCAAAAUUUUCCUCAGUUUCGUUCAAAAUUGGAAAUAAUUUCAAAAUGAUGCAAUCUCAGGCUAUUUCACACCCCUCUCAUCAAAAUUUGCUUUCAAGCCUCAACUUUUCUUGAAAAACACCCCACCUGACUUCAUUUCAAAAGCCCAAAGUCCUGGCUUUCGUCAUUUGCCGUAUUUUCUAUUGGGAAAUUUGCUAAUCAACUGGCAAGUGAUGUCCAUAAUGCCUUCGCCUAAUCUUACAAGGGAAGCGCAUUUUACUGAUGUCAGCAAUCUUCAGUUCAUACUCCUGAGUCGAUUAUGGUUGAGUUUUUCCAUUGUUCGUUAGGUGAACCCGAAAGGGCACCUCAAAAGAAAAGGAGAAAAAAAAAAAAAAAACAAACAAAAAAAAAAAAAUCAAAAACAAAAAAACAAAAAACAAACGAAACAAAACAAAACAAAAACAAAAAGGGUGGGGGCAACCUUGGUGAAAACCCGAAAGGGCGCCAAUGUAGGAUUUCUGCAAUGAGCAAGCACAAGGAGGAACAACGGGUGGUUCGGUCCAUUUGGAUUUCUCCUCAUUUUUUUUGUCAUACCCCUGCCAGUAUUGAAUUCCAGAACAAGGAUAUUCAGAGAUUCGAAUACACAUCCUUUGGCCAAAACUGUGUCAUUUUGUAAAACAUUCUUUGGCAAAUACAUUCUUAGGAAAUUCAUUUUUACCAAAUUUCUUGCAUUCAUGGCAUUUUUGUAGAAUUUAAGCACAAAUAGUUGUGAGUGCAUUCUUGUGCAUAUUCAUUUUUACAUGACAUGUGAAUUUUUCUUGCAUACCUCAUUCUUUAUCAUUGAAUUGUGGUAAAUGACAACCCCCAUGGUUUAUUCGAAGCAUACUUGGGUUCAGUCAUUUCUUAAAAAGGGCUAAGGUGCAGCCAAGCCAAUUACGAAGGCUUCGCAAUAUGGCAAAAUGCUUACCCGGUCAGUCUGGAAAGGCAGAGACAUUUGAAAUGAUAAAUCCAACCAAGUCAGAUGCCGCGGCCAACUUUGACGAAGGCAUCAAAAGGCUUAUGUUUACACGAUUCUCAAAAGGCAAACGGAUCAAAUGAUGGUGGCAAUUCUUUUAUUUUUUCUCUUUUGCAGGAAAAUUCCAUGCAUGGACGAAAACAAUCACACCCCGCACUGGAAUCAGUGUUGGAAGGUGUCCUCUGGUGAACAAAGACAAAUCGAAAAUGUUGCAAGUAAAUUUGAUCAAAAGGUGCAACAGCAUGUCGAUACAGAAUCAGCAACAGACUCAAGUUGCAAAAAUUCAUCAUACUGGGGCAAGUUUUUAGAAAGAUUCUUCAAAAAAAAAAAAAAAAAAAAAAAAAAAAUCAUCAAAAAAUCAAUCAAUCAAAAAAUUAGGUUUAACUUCUUGAAGAAAUCAAUUCCCAAUCUCAACUUUAAUUUUUUAUUGACAAGUCUCAGCGUCCGCCACGCAUCCUUUUACUUCCUUUCUUGACAACCAUAUUCACUGACCUCACCGCCGUUAGCAUCGAGUCUAUCUCACUAACGUGCGUGUUUCAUUUCUAUCGCCGUUAGCAUCGAGUCUAUCUCACUAACGUGCGUGUUUUCAUUUCUACCGCCGUUAGCAUCGAGUCUAUCUCACUAACGUGCGUGUUUUCACUUCUACCGCCGUUAGCAUCGAGUCUAUCUCACUAACGUGCGUGUUUCAUUUCUAUCGCCGUUAGCAUCGAGUCUAUCUCACUAACGUGCGUGUUUUCAUUUCUACCGCCGUUAGCAUCGAGUCUAUCUCACUAACGUGCGUGUUUCAUUUCUAUCGCCGUUAGCAUCGAGUCUAUCUCACUAACGUGCGUGUUUUCAUUUCUACCGCCGUUAGCAUCGAGUCUAUCUCACUAACGUGCGUGUUUUCAUUUCUAAGCCGUCUAGUGCAUCUACCGCCGUUAGCAUCGAGUCUAUCUCACUAACGUGCGUGUUUUCAUUUCUACCGCCGUUAGCAUCGAGUCUAUCUCACUAACGUGCGUGUUUUCAUUUCUACCGCCGUUAGCAUCGAGUCUAUCUCACUAACGUGCGUGUUUCAGCCGUUAGCAUCGAGUCUAUCUCACUAACGUGCGUGUUUUCACUUCUACCGCCGCUAGCAUCGAGUCUAUCUCACUAACGUGCGUGUUUUCAUUUCUACCGCCGUUAGCAUCGAGUCUAUCUCACUAACGUGCGUGUUUUCAUUUCUACCGCCGUUAGCAUCGAGUCUAUCUCACGCCGUUAGCAUCGAGUCUAUCUCACUAACGUGCGUGUUUUCAUUUCUACCGCCGUUAGCAUCGAGUCUAUCUCACUAACGUGCGUGUUUCAUUUCUAUCGCCGUUAGCAUCGAGUCUAUCUCACUAACGUGCGUGUUUUCAUUUCUACCGCCGUUAGCAUCGAGUCUAUCUCACUAACGUGCGUGUUUUCAUUUCUACCGCCGUUAGCAUCGAGUCUAUCUCACUAACGUGCGUGUUUUCAUUUCUACCGCCGUUAGCAUCGAGUCUAUCUCACUAACGUGCGUGUUUCAUUUCUAUCGCCGUUAGCAUCGAGUCUAUCUCACUAACGUGCGCGUUUUCAUCCUACCGCCGUUAGCAUCGAGCCUAUCUCACUAAUGUGCGCGCUUCCAUCCCACCAACACUCUAUCUCAAUUCAUUGUUUAAAAAUCCCAAUUUUAAAUUUCUGUUCGGGUCUAUCCCGUGGGUCUAUCCCAAUUUUAAAUUUCUGUUCGGGUCUAUCCCGUGGGUCUAUCCCAAUUUUACAUUUCUGUCCGGGUCUAUCCCGUGGGUCUAUCCCGUGGGUCUAUCCCAAGUUUAAAUUUCUGUCCGGGUCUAUCCCGUGGGUCUAUCCCAAUUUUAAAUUCCUGUUCGGGUCUAUCCCGUUUCAAAUUUCAUGUUCGGGUCUAUCCCGUUUUAAAUUUCCUGUUCGGGUCUAUCCCGUUUCAAAUUUCAUGUUCGGGUCUAUCCCGUUUUAAAUUUCCAGUUUCGGGUCAGUUCCGAUUUCAAAAGGGGUCAGUCCCCAUUUCUAAAAGCGUCCAUUGUUUGAGACGUUUUCACCGCCAAAUAACACAGGUAAGUAUUUGGUGUCUACUUCUUUGUCUCAAGUUUUUCCAAAACUCAGACAAAGAGGGGCAAACUGUAGACACCAAAUUUUUGGUGUAAUUUCUUUUACUUUUUAUUUUCAUUUGUCAUGGUUGCUUUUAGUUUUUUUUUAGUUUCUAGUUUUUAUUUUAUUUUUAGGUUUUAGCGUAGAAAAAUCAUGAAAAAGGAAAAAUCAUGAAAAAAGAGAAAAAGGAAAAUUGUUCACAAAAAUACGUUCAAAUUCAAUCUUUUGGCAUUUUGGUUUAUUUUCGUUAAUUUAUUUUGGGAAAAAGGAAAAAAGAAGAGAAAUGAUGAAAAAUGAUGAAAAAUGAAAGAAAAGAUCGAAAAUGGUAAUUUUGUUAUUUUUUAGUUUGUUUAUUUUGAUUAAAAUUGUUGUUUUAUUAUUAUUUAGUUUUAUUAUUUUUGUUAAAUUAUUAAGUUUAAAUUAAUUUAUAAAAAAAAAAAAAAAAAAAAGAGGGGAAAAAAGAGUCACGCAUGCCAAAAGCUGCGUGUUGCCGCAGCUUGCAAACAAGAGGACCAGGCAGCCCUUCAGCUGCAAUUUGAGGAAAGAUGUUUAGGGUUGGGGCUCCCAUAUAAAUAGAAAAAGAAAGGAGAGCCGCAGGAGAGGUUUUUUGGAGAGGGAGUAAACGGAAAAAACACAAGCAAAAGGAAAAGAAAGAAAAGCUGCGGGGGUUUCUGAAAGGGGAAGCCGCGAGCAAAAGGAGGAUUUUUUCGAGCGAGGGUUUCUGGCUAAACCAAAAAGAAGAAAAAGAAAAGGGCAGCCGCAAAAGAGGGAGCUUCAUCGAGGAAAGAAAAAACAGCAAAAGAAAAGCUAAGGGUAACGGCUGAGGGAUAGAAAGAAAACCAGAGAGAGCAGGGAGAGUUUGAGAGUUCCUGAACGGCAAAAGAAAAACCAGAAAAGGCUAGGUAGCGACUAGGAUACGAGAGUUGGCGGCUGGGCUAGGUAGAAGGAGAACAGAGGAAAGAAACGAGCGCGGAAGGGUUUCCAUUGGAGAGUUUGAGAAAGCUAAAGGAGAAAGAAAAAACUGAAAAGGGGAGCACUGGAAAAGGCGAGGAAGACGCAAGGGAGGAUCUGGAAUCGCAAAAAGGUGACGGGCUGAAAGAAAGGAAGAAGGGACUGCAACGGGAAGGAAGAGUAGCAGAAAAUUUUUCCAGAAAAUUCGCUAAAAGGCUGAUUGUUCAGCCAUCUUCGGGAAGGGUUUUCUCCUUUGUUACGGGUUCUUUUGAGGACCUUUUGAUUGCUGCAUCUUUUCUACUAUUAGGAGAGCAAUUUUGGUUUUGAACCUUUUGGGAAAGAACGAUGAAAUAGCCUUCAAAUUCGGGUCUAAAGUUCGAGUCUUCACAGUUCUUCAUCAAAAAUUGCGACCUGGAUUUUGAUGUUUUGCGAAUCUGGUUCAUCUGCGGAUGUUCACGCUGAUUUGACCACCCAAAGCAGCGAAGGAAGGUUAGAAAUGGCUCUAACUUGGUUUACUUUCCUUGACCAGUUUCUUCUUUGUUUUGUUCAUGGAUCUUGUGGCUGCAACUUCUUUGCUCUUCCUCAGUUUCUUUGCGGUUGUUUUGUUUCAUGUUUUACUGGUGUUAGGUUCCUUUCCUUUUUUGUGUUUCUUUUGUGUUGGGUUAUAAAAUGCAUAAAUUAUGAGAUCUUGCUUGGUUGGAAUGGUAUUUUCUGGUGGUUUCUGGGAAUGAAAGCUCAAAUGGCCGAAAAAUUUCCAAAUUGCCGCACGCUUUCUCUUUCCAAAUUUCGGUUUCUGGAAAUGUUUUUUUUUAGUUUUUGCGAAUCUGUUGAGGAGAAAGGAUUUUGAUCUUGUGUCAUUGUAUGAUUCGCAGCCGGCAUUCUAGCUGCAGAAAGCUUUAAAAUGCAGAAAUGAUUUCGAUGUUUGCAAUUGGUCUUUCUCUUGUUCGUUCAUAUGCUGUUUUCCAGUUGAGCUAUGAUUUUUGCCAAAACACUUUGAACAUUUUGGGGGGGGUUUUGAAAUAUGAAAUCCAAGUUUGGAAGUAAAAUGCAGCGCACAUUCACGUUGUUUGUAGAAGUUUUCAGCUGCAGAAAUUGUCUUCCUACGUUGUUUGCAUGAGUUUGCAUGAAAAUGAUUUCCAAAAACUGCACUUUGCUCCCUCUAGUCUCUAGUAAUACUACAAAGGCCCAACUACAUUCCAUGAUCUUGCAAUUAGGUCCUAAAACACUUGCAUCGUAACCCCCUAAGUUCCCCCCUUGCCUUGUUAUGGUCCAAUUAGUCGAAUAAUUUAAUCACUUUUGUCAUUCUAGAAUCUUAAUUGAUUUUGGUUUGCUUUGACAUGAUUUUGGGUAAGAUGUUUAGUGAGUUUUAGGAUGCAUUUUGAGGUUCAUUAAUAGAAUUUUUAGCUUGGAUUUGUGUUCUAAACACAUUUUUGCAUUUGAUUUUUAUGGGUCUCAUCUUAAGUCAUCAAUUUUGGUAUUUUAUUUUACUCUCUUUUAGGAAUUUUCAUGUCCUUCUAAUUAUGUCCUUCUUGCAAUAAUUGCUUUGUACAUAGUUGGUUUGUCCAUGUAAAUACUUUAAUUGACUCAAUUUGGUGUUUAACUUUCGUUUUUCAUAUUUAAUUUUUGUUUCAUGUGAUUAUUUGAUAAUUUAAGUGGUACCUUGACCUUUUUAUUAUUUUGGAGGGUAAAUUAGUAAUUUCACUACGUUAGGGCGUCGCUUCAAGGGAGGUACACUCUAUCCCUCAUUUUGCACUUCAUUUGACCCUAUGUGCUCUUACGUGUUAUGUGAAUAUGCAUGCCUACUUCGCUUUCAUUACCUCCUUGCAUGUAUUUACUUGCUUUUACCUUUAUUUAAGUUUUAUGGGGUAUGUGUACACCUCUUGGCUUGUAAUAGAUAGGGCUCGGAGAGCAUCUGGUCCAUUUCCCUUUCCCCUUUAUGCUUUUAUGGGGUAUGUGUACACCUCUUGGCUUGUAAUAGAUAGGGCUCGGAGAGCAUCUGGUCCACUUCCCCUUCCCCUUGCUUGCUUGUUUUUGUUGCUACAUGUUUAAUUGCUUUAUUAGGCUCUUGCAUCUAGUCGAGCAUGCUAAAUGCUAUGUGCUAUGUGUUUACGAGUAUUUUGGCAUGUCUACUUGCUUUCAUUGCCAUGAAUGAAUGGAAUGGAUGAAUGUACGUUUCCGCUAGUCCAACGCUAGUCGGAAUUCAUAGAAUGGGCUAGUUCAACGCUAGACCCUUAGGGAUUUCCCCUCAUUAGCAUAUCAUUUGCUUGUUCACUACAUAUCAUGCAUUUUUCUUAGUUUUAUCACUUGGCAUGCUCCUCGAACCCCUUUCCCUUCAUUUUAGGAUUUUUGCAUAUCAUGAUAGUUGUAGGGUUCAUUUGCUUGAGAGUCCCCUUAAAUAUGGGAUAUAGACGAGUGUGGCUUUUUCUAAGCCUUAGCACGCUUGUAUCCUCUCUAUAAAAGGGCAAAUUGAGUCACGAUUUAGGUCUCCCCGUACCCAAUAUGCAUGAAUUCCCUAGGCUCAUGCAUUCUCAAUCCACUCUAUCAUUACACUUUCACUUUUGUCUCAUUUGCACACAUGCACCUUUUUAUCACUUUCACUCGCACACGAGUACUUUCAUCUACAUUUGCACACCUUCACUCUUAUCUUAUUACUUUUAUCAUUUUUCUCACUUCACACAAACUCACACUUUCACAUGGCAUGCAUUCCACUCAUUUUUCACAUCAUUUAGGUUUAGGUGUGACCUCUCCAAAAGGAUCAUUAUUGGGCUUCACAACUAAUGUGAUUGGCACCACUCAACCUUUGAAGAGAAAUUUCCCCCAAUACCCCUAGGUCUAGGGUUUUGUACUCAUGUAGACAUAUCCAAUAUGCGAUACAUACCUUGGUAGAAAAAUUAUGAAAAAUUGGUUUAAGUCACGCAACUAGCCUUGGCUAGGCCGAAGGGGUGCCUUGGAUUCUUUAUCCUUGCCUUCCCCUUCGUCAAAUGUGACCCCCGAUCCCUCUUUUGGUUACGCAGACCCAAAAAGUUCUCAAAAAGGGUUUAUUUACUUUUUUCUAUUCAAAAAACAAAAAUCAUUUUUGGGUGACUUGGUACACCCUAACUCUAUACCAAGUGGCGACUCCAUUUUUGAUACAAAAAUCCUUUUGAACUUCACUUGGCCAAAUCGUCGCAUUCUAAGUCCCAUGGCCUUUUACUUUUCACUUUGCACACGUUCACACAUCACAUACCACACAACACACAUCAUCCACACACAUUUCAUCCAUUCGAAAAGUGGGGCGCGACACCCGGUUGAUGAACUCUCCAAUAGCCGACUGAUGAUUCAAGGCUUCAAUCAAGGAGGGCAAAGAGCUCUUGGGUCACUAAAUUUGGAGAUAGUCAUUGAUGACAUGAUGUCCAGAGCACUAUUGUAUGUGAUAGAUGCUAAAACAACAUACAAUGUAUUGUUGGGAAGGCCCUGGAUUCAUGAAAAUGGAGUUGUACCUUCAACUCUUCAUCAAUGCUUCAAGUACUGUCAAAACGGGGUGGCAAGAAGUGUGAAAGCUGAUGAUAAUCCUUUCACUGAGGCGGAAGCAUAUAUCGCCGAUGCCAAAUUUUACAUCAAAAGGCACAUUGCGAAGGAUAAAUCUGAGCAACCUCUAUCUGGGGAUAAAAUCCAGAACCCCGAAUCUCUAAAUGCAAAAGGGGAGAAAGUGAUGAUUUUGAAAUCAAAGGAGGAAGUUCGUGAAGAAACUGAUGUUUCAUUGCCACACAAUGAAUCAGUUGUCUUUCGUUGCCCUCCCAAAUCAAAAAUGGAACAGGGACAGUCACCUGCAAUUCAGCAUGAAACUCUAAAAGAUUUGACUCUUCCGGUAGUUCAUCUUGAUACAAAAAAGGCGUCAUCUUCUCAACUUAAAAGGGAUAAUCUUUUAAGCAAAGAAUCUAAAGUUGAACAAGACACCAUACCAAAGUCAAGAACCGUUGAAGAUUUUGAUCCUAUCGCUUAUAAGCUUCUCGCUAAGGCUGGAUACGAUCUCAAAGAAUCUGCGGUGUUAAAUGUUCCAUCUCGUCAAUCUACUAGUGACAUGAUUCAUGGGUUGAAUUCUACCCAAAAGAUGUUGAAGGAAAAGGGAUACGCUGUUGAAAAUCUCAAAUUUGGCCUUGGCUACUUCUCUCCUACACCAAUCCGUAUCAAGAUCAAUAGAGUCAGUAGCCAAUAUAUUGCUGUGGAGGAUGAGUCUUCUCAAAUAGUUGGUAAAUUUCAAGCUUUUCAUGAAAAGGAGAAUAAAACUCCACGGGUAUCUGUUUUUAAGAGAUUAGGACCACAAUGAAGACAAAAGCCUCAAAACUCUCAUAAGAGUAAAGGAAAAAUGGCAAAGUCAUUGCAAAAUCUUGAAAAACCUUCUAAUGGUUCUCAUAAAUUUGGUAGUAUCAUUCCUUCGAGAAUGAGAAGAUGCACAGAUCUUGUAAUAAAGUGUGGGACUGAAUUGAGGGUCAGGGAGCAUACCGUGGUGUACACAAGACCAAAAGAGGAUGAUGAAGAGAGUGUUGCUUCAUGCAAUCAUAUAACCAUAAUUGACGGUGACUCGCCUGAAGAAGAAGAAGAUGCUGAAGACGCUCCACCUGAAUUGGAGGAAGGUGUUAAGGUCACUGUGGAUGAUCUAAAGGAGAUCAAUCUUGGUACUUCAGAGGACCCACGUCCAAUAUAUGUAAGUGCUUCAUUGAGCCCUGACGAAGAGAAGGCAUAUAUUGAACUCUUGUGGGAGUAUCAAGAUAUUUUUGCAUGGACUUAUAAAGAAAUGCCGGGUUUAAACCCAAAAGUGGCCGUCCACCAUUUGGCUGUUAAAAAGGGAGUUCGACCUGUGAAACAAGCACAACGGCGAUUUAGACCCGAUUUGAUUCCGUUGAUCGAAAUUGAAGUCAAUAAACUCAUUGAAGCCGGGUUUAUUCGUGAAGUUAAAUAUCCCACAUGGAUUUCGAGUAUCGUGCCUGUGCGAAAGAAGAAUGGACAAAUCCGCAUCUGUGUCGAUUUCAAGGAUGUUAACAAUGCUUGUCCCAAAGAUGACUUCCCUUUACCAAUCACUGAGCUCAUGAUUGAUGCAACUACUGGGCAUGAAGUUCUGUCAUUUAUGGAUGGCUCUUCUGGAUAUAAUCAAAUUCGAUUGGCACCGGAGGAUGAGGAGCUCACUGCAUUUCGUACUCCUAAGGGUAUUUAUUGUUAUAAAGUGAUGCCCUUUGGUCUCAAAAAUGCUGGUGCCACAUAUCAAAGAGCAAUGCAAAGUAUCUUUGACGACAUGCUUCAUAAGAAUAUCGAGUGUUAUGUGGAUGAUUUAGUUGUGAAAUCAAAGAAAAGAAAUAAUCACUUGGAGGAUUUGAGACAAGUUUUCGAUCGGUUGAGAAGGUAUCAACUCAAAAUGAACCCUCUCAAGUGUGCAUUUGGAGUCACGUCGGGGAAAUUUCUUGGUUUUGUGGUUCGCCAUCGAGGCAUUGAAAUUGAUCAGGCCAAAAUUGAUGCUAUAUUGAGGAUGCCUGAACCUCGUGACAUUCAUGAAUUGAAAAGUCUUCAAGGGCGACUAGCUUAUCUGAGAAGAUUUAUCUCAAAUUUAGCAGGAAGGUGUCAACCAUUUAGUCGCUUGAUGAAGAAAGAUGUGCCAUUUCAAUGGGAUGAGGCAUGUAGUAAUGCAUUCAAUAGCAUUAAGUCUUAUCUUAUGAAAGCACCUGUGUUGGCUGCACCUAUUCAUGGAAAGCCAUUACUCCUUUAUAUUGCUGCCCAAGAACGGUCGGUGGGGGCAUUGCUCGCUCAAGAAAAUAAUGAUGGAAAGGAGGUUGCCCUUUAUUAUUUAAGCAGAAUGAUGACCCCCAACGAACUAAACUACUCGCCAAUUGAAAAGUUAUGUUUAGCCCUUAUUUUUGCAAUACAGAAGUUAAAGCACUACUUUCAAGCGCAUAGUGUGAGGCUCAUUUUCAGGGCAAAUCCUAUAAAAUAUGUGAUGAGCAGGCCAGUGCUGUCUGACUGUCUAGCUAGAUGGUAUCUUCAGCUACAACAGUUUGAGAUUAUUUAUGUGCCUCAGAAAGCGGUGAAAGGACAAGUUCUGGCGGAUUUUCUUGCUGAUCACCCUAUACCUGCUGAAUGGGAGUUAAGUGAUGAACUACCAGAUGAGGAUGUACUCCUUAUUGAGAUUCGCCCACCAUGGAAAAUGUAUUUUGAUGGUGCUGCUCAUCGUCAUGGGGCUGGAGCGGGGAUUGUAUUUGUGACUCCUGAUGGAGGGAUAUUGUUAUACUCUUUUACCCUAAGUCAACAUUGUUCAAAUAAUGUCGCUGAGUACCAAGCUCUCAUACUCGGAUUUGAAAUAGCUGUUGACAUGGAGCAGUUGGAACUUCAAAUCUAUGGUGACUCUCAAUUGGUGGUUAACCAACUCUUAGGGAGUUAUGAAGUCAAAAAGUCCGAAUUAAUUCCGUAUCACAAAUAUGCAACGCGGCUUAUGAAGCGGCUUGGAGGUGCAAGUAUUAAGCAUGUUCCUAGAAAGGAAAAUAAGCAAGCUGAUGCAUUAGCUGUGCUAGCCUCUUCCCUUGCCAUGCCGGAUCAUGAGAUACAAGUUCGUGUAUGUCAAAAGUGGGUAGUUCCAUCACUAAUUGAUAAUGAAAAUAUUGAAGGAGGCGACGCUCAUGUGGUCUCAACCUAUGAAAUUGACAAAGAAGAUUGGAGACAACCCCUCGUUGAGUAUCUCAAUUAUCAAAAAUUACCUGAGGAGCAACGUAGAAGAACUGACAUCCUUCGUCGAGCCCCUCGUUUUAUCUUGUAUAAGGACACGCUGUACCGAAGAUCAUUUGAAGGUGUACUGUUGCGCUGUCUGAGCGAAAACGAGGCAUAUCGGGCGAUGCACGAGACACAUUCUGGAAUAUGUGGAGCACAUCAAUCCGGUCCCAAGUUACAUUUUCGGAUUAAAAGGAUGGGCUACUAUUGGCCUACUAUGGUCAAAGAUUGCAUAGAAUAUGCUCAAAGAUGUCAAGCUUGCCAGUUUCAUGCAAAUUACAUUCAUCAACCACCCGAGCCGUUACAUCCCACCGUUGCUUCUUGGCCUUUUGAUGCUUGGGGUCUUGAUGUGGUGGGACCAUUACCAAAGUCGUCCGGUCAACAUUUAUAUAUAUUGGCUGCGACCGACUACUUUUCUAAAUGGGCUGAAGCCAUACCGCUCAAGCAAGUUAGAAAGGAAGAUGUGGUGAAUUUCAUUCGUGUGAAUAUUAUUUACCGUUAUGCAGUUCCCCGGUACAUUAUCACUGAUAAUGGAAAAUCCUUCUCAAAUAGCUUGAUGGAUAAGUUGUGUGAAAAAUUUCAUCUCAAGCAACGCAAGUCCUCCAUGUAUAAUGCCCCCGCCAAUGGCCUUGCAGAGGCAUUCAACAAAACUUUAUGCAACUUGUUGAAGAAAGUGAUGGCUAAAUCAAAGAAGGAUUGGCACGAAAGGAUAGGCGAAACUCUUUGGGCUUAUCGCACCACAUAUCGAACUCCAACGCAAGCCACACCAUAUGCCUUAGUCUACGGUGUAAAAGCUGUCCUGCCCCUUGAGCAACAAAUUCCUUCUUUGAGAAUUGCUAUCCAAGAAGGGCUCACGGAGCAAGAAAAUGUUCGACUACGCCUGGAAGAAUUGGAAGCUUUAGAUGAAAAGAGAUUAGAGGCCCAACAAAAUCUGGAAUGCUAUCAAGCCCGUCUCUCUAGAGCUUUUAAUAAGAAAGUUCGGCGUCGCUCCUUUCAAGUCGGGGACAUGGUACUCGCCGUUCGAAGGCCAAUAGUUAUGACUCAUCGCAUUAAAGACAAGUUUGUCUCUAAAUGAGAUGGGCCAUACGUUGUUCGAGAAGUCUACACGAAUGGCGCGUACAAACUGGUGGACAAAGAUGGCGUAAAAGUCGGUCCUAUAAAUGGAAAAUUCAUGAAAUUAUACAUGCCAUAAAAAAAAAAAAAAAGAAGUACUCCAUGACGCAUGAGUCUAAACUGCAUGUUGCUCCAGACCCGCAUGAGCUAAAACUGUGGAUAACAACCACCAAUAGUGUAGCACGUGGUUAAACUGCUGAAACACUCCACCAAAUCUAAGGUGGUAAACCAAAGGAUACUCCUGACCCGCAAGAGUUUAAACUGUGAAUGGUAGGAACUACGUGUGACUUGAUUCCCUGUUGGGAUACGUAGGCAGCUUAGAGGGCAACUUCUAAGUUCAGUUACAAUCAUAUAAAACUAAAUUCUUUGUCCGGAUGAUUCUUGUGUUAAAAAAAAAGAGCGAUUCUUUUUAAGACAGUUCGAAUUAUUUUGUGACAUAUACUUGAAAAUGUAUUAUUCAGAUUACUAAAUUAUUUGGAUAAUUACCUUUUCAAGUGUGAUCAAAAUUAUGCAAAGAUGGAAUUGUUUGUAUUGCAGUUAAUAGCUUAAAAUGGUGGCUAUUGAAAAAAUAAGAAAAAAUGGGGACGUCUGCAAGAAUGUGAAAAAGAGAGAGCGAGCUUCAUUAUGAAAUGUUUGUGCUCAUAGCUACACGCUUUGAGCAGGUAACAAAAGAUGAAAUUUGAAACAAAGUAAAAAAAAAUUGCAACUAUUCCUAGAAUUCAAAUGACGACAGCUCCUUUCGGUUGCUUUCAAGUAACGCUUGCAUCUUGUCCAAAGUUUGACUCUCCUCAGCAAGUAGGGGCGGAGAAUUCUCAAUCUUUCGAACUUCGUUUUGUAAGUCGACCAUCACGCCUUGCACUCGGGUAAGAUCAUCUUGCUCUUCUCGUAACAGUGAAAGCGUCUCCUUCCUGUGAGUACCCAAGAACUCAAGUCGAUUCCUCAACUCUACUUCCUCGCGAUCGAGUUCCUUAAGCUUCAACAUGUGUGUUGAGAUCUUCUCCGCCUGUUGUCUCUCCUUACUCUGAGCAUCUCUAAGAUGUUGGGUGGCCGUAGAAAGCAACUCAUCAUAGGAUUCAUCUGGAAUUUUAUUUGAGAGAGAAGAUUUCACUGUAACGUAACGAACUGCAUUUGCAAAGAAAGCCUUUAAAAGGCCUUGCAAAUUUGAGAUAUCCGUGGCAUUGAAGCUUUGCAUUUCCUCCAUGAUCUCGUUGGCUUUUAUUUCAAGAGCUGGCAUGCGCUCCAAGGCUGUUUGAGAUAUCAUCACCCUCAAGUUAUUCCACAACAUUUGGAUGUAGUCUCGACGGCAUGUUGAGAUCACAUUUUGGGGGCAAAAUUCAGAUACUCGAGGUGCCCUUGGCCACGAUGGUGGAUCAAAAACUUUGAGUUUCCUUUUGGCCGAUGGAGUCAUAUGCUCCGCCUUCUGUGCCAUGAUUUGCUGGGUCACACUUUCAUCAUCUACCGCCUUUUUGGAAUUCUCACUAGCACCCUUUUGUUGGGUAGAACCGACCACUUGUUUGGCCAAAAGUUCAAAUGCAUUAGGUCCUUCAACUGAUACUUGACUUGGUUCUCCAUCAUCAAUGAAGAUCAAGUCUUGAUCAUCCAACUGUAGGGAAAAUGUCAUGAGACAAAUCAUGUAUAUGAAAUUGACAAGUAGAUUUCAAAUGCUAAAUUAAAGAAGGCAAGGGGGGGUCCUUACAAUAUUGGCACGGCUUAUACCAGGCACAGAUAUAUCCGGAAUGUCUUUAAAGAGUUCUUUAGGAUCUAAACCAAUAUCAUCCAAAGGGAAAGUCAUUACCUUGGACUUCUUGCGCUUCCAAUGCUGGUCCGUGCUAGUGGAUUGUUCAUCCUCCUCAUCAAAAGGCUCGUCCCUCUUCUUCUCAUGUGAAUUGCAAGAAUCAUGAUCAAUGGCUUUCACAAUUUUUGAAGGAAGACGAAAUGAAGUAUCCUUCGAAAAUUGUUCAUUAGGGGUAAGGUUCUCAAGGGUAGCAACCUUGUUGUUUGAACUCUUCAAAAUUUCCUUCUCGUUUCUCACAGUCUUUUGCUUCAUCUCAAGACUGUUAUCAACUUUGGAGAGAUUGUUCAGGUUUGCAAGUUCCUUCCCUUUUGACCUCUUCUGCUCCCCACUUGAUUGGACACUCUUAAUCAAAGUAUCACGCCCUUUGAGGAGGUGAUCAUCAUGUACCGUAGACCACCAUGUUUGAAAGCCUGAAGAUGUGUGCUUGCUAGCAUUCAAGGGAUAGCUAGGAAAAAGUAUCUUUGACUCUGUUUUACUACGAAUGGCAGUGCGCCAGAGUAUUCGACUCAAGUCAUAAUUUGUGGAACGCACAUCUGCCCCGAGUUCCUGUGGAGGAACUUGAUAAAAUCCGAAUUGCCGCGCGAAUCUAUAUGGACUACAUGGCUCAACAAGGAAAUCCCCUUCAACAUGCAAAACUAAGUAAUUUGAGCAGGCGCUUACAAAAUAACUUAGUUCGAGAUUUGCUAGUUUGUCAUCGUCAAUAAAGAGUUCAUUGCGAUUCUUAACAAGAGAAGUGAUUCCCCAAGUUACUUUAUCUCCCUGAUGAAUGAGGUCGCGAGCACUAUUUUCAUCAAAGUAUCGUGCGCCACCCUCUCCAGAAUAGUUGGUCAUGGUGGGUCCAGGCAUGGUAUUUGGAGUCGAAUAAUGGGUAGAGAAAUAACUCGCUAACCAAGCAUAUACUUAGUGCACCGGAAAAGCCGCACGUGCACACCCUGGAGUAGCUGAGUUUGAAAUUUUAUCAAGCCCACGGUAUAUGUUUAGCAGGACAGGAACAGCAAGGCAAGUCUUACGACCGGCAGCCAUCAUACUAGCCAUUUUGAAAGUAGAUGGUCUAAUAUAGUGGGGGUCCUCAUCUGGUAAAACAAAGACACAGAGCCAGCAAGAUAUAAAUGCUGCAAGAUAACUCUCUUCCCGCAAGUGAAGUUUAACUCCAAUGGUAUUAAAUACACCAUUGUCUUGACUUGAAAAUUUGCGCGGUUGUCCAAUUUCGCCAUCCGGAUUUUGGGUUGCUUGAGCACGAGAUGCCCUCUUUAUCCUUCUCUGCUUUGGCUUUGAGUACCUGGUUUUGCCUUUAAACCAGAAAUUAAUCCAUUGGUCAGCAGAAACUCCAGCUUUGUUGGAUUCCCCACGUUGGAGAUGAUGUAAGGCUGCGAACAGAUACUCACAACUUUGUGGAAUAUGCCUUAAUUUCUUUUCAUUAACCCCAGUUAGCUCCUCCGCGCAUGGGAUUACCUCUUCAUAGAUACCCCCGAUGAUUGGAAGUCCCCCUAACUUGUGCAAGUCCCAAAGUGAGAGAGACAGUUCUCCAACAGAUGCAUGCAAGGUAUUAGUAUCUGGACACCACGCCUCACAGAAUGCUCUAAGUACAUGGAGGUUCCUAUCAUAUGUGAAAAGCGAAGCAUAUAAGGCAUCAAACAAGCAAUUUUCACGGAGCACUUGUUUGCUCCUGCCGAGGAUAUCCUCCAACCACUCCCAGUAAUUCUCGAUGUAACUGAAUGCACUACUGAGUCUCAAGGAAGGACCCCAGUGUGCAUCUCCAUCUAUGAUCCGCCUGCCAAGGGUUUGAAAAGGAGUUGUCCUUGGCUCCUUAUCGUGAAUAAGGGAUUUCAAGGAGUGAACCUUCGUGCCAUCAUCUUGAGGAAGUUCGAGUGACCAAUCCUUCAACUCUGGGUACUGGUGAGAAGGCCACUUACCCGAGUAACUUCCUUGUAUAGGGGGAUGCACCAAUAAUUUCGUUCCUUUUUCACCAGAGUCACCAUCGCUGUCAGUGAUAAGGAGAUACUUUUCGUUUGAAGAAGCGACUUCCUUGAACACCACCAUUGCAUCAAGACUAACCUGCAGCAAAAGGAAGGAAAAAGAAAGUUUGGUUAAAAUGGCAUGGUCGAAGAUAGUAAAAGUUUCUUGAAUUUUGGGUGAGUUUUAUUGAAGUGGGUAGUGGUGUCUUAUUCUUUAUGUACUCCUCAAGCCAUAAUCUAGCUCUCGUGGGAGUUUGCGGUUGCGCCUUCUUCAAAUUUCUUGGUUGCACCGUCUUCAUGUACUCCUCAAGCCAUAAUAUGGCUCUCGUGGGAGUUUGCGGUUGCACCUUCUUCAAAUUGAGUGGUCACACUCUCCUUCAUGUACUCCUCAAGCCAUAAUAUGGCUCUCGUGGGAGUUUGCGGUUGCACCUUCUUCAAAUUGAGUGGUCACACUCUCCUUCAUGUACUCCUCAAGCCAUAAUAUGGCUCUCGUGGGAGUUUGCGGUUGCGCCUUCUUCAAAUUGAGUGGUCACACUCUCCUUCAUGUACUCCUCAAUCCAUAAUAUGGCUCUCGUGGGAGUUUGCGGUUGCGCCUUCUUCAAAUUGAGUGGUCACACCCCCUUCAUGUACUCCUGAAGCCAUGAUAUGGCUCUCGUGGGAGUUUGCGGUUGCACCUUCUUCAAAUUAAGUGUCCACCAAGAGAUCCUCCCUUCGUGGCGAAAAAAAAAAUUGGCAUUGACAAGAAAUAAAAGUCAUAAGGUAUGUGAAUUACCUUAGCUUUUUGAACUCCAAGAGCUAUGGUCCUAAAAUUGUGGACACAAUUGGAACGUCAAUUUGCUUCAAACAAGCUAUGCCAACGUCAGCUAAAAAAAAAAAAAAAAUUUCAGCCAUAGUUUUGUUUAAAAAAAAAAUCAUCAACGACAAAUCUUGCCUUGCUUCGCAAGAAUAGACAUUCAAGAAAAAGACGUGGCGCGGGCAUGUGUUGCUCUAGUCAAUUACCAUCAGCAAAAUUGCAUGCAAACUACUUGAAUUGCAAUUUGAAUAAAGAAGCAGUAUGGACCUGGCCGUGAAUCAAGAAGGCCAUGGUAUGCAGCAAUGUAAAGAAAACACGUGCACUUUGCAUGCAAGAGAGUAAUCAGAUGCUUUAAGUUUCUUGGCCCCGAAUUCAAUUGUCAAUCUAUACCCAUUAAAUUUCAAAAGAGCAUUCAGAUGUCAACAAUUUGGGGACACUAAUAAAACCCGAGUUUGAAAAUUUCAAUCCUACAAGCAUAGCAAUCACUGAUUAUUUCAUGAAAGUUUGCCUGUUCAAUUCGAGAUAACAAACCAUCACCUAGUUUCACUGGGAGGCAAAUUUUCAGUUUGGUUCAUGACUUAAUCCAGUGAGUUUUGAUUCGACAGAGUGGGUUAUUAAUCCAGUCAGCAGCGACAAGUACAAGGAAAAAAUUAAAAUUCCAGCAAUGACAAACGUGAGAAAAUUGAAUCUCUUAGCAAGAAAGUUUCCAGAUUACCUGGUGUGAAGCUGACGGCUUGUAGUUCUUCAAGAAAGCUAGAAAAAGGCACGAGCUAGAAGACUUCGUAAAUUGUAAUUCUCCAAGCAAGCUGAAAAACCUCGCAAGUUGUGUUGUGCAGGUUGCGUCUCUUCAUAUAGAAGAAAGGAAAUUAAUAUCUUAUACAAGGUUGCUUGGAAAACUUUGGCAGUAUUCAAAUUAGGAAGCAAUUAAGAUUUGGAGGGUGCGCGUUGGCCGAGAAGCUCGUGCAUGCCACAAGUUCGUUUUAAGCACUUUCUGGUUUCAAUGCUUUGCUAGGUACGUGAGAAGCUUGGAAAGUGAGGCAAUACAUGCUUACUUGAGUAAAGUGUCCAAUAGCUUUGUUGCCUAAAGAUUCGUGACUAGCCUUUUGGAACAUUUGGUAUUCUAAGAGUCAGCAAGGCUACCAUCCGGGCAACAAAUUUGUUUUUGGAAACUAACAAGACGCUGCAAUGAUACGACUCCAAUAGCUUGGAUUUGAUUUCCAAAAAGGGCUACACUUAAAAUAUGAGGAAGUCCGUGCAUGUGGUUGCUUAUAGUAAUUGGGACGUUAAGCUUACUGCUGAUGCUUCAUUCAAGAUUUGGCAAGUUCUAGUUAUUUUAGAAAUCAUGCAACUUGAAAACAUGGGUCCAGUAGCUAAUUUAGAAGUUACAUAUUGACUUCAAAAUUAUUUAUAUUGGAGUUGGAAGGCUAUUGAAGUUUGUGAACCUACAUUGUCUAAUUGGUCUGGGCAAUUCCCAGAUUGAUGAACACUGAUUGCGUGGCAAAGGCAAUUGCCUAGCAUUGUUUUAGCAAUUACCUUUUCUUAGCCACAUUCAGGUUGGACGUCUAAUGGUUUGCUGCAUCUUGGAAUAUGGAAAUGAUUGAAGGUGGUAUGUUUCUAAUUCUCUUGGAAUCAAUUGCAAGUCAAAAGGGAAAAUGGGCUCCUGUCUCUUUAAAGCAUUGAAGCCACGGCAGUAUGAUUCUAUACAUGAAUCAAUUGGAAGCUACAAGUUUCGGUAGUAGUACUUCUUUAAAUGAAGUUUGAGAAAUCAAUUCCAAUUUGGAAGCUACAAGUUUCGGCAAUGGUACUUUCUUAAAUCAAGUUUAAGAAAUCAAUUCCAAUUUGCUUGUGAAUAGGAUUCGGCAGCCAUCGACUUUGCUUCCUGGUUUGAAACCACAUGCAAGGUGGUGAAAGUUAACAUGUUCGGCUGUCUAAGGUGUAAGCUCCAUGAUAAUUAUUCAAUGGGAAGUUUCCACUGAAUGAUUUGGUGGCUAUGUUUGAUUAAGCGGUGCCAUGGUCAUAGAAAAUUUUCUAAGUGCAAGCUUGAAACCAAAUUGCAGUAGAAGGGUGAUACCCAAUUGGAUGUUUCCAUUUCUUACUUCAAGAUAUUGCCGGCUACCAUAAGCAAUUACGUGAGUUUAGCAAGUGAAGCAAUUGCCUAGAAGCUUAGUUGCCUAAAGGUCCGUGAUUGGUGUCUUGGGAUAUUUGGAAUUCUAAGAUACAAUAAGGCCAUCAUUCGGACAACACCACUGCUUUGGCAAUUACCAAAUCCAUGUAAUGAUGCAACUACAAUUUUAGCACCUCGGGUUCAACUUCCAAAAGCAACUAUGCUUGAAACAUAAGGAAGUUCGUGUAUGGGACUGCUUAUAGUAAUUGGAAUGUUAAGCUUCCUACUGAUAUUUCAUUCAAGAUUUGGCAAUAUCGGAUUGGUUGACAUCGAGCAAAGUGGUAACAAAGGGAGACAAGAUCUGGUCGUUUCCAAAAGUCCCCUACCAAAGGAAUUCCAAAUUGCUCAGCUUCAAGACGGAAAAAAAAAAAAAGAGAGAAAAGAAUGUCUUGUGGAGCUCUACAAGGCGCCUAAAUGAAUCAAUUUAGGAAGUUUUAAGUUCUGGGCAGCUACCAAAUUCAGUGUUUAUCAUUUAACUUUUGGAAUCACAUGAAUUUGGUUCCCAAGAAUAAUUUCAAAAGCUGGAAGUCAGUUUGGGAAGCUCUCGAAAUUUGGUGUUCAGAAGUCACCAACAUUGGUUUUGGGAAUACAUUUGCGAUUUAGGAAGUGUUGAAACUUAGCAAAUUCCAUAUUGCCAAGUGCCGCGAACAAGAUUUGGUAGUCAGCAGCUUGAGAUACAAAUUAGAAAUUAUCAAUUUGAUUUAGCAAGUUUGCCGCAUGUAAUUUCCUAAUCUUUGCACCACGUUGCAGCUCUCUAAAGUGGAAGUUUCCUGGUGAAUAUAUAAAUGGGGAGUUCCACCGAACAAAGUGAUAGCCAUGCUUUGAUUAUUAGAUGUUGGGCGGUGCAAUGGUCAUAGAAGUUUCCCAAAUGCACGAGACUAAUUGCAAGCAACAGAUUCAUUGUAAUCACUUGGGUAAUGAUCCUACGCAUUGCACCUUGGUGUAGACCACACGUGAUUCAAGGGAAAUCAAGUACUUCAAGUCUCUAUUUCAAUCCUUGACAAGCAAGUCUCAAUUGAGUCUUGAAGAGGGGGCAUUUGUAGACAAAGAAAAUUUAUUUAAUUUAUUUUAGUCAAGAUUUAUUUAAAUUAAAUCGAUCUUGAUGAAAUUAAAUUAAAUUAUAGAAGUCCAUUAUGUUUUGGACUGGCAAAUUGGGCCAAUAUUAUAUGGGCUAUUAAAUCAAAUUAAAUUCAUAGUGUCCAUUUAAGUUAUAGUGAAUUGAUUGCUUUAUUAAUUCACCAUGGACCAUUUGGGUUGGCCCACUAGUUAAGCCCAAAUUAAAUGGGUUUCUUGAGUUAUAAGUUACCCAAAAUGCAGGAAGAUAUCUGGAAGGUUUUCUUGAAGACCUAGCCUACAUAAUUUGGCUAUAAAUAAAGGUCUUCCCUCAAGGCAAAGAUACAGAAAAAUCCCUAACAUUCGGAGAAACUCUGUCAAAUUCCCUCAAGAGCUUUCUUCCUCAAAUCCAAGUCCAAAUCAAGUCAAACAAAUUCUCCUGCUAUCGGUGUUGAAGACUCGAAGUUCCAAGUGUUUGACGCCAUCAUCAAAUCAACCGUUUUCUACGCCGAAAUUGUAGGAAACACCCUUUCGAUUGGAGAACAAGUCUUUUUGACCCUUCAAUUGAAGCUAUUCGAAGAAAAGAAUCAGGGGAUUAAUUUCUUUGAUUCAAGAAUUUUCAGGGAUUGUAACCCGCUUAUUAUUUAAUUUAAUACAUUUGAUAUUUGUGCAAGUUUUCUUGUCUUUUAUUUUAGGCAACAAAAUUUGUGCUUACAAACUUGAAUCUGCAAAUUUACGCCGACGAAGAUUCCAGAACUGGUGAUGGGCAGAUUUGGAGCUGAAUUUUGGGGGUGCUGGAGGCGUUAUCUUGAGAAAAUUUCUGAAUAACAAUCACUCUAAAACAUCCCAGGAGAGAGCAGCAAUAAAGAUAUCCCCUCAAAAACCCAUGCUAAGUUCGGAAUUUUCUCCCUAAACCAGCCAGAUAUUCAGCCUUGGUUCAAAAUUAUGCAAUUUUCCUUUCUUCUUCCUGCCGAACCUGAAGCUCUUUCCUUUUCUUGUUUCUUUCUUACUCCCUCAGCCGAAGACCCUCUCCAAGCUCUCUCUUUUCUUUCUUUCUUUUUCUCUUGCUUUGCCCCGUAACCUCCCUUUUCCUAGCCUCCCAAGCUUUCUUUUUUAUUUUCCGUUCGUUCUUCUUCCUCAGCCCUAGAGCUCUCCCUUCAGCCGCCAAGCUCCCUUCUCAUUUUUUCUUUGAAAACUCUCAGCCCAAAACCCCCCUGCUCUAGUUUUUCCGUCUUUUCCUUCCUCUCUUUCUGGUUUCUCUUGCCGAAGCUCUCCCUUUUUCUAACCCCUAGCCGCCACCCAUCUGCUCUCUCUCCUGUUUCUGUUUUCUGGUUCCUUUUCCCCGCAACCCCGUUUUUACUCACCCUUUCUCUCUCACUUUCUCUCAGCUUUUCUUUCCUCCCUUUCUAUCUAACCUCAGCCGUCGCCCUUUUCUUUUCACUCUCCAGCCGUCAUACUCAAAAUGUCCUCCUCUCGGCUGUGUUUUCUUCUCAGCUUUUAUAUGGAGCCAAUAUCACUAAAACCUACCUUCAAGGGUGCCGAUGAAGCCCUUGUUUUGCUGACAGGUUUCUUAGCCAUUUGAUGAUCUAGUUCCAGAAGCUUCUUGAUAUCUUCUAGUGAGUGAGGUGGCAUUGUGUAUUGGUAAUUUUGGGGAAAAAGAAAAUGAAGAAAAAUUCCUUGUUGCCGACCAUUUCCAGCUGCUGGUUCUUGUACCUGCAACUGAUAGAAGAAGGUGUGCGCGUGCUCCUUUCUUCUCUUUUUUUAUAAAUAAAUUAAUAACAAAUAACGAAAUAAUUUUAUCAACCAAAAAUGCAAAUAAAACAAGAUUAACAAAAUUAAAUGAAAUGCUAAAAUUUUUUGAAAUUUUUUUUUGAUUUUGUUUUGAUGAUUUUUUCUUUUUAUUUUAUCAUAUAUUUUACUAAUUUUCACUUAAUUUAGGUAAACAAACAACUAAAUUUCAUAAAUUGAAUCUAAAAGAAUUAAAUCCUAUUUUUUGUGAAUAAUUUUCUUUUUCUAAUAAAUUUUAAUGCUAAAAAUGUCUAAAAAUAAAAUCAUAAGAUUAAUAAAUAAAAAUAGAUAAUAAUUAUCAAUAAAUUAAAAUAAAGAUAAAUUAAAAUUUGGUGUCUACACACUUUAUAUAUAUAUAUAUAUAGUUUAUGGCUGCUAACAUUCAAUAUUUUGAUGAUAGAUUGGAUUUUAUUUCUAGAAGGGGUUAUGAGACUCGUGCUUUUUCUAAUGAUCAAUGGGCUGUUGCAAAUUGUGGAAUUUAUUUUGUCUUAGAUCAUUCAAUCGACAUAUGCCCUACAUUUCAAGAUGGUCUAAGUGAUCCAAUCGAUACUUUUGGAGAUUUUUCACCUCAAUAUCAAACGUGGUAUGACCCUUAUUCAAACGGGUAUGAUCAAGGAUGGUGGGAUGAUUCCAAUUACAAUUUUAAUUAUGCAACCAGGCCAAUGGAUUUUCAACAACAAGAGUCUCAACAACCAUCAUCUAUGUCAAGUAUGUCUCUUGAAAAAAUAAUAAAAUCAAUAGCUGUUAACACACAUCAACUUCAAUAGGAGACAAUGGAUUUUUAUCAAGAGACAAUAGAUUUUCAUCAGGAGACACAAGCGAACAUUCGUAACCUGGCGGAUCAAGUGAAUCAAUUGACAUCUAGGAUAACGCAAUUGACUUCUCGAAUGUGUGAAGAAUUACCCUCACAGACUAUUAUCGACCAUGAGAAAGAUGAGAGUGCAAUUAUCCUGAUAAAUGACAUGGUACUGCGAGAAUCUCAAAAAGAAUGAUCUAAAGAUGCAGUUGAAAAGAAAAUUGAAGUACAAGAAAUGGAACCCCAAUAUUAAAUUGUUCAAGUGGAUGAAUCCAGUGAACAAUCUCCAAAUGCGGUGACAUCUCCUCCAUUCCUUAAUCAAUAUUCUUCAGACUCUUCUUCUUUAAUUCUUGUUAGUGAGAUUGAUUUUAUUAUACCAGACGAUUUUGAAUUUCAUGACAGGAAUAAGUUACGAGUUGUGAUGGCAAAAUAUCUCGAACCAGUAAGUGCUCGUGAUGGGGGAGUGAGUGAAGAAUUAAGGUCGUUACUUGUUUAUUUGGCGCCAUCUACUAGUCCAUGGAAGACCAUAACUGGUGUGCUCAAAAAUUACUUUAUUUACGAGGGCUACCAGGAUUAUAUAGAGGAUGAAACAUUGAAACGAAUCACAAGAUUUUAUCCUCCGUGAAUAAACAUGAAAAUGUCUAACCAAAGACAUUAAAGAAUGGCGCUGCUUGGGAAGCAACCCAAGACCCUUUGUUUUAGUUCUCUCAUGUUUCCGGAGUUUUUGUUAAGUGUUAUUUGCGUUUAGUAAUUUAUUGCUUUUGUUGCAGGAAGUUGGCAGUUAGACGUGCUCACGCCAAAUGGUCACGCCUAAGGAAGGAGGUUUUAAUUUGGCGGACAAAAGACUAUCUAGUAGUUAGACGUGUCCACGCUAAGUGGUCACGCCUAAGGAAGGCAAUUCGCGUCUGCAGGCAGAGGACUCUCCAUUAGUUAAGCGUGCCCACGGCAGGUGAUUACGUUUAAGGAACUCAAUUUUCGAAGAUUGGUGAAAAGAUUCUCUAGUAGUUAGGCGUGCUCAUGCCAAGUGGUCACGCUUAAGGAUCUUAGUUUCCGUGGGUUGGUCAGAAGACUCAAGAGCACCGCAAGAUCGCAACCAAAGGACCUCAAAUUCCACUGCCACCGUUGCGCUGUUCAACGUGAGCUGUCGAUUCCUGAUUAUUGCUGCUCAUUGCACGUAAUUCUUCCUCACCCAUCGUGAGCCACUAGACAUCCUUAGCUGCCAAUCAUAGCUUUCAUCUUCAUCAGUUUUGCCAUCGAGCUCUACAUGUCUUUUGCCUCUCACCUACAGCUGUGCCACAACCCCCUUUUGAUGAUCAGGGAAGUUUCGUUGUCCCUUUUUGUUUUAUAUUUUAUUCUUUAUUACUUACAUUGGGGACAAUGUAAGAUUUAGGUGUGGGGGGAGUAGUACCUUGAUAAUAUAUUGAAAAAGUGCAAGUGUAGGUGUUUUUGUUGGAAUUUUUUGUUUGACUUUGUCGAAUUUUAUCCAAUUUUUGCCUAUCUUUGUGCAUAUUUGUGAUUGUUCCUGAUUAACGAUGGUUAGAUGUCUCAAAAUUUUCUAUUGUUAAGAUUUUACACUCUAAGGUGUUAAAUAUGACAUGGUUAAGUUUAAGAAUAUCUUUUUGGUGAAUAUUUGAGAUUUUGUGACUUUUGUACUUUUUGAUUAACUUCUCUAAGUAUGGUAAAUAUUUGUCUAGCAUUUUUUAUGCAAAUUGGUUCAACUAUUAAUCUUAGUUCUCCAUAUUUAAGAAAUGAAGUGGGUUUGUGUGAUUUUUAAUUUUAAUUUGGUGCUUAUUUAUGAAUAGUAUUCGACUAUACUCCGCUAGUAUUGUUGCUUAGUAACCGGAGGUCUUCACCAUAAGUGUCGACUUUCGCGUCAAAAAGCGACGAUAGCUAUGAGUAUGUGAUUUUUAAGCUAUGAUGGCUGAGUAACCGGGCUCCUUCAUGUGACCAAUGUCGGAGUUCACGUCAAAAUGCUUGAAUGACUAAAAACUAAGCAUUCCUCCUGAAAAAAAAAUCAAUCAAGUGUGGGGAUAUUUUAGAAAAAAUGUGUUAAUAGUGAAAAAUGUGGAAAUAUUUGAAUGAAUUGUUAGCCCGCUGAUCCAUGAAUUUUAAUGUUGAGAUUUUGCUUAAUAGUCGAACCAUUUGCUUAUAGAUGUUGGUUGAAUAUUUUAUAUUCUUAGAUUAGUUAGUCAUAAAUUGAAAGAGUCCUUAAUCUUGAAAACUAAUUGGAGAGAUAUUUUUUUUGAAAAUUGCCACUAAUACUUGACAUAUGUUUUAGUUGUAUCUUGACAAUAGAAGAUUUGAGCAAUAGCCAUUAUUUGAAUUUGAUUGCUUGAUUUGUUGUUCUCAUGCUUGAGAACAAGCAUGGUUUAGGUGUGGGGGAAAUUGAUAGGUCAUAAUUUGUUGGUGAAUUUAUAAUUAUUUUCCCUUGAUUUUAGUCAAAUAUUAUUUUAAUUGAUUGAUUCUACUUAUAUUUGGUAUAAUGGUGCCAAUUGUAGGAAAAUGAGCAACAUGUGAUAAAAGGGGUAAUUUUUCAAGAAUUACUGUCAAGUCUAGAGAUGACGGGAUUCACGCAUGACAGUUUCCUAAUUCAAGCCAAAGACUUACGAAGCAUGUUUUCAAAUACAAUUGGGAAACGUCUUAGAUUGGGAGGAAAUAUCUUCUUCUUAGGAAAAUUAGGAAGUUCAAUGUAUUUGGGGAACUAGAAAAUAGGAAAAGAAAAGGCCGGCUCCCAUUUGAUUACUACUUCUUAGGAAAGAAAAAGGAGGCUAGUCUAUUUUUAUUCCUUCUUUCAUGUUUGGAAAGGAACAGUGAGUAUUAGAAGCUGAAUAGGAAACAAAAAGAGAGGAGAAAAGCCGGAUCCCGCGUGAUUAAGAGUUGGCUAGUAACAUUGACGGAAGGGAGAUUAAUUCAUCAUGAUCUGCUCCGCAAGCUUCCUCUUAGGGAGGCGUUUACUUGUUAGGCUUUCGAUCUUUUCUUUCUUUCAAUCAAUUGUGGAAGUCAAGUCUUGGGGGCCUCUUUCUCUAAAUAUUCACAUGGAUGGUUCUCCAUUAAUGGAGAACUAACUAUCCAAUUCUAGUUAAGGGGACAACUGAGGAUUUGAUUCUACAAUUACUGUGAAAUCGAAUUUAUUUUAACUGCUUCAUCCAUUUAUUGGUAUUUGUAUGUUUUCUGCUUUUAAUCGUUAUAGCUUUUGUGUAUGAUUGAAUAGUGCACAAUAUUUAAUUAUUCACGUGAGCUAUUUGGCUAAUUAGGGGUAGUAGGAUCUGUAAUUGUUCAAUUAUCUCUAUCCCAGUAGAAACUGGCAUAAUUAGAUUUAUGUCAGGGAAACAUACGAUCUAGUUUAAACAAACUCUCAUAGCGUGUUGGUUAGUUAGGAUUGGACUUUUCUAAACCUUAAUGCAAUCUAGAAAUUAAAUCCUACGGUCGUACCUAGGACUGUUUUCGAGUCAGAGAAAUAGUCAACGGCCGUACCUUGAUUAUCGAUAAAUUAAGAAAAGGUUGGUUGUUUAUCGCGUGCAUGACAACUAUAACCAAUCUAUUAAUAAAUGUUGGAUUUAUGUGUAAAUCAAUGAUCAGUGCCUGAACCAUUUCUGAAGUGCACCAUUGGCUAAAGUUUUCCCAAUAAUUUCUGUCAAUUUAUUAUUUUUCGCAUUUGAUUUAUUUAGUUCAUUAGCAUUUAAUCCCAAAACCUCCCAUUGUUCUUGACUCGAAAGGAAAUAAAUUUCUCUCUAGUCUCUGAGAAGACGACCCUACUUGUCACUGUCUACUAGUUAGUGAUUUAGUUAGAUCAUUAAUUCUGGUAUAUCGGAUUAAGCAAACUCUUCGGGAAUAGGGUGAAUCAAGUAACCCAUUGCACACCUAGAGUCCCUGUUCCAGUAUUUAGAAUUGAUUAGUGACUGCUUUUGGUGGUAGUUAGGUUUUAUUUAUUAUUAUUGCAAAGGUUCGGCACCUGUCAUACUUAUAGCUAUCGUCGCUUUUUGACUCGAAAAUCGAUACUUAUGGUGAAGACCUCCGGUUACUAGGUAAUGAUACUAGCGGAGUACAACCGAAUACUAUUCAUAAAUAAGCAUCAAAUUAAAAUUAACAAUUACACAAACCCGCUUCAUUUCUUAAAUAUGGAGAAUUAAGAUUAAUAAUUGAAUCAAUUUGCAUAAAAAAAAUGCUAGACAAAUAUUUACAAUACUUAGAAAAGUUAACCAAAAAGUGUAAAAGUCACAAAAUCUCAAAUAUUCAUAAAAAAGAUACUCUUAGAUUUAAUCAUGUCAUACUUAACACCUUAGAGUAUAAAAUUUUGACAGUAGAAAACUUUGAGACAUCUAACCAUUGUUUAUCAGGAAUAAUCACAAAUAUGCACAAAGAUAGGCAAAAAUUGGACAAAAUUCGACAAAGUCAAACAAAAAAAUUCUAACAAAAAUGCCUACAUUUACACUUUUUCAAUAUAUUAUCAAUAUACUACUCCCCCCACACCUAAAUCUUACAUUGUUCUCAAUUUAAGUAAUAAAUAAUAAAAUACAAAGCAGAAAGGGACAACGAAACUUCCCUGAUCAUCUAAGGGGGGUUGUGGCACAGCUGUAGGUUAAAAGCAAAAGACAUGUAGAGUUUGAUGGCAAAACUGAUGAAAAUGAAAGUUAUGAUCGGCAGCUAAGGAUGUCGGGUGGCUCACGGUGAAUGAGGAAGAAUUACGCGUGAUGAGCAGCGAUAAUCAAGAAUCGACGACCCACGUUGAACAGCGCAACAGUAGCGGUGGAAUUUAAGGUCCUUUGGUUGUGGUCUUGCAGCUGGAAAAGAAAAGAAAGGAAUAAAAAAGAAAGGGAGAGAAGAAGAAAAGAGAGAAAGAAAGAAGAACGAAAAAGAAGAAAGAAAAAGAAAAAGAAAAAGAAAAGAAAGGAUUUUUUUUUUUGGAACCACUGCGUUAGACGUGGGCACGCCUAACUGCCCUUGAGUCUUUUGACCAACUUACGGAAAUUAAGAUCCUUUAGCGUGACCACUUGGUCUGGGCACGUCUAACUACUAGAGAGUUUUCUGACCAAUUUUCGAAAAUUGAGUUCCUUAACCAUAACCAUCUGGCAUGGGCACGCUUAACUAAUGGAGAGUUUUCUGCCUACGGACACGAAUUGCCUUCCUUAGGCGUAGGCACGUCUAACUAUUAAAUAGUCUUCUGUCCGCCAAAUUAAAACCUCCUCCUUAGAUGUGACCACUUGGCGUGAGUACGUUUAACUACCAGCUUCUUGCAAUAAAAGCAAUAAAUUACUAAACGCAACUAACACUUAACAAAAACUCCAGAAACAUGAGAAAACUAAAACAAAGGGCCUUGAGUUGCCUCCCAAGCAGCGCCUUUCUUUAAUGUCUUUGGUUAGACAUUGCCAUAUUUAUUCACGGAGGAUAAAAGCGUGCAGCUCGUUUUAGUGCUUCAUCUUCUAUGCAGUCCUAAUAUCCCUCGUAAAUAGAGUAAAUAUUUAACACACGAGGUACGGUCUUCCAUGGAUUAGUAGAUGGCAUCAAACAAGUCAACAAGAAUCUUAAUUCUUCACUCACUCCUUCAUCACGAGCACUUAUUGGAUCGAGAUAUUUUGCCAUUGUGACUCUUAACUUGUUCCUGUCAUGAAUUUAAAAUCUUCUGGUAUAAUAAAGUUAAUCUCACUAACAAGAGUUAAAGAAUAAGAGUCAGGAGAAUAUUGAUUAAUGAAUGGAGGAGAUGUCACCGCAUUUGGAGAUUGGUCACUGGAUUCAUUCAAUUGAAUAAUUUGAUAUUGGGGUUCCAUUUCUUGUACUUCAAUUCUCUUUUCAACUGCAUCUUUAGAUUCUUCUUCUCGAGACUCUUGCAGUUCCAUGUCAUUUGUUAGGAUAAUUGUACUCUCAUCUUCUUUAAGGUCGUUGAUAGUCUGUGAGAGCAAUUUUUCAUAAAUUGGAGAAAUCAAUUUACUCAUUGUAGAUGCCAAUUCACGCCUUCCAUUUUCCAUCUCUUUAAUCAUCCUUUAUGUUACCUGUUGAAAUUGAUAUGUGUUAGUAGUUAUUAAUUCAACUAUUUCUUCAAGAGACAUACCUGACAUGGAUGAUGGCUGUUGCUGUUGAUAAUAAUGUUGAAAAUCGAUUGGCUCUGGCAAUAAUUAAAGUUGGAGUUAUCCCACCAUCCCUGAUCAUACCCGUUUGAGUAAGGGUCAUACCACGCUCGAGAUUGGGGUAAAAAACCUCCAAUCUUAUUGAGAUAGGUAUUCAGGUAAUCUUGAUAUUCAAAGCACAUACUGGUUGAAUGAUUUGUUGCAUAACAAAUUUCACAGGUUACAACAGCCAUUUUGUCUAUAAGAAAACUCAGUGAAUCUGAAUAUUGAUCAUCAGGAAAAACACAAGCCUCAUUUCCCUUUGUAGGACUAAAAUUCAGUCUAUCACCAAAAUACGGAAUAUAGCGGCCAUUAAAAAAAAUAAAAAUAAUAUGAACUCAAAAAUAAACAAAUUAAUCAGGCACCAGUCCCCGGCAACGGCGCCAAAAAUUGACAGGUACCGAACCUGUACAAUAAUAAUAAUAAAACCUAACUACUACCAAAAGCAGUCAAUAAUCAAUUCUAGGUACUGGAGUAGGGACUCUAGGUGUGCAAUGGAUUACUUGAUUCACCAUAUUCUCGAAGAGUUUGCUUCAUCCGAUAUACCAGAAUUAAUUAGCUGACUAAAUUUACUAACUAAUAGACAGUGGCAAGCAGGGUCGUCUCCUCAGGGACUGGGGAGAGAUUUGUUUCCUUUCGAGUCAAGAUAAAUGAGGGGUUUUAGGAUCAAAUGCUAAAGAAUUAAUAACUAAAUAAAUCAAAUGCGAAAAAUAAUUAAUUGACAGAAAUAAUUGGGAAAACUCUAACCAAGGAUGCACUUCAGAAAUGGUUCAUACACUGAUCAUUGAUGCAAAAAUAAUUCCAACAUUCACUAAUAGAUUAGUUAUAACUAUCAUACACGCAAUAAACAACCAACUUUUCCUUACUUUUUCGAUAGUCAAGGUACGACCGUUGAUUAUUUCUCUAAUCCGAAAACAAUUCUAGGUACGACCGUAGGAUUUAAUUUCUAGAUUGCAUUAAGGUUUAGAAAAGUCCAAUCCUAAUUAACAAACACGCUACGAGGGUUUGUUUAAACUAGAUCAUAUGUUCCCCUAACAUAAACCUAAUUAUGCCAGUUGCUAGCGGGACAGAGGUAAUCGAACAAUUACGGAUCCAACUACCCCUAAUUAGCAAAAUAGCCUAUGUGAAUAAUUAAAUAUUGCGCACUAUUCAAUCAUACACAAAAGUUAUAACAGUUAAAAGUAGAAAACAUACAAAUACUAAUAAAUGGAUGAAGCAAUUAAAAUAAUUUAGAUCUCACAAUAUUUGCCAAACCAAAUCUUCAGUUGUCCCCUUAACUAGAACUGGGGAAUUAGUUCUCCAUUAAUGGAGAAUAAGCCACGCGUAGGAAAUUUGGAAAAAGUUGUCAAUUUUUGCCCUUUCAAUUUCGGUCAGCCACGGAAGAAAAGAACAAAGAAUUUUCAUUGUUGCUUUCAAACUGUCUCCAAGACAAAGCAUACGAGAGAGUCUAAGGCUUUCUUCAAUUCGGUUAAACCAAAGGAAAAAAAAAAUUCAACCAGUCAACAAUGGUGGCUCCCUCCAAUGUUACACAAAAAGGUAAGAAAAGUCAAAACCAAAAAGGAGUACCACCCUCUCUACGUUGGUAGCCCCCAAAAAGGUAAGGAGUUGAUUUCCUUUAUUUCGGCUAGGCCCACCGGAGAAGGAAACGUAUCUUAGUUCUAGUUUUUCUCCUCCAAAAUUGGUAUUCGAAUACCCAACUUCCUAAAUAAUAGAAAUCCUAUUACAAGUUACUUUCUUCAACUCUGGAGUGGCCCCACCGAUUUCCAAAUUUGUAACAGCCACUUUACUCCCUUUUUUGAAACUCUCCACGCGCGGAGAAUCACGAGAAUCCGGCUUUGAAGAUUGGACUUAGGCAUGGGCACGCCUAAAUGUUAGGAAGUCUUCUAAAAUAUUGAUUUUCAGCACUUUUUCAACAGCACUUCCUGCAAUUAACACCAAACACCAAAUCUGAGUAGAAUCCACCCAAUUAGUGCAAUAUUUAAUCAAAUAAUUAUGCAAAAUUAUCAAAAUAUCCCACUAAAAUGCACCCUAUCAAUCUCCCCCACACCUGAACUAUGCUUGCCCUCAAGCAUAGUUAACUCAGAAGUGCAAUUAAAAUACCAAGCAAUUCACAGCAGUUCAUACCAAAAACGGCAUUCCAAAUUCCCCAAUAACCUCAUCGAAAUCAGAAUAUAUCAAAUUGACAAUUCUCAUAUUUAAUAUGCACUCAUUCACUCCAAAAUGUAUAGGAAAUCGAAUGGCUCUCAGAUCAACACAAUGAAAUGACAUUACCAUAAUCUUGCUCAUAUAUCAUAUCUCCAUCACUUAACUAUGAAUUAAAUGCACCAAUCAAAGGGACUGUGCAAGGUUGUAAUGGGGUUCGGGUGAAAGGGUAGGAUAAAAAGGAUUUUAAGGGUGUAAAAAUGUUAAAGAAAAUGCCCUCAAAUUCAUUGCACAGGUUCUUGCACAUUUGUACCUUUAUUGCACAGAUUCUUGCACACAAUUAUUAUAAUAUUUUUUAUGAUGUUGAUGUAUGUAAAAUAAAAAUUUGGAUGAAAAUAUUGAAAAAAAAAAAGUUGGAAAACAUGUUUAUGAGCAAACAAAAUAAUAUUUGAAAAAAAAAAAGAGAAUUAACUUCCAUAGCUAUAAAAAUUGGAAAGUUUUUAAAAAAUCUAAAAAAUAAGAAUGAGAAUGUUAAGUAGCACCAUUUUCUAAAGCAACAGAGUCACAAUAGAAGAAUUAUUACUGCAUCCAGAACCCAAAAAAAAAAAAUUAAAUAAAGGAUGCAAUCUGAGGCAGGUCACCAAGUUGUAAUUCAAGAUUAGGGACAACAAAACUACCAAAAUCUGAACUGGCAACGUACUGAUAAUGAUUGACUGAGUCAAUGUUAAAAACUAAUGCUGAACUCCUUUCGGACUAAAGAACUAAGUCAACAUACUCUUUUUUUUUUUUUGAGGGAACCCAAUCUAAACUUGACUACUUGUGUUAUUCUUCUUAUUUCCGGUCUAUUCUUUUCGUUGAAAUACACUCCAUUGUCAAUUGAAACAAUUUAGACCACAGGUCCAACUUUGGACUUUUCUUACUUGUAAGACACUCUAAUCUAGAAUUUAGCACUGAAGUCGUUGCUAAAAUCAAGUUGUUAUACUUUGUUAUUUUUUUGGGUCAACUCCUUUUGUUGUUAUUUUUUUAUUUUUAAAAAAAAAAGAAAAUUGUCCCCUUAUUACCUCCAUUUGUUUUGUUAGGUAAGGUAUUCAUUUUAUUGAUAUAGAAAAAACAGAGCUUAUUAUGAGAAGCAGCAAAAAGCCAAACCAGCAACACCGUCCAAAGUACACUGAUUACAAACAACACCCAAGGUCACCAACUAAACAAGCAGAACACUCACGGUAAGAAUAUAAGAUCAAAAUUCCAUGCUAUACUUUGUUAGUUUAAUCUUCUUCCAAGAAGCUACCAGUGCUCUAACCUCAGUGUUGAUGGGCUGCAACAUGAUAGGAGUAGCUUUUUCUUCCUUAGUGAAAAUUCUCUUGUUUCUCUCUUCCCAUAUAUGAUAGACAUAAGAUGCAAGAGACAACCUGACUAUUUAAUCAAGAAAAUUUUUCCUAACACAAUAAAAUCUGAGCCAAGACAGUUUAACAUUCAAAGCAUAUAUGCUCCUCUGUAUGCCAAAUUUGAACUCUGCACACUUCUCUCCAAAUAUUUGCAGCAUAAGUGUAGGGGUGGCAGUGGGGUGGGGGUGGGGCGGGGGAUGCCUUCCCCAACCCCCGCCCCGUUGCCUAUUAAUUCCCCCCACCCCCGCCCCGUCCCCCACUCCCUGCUUGCCCCGCCUCGCUUCUCCUACAAGGGCGCCCGUAGGGUUAAAAAAAUUAUUAUAUAAUUUCAUUAUAAUUAGAUUUGAGCAAAUAAUUAAGUACUAAAAUAUUAACAUAUCACCAAAUUAUUAUUCAUUGUAACUUCACAAUUGAAACUCAUAAAAAUAAUUAAACAAAAGUUAUUUGAAUACAAUCUAAUAUGAUAAACAAAUAUAAUUAAAAUAAUCAAGUUUUUACUUUUGAUACAAAUACAAUCACUAAAUUAUUAUUAUAUUUUUUUAGAAAAAAGUGUUAUUGUAUUAAGUGUAGUUAGGAAUUUAAUAUAAAUGUAUUAAUAAAAUUUAGUAUAAAUAAUUAAUAAUUUUUAUUAAUAGACAUGUAUAAUUAGUAGUAUAAUUGAUAAUAUCAUUAUAUAUAUAAUUAUGCACACACAUAUAUACAUAUUUCUUUUUUUUUUCCAAACGGGUGGCGGGGCGGGGGAGUAUACCCCCGUCCCCCGCCCCAUUUCUAAGCGGGGGUAAAAAAUCCCCGCCCCCGUCCCAAUAGACCCCCACUGGGCAGGUGUCCGCGGGCACCCGUACCCGUUGCCAUCCCUACAUAAGUGUAAUACUCAUGACCACGUUAACUUUAUUUCAUGGGUUAAUUAGUGAAGGUUAUAUAAUCUUGGAGGUUUAUGUGAUUAAGUUUAGAAGUUGGGGGACUAAUUAAUAAUUUGAGCAAGUUUUUGUAUUGGAAGAAUUUUGAGUUGGACCUCACUUUACUCUUUCUAACCCUUCCUACUAUUUCUCUCCAAAAUAUCUCUUUAGUCCUUCUCUUGAUCAAGGUGAAAGCUUUGCAAAUCAAAGAGUUAGAACAAAUAAUGUGCUUGGGGGGGGUUUAAGUGUAAGUUAGGUGUAAGUGUUAGUCCUCCCUAAUACCAUCCAAUCCAUCCCUCCUCUCAAGUAGUUGGAGUUUCAUUUUUGACUUCUUUAAUAGGCCUUUUGCCUAUUUGUUAUUGUGUUGGCUAAUUUAGUGGAACUAUGUGGUGAUUUUAGAAAUUUUGCGAGGAAAUCGUCAGUUGAUGAAAUACUAGUUUUUGGAGUGUAUUUUUGCGAGGGUUUUGUCUAAGCUUAUUUUAUACUUGGCCUCUUAAUCAAAAGUGAAAAGGGAAGAUGAGCGAAAAUCUUGAAGUUUGGAUGAAUUCUUAUCAGUAGUUUGAGAUGGUGGCUUUGAAUAUGUAAGUCCCAAAGUUUGGACGGUGAUGGGCUCAAUCCAGUGUCAGGCCGGUUCGUUCCUAAUUCCCAUUUCUUCAUUUCCCUGUUUUUGGUCCGAAAAUAUUUCUUGUGCUCUUGUUAGUAUGGGACUGAAUUGUAAUUGAAAUAUUGAUAAUUUGCUCCAUUAUUAAGAAUUAGAAAUUAAAUUAGGCUCUCGCUUUCAUAGGUACCACAGGAAUUACCUACGUUAAAUUGGGUACUAAUUCAUUUUCACUAAGAUAAGUAGUUUUAGUACUCUCUAAUGAAUAAAAUAGUUUUGAAUGCCUAUGUUAAUAUGAAAUUCAGCACAAAUAGAGAUACUUAUAAUUCCUUCGACUCAUGAACUAAUAUGAUAAGCAUGUGUAUAAGCAUUUGUGGAAUCUAGAUGCCACAUCUGUUUCGCACUUUGAGCUCGUGAUUUCUUGUUAACUGUCAUUAGAACUAAUUAGUUCUAUAUUUUUGUCUGUCUGACCUACCUAGCUGGACAAUGGUGCCUUCAAGCCAAGAAAUGCUUGCUUAAUGUCCUUUGUUCCUGAGACAUUCGUUUAAGGAGUACUCCUACACCGUUCAUUUGUAAGCCUAAUAUGUCAUCUCUUUCUCUAAGAUCAAAACUUUUAAAAAUGUUGUAUUCGUGCAACACAUAUCAAGAACGUUUAUUGGAAAACUGAAGUUUAGAUCUUUUCAGAACGGUUUAAAGCUCCCUAUGGCCAGCAAUUCCAUUUUCCUCUGCACUCCCCUUUAAAGCUUAGGCACAAUGAGUGACUUUUGUAAUCAAAUCAUAUGAUCUCGGAGACAAUGACAGUAGCAAUCAAUAACAGUUAACCUAUCCAUAACUCAAGAGAAGGUGCCAAUGUCGUGAUGCUUCUUACGUACUUGAAUUCUUCAACACGACAAAACCUCAACUUAAAUAAUUGAACCAUAAAGAAGGAGGUACAAGAAGAAACACUAGUUCUCUUCUUCAUGAUUAUUUGAAAAGUAUAUCAUCUAGACAGUGAAGCAUUUGUUGGGUGUGGGCCAGCCCAUUUGUGGGCUAACCCACUUAUACAACACUUGAGGGUUUCUCAAGUUUAAAUAGAAAGUAGCAGCAGCCGCAAGAGUGAAUUUUCAAGCUUCGGUCCUCAUGCGAGAGAGAAAAGAAAAAAGGCCAGUCGCCGCUUUUGAGUGAGACAAAGAGAGAGAGACUUCAAGGUCUUGAUUGGAAGGUGAUUCAAAACUCGAUUGAAACGAAAUUUUACACACGCGAUCCUCUCGUCAAGUUCUACUCAUCUACCGGUUCAGAUUUCAGAUUUUCUUUUCGUUUGGUAACAUCUUUCCAAACCCACUUCUUUGACAGUUGUAGCUUUUGGGGGUGAUUUUGUAGCAACUGUGCUUGGUUGGUGGUGGUGAUAUUAUUGUCAUUCGAAUAUUACGGAUAGACCUGUGUAUUCCCAUUAUUGUGAAAGUGGAGUUUUUGACUGAACUAGGUCCCGUGAUUUUUUCCAAUUUGAGUUUUCCACGUAAAAAUCUUGGUGUCCUGUGCCUUUCUAAUUUUCCUGCAUUUUAUUAUCACUGUUAGUAUUAUUAUUUGGUGAUUUGGUUUGUUACUAUUUUUAACUGGUACUUGGGAGAAGAGAAAUUUAUCCUGAGCUAACUCUGAUAUUUUGCGCCUGUACUGGUACCCCUUUCCCAACAAGUGGUAUCAGAGCAGUCAGGUUAGGCUGCUUAUUUGUACUGAUUAAAAAUUGAUGAUUCGGAUAGUGGUUGUAUGAUAAAAUUAAAUGUAACUAAUUAUUCGAUGUGGAAGUCUAGAAUGGAAGAUUACUUGUAUUGUAGAGAUUUGUUUGAACCUGUUCUAGGGGAUAAAUGUAGACCAAGUGAUAUGAGUGAUGAAAAAUGGGCUAAUAUGCACAGGAAAACUGUUGGUAAUAUUAGAAAAUCGAUUGAUCAAAAUAUUUUUCAACAUUUUGCUAAUGACACCAGAUCUGAUAUAUUAUGAAAAAAACUUGAGAGUAUGUAUGAAAGAAAGACAAAUUUGAACAAGGCUAGCUGUCUGAAGCAGAUUACUCGAAUGAGAUAUAAGGAUGGGGAAGAUAUGACUGAACACUUGAGUAAUUUUCAAGGAUUGAUAAACCAGGCAACUACAUUAAAUUUGAAUCUGGAUGAUGAAGUGCAGGCUUUAUUAUUAUUCAGUUCACUACCGGAUAGUUGAAAAAUCAUGGUGGUCUCCAUCAGUAAUUCAGCUCCGAAUGGUGUGUUGACCAUGGUUAUUGCAAAAGAGGCCGUGAUGAAUGAAGAGUUUAGGAGGAAUGAACAAGGAAUUGUCUAUGAGACCCAAGCCCUGGUGACAGAAAAGAAAGAAAGAAGAGGAAGAAGCAAAAAUAGAGGUCCCCACAACAGGAAUGACAAAUCCAGAGGCAGGUCUGAGUCACGAAAAAAUGUUGCAUACUAUUAUUGUAAAAAGAAUGGGCAUUAUAUGAAGGAGUGCAGAAUCUUAAAAUAGGAUCAGGCUGAGAAAAAAGGUAAGGCGAAGAAAAAAGAUGAUGAGGACACUACAGCAGUUGUGGCAGCUCAUGAUGAUAUGUUUGUGUUCUGUGACGAUGGUCAGGUGAAUAUUAUUCAUUAUGAUAGUGAUUGGGUAGUUGAUUCGGGUGCAUCCUAUCAUGUUACUCCUCACAGGCAUUUCUUCUCAACCUACACCGAAGGAGAUUUUGGAUAUGUUAGGAUGGGAAAUGAGGUCUCAUACAAAGUUGUUGGCAUGGGAGACAUAUUUGGAUACAGAUACCGGGUGCCAGGUGAUAUUAAGAAAUGCUCGACAUGUCCCUGAUAUUCGUCUUAAUCUUAUCUCUACAGGAAAACUUGACGAUGAGGGCUACUAUAGCUCGUAAGGUGGAGGCAAAUGGAAACUCAGCAAGGGAAAUCUCGUUGUUGUUAGAGGAAAGAAACAGAGUACUCUUUACUUGAUGUAAGCCAAGUUGGGGAAGGGAGAAGUGAAUGCAGUUUGUGAUUCAUCAAUUAACCUUUGGCAUGCACGACUUGGGCACAUGGGUGAAAAAGGGAUUCAGACACUUGUUCGCAAACAGCUCCUUCCUGAAUUAGAGGUAAUGCACUUAAACCUUGUGUUGACUGCAUUUAUGGGAAACAACACAGAGUUGCAUUUCAAAAUUUUCCUCCAUCUAGAAAAUUGAAUGCUUUAGAAUUGGUUCACACUGAUGUUUGUUAUUUGAAAGAUAAGUCUCUUGGUGGUGCUAUUUAUUUUGUAACUUUUAUUGAUGAUUUUGCUAGAAAGGUUUGGUACUUUGCUUUGAAAUCCAAAGAUCAGGUUUUGGAUGUAUUUAAGGAUUUUCAUAGCAAAGUUAAAAAAGAAACUGGUAAACAGUUAAAGUGUAUUCGUGCUGAUAAUGGUGGUGAGUACAGAGAACCAUUUGAAAUCUAUUGCAAGUCCCAUGGAAUCAGAUUGGAGAAAACUGUACCAAAAAUUUCUCAAGAGAAUGGAGUAGCAGAGAGGAUGAACAGAUCCAUCACUGAGCGGGUCAGAUGUAUGCUCUCUAAUGCUAAACUGCCAAAACCCUUUUGGAGUGAGGCAAUGAGAACUGCAGUUGAUUUGAUAAAUCUUUCUCCAUCAGUUCCUCUAGAUGGUGAUAUCCCAGAGAGAGUAUGGACGGGAAAAGAUGUGUCCUUUAAGCAUUUGAGAGUUUUUGGUUGUCGGGCAUUUGUUCAUAUCCCCAAAGAUGAAAGGUCAAAACUUGAUGUAAAAUCAAACCAGUGCAUUUUCUUGGGUUAUGGACAUGAAGAUUUUAGUUAUAGGCUGUAUGAUCCUAUUGAAAAGAAGGUGAUCAAGAGCAGAGAUGUUGUCUUCUUUGAAGAUCAAACCAUUGAAGACAUUGAUAAAUGUGACAACUCAAAAUCCUCAGAUGACAUUUCUGCUAACUCAAAUUCAGAUCCAAAUCCAAUUCCAGUACCUGUUGAUUUUAAUCAAGAGGGAGCUGAGACAGAGCAGAAAGAGAAUGUUAAUGACGGUGAUAAUCCUACUGCUGAUGAACCUGAACAUGAGGCACCACUUACUCUACCACCGCCACUACAAGAUAAGGUUAGGAGAUCUACCAGAGAGAGGAGACCUUCUAACAGAUAUAAUCCUCAUGAAUAUGUGUUGUUGACAGAUGGAGGAGAGCCAGAAUCCCACGGUGAGGCUCUGGAGCAUGAGAAUAAAGAAGAUUGGUUGCGAGCCAUGCAAGAGGAGAUGGUGUCCCUGUAUGAAAAUCACACUUAUGAGCUAGUGAAAUUGCCUAAGGGUAAGAGAGUUCUGAAGAACAAAUGGGUCUACAGGUUGAAGACUUAGGAGCACAGCUCACAACCAAAGUACAAAGCAAGAUUGGUUGUGAAGAGAUUUAGUCAAAAGAAGGGUGUAGAUUUUGAAGAAAUCUUCUCUCCUGUGGUAAAAAUGUCAUCAAUUCGAGUUGUUAUUGGUAUUGCAGCUAGUUUGAAUUUAGAGAUCGAACAACUUGAUGUGAAGACAGCCUUCCUGCAUGGCGACUUGGAAGAGGAGAUCUACAUGGAGCAACAGGAGGGGUUCAAAGAAAGUGAUAAGGAAAAUCUUGUAUGUCGUCUCAAGAAGAGCUUGUAUGGGUUGAAACAAGCACCGAGACAGUGGUAUAAGAAGUUUGACUCCUUUAUGACAGACCAUGAGUACCACAGGACUACAUCUGAUCACUGUGUUUAUGUGAAAAAUUUUUCAAAUGGUGAUUUUGUUAUUCUCUUGCUAUAUGUUAAUGACAUGUUGAUUGUUGGCCGUGAUACUUUAAAAAUUGACAGGUUGAAAAAGGAGUUAAGUAAAUCCAUUGUAAUAAAGGAUUUGGGUCCGGCUAGACAAAUAUUGGGAUUGAAAAUCUCACAAGACAGGCAAAAUGGGAAGCUUUGGUUGUUUCAAGAAAAAUACAUUGAGAAAGUGUUCAAUUGAUUUAACAUGAGCAAUGCUAAGGAAGUCUCAACUCCACUUGCAGGUCACUUUAAAUUGAAUAUCAAACAGUGUCCUACAAAUGAGAAAGAUAAAGAAGACAUGAAAAAAAUUCCUUAUGCUUCGGUCGUUGGUAGCUUGAUGUAUACUAUGGUUUGCACCAGGCCAGAUAUUGCUCAUGCAGUUGGAGUAGUCAGUCGGUAUCUCUCUAAUCCUGGUAAGGAGCAUUGGAAUGCUGUCAAAUGGAUUCUCAGGUAUCUCAAAAGAACUUCUAGAUUGUGCCUAUGUUUCGACAAUAGUAAAACUAUGUUAGAUAGAUACACUGAUGCAGAUAUGACAGGUGAUCUUGAUAAUAGGAAGUCCACAUCUGGAUACUUGAUGAUUUUUACAGGAGGAGCAGUGUCAUGACAAAGUAAGUUGCAGAAAUGUAUCGCCCUUUCUAGUACAGAGGCAGAGUAUAUUGCAACCACUGAAGCAUGCAAGGAGACUCUUUGGUUGCAGAAAUUCCUUCAAGAGUUAGGUAUGAAACAAGAGAAGUAUAGUCUUUACUGUGACAGUCAGAGCGCUAUUCAUUUGUGUAAGAAUUCUAUAUUUCACUCUCGAUCAAAACACAUUGAUGUGAGGUAUCAUUGGAUUCGAGAAGUACUGGAUUCCAAGUUGUUGACGCUUGAGAAGGUGCAUACAAAUGAUAAUGGUGCUGACAUGUUUACCAAGGCAUUGCCUAAGGAGAAACUCUUGUUUUGCAGACAAGAAGCAGGUUUGGUGAAGCCCCCCAAAUGAGAUGGAGGGGGAGAUUGUUGGGUGUGGGCCAGCCCAUUUGUGGGCCAACCUACUUAUACAACACUUGAGGGUUUCUCAAGUGUAAAUAGAAAGCAGCAGCAGCCGUAAGAGUGAAUUUUCAAGCUUCGGUCCUCGUGCGAGAGAGAAAAGAAAAAAAGGCCAGCCGCCACUUUUGAGUGAGACGAAGAGAGAGAAAGGGCUAGAGAGAGAGAGAGACUUCAAGGUCUUGAUUGGAAAAUGAUUCGAAACCCGAUUGAAACGAAAUUUUACACACGCGAUCCUCUCGUCAAGUUUUACUCAUCUACCCGUUCAGAUUUCAGAUUUCCUUUUCGUUUGGUAACACCUUUCCAAACCCAUUUCUUUGACAGUUGUAGCUUUUGGGGGCGAUUUUGUAGCAACUGUGUUUGGUUGGUAGUGGUGAUAUUAUUGUCAUCCGAAUAUUACGGAUAGACCUGUGUAUUCCCAUUAUUGUGAUAGUGGAGAUUUUGACUGGACUAGGUCCCGUGAUUUUUCCCAAUUUGGGUUUUUCACGUAAAAAUCUUGGUGUGCUAUGCCUUUUUAAUUUCCCUGCAUUUUAUUAUCACUGUUGGUAUUAUUACUUGGUGAUUUGGUUUGUUCCUGUUUUUAACUGGUACUUUGGGGAAGAGAAAUUUGUCAUGAGCUAACUCUGAUAUUUUGCGUCUGUACUGGUACCCCUUUCCCAACAGCAUUCGCCUCCACUUACUUAAGCAAGCAGGAUCCAGGAAAUGUCUUAUUCUGCACGUUGAUGAAAAGGAACGACAUGUUUCAAAGGAAAAAACCAUUGAAGAAAAAUGGCUACAAGGAUAUGUCAAUUGUAGAAAUUAUUAAGUUAAACUAAUAUUUCAGUUUGCCAUGUUAUCUGGAACUAGGUGGCAUAUUUGAUAGUUUGAAAGACAAAUCCACUAGAGAAAGAUUUCACUGAAUGCACGAAUUCUACUUAGUCAUCCAUCUGCUCUAUUUCUAAAGCAACAGAGCUACAUAGGGGUGCCGUUGACUCAUCAGAAGAACUACUAUUGCUGCUUCUUUGCAUGGAUAUGGGUGAAUCCGGAGGGUAAAACAAUGGUUUAAGAGGCAACUUUAGGCCACUAGAAUCACCUUCAAGCAUUUCCAGGACUUCUCUCAUUGAAGGACGAUUCUCAGGUAUCAUCUGUAUGCACCACAAUGCAAUCAAAAUCAAUUUUCGUGUAAUUGUCUUUUCUUCUUCAAUUGCAAGAUCUCCGAUUUCCAUUUCCUCCACCUGAUCGAAUUUGUCAUAUAUCCAUGAAGGGAAGUAUAUUUGACUUGAAUGCUCAGCAUGCGAAUCCACAUUUCUCCUCCUCCCAGCCAUCUCCAUUAGUAACAUUCCAUAGCUGUAAACGUCUGUCUUAUGUGAGACUCUUCCAAUCUUUUUAUAGAACAGUUCCGGGGCCAUGUAACCUAAAGUUCCUCUCGCAGCAGUAAGAGUUGCAAUACUCUUUUCCAUCGGGUAAAGUUUUGCAAGUCCAAAGUCCGAAACUUUUGGAACAAAGUUCUCAUCAAGUAAGAUGUUAUGCGGUUUAAUAUCAAAAUGCAGAAUUUGCAUAUCACACCCCUGAUGCAAGUAUUCAAUGACACGAACAACCCCCUUUGCAAUCUCACAAACUUGCUUCCAGCUCAAUGGAGAACCAUUUUGACAAUUUGAGAAAAUUAACUUAUCCAGAGAGCCAUUUGGCAUGUAAUCAUACACUAGAGCAUGUUUUGAGGCAGUGACACAAAAUCCCACUAAUCGAACCACGUUCACAUGGUGUAUUCUUCCAAUAGUCGCAACUUCAUUGAUGAACUCUUGCCCACUAGCUUUUGAUUUGUUCAGCAUCUUGACAGCAACUGCACUUCCACUGCGCAAUUUGCCUUUGUAAACCAAACCAUAGCCUCCUUCACCUAGUUUCUCCUCAAAUUUUUUUGUCAUUGUCUUAAUUUCUUUGUAUGAGUACCUAAUGGGCAUGAGUCUGCUGUUUGUUUGUAGGAAAUCUUCUAUUGUAUCAUACCUCAAUAAAUGCCUCCGACGACACCGAUAAAGGAGGAAAGCAAACAGGAUGGCAAUGCCAAUGACACUUUUUGCCGGGAUGAGUAGAAUUGAAAUCGAAGAGAGGAACAAUUAUAUUUAGCCAUGGUUGAUUCUAGCAUAUCCCCAAUUGACAGAGUUUUCAACUAUAAAUCAGGUGUCUUACCCUAAACUUUGAUACCAAUACCCACGUCACCUGUUUAUAAAAAAAAAACCUCCAAGGAUUAUGAUAGGGUGUUAAUUGUUGGUAUUUUUAUUAUUAAUUUUCCCUUCUAUCCCUGACAAAUAUUGUGUUAAUUGCUGAUAUUUACUCAUAUUUGGUAUUUGAAAUCAAUUUCAGGAAUGAAGUAGAAAACUACCAAAAAGGAGGGACUUUGUGAAAAAUAUGGAGACUUCUAAGGGUUUCAAUCCUUGGGCCCUUGGAUUGGUGGGGACCACAAAGCUAUAAGUCAUUUGGGCUUCAAAGAAAGCAACGUAGAGAGACUUGGAACAAGAAGUACUUGGGAGGCUUUGUCCACAUGUGUGGGGACCACCUAGAUAGCUUUCAGUCAUCUUUCUUUUGUUGCUUUAAAAGGGGGACAACGUACAGAAGCAAUAUAGAUCGAGGGCUUUAGUUUUAGUUUUUUAGUUUAGUUCUAGUUUUCUUUCUUUGGACUGGCCUCUGACACACGCCAGGUAUUCGACAAUAUUCCCCAACGGGGAGAUUUUCUCAUGAGGCGUGGUUAAGCUUUUCUAGUCAAGGGGACAACUGACGAUUUGGUUCGACAAUUACUGUGAGAUCGAAUCUGUUUUAAUUAUUUUCUUCAUUUAUUGGUAUUUAUAUGUUCCUUGAUUUUAAUUGCUAUGGCCUUGUGUAUGAUUGAUUAGUGCGCAAUAAUUAAUUAUUCAUAUAGGCUAUUUUUGCUAAAUAGGGGUAAUUGAAUCCGUAAUUGUUCGUUAUCUCUACCUCAGUAGCAACUGGCGUAAUUGGGUUUAUGUCAGGGGAGCAUAUGAUCUAAUUUAAACAAACCCUCGUAGCGUGUUUGUUGGUUAGGAUUGGGCCUUUCUAAUUAUUAAUGCAAUCUAGAAAUUAAAUCCUACGGUCGUACCUAGGGUUAUUUUUGGGUUAGAGAAAUAGCUAACGGUCGUACCUUAGCUAUCGAGAAAUUAAGGAAGGGUUGGUUGUUUAUCGCGUGCAUGACAACUAUAACUAAUCUAUUGCUAAAUGUUGGAAUUAUUUCUGCAUCAAUGAUCAGUGCAUGAACCAUUUCUGAUGUGUACCCUUGGCUAGAGUUUCUCCAAUAUUUAUUUCUUUUAUUUAUUUUCUGCAUUUAAUUUAUUUAGUUAGCAUUUAAUCCAAAACCCCCCAUACCUUGGACUCUAGAAGAAACGAAUUAUUCCCAGUCCCUGUGGAUUCGACCCUACUCGCCGCUAUAUACAAAAUCUGUAUUUUUCUCGAGUAGGUACUUAUUAUUGCACAGGUUCGGCACCUGUCAAUUUUUGGCGCCGUUGCCGGGGACUGGUGUCAGAUUAAUUUGUUUCUUUUUGAGUUCACCUUGUUCUCAUUUUUAAUUUAUUUUUCUCUUAUUUUUUUUAUAGUUUAUGGCUGCUAACAUUCCAUAUUUUGAUGAUAGACUGGACUUUGUUCCUGAAUGGGGUUAUGAGACUCAUGUUUUCCCUAAUGAUCAAUGGGCUGUUGCAAAUUGUGGAACUUAUUUUGAUUCAGGUUAUUCAACUGACACAUGCCCCGCAUUUCAAGAUAAUCUAAGCGCUCCAAUUGAUACUUUUGGAGAUUUUUCACCCCAAUAUCAAACGCAGUAUGACCCUUAUUCAAACGGGUAUGAUCAAGGAUGGUGGGAUAAUUCCAAUUUUGAUUAUGCAACCGGGCCAAUGGAUUUUCAACAGCAAGAGUCUCAGCAGUCAUCCUCCGUGUCAGGUAUGUCUCUUGAAGAAAUGAUAGGUUUACUAAUUGCUAAUUCAAAUCGAUUUCAUCAGGAGACACAAGCGAGCCUAAAUCGAUAUCAUCAGAAGACACAAGCGAGCCUUCGCGACCUGGCAGAUCAACUGCGUCAAUUGACAUCCAGGAUAGAGCGAUUAGCUCCUCAAAUGGAAGAAUUGCCCGCACAAACCAAUAUCAAUCUUGAGGAAGAUGAGAGUGCAAUUGUCCGGCCAAAUGACAUGGAACUGCAAGAGUUUCAAGAAAACGGAUUUAAAGAUGCAGUUGAAAAGGAAGCUGAAGUGCAAGAAAUGAGACUCCAAGAUCAACUCGUUCAAGUGAAUGAAUCCAGUGAACAAUCUCCAAAUGCGGUGACAUCUUCUCCACUCCUUAAUCAAUAUUUUCCUGACUCCUAUUCUUCAACUCCUGUUAUUGAAAUUGACUUUAUUAUACCAGAAAAUUUAAAAUUUCAUGACAGGAAUAAGUUAAGAGUGGAGAUGGCAAAAUAUCUUGAACCAAUGAAUGCAAGUGAGGGAGGAGUGAAUGGAGAAUGUAAAUUAUCAUCGACUCGUUUGGCGCUAUUCACUAGUCCAUGGAAGCCCGUAGCUCGUAUGCUCAAGGAUUAUUCUAUUUACGAGGGUUAUCAGGACUAUAUAGAGGAUGAAGCAGUAAGACGAGCCACAAGAUUUUAUCCUCCAUGAGCAAAACAUGAUAAUGUCUAGCCAAAGACAUUAAAGAAAGGCGCUCAUUGGGAGGCAACCCAAUUGUUCCUUUUAAUUGUUUGUUCCUUUUCGUGUGGUAGUUUAGAUGUAUUGUCCUUGAAUUCGACUGAUUUUGGGUUUCAAUUUUCAUUUUUGCUGAUUUAUAGGUGCCUUUCAGUCAUGACGCGCCCGCGUGGUGAUGUGCAGGAAGCUCACAAUCAGAAACUUCUGGGAGCUCUCUUGCCCUCAUGACGUGCCCGUGUGGUGAUGUGCAGGAAGCUCACGAUCAGAAACAUCAGAAACUUCUGGGAGCUCUCUUGCCCUCAUGACGUGCCCGCGUGGUGAUGUGCAGGAAGCUCACGAUCAGAAACAUCAGAAACUUCUGGGAGCUCUCUUGCCCUCAUGACGCGCCCGCGUCACGUUCGCGGGAAAGGUAAGGAUUCAAAAAAAAAAAAAAAAUUUCUUUUAACCGUAGCUACCUCUUUUCUUUUUUGUUACAAAAGAAAACAAAUAAAAAAUAAAAUAAAAAUAAAAAAAAUUUUGAAAAAAAUAAAAAAGAAAAAGAAAAAAAGAGGAAGUAAUACGGAAUCAAAAGGAAGAAUUUUUCUUUCUCCUUAACCGUAGCUAGUCCUUGACUUGUCAACGUAAAAACAAAAAAAAAAAAAUCCUUUCUUUUUCUUUCUUUUCUUUCUUUCUUUCUUCUUCUUUCUUUCUCUUUUCUUUCUUUCUUCUACUCUGUUCCCCUGCUGGUCCGUCGCCCCUGCUACCCGCACACCUCCAAGCUCAGUGCCGCCCUCAGCUCUCUUUCCACCACCAGAUAUGCCACCACCGCCCGCCGCGGCCCGUCACCGACACCGCGCGCCAACCUCCACCAGUCCAUCAGCCCUUGCGCGCAGCUCUCUCCCCAGCGAGCCCGUUGCGCCAUCUCCACCUGCGUGCUCCAGCCGCCACCAUUUCGCCGCUGCCUGCCACAGCCCAAGACCACCGCCGUGCGGUCAACCUCAGCGGCCACCAGCUCUGCAACCUCGUGCGCCACCAGCGGCUGACCACCAGACACGCCACCCACUUCGCUUCCCUCUCUCUCUCCCGCGGCCAUCAUCAGCUUUGCCUCACCUCACGCCAACCACUACCGCCCCAGUUCUUUAUUUGGUAGCCGGUAGAGGUAUUUCAACCUCGAUCCCCAAUUUUUGGUGUUGAUUGGUAUCAUUUAGCAGCUGUGUUACUUUACUCCGGAUUUGUUCAUUUGCUGUUAUUGCCUAUCUAAUUGAUAGUGCGGGGAUUAUGCCUGUGUUACUACGGUCUAUAUUCUAACUUGCUAUUUCGGGUCGGCCAAUUUCUUGGGAAUAUUUAUUGUGUUUUUUGUGGAUUUGAGUUCAAUUGUUCUGGGUUAUUGGGUGUUUGACAGUUGCCCUGCUCUUGGCCUCUUUGAUUAGCACAUUCGUUGAAAUUGGUUGUGCUCUAGCACAGUGCCGGGGGGGGACAUUUGUUCAAACUUUUGGGGGGAAUUGUUGAAGUUCUUGGGUGGGCUGGAAUUUUAACAAUUGUCUGUGAUAUUUUGGGAAGGAUCUCGGCCAGUGUUGUGCUUGUUGAAAUUUUGGUUGAUUUAAUUCGGCAACUGCAUUCCUUGUUGGCAUUAGUAGUUUUUAAUCGAGUUUUUGAGGACAUUCUGGAUGUUGGUUUAUAUUGCUGAUUUGGAGGAACAGUGUCUGUGAUUUUGGUCUGAUCAUUUGUGCAAUUUGUUGACUCAUUUGAGGACUUAUUUGUUUCCUGGGUUUGUUUAUUGACUUCGGUGAACUGGGUUCCCACCUACGGUUCCUCUACUUGCUCUAUUCAUUGGAAUUCCAGUCGCCUGUUGUUCUUCUUUAGAGGUUUAGAAUCUUUCUUGUGAUUAGAUUAACACUUGGGGCUAUUGCUUUACUACUGCUCUACUCUGCUAUAGCAAUUUCAUUGAUUUUGGACUACGUUUUGCACCAGUGGUACUGGUUGGGGGUAUUUUGAUUAGCAUUUGUUAUUUUCAAGUAGUUGGCUACCUGAUUGUGAUUGUGUGGUUAUUCUCCAACUUCUAUACUGCUAUUACUGGAAUUGCUGCUUUUGAGUUGAGAAAUUAACUGUCUACUUGGAGGCUUUGUUGAGAUUUUGGGUGGACAGAGUUUUGCAUUUGCUGGUUGAAUUGAGUUGAGAUAUCUCAGACCUUGGCCGCGUACUUCUAUCACAUCAGUUUCCGUGCACCUUUCCCGCCUACCCUUUCGCCACUCGUGAGGGAAGUUUCGUUGCCCUCUUCGUUUUAAUUGCUUUAAUCCCUCAAUUGAGGACAAUGUAGGAUCUAGGUGUGGGGGGGACAGCUAUACUAGUUAUUUAUUUUUAGUUUGCUAUUUGUCCACCUCUCGUUCAUUUUUUUUUUCUUCUUUUUAGUGAUUGGCUCGUAAGUGCAUGCCAAGGUUUGAUGUUGAAUUAUUGCCUCUAUUUCUACUUUUGCCAAGUUUUAAUAAUAAAAGGGUACCAAGUUAAUGUGGUUGAAUCCAAAAACAUCUCUUUGGUGAAUAUCAAUGAUUGUUUUACUCUUAUAAUUUUUGGUUAACUUUCCUAGGCAUAGGGAAUGAUUAUUGGCAUUUUCGUGUGAAUUGGUCCGGUUAUUAACUUUAGUUCUCCAUGUUUGAAAAUGAGGUUAGCUGAUGCAAGUUUUCUUUUGGUUCUUGUGUUAUAUUGAGUUUUUGUGAUUUUUAGCUAUGAAUAAACUUGACUGUACUCCGCUAUUAGUUACUACUGAGAAACCGGGGAUCUGCACCUAAAAGUGUCGAUUCUCGCGUCAAAAAGUAGUAAUUGCUAUGAGUACGUGAUCACGUGGCGAUAGAAGCUGAGUAACCGGGCUCCUUCAUCUGGCCAAUGUUGGAGUUCGCGUCAAAAGGCUCAAAUGGCUAGCGACUAAGUCUUUUGUUACUAUUGAAAGAAAAAAAAGAAUCAAAAAAAAAAAGAGAGAAAAGUAGAAAAAAUGUGAAAAAAAAGUGAAGGUUGUGUUAGUGUGUAAUAAAAGUCAGCUUGCCGAAUUAUGGAUUUAAUGUUGAGAUUUUGGUUAAUAGUUGGACCAUUUGCUGAUAAAUGUUGUGUGUCAUUCCUUUUUCUUAGAUUAGUUAACCUGGAAUUAGAGGAGUUUGUGGUUUAGAAGCUAACCGGAGUGAUGUUUCUUGGACUUGACCAUUGAUGCUUGAAUAUUAUUUUUCUUGGUAUCUUGGCAAUUUGUUGGAUAGAGCAAUAGCCACUAUCAAAUAUUGGUGUUUGUUUCUUGUUCUCAUGCUUGAGGACAAGCAUGGUUUAGGUGUGGGGGGAAUUGAUAGGGUGUUAAUUGUUGGUAUUUUUAUUAUUAAUUUUCCCUUCUAUCCCUGACAAAUAUUGUGUUAAUUGCUGAUAUUUACUCAUAUUUGGUAUUUGGAAUCAAUUUCAGGAAUGAAGCAGAAAACUACCAAAAAGGAGGGACUUUGUGAAAAAUAUGGAGACUUCUAAGGGUUUCAAUCCUUGGGCCCUUGAAUUGGUGGGGGACCACAAGCUAGUGAAGUCAUUUGGGCUUCAAAGAAAGCAACGUAGAGAGACUUGGAACAAGAAGUACUUGGGAGGCUUUGUCCACAUGUGUGGGGACCACCUAGAUAGCUUUUAGUCAUCUUUCUUUUGUUGCUUUAAAAGGGGGACAACGUACAGAAGCAAAGAGAUCUAGGGCUUUAGUUUUAGUUUUUUAGUUUAGUUCUAGUUUUCUUUCUUUGGACUGGCCUCUGACACACGCCAGGUAUUCGACAAUAUUCCCCAACGGGGAGAUUUUCUCAUGAGGCGUGGUUAAGCUUUUCUAGUCAAGGGGACAACUGACGAUUUGGUUCGACAAUUACUGUGAGAUCGAAUCUGUUUUAAUUAUUUUCUUCAUUUAUUGGUAUUUAUAUGUUCCUUGAUUUUAACUGCUAUGGCCUUGUGUAUGAUUGAUUAGUGCGCAAUAAUUAAUUAUUCAUAUAGGCUAUUUUUGCUAAAUAGGGGUAAUUGAAUCCGUAAUUGUUCGUUAUCUCUACCUCAGUAGCAACUGGCGUAAUUGGGUUUAUGUCAGGGGAGCAUAUGAUCUAAUUUAAACAAACCCUCGUAGCGUGUUUGUUGGUUAGGAUUGAGCCUUUCUAAUUAUUAAUGCAAUCUAGAAAUUAAAUCCUACGGUCGUACCUAGGGUUAUUUUUUGGUUAGAGAAAUAGCUAACGGUCGUACCUUAGCUAUCGAGAAAUUAAGGAAGGGUUGGUUGUUUAUCGCGUGCAUGACAACUAUAACUAAUCUAUUGCUAAAUGUUGGAAUUAUUUCUGCAUCAAUGAUCAGUGCAUGAACCAUUUCUGAUGUGUACCCUUGGCUAGAGUUUCUCCAAUAUUUAUUCCUUUUAUUUAUUUUCUGCAUUUAAUUUAUUUAGUUAGCAUUUAAUCCAAAACCCCCCAUACCUUGGACUCUAGAAGAAACGAAUUAUCCCUAGUCCCUGUGGAUUCGACCCUACUCACCGCUAUAUACAAAAUCUGUAUUUUUCUCGAGUAGGUACUUAUUAUUGCACAGGUUCGGCACCUGUCAAUUUUUGAUUCUAGCAUAUCCCCAAUUGACAGAGUUUUCAACUAUAAAUCAGGUGCCUUACCCUAAACUUUGAUACCAAUACCCACGUCACCUGUUUAUAAAAAAAAAACCUCCAAGGAUUAUAAUGGAAAUACUGAAAUCGAAAGAAUUAAGAAGGAUUAUUGGUGUUUACUCACGAAUACCUCCAAAUCGGCUGACGUAAUUGACGAUUGGUACUGCCAAGAGGCCUACAUCGCCUAAGAACAGAAGUCAAAGUCAAUAUCCAAAGUCGAUGCUUAAAAAUCAACUUUUAUUAAUUAUAUCGCCUCAUAUGUGUACAGGUUUCAAAUUAGUACGAUAAUAAAUUCAACGUAUGUGUAUUUUCCAUGGUUUAAAUUGAGAAUUCAAUAAUUCAUGUGUUUGUUGGGAUAAAAAACAAAUAAGCUUUCUAAAAAUUUCAACUCACCUUCCUGUCCAAAAUCCAAGUAUUCUAAUUUGACAGAGCAAGCAAAUUCAAAAGAUCAAAUAAAAAAGUAUAUGAGAAUUUAGGCGGCAAUUUGUUUGCUUAAAAAGAUUUACAAGAACAAUGAGUAAAGGCAAAAUAUAUAGCAAUAGGUUUAUGGUAAUCUAAUUACCAAAAUUCAGAGUUAAUUUCAUGAAUUCUUUUAAUCAUAAAAAAGGAAUAAAAAAAAGCAAGUCAAAAAUCUCCUAGAAAAUCUCGGGUUAAGAUGCUUUCCACUGUUCUCUCCAUUUAUUUAUAUCUAAAAAAACUAUAACUUAUAAAAGCAUCCGAUUUUUUAUUGCUUUUUUUCGUAAGGAAGAAGAUUUGAACCCAAUAUCUCUUACUUGUAGCUCCUCCCAUCUUAUUAUCUAAUACAAUCCUUACCCUAUAAAAUUAUUCGAUUAUGUCACUACUUUUCUUUUUGAUCUCUAAAUCAAAAUAUUUCAAAAAUUAUGUUCUAUUAACAACUUUUUGGCAUUCAAUUUGUAAUAAGUAUUUGAAUGGUGAAAAAUAGGUCAAAAUUAUAACAAAAUUGGUAAUGAUUAAUUAGACGGCAAAACUUAGUCAAUUGCGUAUGAUAUUUUGUGUAACUAACAAAAGUGAUAAAAUCCGUUUAUGAACAGUGUUGAUUUUUUAGAAUAACUUUUAAAUUCACUUUUAUUGAUGUGUAAUAGAUAGAAAUUCUCUCUAGCACAAUGAAAGAAACCUAGUCUAAACACCUCCAGACCUAAACCGAAAAAAAAAGUCAUGUCAUCGGUCUCUGAAUUAAACGAAUGAUCUAAAAGGAAUUGGGGCAGAUGCAAUUGUGUACCAUUUCUUGCAUAUAUUUACAUUAUACUAUUAUUUUGCACAUGAAUUUUUCAUUUUAUUAGUUGCUAUUGAUUGUGGAUACCAAAUGUCAUAACGGUUUAUCUAAGUAUACUCUAAUUACUAUAUGAAGUAUAAUAACUAGACACAAACAUAUACCAAACAAAAAAUGUACCUGCCCCACGUUUCCGGAGAAGAUCUUAAUAAAUAGCCUUUAGUUAAUAUAAUACGUAAAAUAAUCAAGUAUGCGCAUUUAUUAGAUAGCAAGGUCUUGCACAAAGUAGUGAUAUUUGAUAAUGCAAUUAAUUACAUGAAUGAUGCAUUGAAUUUUGGCUUGGAUCAAAUAAAAAUUAAGAAAUCUAUGCUUUCAUUUUUUUGUGAUCCACAACUCAAAUGCAUUAAUGAAUUAUAUUUGGAACAUUAUAUUAAGACUUAUAUGGUGUAUGAAAUUUAAAAUAAACGGUUGUGCUCAUCAACAAUAAUUAAUUGUUCUAUAAUUAAAAAAAAAAAGAAAAAAUGAAUAGUACUACCAUAUUUAGCCGCAAAUAUACAGUAAUUUGGCAAUAAUUCCCCAAAAACAUAGUUUCAAGCAGUAGUAUUGAAUACGUUUUAAAAGAUCGUCAUAAUCAAUCAUCAAUCACGAUGUUAAUAAAUCUUCAAAUCAGUGUACUUACAAAGAAAGGAUCUCCUCCUCCUGCUGGUCUCCAAGCCUGCGUACCAACUGAUCUCAUAGCCAUUAGACAGAAGAUUGUAGAUGUCUUGAAACGAAAUAUCUCCUCCUGUUACAUUAGGGAGACACCGCAGGUCUACAGGAACUGUCUUAUAGACAGUGCACGACUCUUCAAUAUCAGAUGCCACCACAUUUUUGCCCACCACAACAUAGCUGUAAUAAUUGGACGGAGCUUUCAUUUUUGAAAAAUGAUUUGCAGUGAUAUUACAGGAAGCAGUGUCUACAUAAAGAGGAUAUUUCGAUUUCAUCGGAUUUUUACAGCUCACAAAGAGCAACAAAUCAGUAUCAGGAGCAAUCUCCAUCUGACUGGCAAAGAUGUAGUACGGCCGGUAUGGAUUUAAUGGCUUGAAUGAGUAAACUGGCAGAGUAGAACAGUUAUUCUUUUGCACCCCACGAUCAAAUAUACGAAGUGUCUGUUUCUCAUAAUCAAUACUGUUUAGCUCCAAAUAAAAGUAAUACUGUUGUAUCUCCAGAUGGUUACCAACACUCAAGGAUAGAACAGUGCGAUUAUUUUCACAAGAGAUUUCAAUAACAUCAGCUUCAGGGCACAAAUCUGGAUCAUCACCCCUAAAUUGAAAUGGCCACUUUAAAUUGAUGUCGGUGCCCCCGCAAGUGGAUGGGCUAUGGUCACAGCUGGUGUUUUUGGAAUUGUAAAAACUACCAAAUCUCUGACAAUGGGUAUCGAAAAAACCACCAGAUGUGAUAUCCAGCACCCAGUAGCAAAUCAAGAUUAGAGAAAACAAAACUACCAAAAUGUGAAGUUGAAGCAUACUUCUUAAAGACCGACUGAGUGAAUUAAAAAAAAAGAAGCCGGAUAUAUAUAGGAAACGGAGAAGGGGCACUUUACUUGGCAAAGAGAAUAGGACCUAAGGUCUCAAAUAGGCCAAAAUCAAUUUAUUGAAUAUCUCUUUCAGAACUAGGCCUUAUUACCAGAGUUACAUUCUGUGACAAAAAAUACAGGAAAAUAUGUAGCAAAUCAAAUUUAAGAAAAUAAAUUGAUCUGCCAACCUGGAUGUGGCCUUUCAGUAUCCAUAUCAAAGUUCCAAACUAGAUUUCUUUUUUUCGUUUUUUCUUCCUUAAGGGCCUCUAGUCUAGACUGUUGAAUAUUUCUUUUAAGCAGUCCAACAUAGAUUUAUAAAUGAACACUUUAACCCCGAAAAAAGAAAAAGAAAAAAAAGGAAAAUUAGUCAGGUAAUGAGUCUACUAAUACAUAAGUUAUAUUGUGAAUUCAGAGCCACAUCAUUAUGGUGAUGCAUGAUGAAAAAAAAUAUUUAUAAGAAAUGAUCUUUAUUUUAAUGAAAAACACACUCAAUAUUAUGAUAACUAGUGUAUUCGAUAAAAGAAUAAAAAGAUAUCUGAUGAGAAGCUAAUUAGUUCACUUCAAAAUAUCAAGAUCAGGUUUAGAAAAGUGGUUCACUCGUUCUUUUCCUCUUUACAAUUUUUGGGGCCCUGGAAUUGAAUGGAGUAUUGAAUAAUUUGAGUAUAUUCCACAUUUGAUCGUUUUAACUUUCCAACAACAUCAAACCCAUUAAUGUUUUGCAGAAUAGUCUUUUUUUUUCUUGUAAGUCCCAAUUGAUGGUAACAUAAAAAUCAAGUCGAGUAAAUCCAAAAAAUUUAAAAGAGAAAAAAUCUAUAGACCUAGAUGCCAUCUUCCAUAAUUCACACGCUAAAUGUCUAAUUCACACCUAAAUGUCUAAUAGUGUAUUUCAAAAGAAUUUGUCCCACAUUGAAAAAUCAAAAAGAUUUUCAAUCAUUAUAUAAUACUUAGCUUCUUAAUUAAGAAACCUAAACAAUUAUCAAUGAAUACGUAUGAUGGGUUCCUAAACCCAGGUUUUCUCGUUCCGUAUAAUAAAAGAUGUCAAAGUCAUUGUCGCGUUUCGAUGCAGGCAUUAAUUAGUCAGGUAGUUCUUUCAUCUAUCAGUUUCGGGGUCCAACUAUAGGGGGUUAUAUGUAAUUUUUCCAACUUUAUUAUUAUUACACACCACCUAAGUGGAAAACUUUCUAAUAGUGUAUUGUAAUAGUACUGAUAAGUGAAUAUUUAACGUAUAUUUUGUACAAAUUUGGUAUGAACUUUUGGUAUGUUUUGAGAAGAUUAAAGCCAUAUUUGAACUCUUUUGGUGAUAAUUGAGUUAAUAUUAUGUAAAUGUUCAAAAUGUGAUAAAUGAGUGGAUUAAUGUGUUAAAUUUUGUGAAAUUGUGAAGGAUAUUGAUAUAUGAAAUUCAUGUACGAGAUAAAAGACAGGUAAGGAUCAUCCGGAGUACAAAGUACAAAAGAAAUUGGGACAUAUGAGCGAGAAAAACUUGGGCAUAUAAGCAAAAGGGGACUUCUUUGCGGUCAGAAUACUGGGUCACUGGAAUUCUGUGAACAUUGUAUCUUUGAAAAACAAAAAAGAGUUUGCUUCAGUUCUCCAGCAAUCCGUAAGACGAAAGGUACUCUUGAUUAUAUUCAUUUAGAUUUAUGGGGUCCAUCUCGUGUUCCGUCUAAGGGUGGUGCUAGGUAUAUGUUGACUUUCAUUGCUGAUUAUUCAAGAAAAGUUUGGGUUUAUUUUCUUAAACAUAAGAAUGAUGUUUACCUCACUUUCAAGCAAUGGAAAGUUUUGAUUGAGAAACAGACAGGUAAACAAAUCAAGCGGCUUAGAACAGAUAAUGACAUGAAAUUUUGUGAAAGAGAAUUUGAUGAAUUUUGCAAGAAUGAAGGAAUUGUUCGGCAUCACACUGUCAGGAUAACGCUUCAACAAAAUGUUGUGGCUGAACGUAUGAACAGAACACUUUUGGAGGAAGCGAGGUGCAUGAUCUCUAACACAGGGUUGGCAAAGGAUUUUUGGAUUGAGGCAAUUUCUAUGGCCUGUUAUAUUGUCAACCGUGCUCCUUCUGCUGCUCUUAAUUUCAAAACUCCUGAGGAAGUUUGGUUAGAUACUCCUGCUGAUUAUUUUGAUUUUAAAAUUUUUGGGUAUCCAGCACACAUGCAUGUAAAUGAUGAAAAAUUGGAACCUCGAGCUAAAAAGUGUAUUUUCCUUGGGUAUGCUUCUAGGGUGAAAGGAUACAGAUUAUGGUAUCCUGAUCCUAAAUCUCCAAAAUUUAUAAUCAGUAGUGAUGUUAUUUUUGAUGAAUUCUCUAUGUUAUCUUCCAAGAAGGAGUCUUCUAGUUCUUGUCAAAACAGAUGAUAGUAUGCAGAAGCAGGUGGAGUUUGAGAUUGGUAGUUCUGGUCCUUUUAUUCAGCAAGUGCCAGUAGAUGCAUCUGAAUCUACUGAUGAAAAUAAUUCAGAAGAGGAAUAAUAUUCCAUUGCCAGAGAUAGGCCAAGGAGGGAUAUUCGACCACCACAAAGAUAUACAAAUUUGGUUGCAUAUGCUUUGUCUAUCGCAGAAGAAACUGAUGUAGUUGAUGAGCCUACUACUUAUUCAGAUGCGAUUUCUUGUGAUGAUUCUACUAAGUGGUUGGUUGCGAUGAAUGAAGAAAUUGAGUCUCUCCAUCAAAAUGAAACUUGGGUUCUUGUGAUGCCGCCUCCAAGUAAGAAAAUCGUUGGAUGCAAAUGGGUCUUCAAGAAGAAAGAAGGUAUUCCAGGAGUUGAAAAUGCAAGGUACAAAGCACGUUUGGUUGUAAAGGGUUAUAGUCAGGUACAAGGUGUUGAUUUUAAUGAAGUAUUUUCACCUGUUGUUAAGCAUAGCUCUAUUCGUGUUUUGCUUGUUUUAGUUGCCAUGUAUGAUUUGGAGUUGGAGCAACUUGAUGUUAAGACAGCUUUCUUACAUGGUGAAUUUGAAGAAAAAAUUUAUAUGAAACAACCUCAGGGAUUUGAAAUUGAAGGAAAGGAAGACCAUAUUUGUUUGUUAAAGAAAUUCUUAUAUGGAUUGAAGCAGUUUCCAAAACAGUGGUAUAAGAGGUUUGACACUUUUAUGUUGAGUCAUGGUUAUUCAAGAAACAUGUAUGAUAGUUGCGUUUACUUCCGAAAGUUAGAUAAUGGUUCUUUUAUUUAUUUGCUACUUUAUGUUGAUGACAUGCUCAUUACUGCCAAGAGUUUGUCAGAAAUUCACACUUUAAAGUUGCAGUUAAGCAGUGAAUUUGACAUGAAAUAUUUGGGAGCAGCUAAGAAAAUUCUUGGCAUGGAAAUCAAAAGAGACCGAGGAGCUGAAAAUUAUUCUUGACUCAAGAAAAUUAUCUUGAGAAGGUCUUGGAGAAGUUUGGCAUGAAAAAUGCUAAACCUGUGACUACUCCUCUUACUAGUCAUGUUCGACUAUCUGCUGCUCAGUCACCACAGUCAGUUGAAGAGGAAGAGUAUAUGGCACAGGUUCCUUAUUCCAACGCAGUUGGUAGCAUUAUGUAUGCAAUGGUUUGUAUUCGUCCAAAUAUUGCACAAGCAGUCAGUGUGGUUAGCAGGUAUAUGUUGUGUCCUGGAAAAGCACAUUGGCAGGCUGUGAAGUGGAUUCUCAGAUACUUGCGAGGGACUUCAAAUUGUAGUUUGGAGUUUGGAAGAAAUAAUGACACUUUGAUUGGUUUUGUAGACUCUGACUAUGUUGGGGAUCUUGACAGGAGAAGAUCACUUUCAGGUUACGUAUUUUGCAUUGGCGGUUGUGCAGUUAGUUGGAAAGCUACUUUACAACCUGUUGUAGCUUUAUCUAAUACGGAGGCAGAAUAUAUGGCCAUGACUGAGGCAAUCAAAGAAGUCUUGUGGUUGAAGAGUCUGUUUGGCGAAUUUAGUCUACAUCAAGGUGUUACUACUAUUUACUGUGAUAGUCAAAGUGCUAUUCAUUUGACUAAAGACCAGAUGUAUCAUGAGAGGAUGAAGCACAUCGAUGUGAAAUUUCAUUUCAUUCGAGAUACUAUUGCUGAGGGAAAAGUCCUUGUUCAGAAAAUCAGUACCAAGGAGAAUCCUGCUGACAUGUUCACGAAACCUCUUCCAGUUUACAAGUUCAAACAAUGCUUGAAUUGGGUUGGUAUUCGUUGUUGGUGAUUUAGGCCCAUUGGAGCUUAUUUGGAGAAGGUGGAGCAGUUUUGCUAUUAUUGAUGUUAGUGACACGCCAAGGUGGAGAUUUGUUAAUGUGGCGUUGUCCUACAUCGGCUUUUAUAUAAGGGAAUCUUUCUCUUAGUUGCCUAUAAAUAUAGUGGGCCUGUGAUGGGGUUAAGUACACCAAAACCAAGAGAGCAUUAGUGAGCUAUUUGGACCUUUAGGUCAUUAAGCCUUUUGUUUAGUUAAAUAUUUUUGAGCUCUCUUGUGUUUUUAGUAUUAGGUGUUUUGGGUCUAAGAACACUUUCCUAAGGCAUCUUUUGUACUCUUUUCUUCAUAAUAAAAUAUUGCUCCUCCUCCGCCCGGUGGACGUAGGUCAAUUUGACCGAACCACGUAAAUUCUUGUGUUUCUGUUUUUACUUAUUUCUGCUUUGUUAUUUGUCUUUUGGGAUUGCCACAAAUCCUUUCGUCAAUUUCCUGGGGCCAGACCUAACAGUGAAUUCUCGAAUGAUGUUGGCUUUUAGAAAGAGUUCCUAAAUUGUGAGUAUUAUUAAAAGAACAUAUGCGGUGAAUAGGCUCCUUAAAAAAAUGUAUUCAGUUAAUACAACUUCUGAGGAAUAAAUAUCUUGAAAAAUUAAAGACACAUUAUGUGAAUCAAAUUGAAGAGACAUUAAAUUCAAGAAAAAUCACUCUUUUGGAAGAGGUAUCAUAACUAUCACCUUUUGGAAAUUUCGUUUGAAAAUUGACAUUCUUUAGGAAUUUACGGGGUUAGUGGGGCUUGGCAAAAUUCCAAGUCUAGAUAUAGAAUUUUAAAAAUUGUUUGUUUUUCCUCCACCAACUUGUCAAUGCUCCCCUAUUGAUCGAGAAAAUUGUCGAUCACAGGCAUUGGAUAGUAGAAAAUUUUUAAUUUUACCCUGAUUUUUUUUAUAGAAAUUCAAUGUCAAUAGAGUUAAUACUCCAAACGGACCACUUGAAAUGGCCCCAAAAGUUACAGCAACUUUUCUAAACCUGAUCUUAAUAAUUAAUAUUCCAGAUUCAACUGUGACAUAGGACAGUAGCAAUUGGUGCAUCUCAAUACGAGGGCCCCAAAAGUUACGACAUUUUCUAGAUUCAACUGUAACAUAGGACAAUAAUGAUAUAGACCUAAUUCUCUAUAACUCAUCAAAGUACGAUUAGCUUCUGGGGUUUGUCUAAUGAUCAGGAAGGGUUUUUAGAGUCCUCCUAACUAUUAGAUUUAAGGUUUAAAUCUUGUAUCAAGCAGUUGAGAGUAAAAAAGGUAUGAGAAGGGACGGGAGAAUUAAAAAAAAAGCACAAUUAUAUUGAUUUUGUACUUAAGGUUCGGGAUGCUGUUGCUUGAAAUGGUUGGAUGACGGAUGAACAUUGAUGCCAAUGUGCAAAAUGUUAGCCAAGUGAACUAUCCCGAACAGGUUUUACGGACGGUUGGUUCAAGGGGAAGACUUGAGAAUCCAAGUUGAGGAAGAUGGAGAGGAUGUCAUUGCCAAAAAAAUUGGCAAUUGUGGGACUUUGGUGCAUUCAGUGGAACCCUGUGGAUCUUCCUUCAAUAACCGUCGUUCCUCAGAUGCUUGAAGGAAAUGGAGAAAGUCCGAGUCUUCCCUCAAGUCCUUUUACCUCAAUAGAUCCCAUGAAUCCAAGCAUGCAUAUAAGACAUUUGGCUUCAGGAUUGGCAGUGAUCUCUGAGUUAGAAUAAGAUGCUAAAGGUUAAUUUCAACUGAAAAUCUUGUGUAUUAAUAGCUCCCAAUGUUCUGCAAAUACAAGAAACAAAAAGAAGAAAUUGAUGAAUAAAGUAGAGGUAAAUGAAGAGUAGAACAGUAGUCCUUUUGCACUCCAGGAUCAAAUAUACCAAGUGUUCGUUUCCUGUAGUCAAUGCUGUCUAGAUCUGCAUAAAAGUGCUGUUCCUCCCCAUCAACAACCGUUGUUAAGGGAAGUACUGUGAUAUUAUGGCCACAAGAGAACACCAAAGCAUAAGGGCACAAAUCUGCAUGACCAUCUUUGAACUGAAACGGGCACUUUAAACUGACAUCAGUGCCUCUGCAAGAAGAUGGGCUAUGGUCACAGCCGGUGUGUUUGGAAUUGAAGGUAUGAUAAUCAUUUGCGUAACAAUGGCUAUCGACAAUAGUAUCAAAUCUGAAUCCGGUACCAAAAAGUUAAUCAAGAUUAGGGACAGCAAAACUACCAAACUCUGAACUUGCAACAUGCUAUUAAUGAUUGACUAAAAAUAGCCGGAUAUUCAGAGGAGAAGCCUGGUAAGGUUUUAGAGCAAAUGAAUGCACUUUAACCAGUAAAUUUUAACCUCCUUUCCCGGUAAAGGUUUAUGGGAAUCCAAUCUAAACUUGACUACUGGAGUUGUUUAUUAAGAAAAACUUUACCAUUAACCUCAAUUGACUUUUGACUAGCCACCCAAUUUAGACUUUUCAUUCUUUCAUUUUCUUUUUUCAUUCUUUGUUAAGGGAGUCCAAUCUAAACUUCUGUUGUGUGGAAGGCAUUGCAAUCUAGACUUUAGCACUUACUUGGUAGUUAUUAUCAUUAAUACUUUUGAUGACAAUUAAAAUUUGCAGUUUAUGAAAAUUAAAAAUCCCUCCCCUGCUAGUUCCAGGAGGGAGGAGGGGGUUUGCGGGAGAAUGGGGGAGGGGAGAGGAGGAAGAGGGAGGGAGGGAGGGAUGAAGGGAUGGAGGAGGAAGAAAGUGGGAGGAGAAGAGAGAGAGAGGGAGGGAAUUGGCGCCGCCGGGGAGAGUUGGGUGUGGCAGUGGGGAGGGAGGAAGGGAGGGAGAGGGAGGGAAAAAGAAAAGGAAAGGAAGAAGAAAACAAAAAGGAAAAGAAAAAAGAAAGUUUGUUUUUUCAACUCUCAAAUACACAAAAAUUAAAAUUUUCUGGUGUAGAACAGUAAGUUACAAUAGAAUUUUAUAUAAACAUCCAAAAAUACACCAUUCAAAUACACCCUAACAUCCUCAUAUGUCUAUCAGGUUUUUCUUAUCAAGAGUAUAACUAGUUAAGAGUUUGUGGCAUUUAUAACCGUUUCUAAAUAGUGUAAAACCAUCUUACCAAAUAAUUAUCAUUAUAGGUUAUUUGUAUAAUUUUGCAACAAAGAUGCAAAACUUCAAUGUUCAUUUUGGAAAUACAUGCCAGUGGUAUUAGAAUUACGUGUUGUUACUUGGUUUGUACAUUUUAAAUUUCAUCUUAUUGACAAAAAUAAGAAUAAAAUACAAAAAAUUAAAAAUUAAAACAAAGUAGAAGAUGCAUAAAGUGUGUUUGGAUAGUGUAUUAUUUAAAAUAUUAUUUUAAAAAAUUACUAUAAUAUUUUUUAUGAUGUUGAUAUAUGUAAGAUAAAAACUUGGAUGAAAAUAUUUAAAAAAAAACUAGUUGGAAAACGUGUUUAUGAGCAAACAAAAUAAUAUUUGAAAAAAAAAGAGAAAUAACUUCCAUAGCUAUAAGAAUGGGAAAGUUUUUAAAAAAUCUAAAAAAUAAGAAUGAGGAAGUUAAGUAGCACCAUUUUCUAAAGCAACAGAGUCACAAUAGAAGAAUUAUUACUGCAUCCAGAACCCAAAAAAAAAAAAUUAAAGAAAGGAUGAAAUCUAAGGUAGGUUACCAAGUCAAAGCUACCAAAAUAUGAACUUGCAACAUGCUGUCAAUGUUAAAAACUAAUGUUGAACUCCUUUCGGAGUAAAGAACUAAGUCAACAUACUCUUCUUUUUUUUUCUUUUUUGAGGGAACCCAAUCUAAACUUGACUACUUGUGUCAUUUUUCUUAUCUAUUCUUUUUGUUGAAAUACACACCAUUGUCAAUUGAAACAAUUCAGAUCGCAGGUCCAACUUUGGACUUUUCUUACAUGUAAGGCACUCUAAUCUAGAAUUUAGCACUGAAGUCGUUGAUAUUAUUAUUAUUAUUAUUAUUGACAAAAUCAAGUUGUUAUACUUUGUUAUUUCUUUGGGUCAACUCCUUUUGUUGUUAUUUUUGUAUUUAAAAAAAAAAAAGAAAAUUAUCCCCUUAUUACCUCCAUUUGUUUUGUUAGGUAAGGUAUUCGUUUUAUUGAUAUAGCAAAAACAGAGGUUAUUAUGAGAAGCAGCAAAAAGCCAAACCAGCAACACCGUCCAAAGUACACUAAUUACAAACAACACCCAAGGUCACCAACUAAACAAGCAGAACACUCACGAUAAGAAUAUAAGAUCAAAAUUCCAUGCUAUACUUUGUUAGUUUAAUCUUCUUCCAAGAAGCUACCAGUGCUCUAACCUCAGUGCUGAUGGGCUGCAACAUGAUAGGAGUAGCUUUUUCUUCCUUAGUGAAAAGUCCCUUGUUUCUCUCUCCCAUAUAUGAUAGACACAAGAUGCAAGAGACGACCUGACUAUUUAAUCAAUAAAAUUUUUCCUAGCCAAGAUAAUUUAAUAUUCAAAGCAUAUGCUCUUCUGUAUGCCAAAUUCAAAUUCUGCACAUUUCUCUCCAAAUAUUUGCAGCAUAAGUGUAAUAUUUAAGACCAUGUAACUUUAUUUCAUGGGUUAAGUAGUGAAGGUUAUAGAACCUUGGGGGUAUAUGUGAUUAAGUUUAGAAGUUGGGGGACUAAUUAAUAAUUUGGCAAAUUUUUAUAUUGAAAGAAUAUGGGUUGGACCUCACUUUACUCUCUCUAACCCUUCCUACUAUUUCUCUCUAACAUCUCUCUUUAGUCCUUCUCUUGAUCAAGGUGAAAGCUUCGCAAAUCAAAGAGUUAGAACAAAUGAGGUGCUUGGGGUUUUUUUUUUUUAGUGUAAUUGGGAGGUUUUGAAUUCGAGAUCUCUUAUUUACACUUCCUCUUCAAUACUACUCAGUCCAUCCUUCCUCCCAAGUAGUUGAGGUUUCACUUUUGACUUCUUUAAUAGGUCUUUUGCCUAUUUGUUAUUUUGUUGGCUAAUUUAGUGGAACUAUGUGGUGAUUUUAGAAAUUUUGCGAGGAAAUGGUCAGUUGAUGAAAUACUAUGAUUUUUGUCUAAGCUUAUUUUAUACUUGGCAUCUUAAUCAAAAGUGAAAAGGGAAAACAAGUGAAAAUCUUGAAGUUUGGAUGAAUUCUUAUCAGUAGUUUGAGAUGGCGGCUUUGAAUAUGCAAGUCCUAGAGUCUGGAGCUCGGUGAUAGGCUCAAUCCAGUGUCAGGCUGGUUCGUUCCUAACUCCCAUUUCUUCAUUUCCCUAUUAGUGGGGACUGAAUUGUAAUUGAAAUAUUGAUAAUUUGCUCCAUUAUUAAGAAUUAGAAAUUAAAUUAGGCUCUCGCUUUCAUAGGUACAAGUUAAAUUGGGUACUGAUUCAUUUUCAGUAAGAUAAAUAGUUUUAGUACUAUCUAAUGAAUAAAAUAGUUUUGAAUGCCUAUAUUAAUAUGAAAUUUUGCAUGAAUGGAGAUACUUACAAUUCCUUGGACUCAUGAACUAAUAUGAUAAGAAUGUAUAUAAGUAUUUAUGGAAUCUAGAUGCCACAUCUGUUUCGCACUUUGAGCUCGUGAUUUCUUGUUAACUGUUAUUAAAACUAAUUAGUUCUAUAUUUUUGUCUGUCUGACCUACCUAGCAGGACAAUGGUGCCUUCAAGCCAAGAAGUGCUUGCCUAGCUGCAAGGUAGCAAAAUAUCACAAUCAAAAGGUACUUAGUGAGGGCAACAAGUGCUUAAUGUCCUCUGUUCCUGAGACAUUUGUUUUAGGAGUACUCCUACACCCUUUCAUUUGCAAGCCUAAUAUGUCAUCUCUUUCUCUAAGAUCAAAACUUUUAGAAAUGUUGUAUUCGUGCAACACAUAUCAACAAAGCUUAUCAGAACAACUGAAGUUUAGUGAUAGAGUAUAAUUUGUUAGUAAAUUUAUUAUUGAUUUCCCCUUCUAUCCCUGACAAAUAUUGUGUUAAUUGCUGAUAUUUACUCAUAUUUGGUAUUUGGAAUCAAUUUCAGGAGUGAAGCAGAAAAUUACCAAAAAGGAGGGACUUGUAUGGAAAAAUGCAGACUUCUAAGGGCUUCAACCUUUAGGUCCUUGAAUUGGUGGGGACCACAAGCUAGUGCAAGGCAUUUAGUCAUUUGGGCUUUUCAAAGAAAGUAACGUAGAGAGACUUGGAACAACAAGUACUUUGGAGGCUUUGUCCACAUGUGCGGGGACCACGGAUAAGAAGCAUGAGUCAUUUGGACUCUAGGAAAAGAAACGUACAAGACUUUGAAUUUGGUGUGGGGACCACUAGAGAUAGCAUUAGACUUCCUUUUGGCUUUAAAAAGGGAGAAACGUACGGGAGAUCAAUGAAUCAAUAGUUUUAGUUUAGGCUUUUAGCAUAGUUUUAGUUUUCUUUUCUUAGCUCUUUCGCAUGGUUGUUCUCCAUUAAUGGAGGACUAACCUCUUAAUUCUAGUCAAGGGGACAACUGAAGACUUGGUUCAACAAUUACUGUGAGAUCGAAUUUAUUUUAAUUAUUUCCUCCAUUUAUUGGUAUUCAUAUGUUUCCUGCUUUUAACUGUUAUAGCUCUUGUGUAUGAUUGAUUAGUGUGCAAUAAUCAAUUAUUCAUAUAGACUAUUUUGCUAAAUAGAGGUAAUUGAAUCCGUAAUUGUUCGUUAUCUCUAUCUUAGUAGCAACUGGCGUAAUUGGAUUUAUGUCAGGGGAGCAUACGAUCUAGUUUAAACAAACCCUCGUAGCGUGUUUGUUAGUUAGGAUUGAGCCUUUCUAAUUAUUAAUGCAAUCUAGAAAUUAAAUCCUACGGUCGUACCUAGGGUUGUUUUUGGGUUAGAGAAAUAGUUAACGGUCGUACCUUAACUAUCGAGAAAUUAAGGAAAGGUUGGUUGUUUAUCGCGUGCAUGACAACUAUAACUAAUCUAUUAAUAAAUGCGGAAUUAUCUGUGAAUCAAUGAUCAGUGCCUGAACCAUUUCUGAAGUGUACCCUUGGCUAGAGUUUUCCCUUAAUUAUUUCUCUUAAUCAAUUAUUUCCUGCAGUUAAUUUAUUUAGUUAGUAUUUAAUCCAAAAACCCCCCAUACUUUGGACUCUAGAAGAAACGAAUUAUCCCCAGUCCCUGUGGAUUCCACUCUACUCACCGCUAUAUACAAAAUCUGUAUUUUUCUCGAGUAGGUAUUUAUUAUUGUACAGGUUCGGCACCUGUCAUUUAGAUCCUUUUAGAACAGUUUAUCAUUACAACACAAGUAGCUUCCCAUCCCCAGCAAUUCCAGUUUCUUCUCCAAAGCUUAGGCACAAUGACUGACUUUUUGUAAUCAAAUCAUAUGAACACUGAGACAAUAAUAGCAGCAAUCAAUAACAGUUAACCUAUCCAUAAUUCAAGAGAAGGUGCCAAUGGUUGUUACUUAGGCCCUGUUUGAUAAUCUCAUUCAGCACUGAAAUUUAAUGGAUUCAGAUCUUAACAUGUUCAAACGCGUUUAAUAACAAAAAAAUGAACAUUUGAAUUAAUUAAAUGACACUGAAUUUUCUAGGCAAAAUUUGCUCCUAAAAUUAAGUGAUAAGCUAUUCACUUAUCACUGAAUAUGAUAAUACUCAAAUGUACUAGAUUUAAUACUUAACAAUUCAAUAAUUUAAUGAAUUCAAAUUUCAAUUUUCAGACUUCAGUUUUAUCAAGCGCACCCUUAAUGUCGUAAUGCUUUUUAAGAACUCGAAUUCUUCAACACAAGACAAAACCUCAACUUAAAUAACUGAACCAUAAAGAAGGAACACUAGUUCUCUUUCUUCGCAAGUAUUUGAAAAGUAUAUCAGCUAGACCGUGGAGUAUUCGCCUUCAAUUACUCAAGCAGGCAAUAUCCAGGAAAUGUCAUAUUCUACACGUUGAUGAAAAGGAACUGACAUGUUUCGAAGGAAAAAUCCAAGGAUAAAGAAAAAGGGCUAUAUGCUACGUUAAACUAACAAUUUGACUAGUAACAGCAACACUACUAGAAAAGAAUGAUCUUACGAAUUUGGAGGAAAUAUUUAGAUAUACUCCUCGCUGUUUUAGGUAACAUAAUAGUUUAAGAAAAAAAAUAUGUAUUGGAGCUCAAUUGUAGAAAUUAUUAAGUUAAACUCAAAGAUUGAUGCUGGUAUUACUAUUAUAUAUGAAGCUUAUAUCAAGGUGCUACCCUUCAGUUUAUUGAUACCAAACUGAUAUUUCAGUUUGCCAUGUUAUCUGGUACUAGGUGGCAUAUUUAAGAGUUUGAAAGACAAAUCCAAAUCCACUAGACAAAGAUUUCACUGAAAGCAUGAGUUCUACUUAGUCAUCCAUCUGCUCUAUUUCUAGAGCAACAAAGCUACACAGGGGCGCUGUUGACUCGUCAGAAGAACAACUAUUACUGCUUCUUUGCAUGGAUAUGGGUGAAUCCGGAGGGUAAAACAACGGUUUAGGAGGUAACUUUAGGCCAAUAGCAUCACCUUCAAGCAUUUCUAAGACUUCUCUCAUUGAAGGACGAUCCUCAGGUGUCAUCUGUAUACACCACAAGGCAAUCAAAAUCAAUUUUCUUGUAAUUGUCUUUUCUUCUUCAGUUGCAUGAUCGCCGAUUUCCAUUUCCUCCACCUGAUCGAAUUUGUCAUAUAUCCAUGAAGGGAAGUAUAUUUGACUAGAAUGCUCAGCAUGUGCAUUCACAUUUCUCCUCCUUCCUGCCAUCUCCAUUAGUAACAUUCCAUAGCUGUAAACGUCUGUCUUAUGUGAGACUCUUCCAAUCUUUUUAUAGAACAACUCCGGGGCCAUGUAACCUAAGGUUCCUCUCACAGCAGUAAGAGUUGCAAUACUCUUUUGCAUCGGGUAAAGUUUUGCAAGUCCAAAGUCCAAAACUUUUGGAAUAAAGUUGUGAUCGAGUAAAACGUUAUGCGGCUUAAUAUCAAAAUGCAGAAUUUGCAUAUCACACCCCUGAUGCAAGUUUUCAAUGCCACGAGCAAUCCCCUUUGCAAUCUCACAAACUAGUUUCCAACUCAAUGGAGAACCAUUCUAACAAUUUGAGAAAAUUAACUUGUCCAGAGAGCCAUUUGGCAUGUAAUCAUACACUAGAGCAUGUUUUGAGGCAGUAACACAAAAUCCCACUAACUGAACCACGUUCACAUGGUGUAUUCUUCCAAUAGUCGCAACUUCAUUGAUGAAUUCUUGGCCAUUAGCUUUUGAUUUGUUCAGCAUCUUGACAGCAACUGCCCCUCCACUGUGCAAUUUGCCUUUGUAAACCAAACCAUAGCCUCCUUCACCUAGUUUCUCCUCAAAAUUUUUUGUCAUCGUCUUUAUUUCUUUGUAUGAGUACCUAAUGGGCAUGAGGCUGUUGUUUCUUUGUAGGAAAUCUUCUAUUGUAUCAUACCUCGAUAAAUGCCUGCGAUGACACCGAUAAAGGAGGAAAGCAAACAAGAGGAUAAUGCCAAUGACAUGUUUUGCUGCAAUAAGCAGAACUAAAAUAGAAGAAGAGAACAAUAAGACUUAGCUAAGAUUGACUUCUACUGUACGUCUUUUCAACUAUAAAUCAGAUGCCUUACCCGAAAUUAACCCACCAAUAUUAAAGUGAUCUGCUUAUAAAAGAAAAGUUAAAGGAUUGUAAUGGAAAUAUUGAAAUAGAAAGAAUCGGAUUGAUUAAAAAAUGGUUUUUCUAUAAAUCAAAGAAAUAAAAUUACUCACGUCCAUUUGGGACAUUACCAAUAUGAGAGCUCCAUCGCCUACGUACAAAAGGCAACGUCAAUAUCCAAUUGGAUGCUUGAAAAUCAACUUUUAUUAAUUACAGCUAUAUAUUUCACACUCAUAUGUGUACAAGUUUCAAAUUACUACGACAAUAAAUUCAAAGUAUGUUUGUUUUGCAUGGUUUAAAGUAAGAAUUCAAUAAUUCAUAUGUUUGUUGGGAUCAUAACACAAAUAAGCUUUUUAAAAAUCCAACUUUUCUAAUUUGACCAUGUUCCUAUAUUUUUUUCGUUUGCUAAAAAAGAUUUGCAGCAACAAAUAAAGACAAAACAGCCGUAGGUAUCUGGUAUUCUGAUUCCCCAAAAAAAAAAGAAAAAAAGAAAAAGAAAAAGAAAAAAGCCACAUCAUCAGUAUUAUUGUACACAUGAAUUCUGUAUUUUAUUAGUUGCUGUUGAUUGUGGACAUCAAAUGUUGUAAGAAGUAUAACAGUUUGUCUAAGUAUAUUUUAUUAGUUGCUAUUGAUUGUAGACAUGCAAUUCGUUACAUGAAUGAUGUAUUGAAUUUUUGCCUGGAUCAAAUAAAAUUAAGAAAUCUACUUGAAGCUGGAAAAUGAAAGGGGCUUUACCCAGAGUUAACUCAAGUCAAAUUUCAUACGGUUUGUCUAAGAGGUGCUUAUAGGGCACAAGUUAAAAUAUAUUUUAGGUGUUAUAUUUUUAAAAAUAUAAAAUUAAUUAGAGAAAGUAAAUAAAUAGAAGAGAUGGUAGGUAAGAUUAUAUAUAAAAAAUAUCUAUAUCUACAUGUAUUAGAGAACAAGUUUUCGACGAGGAGCCUCCACAGGCAUGAGAAAUCUAAAUCCCUUUUUAUUAUAAUUUUAGAUUUAUCUUAAUUUAGUAAUCCCUUCUCCUUAUCCUUUCUCACUUUCCAAUUUACGUGACCCACUGACCCACAAAACCAAAACUCCAAAAUUUUAACUAACGGAUAAUAAUCACCCGUGCAAAAUCACAUCUACAUACGCCAAAUCACGUCGGACACUUACGAAUUUAAAGAACUCACCAUUAUGAAUUCCCACAAUUCUACGUAUCCUAUUGCAUAACGUAUUUUACUCUCAUAAUGAUUCAUAAAACUAACAAUCACUAACCAAUUUUCAUUUGUCAUCCACACAAACCAAAUACAGUGAGAAGAAAAAAAAAAAAGUAAGACUACGUAUCAUAUUCCCACCAUGGACGAGUCCCACCUAUAAGCAUUUCAACGAUGCCUCAAUUCCAAACUUGCAAGAUUGCAAAGAAGAAAACAACUAAUCACAAAACGAAACCUAUACUGCAGUGAUCCCACUAAAAUAUUUCCGAAGAUUUAGCAAAUUCACUUCCAAGAAAUACAAGUUUCACUGAAAAUUUUUUUAUAGUAUGACCUCCACAAAACUUCAACAAAAUCAAUUAAACCACCAAUAUUGGUUUUCAUAUUAAAGGUUAAUUGGUGUAAAAAAUGUUUGCACCUUCAUUCAAGAUUAUCAAAUCUAAUGCAUAAUAUUUGUAAGUAUAUCAUUUUGAAAGCAAAUACUACAACCUCUCCUACCUUAUCAUCUAAUACAACCCUUCCCCUAUAAAAUCAUCUGAUUAUGUCAUUACUUUUCUUUUUGAUCUCUAAAUCAAAAUACUUCAAAAAUUAUGUUCUGUUGACAAUUUUUUGGCUUUCAAUAUGUCAAAAAUAUUUGAAUGGUGAAAAUAGGUCAAAAUUAUAAAAAAAGAAGUUGGUAAUGAUUAAUUAGUUGGCAAAGCUUAGUCAACUGCAUAUGAAAUUUUAUGUAUAACUAACAAAAGUGAUAAAAUCCAUUAUGAACAGUGUUGAUUUUUUAGAAUAAUUUUUAAACUCAUUCUAUUGAUGUGUAAUAGAUAGAAAUUCUCCCUAGUACAAUGAAGAGGAACCUAGUCUAAACACCUCCAGACCUAAACCAAAAACAAAAGGAAAAAAGAAAAAAAAAGUCACUUCAUCAGUUUCUAAAUGAAACAAAUGACCUUGAGGGAAUUGGGGUAGAGGCAAUAGUGUACCAAUAUUAUAUUUCUUGCAUAUAUUUACAUUAUAUUAUUUUGCACAUGAAUUUUUCAUUCUAUUUAUUGCUAUUGAUUGUGGAUACCAAACGUUAUAACGGUUUAUCCAAGUAUACUCAAAUUACUACAAGAAAUACAAUAACUAGACACAAUCAUAUACCAAACAAAAAAUGUACCUGCCCCACGUUUUUGACUCACAGAGAAGAUCUUAAUGAAUAGCCUUAAUGCUCUUUAGUUAAUGUAAUACGUAAAAUAAUCAAGUAUGCGCAUUUAUUAGAUAGCAAGCACAAAGUAGUGAUAUUUGAUAAUGCAAUUCAUUACAUGAAUGAUGUAUUGAAUUUUGGCUUGGAUCAAAUAAAAAUUAAGAAAAGAAAUCGACUUGAAUCUGGAAAAUGAAAGGGACCCCUACCCAGAGUUGACUCAACCCAAUUUCACAUAUACUCUCCUUUCAUUAAAAGGAGAAUUUGAGAUCCACAACUCAAAUGCAUUAAUCAAUUAUAUUUUGAACAUUAAGACUUAUAUGAUGCAUGAAAUCCACUGAUUUGGUUGUUCUAUAAUUAAAAAAGAAAGAAAGAAAGAUGAAUAGCAGUACAUCUUAACUUAAAAUCUUCCAAUAUACGGUAAUUUGUCAUUAAUUCCCCAAAAACAUAGUUUCAAGCAGUAGUAUUGAAUACUUUUUAAAAGAUCUAUCAUAAUCAAUCAUCAAUCAAGAUGUUAAUAAAUCUUCAAAUCAGUGUACUUACAGAAAAGGGAUCUCCUGAUCUCCAGGCCUCCGUGCCAUUUGAGCUCAUGGCCAUUAGACAGAAGAUUGUGGAUGUCUUGAAACGAAAUGUCUCCUGCUGUUACAUUAGGGAGACACCGCAGGUCUACAGCAGCUGUCUUAUAGAUGGUGCACGACUCUUCAAUAUCAGAUGCCACCACGCUUUCACCAACCACAACAUAGCUAUAAUAACCGGGUGGAGCUUUCAUUUUUGAAAAAUGAUUUGCAGUGACAUUACAGCAAGCAGUGUCUACGUAAAGAGGAUGAUAUUUCGAUUUCACAGGAUUUUUACAGCUCACAAAGACCAACGAACCAGUAUCAGGAUCAAUCUCCAUCUCAUAACCCGCAUCAGGUUGAUAGUAGUCGUCGUCUGGACUUAAUGGGUUGACUGGCAGAGUAGAACAGUUGUUCUUUUGCACCCCAGGAUCAAAUAUACGAAGUGUCCGUUGCUCAUAAUCAAUACUGUUUAGCUCCACAGAAAAGUUAUACUGUUGCAUCUCCGGAUAGGAACCAACACUCAAGGAUAGAACACUGCGAUUGUUUUCACAAGAGAAUUCAAUAACAUCAUGUUCAGGGCACAAAUCAUCACCACUAAAUUGAAACGGGCACUUUAAAUUGAUGUCGGUGCCCCCGCAAGUGGAUGGGCGACGGUCACUGCUGGUGUUUUUGGAGUUGAAGGUAGGAUCACCAUAUCUCCGACAAUGCUCACCGAAAAAAGUACUAGGUGUGAUCGCGAGAACGAAGAAGAAAAUUGGGAUUAGAGAAAACACAACUGCCAAAAUCUGAAGAUGGAGCAUACUUGUUACACAUUGACUGAGUGAAUUUAAAAAAAGAAGCCGGAUAUACGUAGGAAACGGAGAAGGGGCACUUUACUUGGCAAAGAGAAUAGGACCUUAUUAAUUAGGCCUUAAUAAUUUAUUGAAUAGGCCAAAAUUAAUUUAUUGAAUAUCUCUUUCAGAACUAGGCCUUAUUACCAGAGUUACAUGCUGUGACAUGAAAUACAGGAAAAUAUGUAGCAAAUCAAAUUCAAGAAAAUAAAUUGAUCUGCCAACCUGGAUGUGGCCUUUCACUAACCAUAUCAAAGUACCAAACUUGAUUUUUUUUUUUCGUUUUUUCCUCCUUAAGGGAGUCUAGUCUAGACUUUUGAUUAUUUCUUUUAAACAGUCCAACAUAGAUUUAUAAAUAAAGACUUUAAAAAGAAGAAAAUUAGUCAGUUAGUGAGUCUACUAAUACAUAAGUUAUAUUGUAAAUUCAGAGCCACAUCAUUAUGGUGAUGCAUGACGAACUAAAAAUAGUUAUAAGAAACGAUCUUUAUUUUAAUGAAAAACACAAACAAUAUUAUGAUGACUAGUGUAUUCAAUAAAAGAAUAAAAAGAUAUCUGAUGAUAAGCUAAUUAGUUCACUUGAAAAUAUCAAGAUCAGGUUUAGAAAAGUGGUUCACUCGUUCUUUUCCUCUGUAUAAUUUUUGGGGCCCUGGAAUUGAAUGGAGUAUUAAAUAAUUUGAGUAUUGUUUGAACGUUUUAACUUUCCAACAACAUCAGACCCAUUAAUGUUUUGCAGAAUAGUCUUUUUUUUUUUUCUUGUAAGUCUUAAUUGAUGGUAACAUGAAAAUCAAGUCGAGUAAAUCCAAAAAAUUUAUAAGAGAAAAAAUCUCCAGACCUAGAUGCUGUCUUCCACUAUUUACACACUAAAUGUCUAAUUGUGUAUUUCCACAUUAAAAAAUCAUAAUUAAGAAACCUAAACAAUUAUAUAAUACUAAACAAUUUUCAACCAUUAUAUAAUACUUGGCUUCUUAAUUAAGAAACCUAAACAAUUAUCAAUGAAUGCGUAUGAUGGGUUACUAACCGGGUUUUCUCGUUGCGUAUCAUAAAAGAUGUCAAAGUCAUUGUCGGAAUAAAAUAUAUCAAAGUCAUUGUCGGAUAGGUGUUGAUAGAAGUGUGGAUGUUGAGCAAGCCUCCAUUGUCAUCUACAGCGUUUCGAUGCAUUAAUUAGCAUUUUGAUGCAGGCAUUAAUUAGUCAAAGUCGUUCUUUCUUCCAUCAAUUUCAGGGUCCAACUAUAGGGGCUAUAUGUGAUUUUUCCAAUUUUUACCUAAGUGGAAAACUUUCUAAUAAUCUAUUGUAAUAGUUCCAUUGUAAAUUCUCAUGUUGUAUUUUUAGCAUAACAAAUGAUGCACUUCAAUUUUUCACAUUUUAUACUUGCAAAAAAUUUGUUCUUCAGAGUCACCCUAAAUCACAUUUCCAUUUAACAAAAAAUAUGUCUGCUAAAUCGAGAUCAAAAAAGAGAGUUAUCAAUUUUGGUCAGAAAACAUUAAAGCAGAAAGCUUUCACACCGCGUCAAUCACAUCACUUCUUAAUGGUCAGUCCUAGGGGUGCUAACAAGUCAAGCUGCUCGCGAGCGCUAACAAGUCAAGCUGCUCGCGAGUAGCUCGCGAGCAGCUUGAUCAAAAGCUUGACUCGAGCUCGGUAAAAUCGAGUUCGAACUCGAGCUCGAGCUACUUGUUAAAUUUAACGAGUCGAGUUCGAGCUCAAGAAAUAAAUACUCGAGUGCUCGUCGAGCUUAAUCGAGCUUUCAUAUUUUAUUUAUAUUAUAUAUUUAUAUUAUAUUAUAUAUUAUAUAUUUUUAAAAAAAUUAUAGAUUUAUUUCAAAACUCGAGCUCGAGCUCGAGUAGCUCGGGCUUGAUAUUUACUCGAGCUUAAUCGAGUUCAAACGAGUCGAGCUCGAGUUUAGUUUUAUUUCAUCGAGUCGAGUUCGAAUCCAAAUUUUUUUACUCGAUCGAGCUCGAGCUCGAGCUCGAGUAGCACAAAUUUUGAUCGAGCUCGAGCUCGAGUAUGGUGCUACUCGAGCUCGACUCGGCUCGAUAGCACCUCUAGUCAGUCCACACCGAAAGCCAGUCCAAAUGUGUGAUUGCGCAAUUUUCUGCAGUGGGGCAGAAACAUGCCGCUAUGGCCUACUUAGCAAUUCUGCUCCACAAAAACAUGUAUAGUAUUAGUAGAAGACAACUCAAUAUCUUAUCUUGUUUUUAUUCCUAGUUCCUAUAAUUUUAUCGGAAGAGGGGCAAGAAAGGUGGCAGGAAGCAACCGUUACUAAUAGUUCACGGUCAAAAUUUAGCUAAAAAAAUUAAACGGUUCAAAUUUCAUCUUGUACCUUAUUUUUAAUAAUAUGUGUAGAACACACAAAAUUUUGUUCUAAAAUUAUACAUUGUUGAAAGUAACUUACAUCAUGUACAAAUAAAAUUACACCGUGUGCAAAAUACACUUAACCUUUAGGAACGGUUGCUGUAACCGUUCCUGUCCCUGGCCCAAUUCUAUUCUUCUCUUUUCUUCGUUCUUUUUCCACACGGAGAUGGCCAACCAAGUUGAAUGUUGACAUGGAAUCUUUUUUGAUUUACUGGUGGAAGGAAAUUCUUAUCAGACAAUUUCAGUUAGAUUUUGUAGUAUUUGCAUUUCCACACAAUUUCAUACGGAGCUCCAUAUCCAUUGAUAUUUAGGAUGAAGAUGCAUUUAUUUUAUUGUACAGGAAAAUUUUACUGAGUGAUGGAAAAUGUAACUGGGGUAAUUCACUAAAAUGUACUUGUAGCUAAUACUCUAAUCAUUCUUUACCAGUAAAACCGACAGGCGGAAUAAUCAGAUGACUUUAGAAGAAGACUUUAGAAGUAUUAAACUAGGGCUAGAACUUCUAAUGAUUCACCGUAAAUAUUAAUAAUAACAGUAACAAAAAUAAUAAUAAAAGUAAUACACUGCAAAGUCAAGUACUAAUAUAACCCAAAAAAAAAAAAGAGAUACAUGGGUUUGCAUGAACUCCAUUCCAAAAUUAGACUGCCAAGUCAAAAGAAAAAAAAAGGAAAAGAAUAUGAUCACAGGUUCAGUUUUUUGAAGACCGUACCAGUGAUGAUUACCGACAAAAUUAUCCGAGCUGAACCCGGACAACAAAAUGUAAAUUAAGGCAAGGGAGACUUUUUGAGUACGACAUUUUACAAAUGGUCCCAAACUAAGCUAUUGAGAAUUUGGAGGGACCUAAACUAUCUUCGGAAAUGUUUCGGGAAAUCCUGAGACAGGAAAUGCAGGCAAGGGAGACUAAAACUACCAAAAUCUGCACUUCUAACAUAUUACUGACCACUGAGUAAUUGAUCAAGUGUGCAGAUACUAAAAUCCACAGGUCUGUUUUUUGAGUGAAGUCUUGUGACUUUGUACUCUUUUUUUUUUUUUUUUGUCGCAACGAUAGAAUUUCUAUAACCUAAUCUAGGGGGAGAGGAAGGGGAUUCGAUGUGAGUACAGACUCCAUCGAUGGAAGUCAAUUAAAACCGCCACAGAAUGUGGCAAAUUUUUGUGGUAGACAGGGUUCGAACCCAUGACCUCUUUGCAUCACCAAACCUUAGAAGGUUUGGGCUCUGUUUUAAAACUCGGACCAGACCGGCCGGUCGAACCGGGAACCGGCCAGGUAGCCAGUCCGAGUCAUAUUAAAAAAUCGGAAAUUUAAAAUCCGGUCAAAAAUCGGGUUUGACCGGGAAAAAACCGGUUUUUCCGAUUCGAUAGUAAUUUUUUUAAAAAAAAUUCAAACUUUUUAAUAUUAUGUUUUGACCCCCUAAAUUGUUAAAACUUAUUGAUAUACCUCAAAUAUUUGAUACUUUAUAAAUAUUGUCCUAAAAUUUGAUGUUAUUUUUCAAUUAAAUUCAUAAUUUUAAUUCUGAACUUGUUAAUAUUUAUUAAAUAAUAUAAAUUGCUACUUGAUUGUUCUAAUUUCUUUGUAUUUCUUGUUAAAUAUAUUUGAAACAUCAAAUAUAUAUGAAUAUACCUUUAUUAAUAUCAAUAUAUUAUUAGAUAUUAUAUAUAUAAUAUAUAUAAUAUUUUAAUUUUUAAAUAAUUUUUAUUUAUGACUUCAUCCGGUUCGACUCCCGGUCGAAUUCAUUGACCCCUGACCCCUGACCUCGACCGAGUCGCUAUCCGGCCGGUCCGGUUAUGAAAACAUAGGGUUUGGGAUGACCACUGGACCAAAGGCCUUGUGACUUUGUACUUGGAUGGUUUAGUUCAUGAUCAGCAGCAUGUGGUCCUGAAGAGCAGUGUUUUGAAAACCGGAUCGGACCGGCCGGUUCGACCAGUUGAACCGCGAACCGGCCAUGGCACCGGUCCGGUUCAAUGCUAGGUUUGACUUUGCCAAGAAACCGGUCAAAAACCGGUCAGACCACGAAAACCGCCGAACCGGAUUUGAACCAGUCAUUUCCGGUUUCAAGUUUUUUUUUUUUUUGCAAAAUGUAGUUAUCAAGAUUUGAACUCAAGACCUUUGUAAUAGAAGACCAAUGUAAUAACCGUUGCACCAUCAUAUCUUAUUAGUUUUUUUUGAUAACUUAUUUAUAUAAAACAAACACUCAUAUUUCUUUUGUUUCAUUUUCCUUAUAAAAUCUCAUUCUCUCAUGGCUCUUUUUUUUUAAUUUUCAACUCUUUCUCUCUCUCUCUCCCUCUCUCUCAUCUUUUCUUUUGCCACUCAUUUUUUAAUCAAACCUCUUUAUUUUUAAUUUAUUGAUGUUUUCUUCCAUCUUUUAAUUUUAUCUUUGUCCAUUAAAUUAAAAAAAGUUAAAAAAGAAUUAUUUUUCUUUAACCCAAUUUGUUUAAUGCCACAACCACUCACUUUUAUCUCAUUUUUUGUUUCUCUUCAAAUUUGCAUUUCUAUUUUCGAUUCUCUUGAUUUCCUUCGAACUCCAAACUUUUUUUUUAAAUUGCAAUAUCUAAAUUUCAAAAAGUAAAUUAAAAUUUAAGUUCACAAUGUCUAAAUUCUCAUAGACGUGAAUUUUGUAUAAUUUCAAAUAUUGUGAUAUUUUUGGAUUGGAUUUAAGAUUUUUUUGGUAGAUAUAAUUGAAAUUGAGAUAAAAUUUAUUUGUUUUUAACUUAUAAUUUAAAAAAUUAUUUUUAAAAAUCCAAGUUAUUCGAAAAUAGUAAACUUUUCAUCAUAUAAAGUAUUAAAUUAUCCAUUACAUGUCUUAUUUUGUGCAUACAUAUAUUUAUAUAAAUUAUUUUUUUUAAAAUUCAUUGAACCGAGGUUGAACCGGUCCGACCGGUUGAAUCUCGACCCUUUCACUUCACCGGUUCAAUUAACGGUCCGGUUUUAAAAACAUUGCUGAAGAGACGAAGACUCAUGGAGUGGACUUCACCAAUUGGCAUGUUACAGUCAAUUACAUGGCCCAGAUUGAUAUAUUCAAAACAUUUUUCGUGGAAAAAAAAAGGGAUUAACUAAAGCGAUUUGGCACUAGAGCAGGAACUCACAUUAACACGGUUCAUCAAAGUUGUGCUUAUCUUGAAACCAACGGUCAUUGUUCUGGUAGUAAAAUAAGUUGUUUCGAGGUUGUGUGCUAAGUUAAUCAACAUAUAUAUUAAUGUACAGCCAUCAUUUGAUGAUUAAUUAUAAUUUUCUUCUUUAAUUUGAUACUUUAACCUAGGAACCUAGUUUAACUUGCCACUGAACUCAUUAAUGAGUUCAUUAAACAUAAACAACAGACUUCUGAAACUAAUUGAUUCCGAAAAGGGCAAAUAAAACAUUUUUGCAUAAGUUGAAUUGCCUGUCUUACGAAUGGCCAAUGUGCUAAGUUCAGGGCAAGUAUACCUAGAUUACAAUUUACAAGUGGCUGAAAUUAACAUAUUUACAGUGAAUUUGGUCUAUUUCUAUACCAACAGAUCCAUAGUUAUAGUGGCUUCGUAGAGUCCUCAGAUCAAUUUAAUUUGCCAUUCGUGAAUCAUAAACACAAACUCCAAACUCUUAAUGUACAAAUUGGGUAUAAUUUAUCUGUGAGUUCUACCAACUUUCGUGGUGUCUUCCAAGAUGGUACAAUGUAAUUCUGUAUUGUGUCCAUGUCCACUAUCUGUACAUGGUUUGAGAAAUCAAGCAUAAUCUGUUACUAUAGUCCCAUGGUCCCUAAAAAGACAAGUCCCAGCUCUGGGGCCAAAUCUUCUUAAUUAGCCCUUGGACUUUUGCUUUGAAGAAGCUGGUUAAUAAAAAUUGGCUGUCAUCAACUUUUAUAAAUCAAUUCCAAUUACCAAGACAAAUCCUCCCCUAACCAGUCGUAGUUAUAAAUUUAAAAGCAAAAGGUCUAAUCAACAGAAACUGUUGUGAAUGUUUACUUCCAAAUGCUAACUCGAUAAUAACUAGAAACUACUGUUGCACUAGUUACUUUGUGAUGUAUUAUAUUAUUGUAGAGGAAAUGAAGGAAGUGCAGAAAAAAAAAAACUCGCCAAAACACAAGACUAGCUCUCUCUUUUUUUCUCCUUACCCCACCAUUACAAGUCAUUCUCAAAGCAAUUUCCUGACAGAUUCAAAACACAACUUAUGCAAAACACAGUCAGGCGUAGACUUGACUCCAAACUAUUUACCUAUACAGAGAAAACUGCUCUUUCCAUCAAACCCAUCAAACCUGAAUUAUAGUGAUACAGUCGCUUUACUAUAUUGUUAUUAUCACUUUAUCUUUUUAAUUAUAGUGAUAUAAUCGCUUUACUCCUUAAUAUUAUUUUCUAGAUAUUUUACUCCAUCGUUAAUCUAACCAGUAUGUUCAAAAAUUUUUAAAUGUAUUUAACCUUCUUUUGUAUAUAAUUAGAAAUAAAAAAAGUUGGAAUAGUUAUUCUUCCUUUUUUUUCACUCUAAGAGUUUCAAAGACACAAAAAUAAAAGAGUUUUCUUAAAUUUCUUUUUUCACACUUAUUCAUACUAAGAAAAGAAAAAGAAAUAGGAGCAAAAGAGACAAAAAAUUAGAUUUUACAAAGAAAGAAAAUAAUGAAGAAUCUAAUAUUAUCGUAUUACUUCAACGUCAUCGGGAUUAGGAUUGGAAUUUGGUGGUAAACCAAAAAGUAAAGUAAUUUUAAAAUAAUAAAAACAUUGAAUUCUUUCUUAUUUUUAUUUAAAAAAAAAUUGAGUUCUCUCUCUCUCUCUCUCUCUCUCUCUCUCUCUCUCUGUGCCCCCUAUCUUUCUAAUUUUUAAUUUUUUUCAAUAUUAAUAAAAUUUCCAAGAAGAAAGAAACUAAUAUUUUGACUUUUUAUGUUAGGGAAACGUAUGAUCUAAUUUAAAUAAACCCUCAUAGCGUGUUUUGUUGGUUAGGAUUGGAUUUUUCUAAUUCUUAAUGCAAUCAAGGAAUUAAAUCCUACGGUCGUACCUAGGGUUAUUUCUUGGUUAGAGAAAUAGUUAACGGUCGUACCUUGACUAUCGAAAAAAUAAGGAAAGCUUGGUUGUCUAUCUCGUGUAUGACAACUAUAACCAAUCUAGUAAUGAGUAAUUGAAUUAUCUUUACAUCGAUGAUCAGUUGAAUGGACAGUGUUUGAAAAGUUGCACCUUUGGCUAGAGUCGUAUUGGUUAUUGAUUAAUUCCUGUUUAUUUCUAUUAGUUGUUUCAUCAGUUGGUUAAUUAGUUAUUUUAUAUUUUCCAAAAACUCCCCAUGCUCUCAACUCUAGAAGAAACGAAUUAUGCCCAGUCCCUGUGGAUUCGACCCUGCUUGCUACUAUCUACUAGUUAGUAGUUUUGCGCAACGGAUCUUCUGUCUCACACUCUGUGCCACUCUCUGUCCUACUUUUUAUUAUAUUGCUAUUUCUCUUUCAUAAACAUCAUGUUUUAGUUCUUUUUUUAUUUCCUUAAGAUCCAAUAACUAUUAAUUGAGUAACACGCAAAAUUUAACAAACUCAAAAAAUCAAAAUGCAUAAAAAAUGAGUUUUUAUGAAUUUUCUGCUGUAAUUUUUAAUUUUCUAUUAUAUAUUGAUUUUUUGAAACUGUUGUAUUUAUUUUUUAUUGAAUUAAUAGUUAUUGAAUCUUAAGGAAACAAAAAAAAAUUAAAACAUGAUAUUUAUGUAGAAGAAAUAGCAAUAUAAUAAAAAGUGGGACAGAUAGUGGCACAGGAUGUGGGACAGAAGAUCCGUUGCGAUAAUCUUGUUAGUUAGUCAAUUCUGGUAUAUUGGAUUAAGCAAACUCUUCAGAGCCAGGGUGAACCAAGUAACCCAUUGCACAUCCAAAAUCUCUGCUCCAGUACCUGGAAUUGAUUGUUGACUACUUUUGGUGGUAGUUAGGUUUUUAUUAUUGCACAUACUUGAUACCUGUCAAAAGCAUAAGUGAACUUGGGCUAGCCCAAAUUCAGCAUGUUGAUGAAAAGGAAAGAUACGUUUCGAAGGAAGAAUCCAAGGAUAAGGAAAAACGGUUACACGACUAUGUUAAACUAACAAUUUGACCAGUAACAACAACACUAUUGAAAAGAUCGAUCAUACAAAUGAGGAAAUAUUUAGAUAUGCUGCCCACUGUUUUAGAUAACAUAAUAGUUUAAGAAAAAAAAUACGUAUUGGAGCUCAAUUUUAGAAAUUAUUAAGUUAAACUCAAAGAUUGAUGCUGGUAUUACUAUUAUAUAUGAAGCAUAUAUCAAGGUGCUACCCUUCAGUUUAUUGAUACCAAACUGACAUUUCAGUUGCAUAUUUAAGAGUUUGAAAGACAAAUCCACAAGACAAAGAUUUCAUUGAAAGCACGAGUUCUACUUAGUCAUCCAUCUGCUCUAUUUCUAAAGCAACAGAGCUACAUAGGGGUGCUGUUGACUCGUCAGAAGAACUACUAUUGCUGCUUCUUUGCAUGGAUAUGGGUGAUUCCGGAGGGUAAAACAACGGCUUAGGAGGCAACUUUAGGCCACUAGAAUCACCUUCAAGCAUUUCUAAGACUUCUCUCAUUGAAGGACGUCCUCAGGUGUCAUCUGUAUGCACCACAAAGCAAUCAAAAUCAAUUUUCUUGUAAACAUCUUUUCUUCUUCAAUUGCAUGAUCUCCGAUUUCCAUUUCCUCCACCUGAUCGAAUUUGUC
rnacentral:lncRNA from 1 species